rnacentral:lncRNA from 1 species
UACAAAUUAAUGACACAAAGGAAGUUUUGCAAAUGAUCAAUACACCAGUAGAUUAGUUAAAUAUAAGGUGCUUACAAAACAAAAAAAUCAGGGCAAUCAUCAAGCUCAGUAGACCUUCCAAAUUUACCAUGUCUCUGUCAAGGCAGUGAUGAAAAUAAUCAAAAUUUCAGUUAUUGGAACUUCCGUAGGCUGACACUUGAUGAUUUACAUCACUCUAAUUGCUUCAAAAGGGUCCCUGAAAUGAUGACACAUACAUAGUUGAUCAUUUAAUUUGCUUCUCGCAAUCAUUUCUCAAUUCGGGAAUUAAAUUUUUAGGGAGAUUCACUAAAUUAGGCAGAUCAAAGCACCUUUCAUACUCAUUUGAAAAAUCCUCUUCAUAGAAAAAUCAUGAUAUCACCACCGCCGAGAGAGCUGUUUCAUACAUGUGCCUAGCGAGUAACCUUCUGAAGAUUUUCAAGGAAACAAAUAUGAUCAUUGUUGGAAUUCAUACAUAAGUAGGUAAAUAAGAGAUUGCUAGAGUUCAAUUACCCGGAUGAAAUGUGGAUGUUUGGGAUCUUAGCAGAAAUCUUGGCCCGCUCUCCACUGCCUUCUUCGUAAUGCUCUUCAAGUCUCCAACAUGUGAUGAUGUCAAGAGUCCGCAGUGGUGUUUUGAAGAUGAAGUCUGGCAGUGCUUUUAGACAUUCGCAGUCGACAAUUCUCAACUCAGAAAGGCAUGGCAUGAUUGUAAUUUCAGAAUCUUCUUUGGUCCACUCUUCCACGCCUUCCCACUCUUCCCAAUUCGACAUGUCGUAAAAGUGGAGCUGUUUCAAUUUUGGGAAUAAUAUUUGGGGUGAUCUAAUUCUGAAUGAGGUUUGAUCUUCUAAUCCCAAAAAUUCAACACCGACCUUUCUCACUCCUGACAUACUGUAUAGGGCCAGUCUUUCAAUGCAUUCCAAUUUCCCAAGAGGCCAAAAUUCACAGAGUGUCCCCCCAUCAACAGUAAGGAAUCUCAAAUUGUGUAAAGACUGAAUCCAAUUGGGCCACGUGGUGCCAAAUGACCACAAAAUCCCUAAAGAUUCCAAAUCUGGGUGCGGUCGUAAGGCAUUCAGUAUUUCCAAAUCUGUCUGCCCAUCCAAAUCAACAGUGAGAUUAAAUAGCUUUUUGUCCCACAAUUGUGCUUUCUCAACCUCGCUCUUAUCUGUGGCAUCCCCCUGAAGUCGUAUUUGCAGACUUCCCUCAAGGUUCAAGUUUCUCAGAUCCCCAAUUUGGAAUGCUUCAUCUUUGUCGCCACCACAUGGACACACAUCUAGUGUUUGCAAACUUGUUAAUCUCCCUAUCACUUUGGGAAACGACUCCAGAAGACCACAAUACUUAACAUAAAGAUGCUUUAAGUUAAUCAAGUUUCCCAUGUUUUCAGGCAGUUUUGUAAGUUUAGAGCAGCCCACAAGGCGCAAGGUUGACAAAUUGUACAAACCACAAAUAGUGUCUGGUAAUUUCUUCAGUAUAUGAUUGGAAGACAAAUCAAUAUGCCUCAAAUGUAUCAAUUCACCAAUCUCCUUCGGGAGUUCUUCGAUGGAAUUACGACUCAAAUUUAAUGUCCUAAGACAUUUCAAUUGUAAAAUUAAAUUUGGGUCUAUGGUAGUAAUUCUUGAAUCAAAAGUUGCGAGCGUGCGGAGAUUUUUGCAAUUGUAAGAUGAGAUAAAAAGUGGAAGUGGACCUUCAGGAAUAUAUCUCAAGGUUAAAUGACGAACCUUAUCACCAAAUACCUUUGAUUCACUGGUAAUUUCCUCACCAUGAUCGAUAAUCAAACACUCAUUCUUGGUGAGAAAUUGUACAAAGUCAUGCACAAUAUCAUGCAUUUUGCAACCUAUAAUGGUACCGGUGUCAGGAUCUCUCUCAAAAUCUUGGAAAAAUGACCGUGCCACUAAGUUGUCAAAAACUGCAUCACCCGUUGUUCCCUUUUCUUUAUUCCCUUUCGAAAUAACAUAGUCUUGUGCCAUCCAAAGUUUAAUCAAAUCAUCUCGUUCAAACUUGUGAUCUUUUGGAAAAGUAGCACAAUAUAAAAGACAACAUUUAAUUGUUGGGGCCAAAUCAUUAUAACUUAGGAAUAGGGGUUGGAAAACUUCUUGCUCGACCUUCUCUAGAUCCCAUAUCUUACUAUGCAAAACUUCUUUCCAUUCUCCCAUUUUUGUCUUAUUCUGCAUGAGACUACCCAAAGUCUUUGCAGCAAGAGGCAAACCUUUACACUUCUUUACAAUUUCCUUACUAAUAUCUCCAAACUCAUGUACAUCCCUAUCCCAAAAGGCCAUGUGAUUGAAGAUUGACAAACAACAUUCAUCAUUCAACUCUCCCAGAUUGAUCUUGUUUCUUGUUGCUCUCAUCAUGUCAGCAACCUCAUGUUUUCUUGUGGUCACCAAUAUUCUGUUGCCUUUAGCACCAUUUUGGAUUAAUGGUACCUUUAAUUGUUCCCACUUUUUAGGAUCAUCGGUCCAUACAUCAUCCAGGACAAGAAGAAACCUUUUGCCCUGGAUGGAUGUAGACAUACAUUGCAAGACCUCAUCCAACUCAUUUGAAUUUGGGGCGUUUUUACCAAUAAUGGCUUUGGCAAUCUUAAUCUCAUCAAAAGGGUCUGAAACACAAACCCAUUUCCUCAACUCAAAAUGGGUUUUGACUCGGUCAUCAUUAUAGGCUAGUUGGGUUAAAGUUGUUUUGCCCAUGCCUCCCAUCCCGACAAUAGGGAUGAUAAGGAACCCCUUCCCUUCCGCACUACUAUCACUCAACAAGUGUGUUAUCAAAUCCUUUUUUUCAUUUUCUCGACCAAAUAUCUCAGAUAUAUCGACAAAAGAUGCAGUUUGAGGUCGUUGAGGUUGUUGAGGUUGUUGAAUGCCUAAUUCUUUGCUUAGAAACUGGUACUUUUUUCUUUCCUCAUAAAUCUCAGUUAACUUAUCAUUCAGAUCUUUUAUUUUCAGAGCAAUGUCAUGGAGAAGGUGAUCUUUUAUUUUGCCAAGACAAAAGUAAGGGGAGAAACUAGAGAAACGUACCUUCUUCCUUGUAACAAGAGCAUUUGGAUCACCUUCUCUUUCUUGCUUCUCAACUUGUUGUUUGAGAAUGUUUGUGUUCCACUCAUCCAGCACAUCCACCAUCUGGUAGGAUAUAUCUUUCAGCUCAUCCAACCAGAUUUUGACAGCUUGAUCCGUCACUUGGCGUUGCUCUGCAUCCUCAAGCACAGCUUGAAUAACUCGGAGAGUCCGAGUGAAUUUCUCAACAUCUUCCUUAACGUUCAAAACACGUUUCACAUCUCCUUCCAUGUAUUCAUAGGUUGUCGAGGCCAACCGUUCUAGCAGCAGGGAAAUGAGCGCACCAGCCAUUAUUUUGAGCUUCAGAAAAUGGUUGACAGCAGUGUUUAUGAAGAAGAACUGAUUUGGGGAUAAUUGUUUGUGUUGCGGUGUUCCCUUUCUUCUGCCCAGUUUAUAUGCUGAGUAAGUCUUCAAGGCAAACUCCAAGUCAAUUUUUAAGAAAUAUCUAAUCUGGGGCUGGUGAGUGCGCCAGACUGUCUUUCUUGACCUUACCAUACAAGACAAGAUUAGUGCGCCAGCUGGCUUAAUAAGCAUUACCAAGAUGUAGUGCAUAAAUCGCCAGACUGUCAUUCACAUUCUAUAUUUUUUACCUGAACUCUACCUACUUGAAUAAAGAAAUGUAUCAAAGAUUGGUUGGACAAUUGAUUUAUUUGUCACACACACCUCGUGACAUAUACUUUGAGUGUAGUUUAGUCAGUUCGUGCAUGUUUUCAGUAAAGAUUAUGUAAAUGAUGUAAGUCAUAUAUUUAGAUAUUUAAAGUUAGCAACAAGAAAAUGACUUAUGUUCUCUAAGCAUAAGUCAUUGGGCAGGUAGUAUCAUUGUCAUGAGCUCUACAUCAAGUAGAUUGGUUGGAGGUAAUUUCUCACUUGGCAUAGCAAUAAGCAAAAGAUGGUGGAGUACAGAAUAAUGGUACAAGGAAUCUAUGAACUAUUGUGAUUGAUAAUGUAUAAAAUAAUGAUCGUAGAUGUUUAAGUGGAUAGACAUUUCAUUAAAAAAUAAAGACAAUUAAUAUUCCAUUUGUGAAGACUAAAGACCAAUUAGUCCAUAUUCUCUCCAAGACAAUUAAAAAAUAAGGUGUGUUACAACUCAUUGGUCAAGUUGAGGAUUGGAGGCAUGUGUUCACCAAUUUGAGCGUGAGUGUUAGUGUGAAUUCUAAAUAUAACCUAAUUUGUAGUCUCCUAUUUGGACUUUAUUAGGUUUAGUUACUUUACUUAAGGUCCACUUCUCGUAACUAGGAGAAGAAUACACAUUUGAGAGUUUUAGGUGUAGCUGCUACUUGUUCCCCAAGAAACACCACAGUCACUAUCACAUCACACACUCUCAUGAUUAUCAAUGGAGCAUAAAUAUAUUGCAGUUAAGUUUCUUUAGCCCAAAUUAAGUACCGCUUGUAACACUCUCAUUCACCCAAUGUUAGACAAGGUCCCAGCCCAAAUCUAUGCAAAUAUUCUAUGUAUCUAAAGUCGCCUGGGAUUUUUGGAGCAUGCCAUGCCUGACAAUCUUCUUUCUAGCAUCUCCAUUCAGUCCUGCCAAUUUGUGGUCUUGUGACUUCCCCCUCAUGGUAUUAUCCCCAGCCUAGAGAAAAGGUUCCAUUGACCCAUAAUUUCUACUACUAGUUCGUAAAAUUGAAUAGUGGCAUGCUCACCAACUAAAAGGGGUAGACAUCCUUUUCUAACAAUCCCAUGAAGGAUUAUAUAAAUCUUCAGAGAAAGGCAGAGAAAACUUGAGAAAUGAACUAAUUAUGUAGGAGACUAUAAAUCUUACAUGAUCAAGCAGAAGAACAUCCUCCUCUUCUUCAAGCCGAGCAAAAUCUAUAGCACGCUGACCAGUGACAAGUUCGAGAAGUGUGAUACCAUAUCCAAAAACAUCAGUCUUUUCUGACGAUUUUCCAGUGGACAAAUAUUCUGGGGCAAUAUGACUCAUGGUACCACGCACUUGAGUGGUAACGUGAGUUGAUUUUGUAUCAACCAGCUUUGCUAGCCCAAAAUCUCCAAGAACGGGCUCAAAAUUAUCAUCUAGAAGAAUGUUUGCAGCCUUUAAGUCACGGUGUAUAAUCUUAGGAUUACAAUGCUCAUGUAAAUACUCUAAGCCAUGGGCUGCACCAAAAGCAAUGCGUUUCCUUGUUGACCAGUCCAAGCCUUUCUCACCAGGUUUUAAAUCUAACACAUAUAUCAGGAAGAAAAUGUUAUGAAUUAAAAAUAUUGAACAGUAGAUAUAUGAGAAUCGUGAUAUGCCAUUCCAAAGAAUUAAGUGAUGAUUAACCUCCAAAUGAACAAGCAUAAAAUACAAAUGAUGUAAAUCCUAUCUCCCCCCUUAAGAAGUAGGGAGGGGGGUGUUCAGGAUGUCCUUACUUGAAUAUUGAGUUGGUUGAAGAAAACAGAAAUUUGUAUUUGGGAAUUUGAAUCACAAAAUGGUGGUUAUAUAUCAAUACGUGCGAUGAAAGACCUCCUCCAUAAGUAUGGGCUGGAAGGUGAGGUUGACCGUACGAUACCUAAUGGGUGUAAGUAAAAUUACCAAGAAAAACAACAAAGGAAGUAAGGAUUAGGGAGCACCUCAGAAAAAAUUUCAAGGAUGGUACCUCAUGUCAUAAUAUGUUGCAGAAUUCUAUUGCUAAAUUAAACCACGAAAACAGAAGUAAAAUUACAGGCUCUCAAAUGGAACAGAACAUGGCAACAGCAAUGAUUUUUUCUUCUUUCUUUUGGGACUGAACACUGAAUUAGGGCUUCUAAUCACUUACCAAGCACAAAAAGAAGUUCAAACCAUGGUUGUAAAUUCAGAGCCACUCACACUGAAAAAUGCAGAGGGGAAAUAGAAAAGUAAACUCAAGCAAUGCUCUUUUAGGACAUACCUCUCAAGCGAUACGCAACACUAAGAUUUUUCAUGAAUGGAUAAACAAGGAUUCUCUCAGAUGAAGUUGUACAAAAUCCAAUCAAACGUAAAAGAUUCUUGUGAACUGCAACGCUAAUUAGUUGUACUUCUCUCAAGAAUGCAGCCUCUCCACCAGGACUGUUAUAAUCUGUAAGGCGUUUCACUGCAACCUUUACAUUGUCUGAGAGGACACCUUUGUAAACUCUUCCAAAGCCCCCUUGUCCAAUUAUGUUGCUUUCAUCGAAGUUAUCUGUAGCAAGCUGAAUUUCACGCCAAGAAAAUCUUCUUAACUGGCCAAAGGAAAUUUUGCACUCAUCUUCACCUAAAAUUACAUUAAAAUAAGAAAAGGGGGUGGAGUAGAUGUUAGUUUGACAAGAUUGUGUAGCUCGUGAUGCGACUUCAGGCAUUUGGACUUUUGAAUACAGAUUAAAUGAAUACAUAAAUCAAACUUGGUAAGUGAUUAUUUACACAUCUGACUUACAAAGGGUGGGGAUCGAUUCUAACUUAACUAGGUUGAGAUGAUUUCAAAUUUAAAUUUCCAUAAUGAUGCUUAGUACAAACUGAAAGUCAUCUCAAAAGUAAAAGGUAAGGAAAAUUUACCUGUAACAUCAACAACGACAUCAUGUGUUAGUUUGUGCAUGCGAUAAUAUCGAUAAGCGAAAAGAGCCCCAAUCAAAAGAAUUACUGUUACACCACAACUUGCCGAAGUUAUAACCGUUCCAAGUUUUGAUUUCUUGGUUGAAACUGCCAAAUUUUAAAAUCUUAGGUUAUUCCACUACUACAUUUUACACUUUGCGCGACGAAGAAAAAAACGUCGCGCAAAGUAUGAUUUAGUCGCCCCAAUUUCAGCGCGACAAAAAAGUCGUCGCGCACAUUCCGUCGCGCGAAGAUCGUGAAGAAAGCCUUUGCGCGACGAGGUAAAACCCUUUGUCGCGCAAAAUUGUGCGACGGGUAAACCAUCGUUGCACCAACGGUGUGGAGACGAAAUAACUGUUGGUGGCAAAAGUAUUUGCGCGACGAUAAAGUAUGCGGUGCACGUACAUUAGCGCGACGAAAUAUUAUUCGUCGCGCAAAAUGUGUUCGCGAGACGUAUAUGUUCGUCGCAGAACAAUUCGCGCGAAUACAACUGUUCGUCGCAAAAGUAUUUGCGCGACGAUCAAGUAUGCGGCGUACGUACAUUUGCGCGACGAUGGGAAUUGCGCGACGAAAUAUUAUUCGUCGCGCAAAAUGUGUUCGCGAGACGUAUAUGUUCGUCGCAGAACAAUUCGCGCGAUGAGAAAGUUUUCGUCGCACAUAUAAUUGCGCGACGAACAUAUAUGUCGUCGCCAAAUAUCUUGCGCGACGAAAUGUUUCGUCGCGCAAAACGUGUUUGCGAGACGUAUGUGUUCGUCGCGCAUGAAUUUAAAAAGAUAAAAAAAAUUUGAUUUUUUUUUUUUGUUACAUGUUGGUUUGCGCGACGAAAUAUUUUCCGUCGCGCAAAAAUAAUAUUACAAAUUUUUUUUUUUUUUUUUUUUAAAAUAAAAUUGGUUUCUUUUUAUUGAUUAAACAAUGAAAUUGCAAUAAAAAUAAAUUAGAAUAAAAUUUUGUUAUAAAAUAAAAUAAAAUAAAUGUAUUACAAAUAAAAUAAAUACACUAAUCAAAUAAUGAAUCAAAAUCAACCGAGUCGUCGCCAGUAUGCGGCUCGGAGGGCGGGGCGUUCACCGGGGCAGUGGUCUGGUGGGGAUGCCCGGGAUGGACGGGCUCAGAGGUCGGCGCAUCAAAACGCGGGACUGGAAUGCCAGCUGUACGAGAGACUGCAGAAUGACCGACAUCGGGCUCUGAAGAGUGGCCACCUGUGCUGUCAAAGCAGUGACCUGACUGUUUGACUGCGCCGAUGAACGAGGUCGAGGUUCCCUCCGCCGGGCAUUCCCCAUCCCUCGACAAUAUGUCCCCGGCCUCCUCCCGAGAGUCUGAUCCAACGUCUCCGUCAAGAUCUGAAAUCCAGCAUCCUGUGGAGGAGCCACAGACUCGAUCGGAGUCUCGGGAGGAAGCUGGGAGGCGGACUCCUGAAGAACAAGCUGGCUCCUCUCCACCAUCGUCGUCUGUUGAACAUAACAUAAAAUAUAAAUUAAAACAUGCAUAUAAAUUGAAUGCGUAACAUAAGAAUUAAAAUUAAAUAAUACUUACAUGAAGGGACUCGGCCAACUCAUUCCCGGGUCGAACAUAAACGUCACCAAAGACGUCGAUCUCUGGGAACUUGGACCCCUCCUAAAUUGAACAAGAGAAGAAAAAUAUUAGUAUGAAAAAAAUAAAUUAAUAAAAAUGACAUUAAAAAUGAAAUAAAAAUUUUGUGAUUAUUACCCGACGCCGUGCAUCCAUCCUAUACGAAAAGGGUCUGGAGCCGGAAUGGUGGAGAAGGGUCUUCUUCUUCCUAUUACCCUUAUUCACUUGGGCUUUAUUCUGUUAUACAAAAAAUGAAACGUAUUAGUUAAAAUAUAAAAAAUUAAAUAAUAAUGAAAUAAAAAAAUAAAAUAAACAUUAAUAAGUAAUAAGUAAUAAUUAAACAAAUAUAAUUAAAAAAAUACCGCAAAUUCGGGCGCUUGAAAAUGAGCGCAGAGCCACUCCCAACUAUCCUCCCGCCCCUCAAGCUCCUUCGGGCAACCCUCCUGAAGAGCGACUUGCGGAUCAUCAUAGGCCUGAAAAUGGUGGUGCAAGUCGCUCUUCCACUGCUUGUACCUCUCAGCGAAGAGUCUGUUGACGUACGUCAACGACUCUUCGUCGAGAUCCUCCAAGUUAUAGUUCGUCUGCAAUCAAUUAAUUAGAUACGUUAAGUAAUAGAAAUAUACACAAUUUUAAAGAAAAAUAAUGAAAAUGUAAGGUACAUACCGACAACUGGCCGCGAACCUCCGCCUGGAUCUCGUCAGGCAUGACCCUCCAAGACUUCCAUUGCAUCGGGCAAUGGGUCCGCACGACGUGGCCAAUGUCGUGGGCCAAGGAGCUAUGCAACUCCGCCGUCGGUGCAGCCCGAUGUCGCUCGUCGUAUCCGAUGUUGAUACGACUGUUGGUCACCUGGGUGACCUUCGCCGUCUUCAACUGCCGACACGGCCCUCGGGUGUUCCUCUUGGCUGCAAAGAAAGAUGACAUGAAUGUUAAACAAAUAACAAAGUUAACAAUCAAAUACACACACACACACACACACACACACACACACACACACAAAACAAGAAAUAAAAAAUAAAAUUAACUGGAGAAAAAGGAAAGCUAUACCUGGCUGUGACCCCGACGCAUCAGUGGAUGUGGUCUCGGUGGUGCUGCCGAGCCGAUGACGCCGCCUGGCACUAACAGGCUGCGCCACUGAUGACGCGGAUGAGGCAGGCCCCUGGGACCUCGCAGGUGCAACUGCCAAGUGGUCCAUCAGUGCCGGCGCAGUGGCAGGAGAUGCUGGAGCAGUGGCAGCAGAUGUCGGCUGAGUCGGGGGCGCCGUACUCUGCGGGGUCGUCACCGCCCUACGACGUGUAAUCAGGUCUGACAUCUGCACAUUUUCAUUAAUACACAUACAAAUUAAUAAAAUAUACGAAUAUUUGAAAACACAUACAAUUUCAUUCACAUUAUUGACCUAGGGUUUGCGAGUUCGGAGUAUCCGGGACUCCGAUCCACGAUCCGUCGAAUCGUAGACGAUCCAAGAAAUACAAGGUACAACAUACGUGAGUUUGAGUUCGAUCCAACGGUCCGAACAUAACAACCCCGGAAAUCGCACAAUAGGCAAAAUCCAUUCGAGGCGCAAACGGUAACCAAAUUCUAAUCCGAAAACACCUAUGCGCUCGUGACAACUACAGGAAUGCACUAGGACCGAAAUCGGGUUGCUACAGGAACCCACGCGCCGCCCCACGCGCCGGCAGCGCGCGGGUGUCCAAAGCGAUACCAAUCGCCGGAAAAUACUUAAAACUAAGGGGCAAGGUUCCUAUCCUAGGUUCAAAACAUCAAUUGGAGCCACUUUUGUUCUCGGACAUACCCCGAAAAAUGGCCGGAAGUGGCCGGAAUUGAAAAUCAAAAUCCGGCCGAAACUUAGGGUUUCAAAUUAAGUGCCCUAGUGCAACAAAUUCAGAAAUCCUACCCAACCAUCAGCUAAAGCAUUAAAAAUAGGAUAGAAACCAUACCUCAGGUGUCGGAAUUGGUCGCCGGAGGAGGGAGAACACGGCGGAGCCGAUUCGGUGAAAACCGAAGAAUUCGCAGCGGCUGGCUUGACGGCGACGGCGGGGGAGCUCCGGGGUACCACCAACGUAGCGGGCGCGGUCCAAAUCCACCGGGGUAGGAGGCUGAGCUGACGGCGGGGAGAGAGACGGCGGGGAGGAAUUUCAGAAGUCUGGGGAUGAAGGAGGCCAUCGCGUGGUUUCCGAAAUUUUAUUCGUUUUUGCGCGACGAAGCAAAAGUAGCGUCGCGCAAGAAUUUUUAAAUGGCUAUUGCGCGACGAAUAAAAUUAAUGUUCGUCGCGCAAAGUCAUUCAUCCGCCAAAAUUUGGUGAAAGUGUCGUUUUUGCGCUACGAAUAUUCGUAUAUGUCCGUCGCGCAAUGUUGGCAGUCCGCCAAAAUUUGGGAUUUAGGGUUUAGCGGGCGAAUUUUUAUUUUUGCGCGACGCACAAACACAUGUUUCGUCGCGCAAUGUUGGCAGUCCGCCAAAAUUUGGGAUUUAGGGUUUAGCGGGCGAAUUUUUAUUUUUGCGCGACGCACAAACACAUAUUUCGUCGCGCAAUGAUGGCGUCCGCCAAAAUUUGGGAUUUAGGGUUUAGCGGGCGAGUUGGAAUUCUUGCGCGACGUACAAACAGAGCGUCGCGCCUGAAUUUGGUACUAGGGUUUGCGCGACGCAUACAGAGCGUCGCGCAAAACCUCGCAAAAAAAAAAUGACAUGUCUGUCUGUCCAAUGAGACAGGGCUGGCUGAGAUUGCGCGAUGUAAAACUAGCGUCGCGCAAACUCUCCAAAAUGUCAAAGUAUGAAUGAUAUUGCGCGACGACGGAGACAGAUUUCGUCGCGCAAUACCUCGCAAGGAAAUUUCCGCCAAGUGUCCAGGGGGGAAGACAGGCAAAUGUGAAAUGUGAAAUAUUGGCUGAUAUGGCGCGACGAAGGGAGUCUAAUGCGUCGCGCAAGAACCCUAAAAAAAUUUCCACUAAGUGUCCAAGGAGGGACAGAGUAAAAUGUGAAAGUUAUGGUAUGGCGCGACGAACUGAAUUGUAUUCGUCGCGCAAUUCAGGCCUUGUGCGACCAAAUACGUUGUUUCGUCGCGCAAACCCUUUACCCUAAACCCUAAACCCUAAACCGCAGAAACCCUCAACCCGAAACUAGUUUUCAUGAUCCAACCGGCAAACUUUUUUUUUUACACUUCUAGAUCGUAUAUGCCAAAAAUCGACAAAAACAAACUUUAAGAGAUCGAGUCACAUGACGAAACUGAUCGACGGUUGUAAAUGAAAAGUCAUGAUUUAACGGUUAUUUUAGCUCUGAUUUGUAUAAUUUUUUGCAGCUACUUUUCUUUACCCUAUUUGAAUACAAUUAGUGAAUUUGAUCUUCAAUUUCAGAUGUUUACACUAGGGUGAUAUGACAUAAGGUGAUGUUAUAUUUAACGAACGUAUAAGUAAACUAUUUAUUGUUUGUGAAUAUAUGGUUGAUAUGGCAAACGCAUUCUACAAAAGUAGUUUCAGCAAUCCAGCCGUCAAACUCGUUUAUUUGUACUUCGAGAUCUUACACCCCAAAAAUCGAAAAAAUAAAACAUUCAGAGAUCAAGUAACGGGACAAAACUUGUGAACGGUUAUAAAUGAAAACUGAUGAUUUAACGGUUAUUUUAACUCUGAUUUUGAUGAAUUUUUACACCUACACUCCAUGACCCUAUAUGAAUACAAUACUCCAACUCGAUCGUCAAUUUCAAAUAUAUAUGUGUAUAUGUAAUAUAUAUUAUAAAAUGAUAUAUAUUUGCGCGACGAACACAGUUUUAUCGUCGUGCAAACUUUUGCGCGUGACGGAAGACACUUUGUCGCGCAAUGUUUUAACUUCACGCGACUAGUGUAUUUUUGGACGCGCUAACUUUGCACGACGCGGGUUGCUUCGUCGCGCAAAAAUAGCACGACGAGGUCCUUUUCGUCGCGCAAGGGUUUUCUGUUUUGCAAAAUGUUUAUUGUCAAUAGUUUUCAAACUCUAUAUAAAAAUGUUUAUUGAUCAAUGUUUUAUAACAAAUUUUGUAUCAUUUUCAUUUUAAAAAUUUGUUUUGUCAAAAAUAAAAAUAAAAAAUGAUUAUUAAAAGGGUUUGGAUAUAUUGAUUUACCAAUGUUUUAUAACUAAAUUUAUUUGAAUAAAGUGUCAGUUUUCCACAUAUAUAAGGUUUGGAUAUUUGUACUAUAUAUAUUCAAACAUUUGUAUUACACAAAGUCUGUACAGUAACGUAAUAAAAUUACAUCAAAUUUAAUUAUUCAUCAUCUGAACUAUAAUAACUUUCGUUAUCGUCGCUAUCAUCACUUUCGGUCUCCCAAUCCUCCUCCUCCUCGUCUACUAUAAUUACAUCAUCUUCGCUGCUCAUGCCCACUGCAACAUCGAAUCUUGGAAGAUCCCCGAGGUCAAUUGUAAUUGACUGAAUCGGUAUUUCGAUUGAAGACACUCCUUGGAUUUGAAACGGUUCUUGUAUAACAUGUGUAUCUCGAAGUGUUUCCGCAUCAUUUUCCAUUGAUGAUUCUAAACGUUGGUCAGCCACAUUGUCGACGUCGUUGUCAGUUAGGUCUAGUUCUGGUAUAGCAUACACGUUCCUAUGAUCCAUCUUCUGAACAACUUUCCAACUGCUGCCGGCUUUAGGGUCAUCUAGAUACACAAUUUGUGUUGCCAUGUUCGCCAAAAUAUAAGGGUCGUCAUCAUACCAAGUUCUGUUAAUGUUCAUAGAUAGUAAGCCAUGGUCGAUUUUAACACUUCCCGGCCUAUUUGGGUUGCUAUCAAACCAUCGACACUUAAACAUGAUCACUUGGUAUCGAUCUUUGUAAAGCAAAUGAACGACAUUUGUGAGUUUGCCAUAGAAAUCAAUGUUCGUACUUUCGCCUCCACCUGGGACAUGGACACCGCUAUUUUGCGUACACAACUUGUCAUCUCGUGCAGCCCCCAAAAAUUUAACGCCGUUAAUAUAACAACCCGAAAACAAUUCAGCGCGAAUCGGGCCGAAGGCCAAGUUAUAUAACUCAUCACUGUAAGUGGGGGAAUUCGAUGAUUUCAACUUAUUCACCUAAUAUAAUAGAAAAUCAUUCACAUGUUAGUCUGAUAAAAUUAAAUACUACAAUUUAUAUUUGUCAAAUACAAAACACUUAUAACUUACAGAUUCCAAAAACCAUUGUGGAAAUAAUUCACGUUGUUUCUGGGCAACUAAAUGUGAUGGAUAUUCUCGCUUCAUCAUCUCUUCAUGCUCAUCUAAGUAUGCCAUUAUCUCAUCACAAUUGUUCAGUACGAACCAAUGCGCUACUUCCAUGUCAUUUCUAGAAAACGACUCCCCUCGUCCAGGAUCUCCAAAGGGCCGUGCGCUUUGGGCAAAAACAGAAAGUUUUUCCUUUCUCAUACCUCCGUCGUUAUUACGCUGAGGACGAUUGAAAGCCGUCUCCACAUCUUUUAAAUACAUUCCACAGAAAGUAAGCGACUCAUAUUGAACCCAAGCCUCUAUAAUUGAUCCUUCGGGCUUGGCCCUGUUGCGUACACUUUUUUUCAACUCUCCGAGAAGCCUGUCAAAAUAAAAAGAUAUGAUACAAAUUAGCAAGCCUGUGAUAAUGAUGCAUGCACAAAGGAAAAUGAUUAUAUACCUUUCUAUUGGAUACAUCCAGCGAUAGUUGACAGGACCAGCAAGCAAUGCCUCUUCUGGCAAGUGAACCAUCACAUGCAUCAUACUUGUGAAGAAAGCUGGAGGAAAUAUCAUCUCAAACUUGCAUAGGACUUGGACAAUGUCAUGGCGCAACUGAAACAUGUCCGUCCUUCGCAAUGUUUUUGCCGUCAGUUGGGAAAAAAAUCUGGAUAACAAGAUGAUUGGCUUCACCACAUCUUCCGGCAGUAGGUGUCGAAUACCCACAGGAAGUAGGCGUUGCAUAAACACAUGGCAGUCAUGGCUCUUAAGUCCAGUAAAUUUACCCCCAUCGACAUUCACGCAACGUGCGAUAUUAGAAGCAUACCCAUCGGGAAAUUUGACAGACAAUACAAACUUUAGAAACUCUUUUUUGUCAUUCGGUUUCAUAGAGAAGAAUGCAAGAUCCCUUCUAGCUUUAUCACUGUCCCUAUUCAUCCAUAAACCCCUUCGUAUGCCCAUUCUUUCCAAAUCAAGACGAGCUUUGAUCGUGUCCUUCGUCUUUCCCUCGAUAUCUAGAAUCGUGCCCACCAAUGUGUCGAAUACAUUUUCUCAACAUGCAUCACAUCUAGAUUGUGCCUCAAUUUCAGUUUCGACCAAUAUGGGAGCUCAAAAAACAUAGGCUUGUGCGUCCAGUUCAAAUGUGUAGAAGGUCUGGUCCGACUAACUGUUUUUUCCCGAACAGAGCAAAAUCCAAACGGUUCAGCUGUUCCAAGAUCUCAUCACCGGACCAUUCUCUAGGUCUGAGGCGACGCUCUGUGUUCCCGUCGAACUCUUUAUCUUUUUCUCGCCACUCGUGGUCCCAUGGCAACCAUCUCCGAUGACCAAGGUAACAAACUUUUCCCGCGUGCCAACCAGAAGUUACAUCUUCCUUGCAUACAGGACAUGCCAUAUAACCCUUUGUGCUCCACCCAGAAACCAUUGCAUAUGCUGGAAAAUCAUUCACAGUCCACAUAACUGCUGCUCGCAAAGUGAACAUCCUCCCAGUUGCUUUAUCGUACGUGCGAACACCGUUUGUCCAUAAAUCCUUCAGCUCAUCAACCAGAGGCCUUAAGUACACAUCAAUUGACCUGCCAGGAUCCUCAGUUAUCAAAACAGUCAUCAUCAUGUAUUCUUUUUUCAUGCAUUUCCAAGGCGGCAAAUUAUAUGGGAAUGCGAAAAUCGGCCAAGUGCUGUGGUGUUGGUUUAGAACCCCAUACGGAUUGAAUCCGUCAAUGGCAAGUCCCAAUCUAACAUUUCGGGGAUCAGUAGCAAACUCGGGGAACGUUCGAUCGAACUCUUUCCAUGCCUCCCCAUCUGCAGGAUGCCGCAUCACAUCAUCGUCUACCCGUUUUUCCUUAUGCCAUCUCAUGUCUGUGGCAGUAUGCGUCGACAUAUACAAUCGCUGCAACCUAGGUUUAAGGGGCAGAUAACGCAUGACUUUUUGUGGUAUCUUAGUCGUUCUAUUCUGGGAUGUCAUUUUGAACCUCGACUCAUUACAUAUAGGGCAUGUAUCCAACGUUUCAUGCUCUUUGUAGAAUAACAUGCAAUUGUUUUUGCAAGCGUGGAUUUUUUCAUAACCCAAUCCAAGACCGUGCAACACCUUCUGUGCAUGUUUAUGAUCUUUCGGCAAACAAUUGUCCGUCGGAAGCAUUCUCUUGAAAACCCCCAAAAAGUAAUCGAAACACAAGUUCGACAUACGAUACUUUAUUUUUCCGUGCAUUAGCUCCACAAUGGCAGUGAGAACGGAAAAGCUCUCGCACCCCGGGUAUAACUCUUGGUUGGCAUUUUUUAACAGUUUUUCAUACUGUUCAAACUCCGCACUGUCUAUUGGUGUAGGCACGUCAUCUUCCCCUUCCUGAUUGAUGUUGGUCGAUGCGAAUGAAAAAGCAUCCUGUAUAAUACCCAUGACUUGAUCAUUAUGAUCCAUAAUAGGUUCAACAUUGUCCACUCUUGGGGCAUUUGAAGACGAAGCAUGGUCUACUUGUUCGCCGUGAAGAUUCCAAAUGAUAUAUGUUUCAAUCAUUCCAUUCCUUACUAAAUGAAAUCCAACAUUUUCAAUUGUCUCCCACAACGUGUUGUUACACCUCCUACAAGGGCAACGGAUUCUAGUUGCACCCGGAUUGUGUCUACGUGCAAACUCAAUAAAAUCCUCGAUUCCAUCCAAGUAUUCGUCUGCGCAUCUAUUUGGGUUCUGUAUCCACCUUCUGCUCAUAAUUCCUGAAACCACAAUCAUGACACAACAAUCACAACAACUUCAUACGAAGUUAUAAUGUCACCUUAUGCCUCCGGUAAGGGCCCUAUCCCAUUCGGGAAUGCAUAGUCCUGUCACGUAACCUACGGCUACAUGAGAUUAGAUUUCGACGUGGAUUAAUUUCGGCAGCAUCUCGGCACAGUUCUUGAAGUGGGCAUAGGUAUAAAUACCUACGUACCACCCGAAGAACGUACCGAGAUGACACCGAAAUCUCCACAAUCGAAACCUAAUCCUGUAGCCGAAGAUUAUGUGACAACACUAUGCAUUACCAAACUGUCCAAAUAAUGGGACAAUUCAAGAAUUAAUUGGACCGCAGUCAUGCCUUACGCAUCCAUGCACGAAAUCCAACUAAUCUCGAACGGGAAACUACGUGUUACUAAACAUAAAAAUAAAAGUACGAAGUUAAUUUCAAUUAACUUCGUACAUCACAAAUACAUUGUGCUACGUCACGCACAAUUUCACAACAUUAUACACAUAAAACUUGACAAAAAAAUUACAAACUUAACAAACAAACUUUUACAAUAACAUACCUUCUCAAUCGUUCUCCACUAAUCACAGAUAUCCCUAACGAGAACAAAAUUAAUAGCGUUAGUACGAAUUUACAUUAAUACAUUUAAACUAAUGACAAAAAAUACAUAUCCAAUUAACGUACUGAAUUCACAGCAGAGCAGCGGCAGGAGGAGUGAGAGAGAGGAGAGAGAGGCAGAAUGCAAUUUCUGCAUUCUGCCUCUGCAAUGGCAAAUACUAAUAUGAAGAAGAAGGACUUUGCGCGACGAAGAGUAAAUUUCGUCGCGCAAACAGCCGUCGCAAAAGGACACUUUUCCGUCGCACAAAACAACAUUUCCGUCGCGCAAAUACGUGCCGACAUCUGCUUUUUUGCGCGACGAAGAACACUGUUCGUCGCACAAACAUUCGUCGCGCAAAUUAUAUUUUUCGUCGCACAUGGUUUACAUUUCGUCGCGCCUAAUAUUAAUUUCGUCGCGCAAGAGCUCACCGGCAUUCAACUUUUUGCGACGACGAAAAUCCGUCGCGCAAAAAAAAUUUUACCCGCCCUUCAUUUUGGCGCCAAAAAAAAAUAUCCCUCGUUUUCUUACGCGACGGUACAAUUGUUCGUCGCGCUAAGUUGUCUUUCGAGACGACAACUUCUGUCGCGCAAAUUUUUUACCCGCGAAAAAAAAGGGGUCCCUUUUCUGUCCAUCUUUACGCGACGAAUCAUUUAUUCGUUGCGCAAUAUUGGCAUGCGCGACGAUUUUUGUCGUCGCGCAAGAUUUUGGCGCCAAAAAAAAAACCGGGUUUUUUUCUAUUUCCUUUGCGCGACGAAAUUAAUAUAGGUCGCGCAUACACUUUUUGCGCGACGAUUAUUUUUGUCCCGCUAUUUUUCUGUCUUUUUCGUCGCAAUAGUGUUGUUUGCGCGACGAAAACGUCUUCGUCGCGCAAAUAGUAAAUCGUACUAGUGUUCAAACAUAGUUGGUAAACUGAAAUAGUAGAGUUGUACAAAGAAUAAACCUCGGAGAACAGAGCCAGAAGCACAAGGCUGCUUCAAGCUAGAACCACAAGCAAGACGUGCUCCUGUAAAACUGUAAGGAUAAAACAAUUAAUAGCAAACCAUUAAGGAUAUAUAAUAUAACUACUGGACAAGUAUACAGUAAGUUGCAAAUUAUAGAAUGUAGACGCAAUGCUGAAGGAAAAUAUCAUAAUAACGGAAAGGUCAAUUUUUACACAACAUUGGAACCAAAGGAGUUUACGCCAUUUUUUAUUAUAAUAAGUAGGAAUUUAAGCAUUUGAAAAAUAAUAUAUAUACAUCCAAAAUGAUACUCGUGCUUGAUGAAACUAUUAUAAGUGGCAGUCCAGAAGUCAGCCCAGUCCUACACCAACAGUAGGGGUGGGCGAAACCAGACUGAACCAGACCGAACCAGCUAGUUUGGUUAGGAUUUUGACAAAAAUUAAGGUCAUACGGUUCAAAAUCCAGCUCAGUUCAGCUGGUGGUUUCAAUUCCCUCAGGAACGAGAGAACAUAACCGAAUAAUUUCCCACUCUUUUUAUUAAUUCCAUCCGUAUCCCUCCUAUAUAAUCAUCUUUUUCCCCUAGCUCUAGCCACAUAAACCUAUCUCUCCAGUGAAGGAAUUAAACAAAGACAUCCUUCGCAUAACUCCUUUAGCAUGCAGACAAACACAAAACAAGGAUGUAUUUAAAAAUAAUAUAUAUUAUAUGAGUAUGAUAUAUAUAUAUAUAUCCAAUUUUCUAUAACAGGGUUAACCGUAUUUGCGGAUAACCAAGGUCGCCCGGCUAGUGCAUUUUGGUAAACUGGCCGUGCAAAAUCUGGUUAUCCACUAGUGUGGUUAACCAUAUUAUAGAAACACGGAUAUAUAUAAGUAAUCCCCAUUAACUCUCUUACAAUAAGAAUUCGUAAUUAUUGCUGAUGCCAAUACAUCAAUACAAGGGAAUAUAAAAGGAAAUGAGAAUCAGAGUUUAAUGGGAUUUACUUGAAUUUUGGAAUUGUAAAGAAUUGCAUUGGAACUCUUCCGGUUAACUCAUUCGAUGAAAGAUCCCUGCCCAAAAAAAAAAGGAAUUAAUAAAUGGUAAAGAAUUUCACACAGUGUGCAAGCUCAGAUGGGCAUGCAAUUAUAUUUAGGCAAUAAGUCAAACAGCAGGAUUGCGAAAAAAAGGAAUUGCUUACAGUUCAGUCAACCCGCUAAUAUUUGAAAGUGAAUCCGGAAUAUGUCCAGAUAUGUGGUUACCCCUCAAUACCCUGAAGCACAGGUGAGAUGAUUAAAUUUUCUUUUCUGGAGAACAGGAAAGUGUUCACAAGAUAGUACUUUCCAAUAUAAACAGUUGUAGAACACUCAGAUAAGACAACAGCAUAAGUAACUGCUACAGAUCAAGGCAAAUCCCCAAUAAAUACAAGAACAUUUUACAUAUAUAGACGAAUAAGAAAGUUGGAAUAUUUUAGGAAGGGAAAUGCAGCCUUACAAAUGCUUUAAAUUGGACAGUUGACCCCAGGUAUUGGGUAUAGGACCUCUGAAAUUAUUGUUUGCAAGAUUUAGAUUCUGUAGAUGUGUCAUGUUGGCAAGAUAAAUGGGUAACAGGCCUGUUAGACUAUUAUCCUGGAAGUCCCUGCAUAAAUAAAGUUAUUUUAUCAAAAUUCAUGACUGGAUGCAAAAAAAUAUAUUCUUCAGAAUUAAACAAACAAGAACUACAAUAAUGAAGGCAUUGGUAUUAUAUUCCACUUUUUUCUAUGACUCAGGUUGACAGUAUGUAAAGUUACAAUGAUAAAGGGAAAACUUAAAUUCUCCCUCUCUCUCUCCCUCUCUCUCUCUCUCUCUCUCUCUCUCUCUCUCUCUCUCUCUCUCUCGGUACCAGAGCACAUACUAGUGAUCCAAAAUCAGGUUUCAGCCAAUGUUACAUUUUCUGACACCAUCAGCCCAGAAUACUAAUGCAUCAAGAAGUUGACUUACAGGCUAGCCAAAAAUUUCAGUUUAGUAAUCGAAGGAGAAAGCGUUCCAGAAAAUCCAUUAGAUGCCAGGCUCCUGCAAAGUAGUACAUUCACAAACUAAAUGUACUGCAAUGAUAAAUGAUUUUCAAAGAUGGCGAUAUUAAUAAAAUAUAUAUUUUUCAUGAUCAUAAAAUUUAGUUUAACUUACAGGGAUAUGACAUUUCCAUUUCUACAAGAAACAGGGGCUAACGAGAUUAUAAUUCCAAUCUGUUAUUCGGCCACUGGAAUCAUUCAGUGCCCUAAGCAAAUCGAUCAAUGCUUCACCUGCACAUUAUCGUAAGUGAAGAACGAAAUUGUAUGUAGAACCAUAAAUGGCUGGUGAAAAGAACUUUUGUUUAUAUUACAAUUCUAAUAAAUGAAAAAUGAAAAAUUCUUGGACUUAGGUAAGGCAUAACACAGAAACCAUGUGAGUACGGCAGUAGAUAAGGUAGAACACAGAAACCCUGUGAGCACAACAGUAGAUAAGGCAGAAGCAAAGACAAAGGGCAAGGCCACAACAACAACAACGACAAUGACCACAUCAACGGAAAGCAAAGCAAACAAAGACAACAUCAACGGCGGCAACAUCGACCACAACAGAAACACACCAGCAAAGGCAUGAGCAACAAUACUGACACCAUAACAUGCAUGAGCAACAAUACUGGUACCGAACAACAGCAAUACAAGGCACUGGCACCAGCAAGAGUAUUAAGGCAGGGACAUAACAGACAUCAUCAAUAGUAAUCAACAUUGCCCCCAACAAGAGUUAUAAUAGGCAGGAGCAAUAAUACUGUCCCCAACAAAAGACAUAAUAGGGAUAAGCAACGGUACUGGCACUAGCAAAGGACAUAAUAGUCAGCAGCAAUAACAAUGGCAAAUACUUCCAUUAUCGCACAAACAACUUAUCUUCAUUCCCCCUCUCCCCUUGAAGAGAACGAGUCAUCAGAACCAUAAGAGAAGUGGCACUUAAGAAACAGAAGCUGAUUGACGCUCAAAUGUAGAACAAUCAGUCAUGGCAGAUAGGUAGCUAAAUUGCAGUGGAAUAGAUAAGCAGCGAUGUCACUCCCCCUCAAAUCCGACGAUGUAUGAGAGUCGAGAUUUGGAGAAAGCAACACCGAAAAAUAAAGUUGCAUCUAUUUCCCCAUCAAAUCUGACACUGGUAAAGGGUCGAGAUUUGGAAGAAGAUAAAUUGAAAUAAUAGUAAAGAGACUCAAACAUGCCAGUCUCGUGGCAGAAACAAAUGCAAGAGGGGAAGGUGGUAGCAUACGGCUGUCCCAUGUAGAAAAAACUUUAGAAAAAGAGAAUAGUAAGGGAGGAAACCCAACAAAUCAUGAACAGAGACAAAGACAAAGAUAAGGUGCUCAAACAGGAAUUAGAGCAAAGGGCACCGAAAAAAGGAAACCUUUCAUGUGUGGAAUAGGAAUAGAUAGAGUGCCCAUCAAAAGGAAGCAAUAUUAUAUAAGGGAGUUGUGAAAGCGAGAGAUAAUGCAGCGAGAAAACAACAAAAUGGAAAAGGUUGGUAAAAGAAAGAUGAGAAAUAGAGAGGACCUGAAAAGAGUUUGGUUGCAUAGCAGGGGAAACCACAUCCAUAGAUCAAAGAGGAAGAAACUAAAGAUAUUUAAAAAGUAAAGCAUGGGAAAUUGCAUGUGACAAUUUUUAAAAAGAAACUAGUGGAAGAAAGUGAGGUGCUAGAACCGAAAAAAGGAUAGAAUAAUGCUGUGAUUGAAGGAAAAUAAUGACAAAGGAAGGUAUCUGUGAGGAAAUAGACAGACAGAGAAAGGGAUGAAUAUUGGAAAGAGGCCAAAGGUAGAAAGAAAUAAGCAUAAGGGUAAAAAGGAAGGAGAUAGAAAAAUAAAUAAUAAAUACCCAACGGGAAAGGCUAGAGUGACAAAGCUAGAGAGAUGGCAUGGGGAAAGAACACAACAAACACCAGCCAUUGGGCAUAGACAAACAAAAGAGAUAAACAUAAAUAAAAGAGAGCUAAAUAGAGCAAAGAGAGAAACAAAGAAAGGGUGCUCAAAACUGAGAAGCGGAAAGGCAACUCAAGAGAACAGCCGAAGAAGGCAGAGAUCGGCAGAACAGUCAAAGGAAAGGCUCGGUCAUGAGUGGUGACAAGGCUCGCGGAGGAAAGCAACGGCACGGUAAACGGUGACAAGGCUCACGGAGUAAAAAGACCUGUUAUGAAGUUUCAAAGAUAAAGAAGCUGGGACAUCAAGAAAGACCAUCUGGCAUACAAAGAUUAAAAAUAAAAAAAUUUGGAACAAUAGCAAAAAAGCAUGUGAAGGCUAGGUGUGGUGAAAACACAUAUGAGAGGAUUGAUCAAAAGAAGAUGACUAUACAAGAUGAAGACCCAUGAUGGGUUAGGAAUGAGGAGUGUCAACGACUCUCAAUUUGACAGAGGUUAUCACAUGUUAGAAACUAGGCUCUGAUACCAUGUCAAACAAAGUAUGGUAAAUAUUCAAUUAUGCUCAGAUAUGCUCAUAUUUUUAUUCUUCUCCAAUAUGGAGGUAUUUAUACAAGUACAAAGCUGUGUUAACCCUAAAUAAAAUAGGAAAUAUAUCUAAAUUACAAUAGGAAGUAAAUCUCUAUUACAAUAGGACUAAAUAAUAAUUGGUAAGUAACCAAAAUUCUAAUAAAAUAAGGAACCAAAAUCCUAACUAAAUAAGGACUUGCCAACAGCACGACCUUGAUGCACUAUGAGAAUCGAGGCGCUGGCCACAAUGUUGGACGAUGCCAAUGCAUCUCCCAAGGGUCCGAGCUCCGGGCAGUCACCCCACUCGGAUAGCCCGAACGUGAGUGGUGAGGAACCUGUUUGCCCUCUUCCCACGAUAUAAAGAUCAUAGUCAUUUCCCAUGGCGCUUAUCAAUUUGAGAGUUUCUUCUCCAUUGUUCAACACCUCGUGAAUUAAUUUUAUGGAAGGUUGGUUCCUAGUAUUGAGCACAAAGCUCUCUAUAUAUUGGUCGUCUAGUUGUUUCUCCUUCUCAUUUUCCUCUAUCACCUCUAAAAUAUUCUUCUUUUCGUCCUCAUCAUGAUCGUGAUCAUUAUUAUUAGGAUUGUUGGGAGGGAGAUCUGAAUGAACUGCCGCAUCUUUACUGACGAUGAAACGAACCACAGUUAAGCUGAUAUUAGGUUUAGGGUUAGGAUUGCUGGCUAUCCUCCAUGCAUAUGCCAAUGCCUCGCGGUCAUCUGACCCACUAAUGAAGAGCAUGGCACAGCGGCAGCAGCCAUGGCCAUCUUCAUUUUUAAUGUUAGAUGAAUCGGUGAGUCCACGAUCCACGAAGAUGGCCACCGAACAAGAAGCGUUCUCUAGAAGAUUCUUGUUAAUGCCUCUAAAAGAGGGGUUUUCGUUGUCCAUUCCCCCGUAAAUGGUGGAUUGCUUGUGGAAAGGAAUGAUUAUGAGGUCUGCACUCUUGUCGUCCGCAAGGUUGCAAAUGUCCUCAUGCAUGGAGGCGUAAGAGGACACAACAGUUAGUGCCUCCACGAACAAGCUGCUUUCUUCACUUUCGUUCUCAAGUUUUUCAAAGGCAGCGACAAUUUGGUCAGAAGGCGAAGAGUGCUUUUGAUUUUUGGCUGUAAUUUUACUUGUCUUACGAAUAUUGCUGCAUGUGUCGUGGACUAUGAGCAUGGCAGAAGCAUGGCCACUGAGCUCCACCAGAUGGACCGCAAAGACGAACAUCGGGGAUUGUUUGGUGGGAUUGGAAAUCUCCAACAGAUUGAUGACGCUUGAAACAUUGCUUGUUGAAUGGAAGCAAGUAAGGAUUCGAAUCUCUGAGUUGGGUUGUAUGCUUCUUAUGCUUCUGUGCGUGUGCUGCUUAGAUGGCACAUUCGACUUGUAAAUCAAAGCCAAAAUGGGUCCAACCGCGGCCGUCAUUAUCAAAAUUGCAAGCAUCAUUACUGAAAAAGUAUUAUGGUCCAAAACCUGCAUUUAUAUAUAUAUAUAUUUGCCAAUUAAAACAAUAUAAAAUCAGGAAUUUAACACAUGGUUUUAAGAUAUAUAUUUCUUAGAUGUAAUCUAUGUGUACUAUUAUUUAGGAGAACACUUGGUACCAUUGUGUUAAAUUUCGGAGAGACGGGCCAGCGGUCCAUUACCAGCAACACCAAUAUUAUCCCCAACUUGAUUAAUUAAUCAUGGAAUAUUGUGUGUAUGUGGGUGUGGAAGAGGCAGCUGCACAUGCAAUAAUGAAAUAGUUGUACAUAAUGUUGGCGUGGCUUGUGGAUAUUGACUUACUUUCCUUACACACCAAGAAUUCCUAUUAUAAUUGUAAUUGAUUUAUUUUAAUUCCUGAUUUCCUACUGUAAAUGGAUUUAGGAAUUUAUUAUUUACUUGCCCAUUCAGGUUUCGUUGUAUUAUAAAUAUGACAUCCUACAAGGAGAAGAAUACACAGAAAAUUCCCACAAACAAAUAUUCUCUCAUAGUUUUCAUAUUUUAGCAUGGUAUCAGAUUGGCGAUCUUGGAAUUGCUGACUCUAGUUUCAAACCCCCGCCGCCGCUAUGGGGGUUGAUGAUUUUUUCAACCCUCAUGGAGGUAGCACCACCGACUCCUUCUCUCAUUCUCAACCAACCAUCGUUGAGUUGAGUGCCCAGAUGGCUCAGCUCCUACAGAUGCAGACUUUGACCCCGAACCCGAUCCAGAAUCAGGAUCCUCUUUUGACGACCCUGACCCCGACCCCGACUAUGAUGAUGACGACCCCGACCCCGACUCCGAAGACGACCCCGACCCCCACUCUGAUGACAACCCCGACCUCGAAUUUGUCUCUGAUUCAGACCCCGAUACUGAUUUCGACUCCGACUCCGGCCCCGACUUAGGCUCAAAUUCCGAUCCAAAUUCCUACUCAACCUGUAUCCUAUGCAUCUUCCGUUGCACAGAUUAUGACUUCUCGACUAACGACCCCGACACAUGGACCAGAUUGCGCAUAUUGUGGUGAUCCGAGACACACUUGUGAGACUUGUUUUAAAUUGCAUGGCUACCCCGAUUGGUGGGCUGCUUUUACAGAUCGAGGACAAUGCAAUAUGACCAGUAAUGGUACUGGUUAUGGAUUCCAUACUUCCGAUAAGAUUGAUUCCAGGAGCUGGAUAAUUGAUUCUGGUGCAACUGAUCAUAUGACGUUUGAUCCUGAUGAUUUUCUGAAUACUACACAACCUCGACGAACCUGUAUUGCAAAUGCCAAUGGUGUUACUUAUCCUGUGACAGGGGCUGGCACUGUUGCACUUUCAUCCUCUCUCACACUGUCUAAUACUUUACUUAUUCCAUCUUUAUCCACUAAAUUGUUGUCAGUUAGUCAGCUUACUGAACAAUUGAAUUGUUGUGUACUCAUUUACCCGAGUUUUUUGUUUGCUUCAGGAUAUUCACACUAAGGAGAUUCUUGGUCGUGGUACUAAGAGAGGGGGGCUAUAUUAUGUCGAUGACUUCAGUCCCGGCGUGGCUAACAGUGUGACACAUCCCUUUGAUAGCAAACAAAAGCAAAUCUGGUUGUGGCACCGUCGAUUGGGACAUCCGUCUUUUCGAUAUAUGAAGCAUCUUAUACCAGAUUUAUUCUCAGGUUUCAAGGACUUCGACUUCACAUGUGAUACUUGUAUUUUGGCCAUGAGUCACCGUGUGCCCUACCCGUUGAGUACGAACAAGUGUACUACUUCAUUUACCUUAAUUCACUCUGAUGUCUGGGGACCUUCGCCUAUCACUGCUCCUUCUGGUGUUCGAUGGUUUGUCACAUUCAUCGAUGAUUGUACACGGAUGACAUGGCUUUAUUUGUUGAAGAAUAAAAAUGAAGUGUUUUUCCAUUUUCAGUCUUUCCAUAAACAGAUGAAAACUCAGUUUAAUGCUCAAAUCCAGAUUCUUCGCUCAGACAAUGGUGGAGAAUUUGUCAAUCAUGACUUUCAGACUUACUUCCAACAACAUGGAAUUAUCCAUGAGACGACUUGUCCUCAGACACCGCAGCAAAAUGGCAUUGCUGAACGAAAGAAUCGACAUCUUCUUGAAACCGCCCGAGCACUUCUGAUUGGCGCUCAUGUUCCUCGUCAUCACUGGGAUGAUGCUAUUGUCACCGCAGUUCACCUGAUCAACCGCAUGCCUUCUGGUGUAUUGAUCUUUAAAACUCCCUUAUAGGUGCUUGCAGAACACAGACCUCUGCCCUCUGUUUUGGUACUCACACCUCGAAUCUUUGGAUGUGUGGCUUUCGUUCAUCUCCACAAAAAUCAACGUAGCAAACUUGAUCCCUGUGCGCUUCGUUGUGUUUUUGUGGGUUAUGCCACUCAUCAGAAAGGUUACCGCUGUUAUCACCCUCCUACCCAACGAACCUAUGUCACUUUGGAUGUGACCUUUAUGGAAUCUGAGAUGUUCUUCCAUGACCAUCAUCCAAUUCUACGCUUCAGGGGGAGAUACAAAGUGAAGAGCAGAAUUGAAGCAACUUGGAAAACAAAGAAAUUAUUCUCUGUACAGAAAUGAUUGAUCAUCCCGAGUCUGGAGCACGAGAUUACUCUCUGUCGAAAAGCGACCAAUCGCCCAUUCAUAGCGAUCAAUUGCCUAACCCACCUGAUCCAUGCGAAGAUAUUUCUGAUCUAAGUUUCACACCUACAGGCAAUACAAAACAACAAGAUGAAGACCCCCUCUCUAACUCAAUAGUACCAACACACCAAUCUCCUGAGAAUAUCCUUGAGGUAACUACUCCUACUAGACUUGUACAUUUAGAUGAUAAAACUAUUCGAUAUCAAUUACCUUUCAGGCAAAAUCGUGGGAAGCCACCAAACCGUUAUUCACCUGAUAUUGGCAAGACAUCCAAGUAUCCAAUUGCAAAUCAUGUAUCCACUGAGAAGCUGUCUGAACCACUCAAGGCUUUUGUGCAUCAGUUGUCUGCUAUCUAUAUUCCAACAAAGGUCUCUGAAGCAUUGAAAGAUCCUAAGUGGGUCCAAGCUAUAAAAGAGGAGAUGAAAGCUCUUGAGAAAAAUCAAACUUGGACAUUGGAGACUAUACCACGAGGAAAAAAAACUAUCGGAUGUAGAUGGGUGUUUACUAUAAAACACAAUGCAGAUGGAUCUAUCGAGCGAUACAAGGCAAGACUUGUGGCAAAAGGGUACACACAGACCUAUGGUAUAGACUAUGAAGAAACCUUUGCUCCAGUUGCAAAGUUAAACACCGUCAGAGUCUUAUUGUCCUUUGCAGCUAAUUUGGAUUGGCCACUACACCAAUUUGAUGUAAAGAAUGCUUUUCUACAUGGUGAACUCACGGAGGAGGUGUACAUGGACAUUCCUCCUGGAUAUAAUACUUCUCAGAUUGGAACAGUUUGCAGGUUACGAAAAGCAUUGUAUGGAUUGAAACAAUCACCACGUGCAUGGUUUGGACGGUUCACCAUGGCAAUGAAGAACAAUGGUUUCAAACAGUGUAACUCAGAUCAUACUCUGUUCUUGAAACAUCGAAAAGGGAAGGUAACAGCAUUAAUAAUCUAUGUUGAUGAUAUGAUUAUUACUGGGAAUGAUAAACAGGAAAUAUCACAGCUACAAGACUAUCUGGCUACGGAGUUUGAGAUGAAGGAUCUAGGUGGACUCAAGUAUUUCUUGGGAAUUGAGGUGGCUCGAUCACAGCAAGGCAUAUUUCUCUCUCAAAGGAAAUAUGUCUUGGACUUGUUGACAGACACAGGAAUGCUAUAUUGCAAACCUGCGGACACUCCUAUUGUUCAGAAUCAUCAUCUUGGAGAAUAUCCGGAUCAAGUUCCAACUAACAAAGAAAGAUACCAAAGGUUAGUGAGAAGAUUGAUCUAUUUGUCACAUACUCGACCAGACAUUGCUUAUGCAGUGAGCGUUGUUAGUCAAUUUAUGCACUCUCCAAGUGAAGAUCACAUGAAUGCAGUUCUUCGGAUACUUAGAUAUUUGAAGUCUGCACCUGGAAAAGGACAUAUGUUCUCAAAGCAUGGUCAUCUAAAUAUUGAUGGUUAUUCAGAUGCAGAUUGGGCAGGUAAUGUAACAGAUAGAAAAUCCACAUCGGGUUACUUCACAUUCGUGGGAGGUAAUUUGGUGACAUGGAGGAGCAAGAAACAGAAUGUAGUAGCUUUAUCCAGUGCAGAAGCCGAGUUCAGAGGCAUGACUAAAGGCAUUUGUGAACUUCUUUGGUUAAGAAAGUUGCUUACUAAACUUGGGUAUAAACCUACAUCCACAAUGAAUCUCUUUUGUGACAACAAGGCUGCUAUAGCCAUUGCACAGAAUCCGGUUCAGCAUGAACGUACUAAACAUGUUGAGGUGGAUCGACACUUCAUCAAACAGAAGCUUAAGGCUAAAGUGUUUCAGUUUCCUUUUGUGAAAUCCGAGGAUCAAUUGGCGGAUAUUUUGACAAAGGCAAUUUCCAGUAAAGCAUUCCACAAUUCACUAGAUCAGUUGGGUAUUGACGACAUCUAUGCACCAACGUGAGGGGGAGUGUUGGCAUGACUUGUGGAUAUUGACUUACUUUCCUUACACACCAAGAAUUCCUAUUAUAAUUGUAAUUGAUUUAUUUUAAUUCCUGAUUUCCUACUGUAAAUGGAUUUAGGAAUUUAUUAUUUACUUGCCCAUUUAGGUUUCGUUGUAUUAUAAAUAUGACUUCCUACAAUGAGAAGAAUACACAGAAAAUUCCCACAAACAAAUAUUCUCUCAUAAUAUUCAUAUUUUAGCACAUAAUAGUAUAUACAUACAUGUAAGUCCCGCCCAGAAUUGAGGAUUAUUAUAGCGAGCAGGCCUUUGGUGUUCAUGACUAGUCCGAAAGCCAAACUGUCCCUCACCGACAUUUUGUUGAUGAUGGCAGCGACGAAAGUCACAACAAAUUUAGCGAGGAAAGCCAGGGCAACAAUUGACAUGACAAUUAGAAGGCUUGUACUGCGAAAGACAACAACGACAUGCGUUCUCAUCCAAGAAUCAAAAAGAAGAGUGGCAACAAGAUUUUUGACACAAAGUCCUCAACCUUUUCGGUGAUUGCAGUUUUGAGCUCUCCCUUGGGCAAAAUGGCUCCCAACAUGAAGGCCCCAAGAAUGGAGUGUGACCCGAACGCAUCACUAAUGAACCCAAACAGUAGAACCCCGGCCAUGAUAAAGCAUAUUUGGCUGUCCAGGUCGUACUUUUCUUCAAAAAAGCUCGUGUUGCUAACCAUCCACGACAGCGCUGGACGAAGCCCGUAUACACAGAAUAUGAUCAAUGUGAAAGUGGACAACACUGUGUAAAGUUUGCCAUCGCUGAUUGUGGCCACCGUGAUGACAAGAAGAACUGAAGACAUAAGGUCGUUGAUGACGCUUACGGAGAGGGCGGUCCGGCCAACGUCACUGUGCAGUAGCUUGGCAUUGGCAAGUACUCGGGCAAGUUCGGCGAAGUUGGUGGUGGUAAGGGUGAUGCCCCAGAAGAAAGGACCAUAAGUGGUAGCCUUUAGUGGGCGGGAGUUGGGUGUUAGGGUUUUAUGCAGGAGAUAGCCAAGAGGGAGGGGAACCAGAAUUCCAGCAGCGGCAAUGCUCCAAACUUUUUUCUGGCCUGCAAAAUUGGCUUGAAAUCGACCUCUAAGCCCUGGAGGAACAUGUAGUAUAUCAACCCCAAGUUGGCCAUUGUCUCUAUGGUCAAUGUGCUUUUGACUGGAAAUAGGUAUUUGCGAGAGAACUGGGUUUUCUGGACAUAAGAUGGACCCAAAAUUAUGCCACCCUGCAAUGUGCGUGCCAAUGUAUUAUUAUUUGUCUUUGUCAUUAAAAUAUCAAUAUUAUAUUUAUAGAUGUGAUAUUCUCAAUGAAAAUUCGUGUUUCACCAGGUAAUCGUUUGUCUCUCGCUAUAAAAUUCUGAUCAUAAAGCAUAGAGCAUAGAGCAUAGAGAUAUAGAAUAGAAUUACAGCUUACUUACAAUAAUGUAAGCAAUGAUGCGAGGUUGGUGCAAAGGUGCAAGGAGAAGCUUGAGAAGGUGGCAUAUAAACAUAAUGAGACCUAGUUGGGUGAAGAAGAGAGGAAGAGUUGAAAGCAAGGCAUUCUCAGCCUUCCACACCCCAGUCACGUGUGUUAUCGUUUUAUUAUAACAUACCCUCGUAACAUCUGCUUCUACUACCCCGCCAUUGUCUCGUAGCGCAUCAUCCAUUACGUACGAUACUUAUAUUUACAAUUUUCUUUUUAUAAAAGCGUUGUUAAAGAAUUGGAGGAUUCAAACAAAAGACCUCAAAUGCAAAAGAAACUGUCCUUACCUACUUGAGCUACAAACUCUAUUUACAAAUUAGAUAAUAGGAAUUCAAGGUUUCUGUCAGCCCUCCCAAGCUACAUCAGGACGUCUUUCUUUUGCCUUGGAUGAAGUCCAAAUCGCUAGAAACACCACUUCCAUCAAAGACAAAGACAAAGACUAUGACAAUGAAACUAGAAAAGAAAAGUGAUUGUUAUCAGACAACAAAAAUUAAAGAGGAAUGAAUAGAAAUCAAAGUUUCAAUACUGAGGGAUUAAUUAGUUAAUUAGUUGCGCCUAAACUAGCUGUAAACUCUUCUUAAUUUGUUGGCUGUUAGUUCAGUUUGGUUGGCAUCCACGCAUUAUUAGACUUUUAUUUUUAUUUUUGGUGGCAUCCAUAUAUGCAUUAGAAUCUUCUUAUUGAAUUGAAUUGGAUUGGUUGGCUUUUCGAUCUCUUCCAAUUUUCCAUAAAUAAAGUUCUGAUGAAUCUCUACAUGUUUUGUUCUAUCAUAUUGAAUUGGAUUUUCAGCAAUCUUAAUUGCUAACUAAUUAUCACAAUACAACUACAUAGUAUCCUCAGUAGGAAAACGCAGCUCCCCCAUAAGCCUUUUCAACCAUAUAUAGCAGUUCACGAACACCUUUCACCAUAGCCUGAUAUUUGGAAAAUAGUAAGUAAACGCAGGGAGAAGUAAGAAAUUGGAAUCAUUCUAAUAACCAUGUGUAAGUAAACGCAAGAAAAGAAGGAAUUGGAAUGAUUCUGAUGCCUCUUUCUCUGUGUUAAAGUAAGUUUUCUUAAUGUUUUAUUAUUACUAAAAAUAAUUGAAAGAAUGAAAUUUUGAAUAAGAGAUGUGGAUGUCCGACUCAAGCUACCAUAUAAAUUAGUUUACAAAUUAAUGUAUAUAGAAUUGUGGUAUGAGUUAAAGAAAGAGAUAUAAAAUUAUGGUAUAUGAGUUGUAUUAUUGUUGGUGCUUGAUAUGAUAUAAGAACAUGGUAGGCAAGCUUAGUUUGCGCUAGGCACGCCCUCAGUGAGUGAGAAUGAAGGUAUUGAAGAAAGAUUCUGCUACUUUUGAGGAAAGAUUUACGGGACAGGUGUGGUUUCAGUGCGUGUUUGCAGCCAUUACGCUGAUACUGCUGGCGGGGUCGGUGCUUGGGAGGAUGAACUUCAAGGCGUGGAUGAUGUUCGUGCCGCUUUGGCUUACAUUUUCGUACACUGUCGGAGCUUUCAGCUUGUGGGGUGGAGGGUUCUUGUUCCAUUGGGGUGUCAUGGACUAUUCCGGUGGUUAUGUCAUUCAUCUUUCUUCCGGGAUUGCUGUCUUCACUACUGCUUACUGGGUAAAUUAAUUAAAUAAUUAACUACGCUAUUGCUAGUUUUCUUUCUCUCCAUUAGUCAACGUCUACAGGCCUGGUAAUUAUUGAUUAAAUAGUGCAUUAAUUCCUUGUAAUUAUAAAAUAGUGGCUUUAAUUUCUUUCGUUUUCUUCUUGAAUUUAAUAGUGACUAAACUCACACAUACUAUACGGAUGCUAAGACUCGAACUCAGAACCUUUCCAAACCACUGUUACACUAGAAUCAAUAGGAUCGAAUAUAUACAUAUUCCAUAAAGAAUUAAUAGGAUCAAAUUGAUGAGAUUCAAUUACAAGAUUCCCUGAAAAGGUGGAAGAAGAAACAAAAAGUCCUCCCUUAGGUUACUUAAAUUAAAACUGGCUUCUUAAUUAUUCAAAAGUAUCUGUGGAUGAAUCAUGGAUCAUCAGAAUCCUUAGACUUCGCAUCUCAUGCCUUAGACUUCGUGCAUAGUGAUCACAUAUUUUCUAUUCGCAAACUAUCUUUUAGGGUAAAGUCUACUAGGUUGGAAUAUUAUUAUUUUAAUUGGGUUACAAAGUUAUAAUAUUAACGAUGAUGACCUACAAAUAGUUUUAUUUUAUAUGUUGCCCCAUUUUUAAAUACUAUUUUGCCCUAUGUAUAUGGAUCACAAUAUUUAUCAAUAUGUAUAGUUCGGGUUAGGAAACGACAAAAAGUUGAUAUGACUAGGAGCUUAAAGAAUUAAUGAAGCGUGGAUGCAUUAACAGGGGUGGACCAUAUAUAGAUGUGGACAUCAAAAAUAAAAACAAAAACAAAAUUGAAUAUACGAAAUGUGACGGACGUGGUGUUUCAUUUUCAGUUUUUCUAAUAACAUCUUACGGAAAUCAUAUUCUAAAUUACUUCAAGUUAUUCUAACAUACGAAAAGUUAAUAGGUCUAAUUUAGUGGAAAAGAAUAUUAACUUAUAGAUCAGUAGUCUCAUAUUCAAAUCCUCAUAACACCUUGAUAGUGUGUGUGUGUGAAAAACUCCCUCUCUUUUGAAGUUUACAUUACGCUUAUAUUGCAAAAUUAUAUAUAUACAAAAGAGAGUAUUAAUGAGUUAUUAUUGUUUGUUAAUUCAUGAAAAUGAAAUGGUGAUGAUGAAUAGGUAGGACCAAGGGUGAAGAAGGACAGGGAGAGAUUUCCACCAAACAACGUACUUCUGGUGUUAGCAGGAGCCGGGUUGCUGUGGAUGGGAUGGGCAGGUUUCAACGGGGGAGACCCGUACGCGGCAAACACGGACUCAUCCAUGGCCGUCCUCAACACCAACAUCUGCGCCGCCACGAGCUUCUUGGUUUGGACUUGGCUCGAUGUCAUCUUCUUUGAGAAGCCUUCCGUCAUUGGAGCUGUCCAAGGAAUGAUCACUGGCCUCGUCUGCAUUACUCCUGCUGCAGGUACGUAUUACGUAAGUUCUCAAGUUGACUUUUUUCCAGAGUUGAGUAAAGUUGAAUUAUAUGCCUAUGGGUUUAAUCUAGUGAAAAAGGAACUUGAUUUGCAAAACAAUAAGAGUAUAUGUGAGAAAACUCCCCUCCUUUUCAAACCUUGACCCAAAAAAAAACAAAGCAAAGUUGACUUAUAUUUAUCAUCCCAAUUAAUAAAAACAAAAUUAAUAUACUUACUUACUCGUCACAAAACGCAUUGCCUUCCAUUAAUUAAUCCAGAAAAAAUAAGUUUAUUUGACUUUUGACUAUUCAUAUUUACGUUCCCUCACAGACCACGUUCUAGUUCUAUUUGGUAUCCUACUUGGAUUCAAUUUUAUAAACUCAAAAACAAAUUUUGAAGUUUAAAACCACAAAAACUCGUUUGAUAUGCCCCUUUUUAAAAACUCAAACUCAAGAAAAAUUCAAAAGCACCCCUUUAUUAAAAAAAAAAAGAAGAAGAGGUUUUAUAGUUUUUUUCUCUCUCCUCCCUCUCCCUGUCUCUUUCUCUCUCCUUCCACUUCUCUCUCUCUCUCUCUCUCUCUCUCUCUCUCUCUCUCUCCUUUUAUUUUGGAGGUUUCAAUUUGAGAAUUUAGGGUUUCUGAUUUUAAUUUCAAUUUUUUUAGAUCUUAAAAAUAGUUUGGAGUUCAAUACCAAAAAAGUUUUUGAAUCUUAAAAUCACCAUUUGAAAACUCAUAUUUUAAAAAAGAAUCAUAGUUUUUGAAUUUUUUUUUUUUUUUUUUUUUUUGAGUAGGAUACCAAACAAGGCCAAUUUCCUUUAAAAAAAUUCUCAUAUGGUUCUCUAACGUUUUCUCUAAAUAUAUUUGCAUCUCUUUAUAUAUAUUAUUUAGCCAGUUUUUAACAGGAGAGGUGACUCAUGGCAUGUUGUGUUGACCAUGCACAGUCAUUUAAUUAACCAUAUUAACUAGCUAGCUUUUAUUUUACUUUUGUUUGUUCAUAGACUGAUACAAUAUUAUUGUUUAAAUAUGUAAAUUAUUUAGGUCUGGUUCAAGGAUGGGCCGCUAUAGUGAUGGGAGUUAUGUCAGGCAGUGUGCCAUGGUUCACCAUGAUGAUAGUGGACAAGAGGUGGAAACUGCUAUCUGCAGUUGACGACACCCUUGGUGUAGUUCACACCCACGCCGUGGCCGGGUUUCUUGGCGGCGUUUUAACGGGGCUUUUCGCUGAGCCUGAACUAUGUGCACCUAUUUAUCAUUGGAUGGAAUAUUGUGGUCACCUACAUUAUUUGCCUAGUCUUACGGUGUAUAGUUCCGUUGCGCAUGCCGGAGGAACAGUUACUGAUUGGGGAUGACGCAGUGCAUGGAGAAGAGGCAUAUGCAUUGUGGGGUGAUGGGGAGAAGUAUGAUGUUACUAGGCAUGAGCUUUACUCCGACGAUACGUCACACGCUCAAAAAUAUCCAUCCAGUGGUGCCACUCAGGUGGUCUAACUCAAAGUUAUAUAUUAUUUAUGUUAAUAAUCUGUUCCAAAAAGAAAAAAGAAAAAAAAGGCCAAAAAUGAAAAGAGGAAAAAACGAAGUACGAAAAAUAGGUGUUAUUGUCAAUUAUUAUCUUAUUUUCUGGUGAUCUUUUCAAUGUUUUAUGUAAACUGCCUAUUGCCUCCGGUAAUUAUUCAGGGAAAUUUGGAACACCAAACCAUUUUUAACAUGUUUAAGAUUAUUAGCCCCUUUUUUUAAUUUACAAAAUAUAAUCACUAGAGCCCUCUCGAAUAGUGUUACCUUUACUUGAACCCUAGCAUUAGUAUUUGGAUCUUUAUUAGUAACUACAAAGGCUCCAUUUGGUGGAGAGAGACUUUCAUGCAACAGAAAUAACACUUUUUGUUAUCUUCGAUCAAUAGAGCAAUAACAUGCGGGAUAAUUCUUCCACGUGUCAUUGCAUUAUUGACCGAGAAUAGCUAAACAAUGAUAUCCUCGUUACAAGAAAUUUGUUUUUUGCAUUUGGUGGAUGGAUAAAAACACUGGAUUGGAUCCAUAAUCAUACUCCUGUGUUUAGUGGCCCAAGUCCACUUGGAUUGGAUUACUUCUAAAUUCUAUUCCUGUCAAACUCAAUUUUAGUAGGAUUAGGAAUCCCCCCAAAACUAGGGGUGGACAUUCAAACUGGAAAAUUGAAAAACUGAGCCGACAAAAAACUGCAAUUUUGUACAAUUUUAGUUCUGAUUCUUGUUGUGAAAAAGCUUGACUGGGUCAAACCAGACUGACCACGUAUUUUUAAUAUAUAUUUAACCCCAUUACUAAAUUUGUAAGCCUAUAACUAAUCUUUCUCUAAAUCACCUAUAUUUUUUAGGCCCAAUCACCUCCCUUUGCAUUAAAUUAGGUCACUUGUGAAUUUUUAAAAUUCAAAAAAAAAAUAAUUUAAACAAGGGUAUACUAGUGAUUUGCCCCUGAACUUGUACCUAAUUUUCGAUUAAGCCUCUAUCCUUUUUUUUUCGAAAAUUAAGGAUAUGAACUUUUUUUUUCAGCCAAUUUCCCCCCUAUCGUCUAAAUUCUCAACAUUUCAUCCAAUUUUCAGUUAAAUUAUUUUAAAAAAUUACUUUUUUUGAAAAAAUUGAAGAAAAAGAGUAAACCUAAUGCCAACCCCUUCCAUCUCCUCCCUUCCUCCUCCCAUUCUCCCAUGACCACCAUCCUUUACUCCCAGACCAAUCCCCCACCCCCACACCCUUCAAUCCACAGACCCCUCCCUCCUCCUCUCCCUGUUCACCCGUUUUGAUUUCUACUCCUGUGAUGGAAGGGCAAAGUUCCCCAUUGCCUUGAAAACCAUUGACUGGUCAACAAGCCAACUUUCUUUGGUGUGCGAGCGUGCCACUAAUAGCAAUGAAAAAUCCUAGCAGACUUCUUUGAAACAGAUAACUUGCGCCCCAAGUUACUAAUUUGUAAACAAACGAUUAUGAAUUUGGGGGAAGAAUAUCUCCCAAGUAAGUUCUUUUCCUGCCUCAGGCUGGUGAGGACUUCAUAAUUUAUCACAGUAUAAAAUUGGUAGUUCUGGCCAGAAUAGAUGAUAAUAAAGUGGACUGUUUUAGGCAGAACUGCCUUUUACAAAUUUAAGAAGGAAAAACCAACUCUAAAAAGACAAAAAGAUGGCUGGAAUCCCAUUUCUGCCUGGGUAGAAACUUCUAAUCCAGGACGGACUGAGCUGUUAACAACUUCUACUGCUUAGCUUUAGCUGUAAAUCGAUACCAAGGUUCAAUUUUGGCAGAGCUUUAAUAUACUUCAAGCCUUGGGAGGCUUUUGAACAGGCAGAACUGCGGUUUCUUUAGUCUGAAGGGGUAGAAAUGGCUGGACUUGAGGAUUUAAUGAGCUGGAACUGCACUGUAAAAUUUGUUGAGGUUUUCAUAUUUGUGAAAACUUAAACUCUGCUUGGGCUUUUGCUGAACCAAAUUUGUAACGAGAGGAGUCUCGUAUUGGAUGACUUAUUUCUCUGAGUUUGAACUUGGAAGUUCUGAUCUACGGCUGGCUUCUUUUGUGGUUCAAAUGAGCCUUUGGUUGCCCCAAUUUGUUUUGAAGGUUCUCAGUGAUCAAGUGAUCAUUUUGAGUUUUUUUUUUGCCUUUGGUUGAUGUUUUUUUUAUUUUUUAUUUUGAUCGUCUUUUGAUUGUCUAACUUUUCCUAUAUUUAUAAGAAAUGCUUUGAAGUAGGGUUUCUUUCUUUUAAUAAUGGGUGGCAAAAAUUCUCAAAAAGAUCUUUCAUUUUUCUAUACAAAGAAGAAGAAGUUUUUAUCAAUUGCUGGCAGAUAGGCUUUCGAUAGUCAGUUCUUUUUAAGACCAAUCACUUCUCUGUUUUUUUGAAAGAGAACCUAACCCCUCUUUAAUUCCAACUGCCCCUUUGUGAGAGCUCAAACCGUGAUGUUCAGUUUGCUUUUCCAGUUUGAACAACUCCUUGUUUUCCUGCUUAUCUUUUUUUGGGAAAUUUAGCCUGCGUAUCCCUUGAAAGAUGGUGCUUUCUUUGGAGUAGAAACAAUAUCUCUGAAUAUAUAAAAGGGUUUUGAUCUUUGUGGUGGUAGAGAUUUCAGAGACAUCCUUUCUUUCUGCCUCCCUCUGUCAACUCUCUUAUCAACCUAGUUGAUUUUGUUUGACUUUUCUAAGUCAGAGAAAAACAAUCACGUGGGUCUGUUUUCUUUUGAGUUUCUACUUUUUACUUUGAUCAUGCCAAGCCCAAUUUAGUUUCUUCGAAACCCAAGCUUGAGAUAGGUUCUAGGCCGGGCUUUUGUUGGAUUUUGGACCUUUGGUUCAUGUUUAUUCUCAGAGUCCAGACUUCUCGGGUCCAGCAUUGUUGUCUUUGUUAUUCUGGGCUUUGUAGCGUUUGGGCUGGGUGCGCAAGAUUUUGGCCCAAACAAUCCCUUUUUGUUCUUUCAACCACACACUCAUCACCACCAUCCCCAACAGACCUUCCGCCGUCGCCGCCUCUCUCUCUCUCUCUCUCUCUCUCUCUCUCCACACACACACUCCCUCAAUUUCCCACCCCAUCUGUUAAUUUCAAUAUCUCCACACUCGAAAAGCUCACAGUCGAUCCAAGCCUUUCAAUGCCUCCCAUCUCAAGCUUUUUCCAAAUUCACACAAAACCCAUCAACCAAAACAUCAAAAAAUUCAAUCUUAAACACUUGGAUUUGGAAAAAAGAUCAAAAUCAAAUAAAAUCUAAUAGAAUUUAAAUCCAUGCCACCGGAUAGCAUUUGGGGUGGGAGGUUGUGGGGAAGGAGAAAAAAGAGAAGGGACGGUUGGGGUGGGGUGGAAGGGCCAUUGGAAGUUAUAUGGAGAGAGGGAGCGUAGAGGGGCCAGAAAAAAUAGAUGGAGAGGGUAGGGGUGAGGGAGAGAGUGAUUGGUUGGAUGGGCCUCUCUCUUAUUAAAAUAUUUUUUCUUUCAUUUUAUAUUUCAUAUUAUUGUAUUUGUGUAUUUAAUUAUUUUAACAUAUAAAAUGACCAUUUUGCCCUCAUAUUUAAUGGCAAAUUGGAUGAAAAGAAGUUCAUAUCCUUAAUUUUCUAUAUAAAAAAAAUAAAAAAAUAAAAAAAAAACAAGACAGGGGGUCAAUUGAAACCAAAGUACAAGUUCUGGGGGCAAAUCACUAGUAUACCCCAAAAACAAAAAUUUCAAUCCCAAUUAUGGGCAAAUUAGACCGCAUUGGAAUGAAUGAAUUUUUUUUUUUUUAUCAAAACCAAACCAAAUCAGACAAAUAAAUAGUGCUAGUUCCGGUUUGGGGUAAGAACCAGAUCGUGCUUACCCCUAACGAAAACUAAGGGAUAAACUCGGAUAUGCUACGAUCGAGUGCAACCCAACCCCGACAGAUUAGGUUGCAGUCGUCUCCUCCAAUCUUCAUCCCCAACAUUGAGCCUCCAUCACCUCGACGAUAACUCAGCCAUCUCCGACAAACUUGAGCAAUUUCUGGCAAAACCCAACCAUCUCCUGCCCAAACCAUUUCAUCACUGAUCAUAUUUCUCCUAUGAACUUCUUCAUCAUAAGUGAUCAUUUCAUCACUGAGAUUCUCAACAUCUUGUGUUUUUGUUAGAUUGUAUGUGAGUUUUGAUUAUUAAAUUCUUUGACAAUAUUUGAGUAGUUUAUAGGUUAGGAUAAAGCUUGAAUUCACCGGAAAAUUUUCAUUUUUUCUAUAAAUAUUUGACAUACAAUAUGGGAUUUUUUUUCAUUUUCUCUUUUACAUUUCCUGGGUUUUUGUAAUGUUUGAAAUCUAUGUGUGUCUGGGACUGCAAUUGGGUAUAUUCUUUGAAGGCCCAAUUUUGUCUUUUACAAAUUUACAACUGCUAUUAAAUUUCUAAUAUCCAUUUAAGCAAUUAACGGAGCGGAGAUGAUAAAAUUUGUUUAAAUUUAUAUUGAUUAUGAUUAUUUAUAAAUUUAUAUAGAUUAUGGUUAUUUAUAGUUUAUUUUUUGGAUUUAUAAUUGGGAUAUUUGUAGAAAUGUCACCUGAAAUUCUACCUUAGUUUCAAUUUGUUAACUGAAAUUUUUUUUUAAGAGAAAUGUCACCUGAAUUUUUCAAAAUCUAUCAUUUGUCACUUGACUUUAACAUCAUCCAAUUUUCCAUCUAUUUUGAAGGGUAAUUUAGUCUUUUUAUUUUCAAUGGUAUUUUAAAAAUAGAAAAUUCAUUAUAAAAAAAAAAUUAUAUAUCUUUUAAAUAAUUAAAAAUAAAAAGAAAAAAUUGUGAAAAAAAACUUCUCUCUUCUCCCUCUUUAUCUUCCACACCCACCAUCACUACUCUAUUUAAAUACAAUUUAAAAUAAAUAAAUAAAUAAGAGUUAACUUAAUAAAUAAAUAAUUUUUUUUAGAACAUAAAAAUCAAAAAUCAAAAGAAUGAAUGACACCACCUCCAAUCCUCCAAUCCCAACCGCCAGCCACCAUUGUUCUCUCUUCUCUUUCUCCCCAACAACAACCCACCACCCCAACUCUGAUCCAUCUCACCCCUUAAUAUAUAUCUCUCUCUUCCUCUCACAAGAACAAACCCUGCCCCACCAUCCCUAGUUGCUCACCCUAGAUUUUCCAACCCAUCUCCACCCCAAUCUCUGCCCAUUCGAGGGUCACCCUACUUCUCUGUCUCCAUCUCUCCCAUUUGGCCAUGCCCAUCCUUCCCACCUCUCCGUUGCUGGGUCCUUCCUUCCCCCGACAACCCCCUUCCUUUUUUCAAGUUUUUUUCCUUUCACUAAUUAUUUAUUUAUUUAUUUAUUUUUUGUCUGAUCAGUUUUUAAAAUUUGCCAAUAUGUUAAAAAUGGAAAACUUAGGUUUUUACAUUUAACCCCCCAUCCAUUUUUACAUUUAAGCUUUUUUUUUUUUAAAUAACAAUUUUUUUCAUUUUAAAAAUACCCUUGAAAAUGCAAAAACUAAAAUACACUUCAAAAUAGAUGGAAAAUUGGAUGAUGUUAGAGUCAGAUGACAAAUUUUAGAUUUUGAAAAAUUAAGGUGACAUUUCUCUUAAAUUUAUUUCUCAUGUGACAAAUUGAAACUAAGGUAUAAGUUCAGGUGACAUUUCUACAAAUAUCUCUUUAUAAUUUUUAUGAUUUUUAUUUUAUGAGAAUUUGACUUUUUAUCUCCAGGUAUUGGAAAAUUACUGUUUUUAUUUAUUUUAUUACAAAAUUGUUAUUUUUUAUGUAGAAAAGUUCAAAAUUAAAAUGGCAUGUUUAACUUAAUCCAGUUUGACACCAAACAUAGGAUUUGAUUGGUGUUAUCCACUCCAAUCCAAUGCAAUUCAAUCCUACUUCAUAAUCCAAUUCAAUUCCGGUCCCCAAACAGACUAAAAGAUUCAAAAGAACUACACAAUUAAACCUUAUUAAUUCCCUUCAAGUAGUGCUUGAACCUUACUUGAAUCUCUUAAUUAGUACCAAUGUUUACAAAGAGGGAUUCAAUUAAUCUGUAAAUAGACAUCAGUUGAAUCCAAAGUCAAAUUCAAAAGAUAUUUAACCCCAAUUUAUAGACCUUAACUAUGUACAAAUGGUUCAGCCCUAAGGAAAGAGAGAAAAUCCUAAGGAACCCCUUGGGGUCAGUGGCCUCCCUCCCUCCCCUCUCCACUAGUUCUUCCCUACUCUCCUAUCCUCCCCUCCCCUCCCCUCUCCUCUCAUCUCCUUACAUCCCUAUUCCCCUCGAUACUUCUUUGUUUUUGUUUUUGUUUUUUUUUUUUUGGUGGUGUGAAAUCAACUGUUGUGAAAUGAUGUAGUCGUCAUGAUAGUUGUCAUCUUUCAACCCACGUACAUGAGAAUUUGGCUCCAUUUGUCAUCCUUCAACAUGGUUUAGAGCCACAAGAUGGGAAAAAUGUCGGGCUGCAUCGCGUUUGGGUUUAACCGGUGAAGCUGUGGCUUUCUGUCGGCUGUUGAGGAUGUGGAGCGAUGGCCUUGCUUCUUAAUUUGUUUUUGUCUAAUAAUUUCCAUGAAUCCAUGAACUGUAUAGCAAUUUGGUGUGUGUGUGUGUGUGUGUGUGUGUUUAUUUAUUUAUGUUUAGGAGGUUUUAUUUCUUUUUAGCUUUUACGGAUCUCUCAUUUUUGCUGAUGCGCAGCGAAUUUGUAUUAGAGGUUCGAGUAGGUGUGCUUUUGGUUGCUGAGUCAGGGAUUAUAGUAAUUUUGUGGAGAAGAUUCGUGUUGUUGUUGCAUUUAGUCACUGGAGAAGAUUUACCAAUAUUCAGAACCAUAAUUGCUUUGUACUUUUUUCAUAAAAAAAAUUAUUAUCGAAUAUUCAGAAGGCAUUUAAUUCCCUUUUUCUUGAACCGUUGGUCAUCUAUGUUGCACGGGUAUGUUGAUAUGAUACGAUAAGAUUCAUCGAUAAGGCAAAAUUCCAAAAAACUAGGAUAGGGGUACAACAUCGAUACGGUGAUUAAAAUAAUAUAUAUUUAAAAAUAAUAUAAAUAGAAAAAAUUAAUAUUACAUCCAUCAUGUCAUAAUCAUCCAUCAGAAGUGCAAAACAUAAAACUAAACACAAAAUACAAGUCUCCAUAAACAAAACACAAAAUACAAGUCUUCAUAGGAUUGUUCAAAUCAUAAAAAAAUAUAUAUAUAAAAAGCAAUACAAAAACAAAAUUUCUAACUUCAUUCAUCAUUGUCAUCAUAGGUAAAUAUGAUUGCUUCUAAUUCCUUCUUCCUAUUUCUUCUUCUUUUAUAGUUAUUCUCUCCCAAAUAAAAUGAAGACCUAGCUUCUAGCUUAAGAACACACACCAAAUCAAAGUUACUCAAGGCAAACAAAACUCACCUUCUAGAGGAACAGAAAAACUGGGAACUGAUACACAAUAAAAUAAGAGAAAGCCAAAUUCACCGGUUCCUCAAGAGUACAUUUUACAAAUUAAUGACACAAAGGGAGUUUUGCAAAUGAUCAAUACACCAGUAGAUUAGUUAAAUAUAAGGUGCUUACAAAACAAAAAAAUCAGGAAUCGAUUAAAUACAUAGUUGGUCAUUAAGGUCUACAAGAAUCGAUUAAAUGUCUUUCCAAUGAUAAAGUUUUUUUCUAGUUUUUGGAAAUACUUAAUAGUGUUGUUUUUGCAGCCAAGUUAUUUUAGUUAUGUGAGACAAAUUGUAUAGAAAAGUGAGAAGUAGAGAAAGACAAUAGAAAUUGUUCUUAAAAGUAUCUUUUGUGCUUCAUAAAGCACCUGUACUGCUAAUUACCAUAAUAAGUGUAUAGGUUACAAAACAUAGAAAUUGUGGAGAUUAUAAACUUCUGUAAAAGAAAACGACACGAUUUUAAUUAGCGUGUUUAUGUUUUUUUUUUUUCUUUAAAGAAACUAUUUUCUAACCUUAAAAAGAUCCAAAUAUACCACUAAAAGUAGGUUUUUUAUUUGGGGAGAAUAGAUGCUUUAUUAAAAAUAGAGUAAUGCUACACUUAUCACAUUUUUAUCCCACAUUUCUAUACCGCAUGAUGUGGCAUACCCAUAUUAUAUGCCACAUCAAUUAAAUCAAUGAAGUGUAUUUUAAUUAAGACAAUUAGAAAAACAAAUACUAGAAUAAAUCAUAAAAGAAAAGAAAAUAUUAAAUAAUUUUAAUUGAUGUGGUUGUGUACCUCAGCUGUUACAUAAGAUGGUAUAAAGAUGUGAUAUACAAAUGUGGUAAGAGUAGCAAUAUUCUUAAAGAUAAUAAGCACCAUAAGAGUUUAUAAAAGAUAGCACUAAAAGUAACCAAUACUAUUCAAAACCCGAACAUUAAAGACAUAAACAAAUGCAUAAAAAAUUAAUACUAGCUUACUAAUAUUACUAUUAUUACUAUAGCCCCUUCACUCACGCCAGAGGAUGAGGAGAUGGAAAUCCUGAAUCAUUAGGAACUCAAAGAAGCCAAUAAUUUAUUGGGCAAUUUCCAAGACCAUGGCCAAGCACAAAAAAUGAGACCAAUGCUGCAGGAAAGAAACAAAUGGAUAUUGGACCAAAGGCUUGUUGCACUAAUAAGUUCCAUAUCCAAGAGACCAAUGGGCCUCGUGAAGUAUAUUUAGAGCAAAGUUACAUGGGAGCUUCUAUAGUGAGUGGGAAGUUAUAAGGGGUGUUUUUGAGGGGUAUGUAAGAGCCGUUGGAUUUCAUCCAACGGUGAGUUUUUAAAAGAGGGUGCAUGUAGAAUCGGGUUGAAAUCUAACCCGUUAGAAACCCAACUUCAGUUGUUCCCCUCUUUCCCUCUCUGUGAAAAACUAAAGAACACAAUCCUUUCUUUUUGAAUGUAAAGCAAACCCACAAUUAGAAGGAUCCAAAUCUCCCAAACCUUAUAGUCACUCCACUGUCAUUAGCUCGUUGGGAGGCCUGCGAUCUAUGGUAUCCUGGGUAUUACGAAGAAUGGCUCUUACCUAGCUGUUGCCCUGUUUUGAUUCUAUGGCUCAAGUGAAAACCCCUUCUCUUUUUCAUUCAGCUGACAAGAUUCCAGAUGAAAGCAAAGUAGCAUAUCUGUUUUUGUAGCUAGAAGCCGCAGCAGCAGUUGUUCCUUGAUUUUGGUAGAGAUGGAGUCUCAAAUACCAAAGAGUCUUCUGUAAUGUCCACCACAUUGUUUCAAGCUGACUGACUUCAGAGCUCCCGAUUGAUUUUGAGAGGUAAGUUCACUUGCUGGAUUGAUUUUAUUGGGUUAGGUUUAUUUUUUGUGAGGGUGGGAAAUUCGUCAUUUGUGGCAUCAAUAAUGUGUCAUUUCCUUAUGAAUAUUCAAUAUACUUAGUUCAUUGUUGUUGGUCGGGGUGGAAAAUUAUGAAAUGUAGGUAAAAGAACCUAAACUUAGGCUUAAUGACAUUAGGAGUAAGCAGUUGGAGAGGAUAUUGGGUGAAGUUCUGUAAUUGGUGGUUUGAAUUACAUUUGUGUUCUUAGUUGAACAUGUUGGUUCUAAUGUUAUUUUGACCAGAUUAUUUCCCAAGAGAUGACGUAACUUGUAUGAAAUUUUGCUUGUGUUUUGUGUAAUCGGAAGUUAGGCUAUGCGUAUUUUGUGUCAAUUUGGGCAAUGUUUUGUGUAAGUGGAAUGCAUUGAUAUGUUGUGAUGCAGUAAUGACUGAUUAAUGAAUGAAUAAUUGCUAUGCAGUAAUAUAGAAGUGGAUCAAUAAUAUACGUAGAUAAAAUGUCUGGGGGCUCAGAGAGUGAUGAAUGUGCAACAGCUAAUGGGAGGGUUUAUAUUCCUGAAGUAAGAAAUGAGGAAACACCAGCAGUUGGGAUGAAGUUUGACUCGCUUGACCUCGUUUACAAUUUCUAUAAUAGAUAUGCAUUCUUGGCUGGUUUUGGUAUUCGACUUCAUUCUAGCUUUUGGGGGAAAAAUAAGAAAGAGAUUUUGAGGAAAGAAUUUGUAUGUUGCAAACAAGGUGCAUACAGGAAGGAUGAAACUCGGGAGAGAAAAAGACAACGGGGAAUAAGUAGAUGCAAUUGCAAAGCAAAGAUUGUGGUUGUGAAGAGAAAUGGGAGCAAGAAGUAUACCAUUUCUCUUUUUGCAGAGGGACACAAUCAUAAGAUGACACCCUCAGAAAGAAUGCAUUUAUUGAGAUCACACCGUCAUAUUUCAGAUUCUACAAAAGUACUCACAAAACAGUUGGGUUCAGUUAAUAUUCCCAUUCAUCAGAAGGUAAGUAUUUUCGAGGUGCAAUCCGGAGGAAUGGAUAAAAUCGGUUUUAUCAAAAAAGAUAUCUACAAUCUUGAAUGUAGUGUGAAUGGGAAGCUGAGGAACCACGAUGUUGAACUAGUGACCGAGUAUUUUAUGGCUGAACAGAAAAAAAAUGAGGCUUUUUAUUUCAAGAUUGAGGGAGAUGGGCACGACAGGUUUAGUCGAUGUUUUUGGGCAGAUGCAACUUCUAGACGGGCGUAUGGGUUUUUUGGAGAUGUUGUUGUAUUCGAUACCACAUUCAACACGAAUCGAUACGACUUGACAUUUGCACCAAUGUUGGGAGUUAAUAACCAUGGUCAGACAAUUGUGUUAGCAUGCGCAUUUUUGAGCAAGGAAACGACUGAGUCGUUUGUUUGGAUGUUUGAGGAGUUUAAGAAAGCCAUGCCAGGUGGGGAACCUAAAACGAUCAUUACAGAUCAAGAUGCGGCAAUGGCCAUAGCGAUUUCAAUAGCCUUCCCGAGUACAUUUCAUCGACUUUGCAUAUGGCACAUCACAUCAAAGUUCUCUGUUAAGUUACCACGUGACGCUUAUAAGGAGUAUUGGCCUGAAUUUCAGAAAACCAUAUGGGAUACUGACAAUAAGGAUGAGUUUGAUGCAAAAUGGAAUAUUGUGGUUACAAAGGCUGGUUUGACUGACCAUCCAUGGCUAAGUUCAAUGUUUGAUUUAAGGGAAUCUUGGGUUCCAGCCUACGCACGACAAUUUUUUGCCGCUGGAAUGUCAAGCAGCCAAAGAGCGGAAGGUUCUCAUGGUUUUUUCAAGCAAUACAUAUCAAGGAGAAAUUCGUUGAUGGAUUUCAUAAUACGAUUUGAGAGGGCACUUUCUCAUCAACGUGAAAAAGAGUUAGUUGCUGAUCACGUAGAUGCAUUUGAAGUGGCUCAAUGUCUUCUACCGAUGCCAAUGAACAAACAAAUGGCUACCUUGUACACAAGGACAAUGUUUCAAAAGUUUGAGCAAGAACUAAUACAAAGUACAGCAUGUUUCCUAGAGCUCAAAACAGAGGAUGCUUGUAAAGUUGUGUUCAACGUGAGCGAAAGGAAAAAUUGGGAAACAAGGGUGGCAGAAGUCGUAUAUGUCAAAGAUUCUGACCACGCAUCGUGUAGCUGCAAAAGAUUUGAAUUUGUUGGAAUUAUUUGCAAGCACAUCCUAGCAUUGUUCAGAAGGGACCAGAUUGAAUAUAUGCCCGAUAAAUAUAUUUUGAAGAGGUGGAAGAAAACUGCGAAAUGUGGAUUGGUGUCAGAUGCAAAUGGCAACGAAAUUAAAGACUGUGCAGAUCCUGGCCUUCUAAUAAAGCGGAGUACAAUGUCUCGACUUGCUUCAGAUGUGGUUGAGGAUGCAUUAAUGAGUGAAGAAGGAUGUGAGCUACUGUCAGAGACUCUAAAAAGUUUGCAGGUGAAGUUGAAGUUGCUGAAGGAUGGACCAAGUAAUAACGAAGUUGGAGGGUCCAGCUCUCAAACACAAUAUAUGAAAGACCCUAAGAGAGUGAGGUGCAAAGGAAGGUCGAAAGGAGUAACGGGAGCAAAGGAAAAGGCAAUGAAGCGAGGGAUUAGACACUGUCGGGAGUGUGGACACAUUGGUCAUGAUAGAAGACAAUGCCCAGCCUUGAACACACCGUAAGAUGCUAACACUAUUUGUAAUAACAUCUAAAAUAUGAAAAGGUAAAAUUUUUAUGUGCUUGUGUUUGAUGUUUAUGCAGGACAUCACCGUCGAACAAUGACGAAUCAACUCCAAUACAUCGUAGUGACCCAUUAUUCGACGAUUUUGACAGGAUGCACAGACCAACUGAAUGAUUGAUAUUUGUAUUAGACGAAAUGUGGUUGUUAUCAAGAUUAAUGAUCAAGCGAAGUUUUAUAGAUUCAGUUUUUGAAUGUUAUUGUGUUUUUGUUCAUGUCCACCGAUGAGCUCUUACUAUGUCCACUGGUAAUUGAAAUGAAAAUUUGCUUGGUUUCAUUCUUCCAAGACAUUUGGAGACAUGUUCAUUUUACGUCUUCUCCCUAUUUAUAAAUUUUCAUAGACAUUUGAUCAAGUAUGAAAUUUGUAGUUAUGUGAAGAAGCAAUGACUCUUACCAUGUUAAAUGGGCAGUUUAGGGUGAAAUUUGUUUUAACAGAGAUUCAUUUUUCAAAUCCUCAGGGUAAUGCAGCAAUUACAGCAGCCAGCUGUUGUUUCCAUUACCAGUAAUCAUUUCCAGCAGCAGCCACUUUUUCCGACUGGUUAUUAGGGGCACGAUUUUGUACACUUUUGUAAGUGAAGGAUACUCGAAGCACUUUGUUGGAACAGAGCAAAUAGAAACCAGCGGGUAAAAAAAAAACAUAACAUUGCAGCUAAUUACAUUUCGAUACAUAGGUGAAAAAUAUUAAAGGGUACACUAACUUACAUAAAUACUCAUAAUUCCACACACAAAAGAACAUUUGAUUGCAAAACAUAUUAUGUGCUUCCUCAUAGCAAUACCACGAUCUCCCCAACCAACUGAACAACGGUAGCCACAAUCACUGGGUCGUACUCGUCAGCUUCUUCUUAGCAGGUCUCACAUGCUUAUGGCCACUCAUAUCCCUAGUGAUAUACACGAAAUAAAUCUUCAGCAAUAUUUGGAAUUUUAUUAUAUAUAAAUAAACCAUAAACCAUUCAGUAAACAAUGUAUAGCACAUGUUAUGUAACUUAUGACUCACGUGUCAGUUUUUUUUUUAACACAUUAGUACUCCAGCUCUUUAAUGUAAAUGGACAUGAUAAGGAGCAUUUACUGAUUCCCGGCUUUCUGUGAUAUUGACUGCUUCUUGAAUAAUAUUUCCAUAUUUGCAAAAUAUAAUGUUAGACAUUAUAACACAUGAUGACUUGCAAUACAUAGUCCCAAUAAUUAUAUAUGAAGCAAAUGAAACUGAUAUUUGUGUUAUUUUAAGUUAGAUAAUGACAUUAAGGGAGUAUAUGUGCAAUACCACGGUCACCCUCAACCAACUGAACAGCGGUAGCCGCAAUCACUUAGUCGUAUCGGUCGGCUUCUUCCGAGCAGCUUUGACGUGCUUAUGCUCAUUCAUGUCACCCCCAUCGUCUAGUAUCUCUCUCACAGCAUCAGGGGACACAUAGUUCCAAUCAUAACUUGUAUGAGUAGUUGCCGCAAAUGCUCGGAAUUUGUCGAAUCCUUCGUUGAAUGCCAACUCCAGUUCAGUAUGGUGCUCUUCGCAUCGCAUAUGGUUCAUCAAACAACCUUUGAUUUCAUCAUUCAUUACUGUAUCCAACUCCUCAGCUUUCAGCUUCUUGCUAUGACUCAGCUUCAAGUACUUGUUCUUUUGGGAUAACGCUUUGUUCACCCUAAUGUUAAGAUCAGCCAAAAUUGCCUCGUCUUCAACACAUUUCUCGUGCCAUGAAUUGAUCAGUCUGGAAUUAUAAUCCAGCUUGCCACUGACUGCAUGUAUUGCCUGUAAUGGAUCAUCGGAGUCCCCCUCACUCCCAAAUGAUGUUGAAAAAGGAAGGGGUCGGCGAGUACAAUGUGGAAAUAGAACCUACGACUCCAAUUUCUCAUGUUCGAUUGUGUUGUUGGCGCCUGAAGAGGUUGACAUGCUUGAAUAAUCCUCUUUGUUUUGGGAGGAUGAGGAUUGCAUAUGCAAUUUCGUUUGAGAAAGGGAACAUAGGUUUAUAGACCAACAUACCAAAGCUUGUGUGUAGUCAACAUAUGUACUUUUUGGCGGGAAUUUUUUAAAAAUAGGUGUCAGGUUUUGCUUUUCAAGCAUGUCAACCUCACACUCUCCUGACACCACUGAUAGUGGUUGAAACAAAGUCAAUGGAAGUGACAUCUACUUAGUUAACUCAACCAAACUAGUUAGGAUUAAACUUAGAUUGUAUCAGACCAAAAAAUAAUUUCUACUUUGUCAACCAAAUAUUUUUUGGCGGGAACCCUUUUCUUGGUAUUACUAUCACCCCUUUCAUAUAAAGGGAACCCUUUUCUUGGUAUUACUAUCACCGAAUCUGUCUCCAUCUACCGAUACUCUCUCAAGCAAACAAACUCAUUCCCCCCAAAGAAUGAGCAUAAGCACAACCAAGUUUGAUGUGAGCAUAAUAAACACCCCUCCAAACAAAGACCGGCUUCGACACGCAAGUGAGUCACCAGACAAGCAAUGUCACAUUGCUAGACAGAAUGACCAUUUUGUUGGAAGUUUUGAGUCUGAAAGAGUUGUUGCUUUUUGGAAGGACAGGCAUCUUCAACUUGGUGAUGAAAUCCAAAGGGCAAGGGCACGGUUGGAAUUUGUGGAAGGCCAAAUUGAAGAUGACAAAAGGCAGGCCAAUCUGGAUAGGGCGAAGUUGCAGCGCAUGAAGCGUAGACACAAACGACUUCGGAGUGUAGCUCUUCAAAAAUACAAGAACUCAUCUAAUGCAGUGGAGUCAAAGAAGCGUGUGAUGCAAGCUGGAUUCGACUACUUCCGAUCCUAUGCAAAACUCGUCGUACCCGGGUUUGAUUGGUCAUCUAUUACCGUUUCCGACGUCACCAAAUAUACUCAGCAAGGGAAGUAACCAUUUUGGUUCUCGUGUUUGAGCAGAGGCAAAUAAGUGGAAUUGGAAUUUUCGUUACACUCUGCUUCAAAGCUAUUUUGAUGCUAACUACUAUGGAAGAUUUAAACCUUAAUAUUUUGAUGUCUUUAAUUACGAAAACAGAAGAUGCAAAGAGCCCAUCUACUUAAGUCAUAUGUUGCUGCCAUGUCCAUUUGUUUUUUAUCACGUAUCAGAUUUGGACAUGGUUGCAUCAUAUGCAAUGUUGCCUUUAUUUAUUAUAUGUUAGGACAAGGUUUAUGGAAAAGCUUUUGUGAGUGCGUUUGUGACAAGGUUAUGGAAUUAUUAUGUACACUUUAUAUAUUGUUUUUUGUACUGGUUCAUUUCCUACUAUUUCUUGCUUUCUUUAUAUUUUAUGUUUGUGGAAUCCCUCUCAAAGUUAACAUAUACUGUGAAAAAAAUAUUAUGCAACUGAUUAUAUAAUCACUCAUAUAGACUAGGACAAAUAUUCACUAAGGGUUUUAAAAUUGCUUCACUUGUGUGAGGUUAUUGAGAAAAAGUAUGGCAUUAUUUAUGUGAUUGACAUGAUUGAAAAUAUAUUACUGAUUCCCAAUGAGGCGUCAUAUGGACAACUUAUUGAAUACCUGUAACGUGUUAAUAACUCUAGGUGCAGUUGCAUGUGGAUAACUUAUUGAAUACCUCUGACGUGUUGAAAACUGUAGGUGCAGUUGCAUGUGGACAACUUAUUGAAUACGAACUGACGUCUUGAAAGCUAUAGGCGUAGUUGCAAUGAUGGCUUCAAAGCAUGUGCAAUUAUUAUUUAUGUACAUUAUUAUAACAAAACAUAUUAUUGUAUAUAGUGAAACUAAAUAUUGUAUUAUUAGAAAUUAUAUUUCGAAUAUUAUCCGAAAUAUACGUGUUAACGUGAAUUUGGGUUAAGAGGAAAGUGAGUUAUGUAUAAAUAAUUUUCAUUUUCUCAUUUUCUGGGCAUUUUUUGGAUUUUCGUACAAUUUAUUACCUAUGUCCACAGAUUGUUGCACUAAAAAAGCCAAAAUAAUAGCAAGAGGACACCUGGCGCGAUCUCAGCCCGUCACUGAUGACUACUUGCACAAGUGUACGUCAGUCAACAUGGCCACACCCUCCCAUUUUACCCUAAAUUAUUAUUUUAUUACUUUUCCUUACAAAAAUCAGAACUAAUUACACACAAAAAAAAAAAAUUAUCCGAAAAUUGCUACGAACUCAUUGACACUCCAUCUCCGUUGCUGAAUUCUCCGAUUCAUUGUUACGCAUUUUUAAAAUUAAUUCCGAACAUUAACGGGGGAUGCUUGUUGAAGUAGGUUAUUCAAGUUGAAGUUAACAAACAUCAAUACUUAGGGUUAAGAGGAAAGUGAGUUAUGUAACACAAUUUGGAUUAUUUCAUUGCGAGACGAAUGAUUUAUAGGUUCUCCUAGUUUUAUGACGUCACAAGUAGGCCGGAGUAAUUUUGGGGGCAUUUUUACGAUUUUCCUACUAUUUUUUACCUAGUUUCAAAGAUUUUUGAACAAAAGAAUCCAAAAUGUAAAAGAAGAUGACACCUGGCGCGAUCUCAGCCCGUCACUUUUCACUACUUGCACAAGUGUACGUCAGUCAACAUGGCCACAUCCUCCCAUUUUACCCUAAAUGAUUAUUUUAUUACCUUUUUUCUUGAAAAAUUCAUAACUAAAUACACAAAAAUUCAAAAUUAUUUCCGAAAAUUGCUACGAACUCAUUGACACUCCAUCUCCGUUGCUGAAUUCUCCGAUUCAUUGUUACGCAUUUGUAAAAUUAAUUCCCAACAUUAACGGGAGAUGCUUGUUGAAGUAGGUUAUUCAAGUUGAAGUUAACAAACAUCAAUACUUAGGGUUAAGAGGAAAGUGAGUUAUGUAACACAAUUUGGAUUAUUUCAUUGCGAGACGAAUGAUUUAUAGGUUCUCCUACUUUUAUGACGUCACAAGUAGGCCGGAGUAAUUUUUGGGGCAUUUUUACGAUUUUCCUACUAUUUCUUACCUAGUUUCAAAGAUUUUUGAACAAAAGAAUCCAAAAUUAACAAGAAUAUGACACCUGGCGCGAUCUCAGCCAGUCACUUUUGACUACUUGCACAAGUGUACGUUACCGAACAUGGCCACAUCCUCCCAUUUUACCCUAAAUUAUUAUUUUAUUACCUUUUUUCUUGGAAAAUUCAUAACUAAAUACACAAAAAUUAGAAAAACGAUCUGAAAAUUUCUACGAACUUAUUGCGAUUUCAUCUUCCUACUGCAUUCCCUGUUUAAUGGUUAUGCUACAUUAGUAUUUUAUUAUUAUUUAUCCACAAUUAUUAUAAUUAUUAUGAUAUUACUUUUUAGGCUGUCCAUUUGUUAAUUAUAUUUAGUCCAACUUGUUGAAAACAAUUUUAUUUUCCGUGCGAAUAGGCCAUUUGUAGUGCUCAUCGGUUUCUCUGUUCUUCAAUUUGUUAAUUUUUUUAUUUUUUAGGUUGAAGGGAUGUUUUGAAACAUAAUAUGGAAAUAUACAAGUCAUCCAUUGUACUCCUUCCACACAAAACAAUAGUCUACGUCAUUCACUGUUCAACCCCCUAGGUUAAGAAACGUGUAACCAAAUCCUUUUGGAUAUGCUAAGUGGGAAAAUGUCAUUCCCAAGCACUGGUGAAAAGACACCUAUUUACUCCAUGCAUGACUUUUCGUUUACCAAAUAUGAAGAUUGGGGUCGGUGAGCAAAAUAUCUGUGUCAGUAAAAUGUCAUUCCUAGCCGUCUAUGAUGUAAGUAAUCAUUCCGCUAUAUAAUAAAUAUUAUACAUUUAUAUAUAAAACGGUUUAUGACAAAAUACCAACAUUUGAACAACAUUUAAACUGAGCUAGGUAUAACGUAGCCAGCCAACCUAGAAGUGAAGAGAAGCAAGUCCACAAUGCAUCAAAACCGUAAAUUCGUACUAAAACUAAUGCAAAAAUACGUGAUUCCCUCGCACAACAUACUCACGCAGGAUUUUGCACCAAAAAAUACUCUCACGGUGCCAUUUGCAUCGGUUGCAACAAGUCCACAACGCAGGAUUUAUCUUGUCUUCACUAGGCCAGCCUGGAAUAACAAAAUACCAUUCAUUGUUGUUACAAGCGCUGCACCAAUUGAACUGAAUCUUCCCAUAGUCAAACAUAUCUACGAUAUGUCUUGCAACAAAUGCUCCGCGACAUCUUCCUGUCAAAGCAUCCCUGGUUCCUUUCAUAUCAAUGUUGUUACGUUGAUUCAAAGAACACAAGAAUUGUAAUGCAUCCUCUUUUGACUGACCAAUUCCGGACAUACCAAGUAGUCCAACUACAUAUGCCGCUUCCAUAUGGCCUGCCGUGGCUGCAAUGCGCAUCCCAUACAACGCUUCCACCUUACCGUGCCUGAAAAAACCUUGGAAUGCUUCUCUAAAUAUGGACUCAGGGUUAUCGCAAGCCCUGCAUUGUUGCAAGAAAUGCUGGACCGCAGGUCUGGCACGGUACCAGAUAGGAUGGUAUGGGUACUUUGCCAUUGAAAUGGUGUUCCACACUUGUGGACUGUUUGCCAAAGUUUGGAACAAUGGGCACACAGAUGCCAUACGGAAGAGAUCUUCCGAUGAUUCGGUUGCCACGUAUAACAUCACUUGAAACCAAGCGGACUCCGGGAUGAAGGCUUGGGGCAUAUCGAAAUGGAGAUGCUUCCUUCUCUUUCCUCCAACUGUAGUGAAGUGUUUCGAAUUCAUUGAAAAGUUUUUGGAAUGGAACGAUUUGAGGAGUGGCAGAGGGGAUAAAUGAGAAUAUUUUGGGUACACGUUUUGUUUUAGCCUCUGUUUAUAGUGUUUUGAAAAGGUGUUUGCAGUUGGGGUUUUUCCAAGUUGACCCUUUUUCAAGAAACUGAACCCAAGUGAAUUAAAACUGAACACAAAAGAAGGGAAAACGUCAUAACGGUGCAUACAGAGUCAGACAGUCAAAAAGUUCAUUAAAUGGCUAUUUGCAUAGCCAUUUGUGGGAUUAUCCCAGUAUCAAAUUCAUUGAUACAAAUGUGAUGGAUUACUGAGUAGUGACAGAAGGUCCCAUCAUAUACUUUUUCAUUUUCCCACACCCAACUACCCCUAGUAAUGUUAUUGAAAUGGAACCAAUAAUGACGGAUUCUUAUCCAACUAGUUGCCUUAAUGAAAUAUAUAUAAAAUAAUAAAUUUGAAGCAGUGUCCCCUCAUUUUUCCAAAAAUAUAUUUGGUAGUGAAGUAGUUUAUAUUGCUUUUCGGGCUAAAAGAUGUCGCAAUGCCGACGGUACAGGUGUCGACAUCGUGACCAACCCACCAAAUGAUCCCAAGAAAAAGAAAUAUAACUCGAUUUGGGCAGAGAUGAGAGAGAGCUGAGUGACAAGUUUAGGGUUAUGAGUGAAGGGGUAUGAAUGACAACUAUGAGUGAGAAGGUAUGAGUCCGAAGAGGUUUCAGUGAGAAGAUCUGAGUGAGAAGAGGUACAACUGAGAAGAUUCAACAUGUCUUCGUCUUCAUCUCCCGCUCAAACAAAGAGGUGUCAGUAUUGUGGAGCUACAAUGGUGCUUCGGGUUUCAAAAUCUGACAAAAAUCGAGGGAAGCCAUUCUGGAAGUGUCUAACCUCCUAUGUAAGUUUUAAUUUCAAUAAUAUGUAUGUGGGUCAAAAUAAACCCAUGUCUAACUCUGACAGAAUUAUAUUCCAUAUAUGAUGCCUGCAAUUAGGGAGCCACCAGUUGCAAUGGAUUCGAAUGGGUUGAUGUAACCUCCGCUGAAGCAGAACAUCAAGAUGACACGUAUGAUGCUAGAGUGCUGAACAUGCUGAAGUCCAUAAAGGACUUGGUAUUAGUUUUAUUAGUGUAUCAAUGUCAUUUAUUUGUUCUUUUAAUGAUCAUUUAACUGCACGGUUUAAAAGAUUGUGAAAGUUCUCCCGCACAACACAUGUUGCACGCACCACCAAUGAGACCAUUUUACCCAUUUUGUAAUAUUUGGUAACUGCAUGUAUUUCGCAUGUUAUAGAAACGAUAUUGAAUGUUUCUUGAAGGUUUAUUGAAGGUUUAUUGAUAGUUUGCUGCAUGUAUAUGGAAUAUCAUUGCCCCGAAAUUGGAUGUUUAUUGGGGCCACAGGUAUCACUCAAGUAAGAAUGAAGGGGGGAAACGGACCUUAUUCUUUCUUUUAGUAGGAAGAACAACUGUUAAGUUUAAUAUCCUAUUCAAUACGACUUCCCUAUGGUUGGUAUACUUGGGGACUGAAGUAGAUUGCAUCAUUAUUGUGGGCAAGGGCAUGUCUAUUGUGUGUGUUAAGGGAGUAUUGUGUGUAUAUUGCAUGUCUAUUGUGUGUAUAUUGCAUGUUUACUGUGUGUAUAUUGCAUGUCUAUUCUCUGUAUAUGGCAGGCCAAUUUUGUGUAUAUUGUAUGUCUGUUGUGUGUGUAUUGCUUGUCGGUGCGUUUGUGAAUUCUUGUUCAUUUUGUGUAUAUUGUCUAUGUUUCUACUUUUAUACUACUGAGCUGCCGAAAACCUUUCGCAUGUUUAGACACCUAUUAUGAUGCAACACAUUGCGAUUAAUGGUGGCUUGCAUCAACAAUGACAUAUCACUUUGCAAUGAUGUAAUACACUUAAAAAGCCAUCUUCAAAUCCCAAUUUACAUAUGCAGUCUUAAAAUUCCAAUUCAAUGCAGUUUGGUUAACAAACAUGUAAACGUCAUGAAGGAGUUAGCGGUAGAAUUCGAUAAGGACCCGUACGUCUCUAUUGUGUAUUUACAUUAGUUUGAGAAUGGACAUUCCCAAAACCUUCUCAUGUACCAUUUGUCAUCUUCAACCAAUAUCAUGGGAAGUAAGCAUCUCCCCUUGUUAUCUCCGCAGCCAAUUUCAACCGAAAAAAAGGCAUGUUGUGCGAGGUGCAAGUAGCUAACGGAAGCUUAGCGCUGAAAAGCUCAAUGUACUUUAACACAAACAUGCCACAAUCGCCUCUGAAGCAAAACAAGAACUCGAUCAAUUAAACUAAUGACAUUCUAACGUAAUUGACAAUUGAAAGUAAUAAAAUUAAAUUGCAAGUUGUGCUUACUCAUUAGACUGUUGUGGAACAUCCACACGCUCUAUUGGCCACGGACACCACCAAUCUCGGCUGCAAUUGUUUGCAUAAACACCUUCUUCAUAAAAGUCGAUGGUGUUGAGAAGAUUUGGAAGCGUAAUUGAUAGCGGGCCGAGUUCUUCCUUUACGAUGUCAUCUGGAAUUAGUGAAACCUUUGAAUCGUACACUUUGAUUUCACACAAUACCAGAUCAAUCAUUACAGCCACCCAAUGCUUGUACUUCGUCAACAUAAAUGGGGUAUACACCUUAUAGACGGUCUGCCAAUCCAACCCACACGGAGGAACCUUCCCAUUUACAACGUUUAGUAAACUUUUUCUGAUUUUCCACCCAAGCUGCUGUUUUUUUCUUUUAUUAUCCGCAAAGCAAGUACGAAUGUGAUUCUGUGAAAUACAAAACAAUCAAUGGUUAAACACCUCCACUAGUGUGUGUAUGGAAAAUGUGUAAUUAUUAACGGCACUUGGUCAAGGCCGAUGACAUACCAUAAAAAAAACAUCGGUCGUUGUCCAGUCCGCUACUUCUAUCGAAUCUGUCUCCAAUUGUUGUUGUCGUUUCCGGAUGAGAUACAACCCCAAAUCAAUGUGCUGCAACAUGUUUUUCUUGUCAAUCUCAUAAUGUAUGUACAUUAAAACAAAUGCAUAAUCAAUUACACUUACAUCUCCUUUCAGCCAACCAUCAGCUUUCACGAGGGAAGCGAAGAAUUCAAUCUCAGCUUCCACGUUGCCAAAUUGCAUCACCAAACUAUGAAUAUAAAACAGUUUUAGAACACUGUAUAUAAAAAAUUAUAUACAGUCAUGCUUCUAUCUUAUAAUUGCAAGGGACUUACUUUGGGUCAUGGCGCCAUUCCCAACAAAGUUUCAGCAAUUUCACCAGAUCAUCAUGCGGAAUCGCCUUCAUUGGGUCUAACAUCUUCAGUCCGGUUGUCUGUGCCCCAGUUUUUGGAACCAAUUCACUGCCUUCAACGAUCUUCCACAAAGGAAUGAUCCUCUUCCUUUUCCGUAAUUGGACCCCUUGUGCCAGAGCUUUACCUUUAUCAUUCAACCACACGUUCAACUGAGAUAGCACAGCUGUAGGUUCAUCCAAAUCAAUGUCCCCGACAGUAAACUCAAGCAGUGUCCCCUCCGUGCUCUCGCCAGUGUCACCCCCAAGCAACAUAACUUCAUUAUCUUCUUUCUCACAUUCGUUUCUUUGCACUUCCUUUUCCUCACUUCUUUGUGUUUUCACUUCCUUGCCCUCCCUUUUUUUCCUUUGCAAUUUCUCUCCCUUACUGCUUUUUCUUUUCACUUCCUCUCCCUCACUCCCCCGUCUUUGGGCUUCCUCUCCUUUGCUACUUUUUACUUGCACUUGCUCUCCUUCACUUCUUUUCCUUUGCCCUUCAUCUACCUCACUUGGUUUUCCUUGCACUUCACCCCCUUCAAUCCCCUCCUCUUCCUUUUCCUCUCCCUCAUUCCCUCCUCUUCCUUUUCCUCUCCCUCAUUUCUAUUACUUGGCCCUUCACCCCCUUCAAUCCCCUCCUCUUCCUUUUCAUCUCCCUCAUUUCUAUUACUUGGCCCUUCACCCCCUUUAAUCCCUUCAUCUUCCUUUUCCUCUCCCUCAUUUCUGUUACUUGGCCCUUCAUCCCAUUGAAUGUCAUCCAAUUCCCGAUAUCCCCUAAAUAGAUGUGAGACGACACAACGCUUCGUCCUCUGUUUCAGUAAAGCUAGGUCCCUCCUUACUUCCUGCUCAAACUGAGGACCUAAACAUUGGUCCAACAGUUUUUCCAUCCGUAUGACCUUUAAGUGAAGGACGUCUUUUUCCCGCUUUACUUGAAACAACUCGGACCUCAACAAGCUUACCACCUUGUUCAACUGAUCAAGAUCACCACAUGAAGAAGGAAUUGACUCUGCCGAGACAACAGCAGGGCGAUCCUGUGGCCAACUCCAAUAUGGCUGUCUCAUUUCCUCUUCACUCGGACAUAGCGCCCGCAACUGAACUGACUGUUUCAGAAUACAAACCACAGUCAUAUUAAAUCAUUCAACUUCAAAAUUUCAUUCAAUCUUAUCAAUAGUUCUAAGGGCUGCAAAACAAACCUGUUUGCUCUGGAAAAAAUAAUUGUUCAACUUUCUCAUCUCUGGAACAGACGUAGUAGUUCUCCAUCGCAAAAUACGCGGGACAGCGGUCGGAUCAACAACCUUGCAGUAAUUCAGGUCCACCAUUCUAGGAAUUAAUUCAUAUACCCAAAUCUACACAAUUCACAGGACAAAAGUCAUUAUUUAUGUUUUAAAUAAAAACAAAACAUAACUCACAUGAACAUUAUUACCAUGUACCUGGAAAGCAUACGUGAAACCUUUAAAACUCCAGCCACUCCUUUGCGCUUCACCACGCUUAUCCUUCCUGCCCUUCUCAUUUAUCCGGCUUGUUCCCGUUACCUUACUUUUCCCCUUCCCUCUUCCCUCUUCAUUUUGCAAGCUUUUCACAUACUUUGUUGGUGCAGAAAAUAGACUGUCUUGGGUUUUGUCAAAGGACACCGAACCCCACGGAUACCUGUUGAACGCAUCCAAGUCCUCUACAAGGGUCAGGUAAUUUAGAUUGAUGUUCAAAUGUUUGUCCCUUCCCAAAACCACUAACUCAGCAAAGUAAACAAGAGCUAGCUUGUAGAUGUCAUCUUCCUCUGUGCACCUCAUAAAUGCUUCUUCUAAAGCAUUGCAUGUAAUUCCUUCGUCUAUAAAAUAUCUUUUCUGAAGUCUGCUUACAUCACUCCCUCCACUGGAAACUUCAGGCACUUCCCCAAAACGAAGCCCUGUGAUCAAACAGAAAUCCUGACGACUGAACUGAGCAACGUCACACCCUAAUAAGAAACUCAGUCCAUCCAAGUCUUUCACACCCUGCCCCGCUACUCUACGCAACACAGCCCCAUGCACAAUCUGCCCGCUAAACUGAAUCUUAUCUAUAUUCAGAAGAUGGCCAAAGCAUGAUGUCUUGAAUUGUUCUAAUUGUUCCGCACUCAACUUCACUCGAAUUGCAGCUAGAGAUGAAUUUGCAUGUGAGCAGUUGUUCACCCGUGACGAAUAUGCCUCUGCCUCUGGCCAUACCAGCUCCACGUUGGAUCCCAUUUCCUGAAAUACAAUGUGAAAUAACGUGAACACAUAUACUACCACGUAUUUGCACAAUCACAACUAGUCAACCAGGCACAUUACAAAUUUUACAAAGUACAUGAGCAUACGGAUUACUGAUCACAAGCUUUAACAUCAUCAAAGCAAUAUGACAAAAUUUGUGCAAAUACCUGUUAAUGCAAUGAUUAUGUGAAUUACAAACAAUUUCACGUGUUUUAUUUAUGGAUCCAUACUCGUGUGAGUGCAAUGUAGGCACGUUCUGCACUUCACACACAUGACAAUUAUUGUCAUCUCAUACACAACACAAAAUAAAUAAAUAAGAAAUAUAGUGGAAGGAAGCAAAGCAAAGCAUCUACUCUGCUAUCUGCUUGCUAAGCAAUUGCCACAUCCUUCUUUCUUUCUAGCUUUUUCUUCAGUCACCCACAAUCGUCAUAGAUCAACCUUCAUUUCAAAUGCUUUGCACUUUUAUUCAUGAGUUUAUUAUUAUCUGUUCUCAUUUCUCAUAGGCAAAUUUAGUAACAAAUGAAAUCAUAUUUAUUUCACAAAAUAUAUAAAUUCUAGUGCCAGAGCGGUACUGUUCACUCUGCACUGCUUCAAAUGUGGAAGGUUUUGAGCGCCUCCUCCAAUUUAACACCAUUAUCUUAUUCAUAUCAUUACUGACAUGUUAUUGACAUGUUAUUGAGAUGUUAUUGACAUGUGAUUGACUCUAUUUUCAUUCGUUUUUUAACAUAUACCCAAGCAAAAAUUAACAUGCAAUUGAAGCACAAAUAAGAGAUGCCAAAUCCAACAACAUUGAUGGUACAAAUUGGGGAAAACAUUACUCUAACCCUAAACUCAAAUUCCUUAAAUUACUCAUCAAUUGCUUUGCACUUCUAUUCGUGAGUUUAUUAUUAUCUGUUCAAAUGUUUGUCAGGCAAAUUUAGUAACAAACGAAAUCAUAUUUACUUCAUAAAAUAUAUAUAUAUAUAUAUUCUACCGCCUCUUCUUCAUCUGCACUAUGCACUGCUUCAAAUGUGGAAGGUUUUGAAGGCCUCCUCCAAUUCAACACCAUUAUCUUAUUCAUAUCAUUAUUGACAUGUUAUUCACUUGUUAUUGACUUGAUUUUCAUUCUUUUUUUAACAUAUACCUAAGCAAAAAUUAACAUGCAACUCAAGCACAACGAAGAGAUGCCAAAUCCAACAAAAUUUAUGCUACAAAUUGGGGAAAACCAUUACUCUAACCCUAAACUCAAAUUUCAUAAAUUACUCACCAAAUGCUGGUUAUUGCAAGGGGUCUGUGUCGGGUCUUUCUGUUUCUUUGCUCCACAAAUGGAACUUACCACUUCCAACGAUUACAGCUUCUCCCCUUCCCCUUCCACUGCUUCACCCCUUCACUGAUUUGGAAUCCACACCUUUGCCCCUUCUACUCCAAAUAAAUACUUUUUCAGGGUCUGGAGAACGGAAUGGCGAAUCGUUGCCUUCAACUGUCGUUAGCCGUUGCCUUCAUUGGGUAUCUCAGACCUCUGGGUUUUAGAGAGAUGAGUUCUUUCUGUUCAAACUUCGAACUUGCCUCUUCUUCUUCUUUUUCGGACGUGUUUCCCUCUUCUUCUUCUUUUUGGACGUGCUGGAUAUUCAAUUCGGGUUUCGGUUCCUCACCUACCCAACUGUGAAACUUUAUCUCAAUUCUCCCCAGCCCUUGGAUUGAUCUGAUGGCUAUAAAGUGAAUCCCUUAUAACUUACCCCUUAUAACUUUCCACUCAUUGUAGUCUCGGCGAAGUUACAUUAAGGGAAGACAUUGCAUUUGCUCUGCAUUCGCUUCAAUAGCUUUGAGAUUGCCAACGAAUUGUUCAACUUCUUUCUUCACGUUCAAAACAAAUUACCUCUUCUUCUAUGAAUUAGUUAUUGAAGGCAAGGUUAACGAUAUUAACGACUUUUCUAGCUUAAGAACACACACCAAAUCAAAGUUACUCAAGGCAAACAAAACACAUCUUCUAAAGGAACAGAAAAACUGGGAACUGAUACACAAUAAAAUAAGAGAAAGCCAAACCCAAAUUCACCAGUUCCUCAAGAGUACAUUUUACAAAUUAAUGACACAAAGGGAGUUUUGCAAAUGAUCAAUACACCAGUAGAUUAGUUAAAUAUAAGGUGCUUACAAAACAAAAAAAUCAGGGCAAUCAUCAAGCUCAGUGGACCUUCCAAAUUCACCAUGUCUCUGUCAAGGCAGUGAUGAAAAUAAUCAAAAUUUCUGUUAUUGGAACUUCCGUAGGCUGACACUUGAUGAUUUACAUCACUCUAAUUGCUUCAAUAGGGUCCCUGAAAUGAUGACACAUACAUAGUUGAUCAAUUAAUUUGCUUCUAGCAAUCAUUUCUCAAUUCGGGAAUUAAAUUUUUUGAGAAACAACUAAAACAUGCAGAUUAAACAAAACAACAAACCACGUGUAAAUUAAUUUAGGGAGAUUCACUAAAUUAGGCAGAUCAAAGUACCUUUCAUACUCAUUUGAAAAAUCCUCUUCAUAGAAAAAUCAUGAUAUCAUAAAUGCAAACAAUUACUUACAGUUUUAGCGAGUCACCAUCUCAAGAUCAUUGUUGGAGUUCAAUUACCCGGAGGAAAUGCGGAUGUUUGGGAUCUUAGCAGAAAUCUUGGCCCGCUCUCCACUGCCUUCUUCGUAAUGCUCUGCAAGUCUCCGACAUUUGGUGAUGUCAAGAGUCCGCAGUGGUGUUUUGAAGAUGAAGUCUGGCAGUGCUUUUAGCAAUUCGCAGUCGCCAAUUCUUAACUCAGAAAGGCAUGGCAUGAUUGUAAUUUCAGAAUCUUCUUUGGUCCACUCUUCCACGCCUUCCCACUCUUCCCAAUUCGACAUGUGGUAAAAGUGGAGUCGUUUCAAUUUUGGGAAUAAUCUGAUUCUGAAUGAGGUUUGAUGUUCUAAUCUCAAAAAUUCAACACCGACCUUUUUCAUUCCUUCGAUACCGAAUAUGGCCAGUCUUUCAAGGCAUUCCAAUUUCCCAAGAGGCCAAAAUUCACACAGUGUCCCCCAAGCAACAGUAAGGAAUCUCAAAUUGUGUAAAGACUGAAUCCAAUUGGGCCACGUGGUGCCAUUAUGUUCCAAAAUCUCUAAAGAUUCCAAAUCUGGGUGCGGUCGUAAGGCAUUCAGUAUUUCUACACUACUACUACUACUACUGUUUGUCCGCCCUGCAAAAUUAACACGGAGAUUAAAUAGCUUUUUGUCCCACAAUUGUGCUUUCUCAACCUCGCUCUUAUCUGUCGCAUCCCCCCCAAGUUGUAUUUCCAGACUUCCCUCAAGGUUCAAGUUUCUCAGAUCCCCAAUUUGGAAUGCUUCAUCUUUGUCGCCACCCCAUGAACACGCAUCUAGUGUUUGCAAACUUGUUAAUCUCCCUAUCACUUUGGGGAACGACUCCAGAAGACCACAAUACUUAACAUAAAGAUGCUUUAAGUUAAUCAAGUUUCCCAUGUUUUCAGGCAGUUUUGUAAGGCCAGAGCAGUACAUAAGGCGCAAGGUUGACAAAUUGUACAAACCACAAAUAGUGUCUGGUAAUUUCUUCAGUAUAGGAUUGGAAGACAAAUCAAUAUGCCUCAAAUGUAUCAAUUCACCAAUCUCCUUCGGGAGUUCUUCGAUGGGAUUAAAACUCAAAUUUAAUGUCCUAAGACAUUUCAAUUGUAAAAUUAAAUUUGGGUCUAUGGUAGUAAUUCUUGAAUUAAAAGUUGCGAGCGUACGGAGAUUUUUGCAAUCGUAAGAUGAGAUAAAAAGUGGAAGUGGACCUUCAGGAACAUAUCUCAAGGUCAAAUGACGAACCUUAUCACCAAAUACCUUUGGUUCGCUGGUAGUUUCCUCACCAUGAUCGAUAAUCAAACACUCAUUCUUGGUGAAAAAUUGUACAAAGUCAUGCACAAUAUCAUGCAUUUUGCAACUGGUAAUGGUACCGGUGUCAAAAUCUUUCUCAAAAUCUUGGAAAAAUGACCGUGCCACUAAAUUGUCAAAAACUGCAUAACCCGUUGUUUCCUUUUCUUUAUUCCCUUUCGAAAUAACAUAGUCUUGUGCCAUCCAAAGUUUAAUCAAAUCAUCUCGUUCAAACUGGUAAUCUUUUGGAAAAGUAGCACAAUAUAAAAGGCAACAUUUAAUUGUUGGGGCCAAAUCAUUAUAACUUAGGAAUAGGGGUUGGAAAACUUCUUGCUCGACCUUCUCUAGAUCCCAUAUCUUACUAUGCAAAACUUCUUUCCAUUCUCCCAUUUUUGUCUUAUUCUGCAUGAGACUACCCAAAGUCUUUGCAGCAAGAGGCAAACCUUUACACUUCUUUACAAUUUCCUUACUAAUAUCUCCAAACUCAUGUACAUCCCUAUCCAAAAAGGCCAUGUGAUUGAAGAUUGACAAACAACAUUCAUCAUUCAACUCUCCCAGAUUGAUCUUGUUUCUUGUUGCUCUCAUCAUGUCAGCAACCUCAUGUUUUCUUGUGGUCACCAAUAUUCUGUUGCCUUUAGCACCAUUUUGGAUUAAUGGUACCUUUAAUUGUUCCCACUUUUUAGGAUCAUCGGUCCAUACAUCAUCCAGGACAAGGAGAAACCUUUUGCCCUGGAUGGAUGUACACAUACAUUGCAAGACCUCAUCCAACUCAUUUGAAUUUGGGGCGUUUUUACCAAUAAUGGCUUUGGCAAUCUUAAUCUCAUCAAAAGGGUCUGAAACACAAACCCAUUUCCUCAAAUCAAAAUGGGUUUUGACUCGGUCAUCAUUAUAGGCUAGUUGGGUUAAAGUUGUUUUUCCCAUGCCUCCCAUCCCGACAAUAGGGAUGAUAAGGAACCCCUUCCCUUCCGCACUACUAUCACUCAACAAGUUUGUUAUCAAAACCUUUUUUUCAUUUUCUCGACCAAAUAUCUCAGAUAUAUCGACAAAAGAUGCAGUUUGAGGUCGUUGAGGUUGUUGAGGUUGUUGAAUGCCUAAUUCUUUGCUUAGAAACUGGUACUUUUUUCUUUCCUCAUAAAUCUCAGUUAACUUAUCAUUCAGAUCUUUUAUUUUCAGAGCAAUGUCAUGGCGAAGAAUCACCCGACUGACUUUGCCAAGACGAAAGUAACGGGUGAAACUAGAGAAACGUACCUUCUUCUUUGUAACAAGAGCAUUUGGAUCACCUUCUCUUUCUUGCUUCUCAACUUGUUGUCUGAGAAUGUUUGUGUUCCACUCAUCCAGCACAUCCACCAUCUGGUAGGAUACAUCUUUCAGCUCAUCCAACCAGAUUUUGACAGCUUGAUCCGUCACUUGGCGUUGCUCUGCAUCCUCAAGCACAGCUUGAAUAACUCGGAGAGUCCGAGUGAAUUUCUUAACAUCUUCCUUAACGUUCAAAACAAGUUUCACCCCUCCUUCUAUGUAUUCAUAGGUUGUCGAGGCCAACCGUUCUAGCAGCACGUAAAUGAGCGCAUCAGCCAUUAUUUUGAGCUUCAGAAAAUGGUUGACAGCAGUGUUUAUGAACAAGAACUGAUUUGGGGAUAAUUGUUUGUGUUGUGGUGUUCCCUUUCUUCUGCCCAGUUUAUAUGCUGAGUAAGUCUUCAAGGCAAACUCCGAGUCAAUUUUUAAGAUGCAUAACAGGGACACUAUAUUUUAAAGUGACAUGUUGACAUAUUAUAAAAGAAAUAUCUAAUCUGGGGCUGGUGAAUGUGCCAGACUGUCUUUCUUGACCUUACCAUACAAGACAAGAUUAACGCCUUGUUAAGGCGUGGAUGACAUCUGGCUUAAUAAUUGAUCGAGUUUUUAUACAUAUAAACUUUUUCCUUAUACUGUUACAUGAAGCAUUACCUGAACUCUACCUACUUGAAUAAAGAAAUGUAUCAAAGAUUGGUUGGACAAUUGAUUUACUUGUCACACACACCUUGUGACAUAUACUGUGAUCUGAACAAGAAGAAGAGGAUGAGAUUUAGGGAUUUCAAGAGAAGAAGGAAGAGAGAAAGCAAGAAGGAAGAGAGCCCUGUAAACCUGUAUAUCUGAUUAGAUUGUAAGUGAAAAAUGGUAAAAGCACAGCUUUAGUACAGUGCACAUCUCCUAAUAUUACGCUAACAAACUUAACAAAUACAGCUCUCUCACUAACAGACUUAACAGAGAGCACGUGAGCUGCACAUGAUGACUUAACAAUUUCUUAACUAAAACACAUGGUUAACAUUUUCCCUACCCAGCUGAACUCCUCAGUCUAAGAUGAAGACAGUGUUGUAAGAAAAUGGGACUGUGUAACCCCUUUGUAAAAACAUCUGCUAUUUGUUCUUCAGUAGGUAUAUACUGCACAAUAAGAUCCUUUCUUUGUACCUUCUCUCUCACAAAGUGGAAGUCUAUAUCCAAAUGCUUAAUUCGAGAAUGGUAUACUGGGUUUGAGCUUAAAGCUAGUGCUGAUAAGUUGUCACAGUACAUAGUAGGAGCAUCUGGCAAAAACAUCUUUAGAUCCAAGAGAACCUGUCGAAUCCAUGACAAGUCAGCAGCUGUGUUUGCUAGGGCCCUGUAUUCUGCCUCUGUUGAACUCCUAGACACAGAACCUUGCUUCUUGGACUGCCAGGAGAUAGGAUUACAACCCAAGAAUACUACACAUCCGGUUGUAGACCUUCUAGUAUUGAUAUUCCCUGCCCAGUUUGCAUCACUGUAUGCAUUAAGCUGCCAAGGACCCUUUGUAAAACUGAUUCCAUACUCUAAUGUACCCUGUACAUAUCUGAGAAUACGCUUCACCAAAAGAUAGUGAACCUCAGUUGGAUUAUUCAUAUAUUGACACACAUGAUUCACAGCAUAAGCCAGAUCAGGUCAUGUAAAUGUUAGAUACUGUAGAGCACCUACGAGACUGCGAAACACAGUAGGAUCAGCCAAGGGCUCACCGUCAGUCUGUAACACUUGAGUGUGUGGCUUACAUGGUGUUGCACAGGCUCUACAUGAACUCAUGCCUGCUUUAUGUAGUAGAUCCUUGGCAUACUUAGUUUGACUCACGAAUAUGUCACCAGAGGAAUUAUAGGAAAUCUGCAGACCUAAGAAAAAGGUGAGUUGCCCCAUAUCUUUCAUUUCAAACACCUCACUUAAGUCUGUAACCACUCUUUGAAUCAACUGAUCACUCGAACCUGUUAUAAUGAUAUCAUCAAAAUAUAAGAGUAGAAUGAUAAUAUCAUUCCCAGUAUGCUGCACAAACAGACUUGGAUCUGAAUGUGAAGAUUUAAAGCCAAGAGUAGGUAAGUAACCUGUGAAUUUAGCAUUCCAUGCCCUUGGAGCCUGUUUAAGACCAUACAAAGAUUUUUUCAGUUUACAUACAAACUGUGGAUGAGUAGAAUCUUCAAAACCAGGAGGCUGUUUCAUAAAAACUUCUUCUUCAAGAUCGCCAUGUAGGAAAGCGUUCUUGACAUCAAGUUGUCAUAGUUUCCAUUGGUUCAUAGCAGCUAUGCUUAAUACUAACCUCACUGUUGUGUGUCUAACAACAGGAUUGAAGGUUUCCCCAAAGUCAAAACUAGGCUCUUGACUGAACCCCUGAGCAACAAGUCUGGCCUUAUAUCUACCCACUGAACCAUCUGGAUUUCUCUUUAUUUUAUAAACCCACUUACUACCAAUAAUAUUUUUUAUCACCUGGACUAGGAACUAAGAUCCAUGUGCCUUGCAUAUGAAGAGCAUCAAUCUCCUCUUUCAUAGCUUGCCUCCACUCAGAAGAAAACGAAGCCACCUUAAAACUAGAAGGCUCAUCUAAUUCCGGAAUAGCAUGAAGACAGGUAAAAUAACCUUGAUAAUCUGGGAACUCUUUGUUUUGAACUAUACCACUUUUGGCCCGAGUAAUCAUAGGAUGAUCAUUGAUAGGAAAUAAAGAAACCGAUGAGUCCACAGUACUAACAGAAGAAGAGGAAACAUUAGAGACCUCAAACUGAAACAUAACCUGUAAUUGUUGUUCAUUCAACACAGGUACAGAACCUGCAGAAGCCACUGGAAUAUCAUCCAACGAAGCUUGAUGUUGGAUAGGAGAUAAAGACCCAGGAGUAGAUGAGAUGGACUGAGAUUGAGAAGUAGAUACUUGUGUAUCAGAGGCUAGAGACGAUGGAUCCUGAGAAUUAAGAGAAGCUUGAGAAGGCCUUGAAGCCAAAGAAACAAUGACAGAAGCUACUGAUGCAGUAGAAGAAAACUGAGAAGACUGCCUACAUAUGCUAGGGUUAAUGUGCUUAAAAGGAAAUACAGCUUCAUCAUGAGGAACAUGCCUUGAGAUUACACAUUUUGCAGUAAUUCGAUUGUAGCAAAUAACUCCUUUGUAACCAGGUGAAUAUCCCAAGAACACGCACUGAGUGGUUCACGGUUGUAACUUAUGCACAUUAUAAUGUCUUAGAUACGGAUAUACCGCAGUACCAAAUAUUCUCAAAGAAGCAAGAUCAGGAUGAUGACCAAAUAAACGAAAAUAAGGAGAUUGAUGAUGUAAAACAGAGCUGGGCAUUCGAUUUAUAAGAUACACAGCAUGAGCAGUAGCAUGAAACCAAAAUUGACCUGGCAAGGCUGCUAUAGUUAACAGGGUAAUGGCUGUUUCAAUAAUAUGCCUAUUCUUCCGCUCUGCCAGUCCAUUUUGCUGCGGAGUAUACGGGUAAGACAAACGACACACAAUUCCCUUGGAAGCCAAAAAAUCUGUAAAAACCUUGCUAAGAAACUCACCACCACCAUCACUCUGAAAACACUUAAUAGCAGCACUGAAUUGAUUUUGUAUCAAAGCAUGAAACUGUAGGAAUUUGGAGAAAACUUUUGAUUUAUUGAAAAUGGGAUAAACCCACAAAUAUCCAGUACAUUCAUCAAGGAAGAAAACAAAAUAUCUGUAACCUUCAACAGAUUUGUAAUGGGAAGGACCCCAUACGUCACUAUGAACGGUAUGAAAGGAAUUUCAGACCUACAAUGUCUAACAGGAAAUGGAAGCCGAUGCAUCUUCCCUUGAAGACAAGCUGAACACAAGGGAUUCAAAUUGGAAGAAUCAUUUGCACAUUGCAAACCAGAGGCUUUAAGCAUUGAUUGCACCACUUCAUUCGUUGGAUGGCCAAGUCUGUGAUGCCAAAUGGACGACUUAACAUGUUGACCAAGCAAAGCCACUUUCUUGGAUAGGUAAUGAGACCUAACCAAGCGUCACGAGCAGUCGUGGUGCCAAUAACAUACUCAAUGGCCUCAUCAGAGAGAGUGGCAAUGAGCAAACUGAGUAAAGCCUUAUUAGCGAGAAUCCAUUCCUUGUAAGCAGCAGUAACUUCAGAUGUAACACCCUCCUCAUCAACAAUAGCAAAGCGAGGAACAACUUCAGUUCCGUCAAAAUGCCCAAACAGAUCAUAACCCUGAAGAACAGAUUCCAAUUGAAAACUCCACUUGAGAAAAUUAUCGUCCCUGAGACGACGAGUAAUCAUCCCAAGCAAACCGUCAACUUUGACCGAAGAGGAAGAAGAAGAAGUCGCCAUUGAUGAACAGAAAUUAGAGAAAAGACAGAAAAAAAGAAGGAACAAUAGAGACAGAGCAAGAGAAGAGCACAGCGAGGAGACAGUUCAGAAAAAUCAGAAGCGGAUCGAAAGUGUCAAGCCACGAUGGGCUCUGAUACCAUCUUAACAAGAAGAAGAGGAUGAGAUUCAGGGAUUUCAAGAGAAGAAGGAAGAGAGCCAUGUAAACCUGUAUUUCUGAUUAGAUUGUAAAUGAAAAUUGGUAAAAGCACAGCUUUAGUACAGUGCACAUCUCCUAAUAUUACGCUAACAAACUUAACAAAUACAGCUCUCUCACUAACAGACUUAACAGAGAGCACGUGAGUUGCACAUGAUGACUUAACAAUUUCUUAACUAAAACACAUGGUUAACAUGUGAGUGUAGUUUAGUCAGUUCGUGCAUGUUCCCAGUAAAGAUCAUGUAAAUGAUGUAAGUCAUAUACUUAGAUAUUUGAAGUUAGCAACAAGAAAAUGACUUAUGUUCUCUAAGCAUGGGCAUUUAAAUGUGGAAAAGGUACACCGAUGUUGAUUGGGCAGGUAGUAUCAUUGCCAUGAGCUCUACAUCAAGUACAUUGGUUGGAGGUAAUUUCUCACUUGGCAUAGCAAUAAGCAAAAGAUGGUGGAAUACAGAAUAAUGGUACAAGGAAUCUAUGAACUAUUGUGAUUGAUAAUGUACAAAAUAAUGAUCGUACAUGUUGAAGCGGUAGACAUUUCAUUAAAAAAAUGAAGACAAUUAAUAUUCCAUUUGUGAAGACUAAAGACCAAUUAGUCCAUAUUCUGUCCAAGACAAUUAAAAAAAAAUAAGGUGUGCUACAACUCAUUGGUCAAGUUGAGGAUUGGAGGUAUGUGUUCACCAAUUUGAGCGUGAGUGUUAGUGUGAAUUCUAAAUAUAACCUAAUUUGUAGUCUCCUAUUUGGACUUUAUUAGGUUUAAUUACUUUACUUAAGGUCCACUUCUCGUAAAUCCUAUUUGUAACUAGGAGAAGAAUACAUAUUUGAGAGUUUUAUCGUAUUUGUUUCGACACCGAAAUUUUUUCUUAACGUAUGCACCUAAGUGAAACUCAUUCAGUUUUGCUCCAAAAGGAUUCCGUUGUGGACAUAAACCUUCUUGAUGAUUAUUAAACCUAAGUAAAGAUGAAGAUUAAAAGUAUAUUAAAUCAAUCCCAUUCAAAAUUUAAUCAACAAUGUUGUUUGUGCAAAUAAUCUCACGGGAGAAUAUUCGCUUCUAGAUCCCUCAACCUUCGACCUUCCUUCUCUCUCUUCCUCGUUUCCUGUAAAAAAGAUUGGAGUAAAUAGACCACACCUGGGGUGUGUUGGCCAAAGACCCUCCGAUGCCUAAGUUAGUUCGAGUGUUUGUAGGAAAACAAUAGCUAAGCAAAGGGUACGGAGUUGUAUGUAUGGUGUGAACCGGGAAGCCGAAGCCAUGUGUGGUGGCCGGAGCCGUGUGGAGAAAAUAUGGAGAGUGGAGAGGGAGAGAGAGCUUCAGGUAUUUUUCUCGGGUAUUAGGAGUAGGUUUAGAUGUACCUUGAAUGAUGAAUGAGGUCGUCUAUUUAUAGGAGCCUCGGGGGUAGGGUUUCGUAGAGAUCGAGUCGGACUUGAUAAUAUCCGAAUUAAUGAUAUUAUCUCUUAAGAAGAUAAUAUCUGAAUUAAAUGAUGUUAUCUUCUCUUUAUUAGGAUAAUAUCUGAAUUAAUGAUAUUAUCUCUUUAAAUAAAGAUAAUAUCAUAUUAAUUAAGAUAUUUAUCCCAAUUAAUUAAUUAGCCAGAUAAACUGGUUUAAUUAAUUAAUUUAAGAGAUAAUCUUCUUUUCCACGUGGUGUGCCCUAAUUGGAGACGAAAAUAUAUGCUCCCACAAAUGCCCCCCAGCUUCUGCGUAGCGCUUGUGCGGUAGGUAGGAGAUGAAAUUAUUUUUUUCGAACUCUCCAACUUUGUUUGGGCUUUCUUCUGUGAGUUGGACUCCUUUUGCAGAUCGGAUUCUCAAUUGGUGUAGGCUUCUGACUGUAGUUGGAGUUGGAUUCCCAGUAGGAAUGAGCUUGCGAUUCCUUCUUGACCCGGGUUGUCCAACUUGUAUAAAUACAUGGCUUCUCUUCACUCUUUCUCACAUCGCAAACUUAAUUUCUCUACUUUCUAGCUUGAGAAAGAUAUUGGAAAAUUUUGUACUGCUUGUCGAAGAGAGGAGUUGCCGUGCAUUCCAAGAUAAGUCGAGCACGUAUAUAUUUUCUUCAUCUUCUCUUUUUUGGGGUGAGGACCAGCUGGGUAGGACUAGGCUGGUUGACGUUGUGACUGGCGGUCAAAGACGGUUGGAGCGGCGGUGGCCGCUGGUUGCUGCUGAGCGAGUAUCGAAAAAAGUUGGUGGUCUGCCCCCUGCCCAAGGUGUUGAGAGAUGGAAGCAGAAUGGUCUAGUCUCUAAUGAUCUGCCGGCUGGGUAGGAGGAGUGUUCUGCCGGACCCCCAUAAAAAAGGAAGGCUGAUGUCAAGUCUUCAAUAAAUGAAGCUGCGACUUCGCGGGCGAAGGAUGUGUCACCGUUAAGAAGAAGCCAAGGAUUCCUUCUGUUGAGAAGAGUCAAGUAGGAGUUGUUCCCCCGUCGUCAGCUAGGGUUAAACAUCUCGUUGGUGCAGAUAGUAAGCAGAUUGGUGAUAUGCGCAAUAUUCGGGAUGUUCCACUCAAGCCUCCUGCAGACAAGCUUGGAGACCAUGAUCUGCUUCGUAAAGUAGUCCGUGCGCGAUCUAGUUCACCUGCUGUGAGGCAAUGAGAUGCAGAUAUUCUUCUUCGAAGUUCGGUCUUUUGCACCAGUUAAAGGAUGAAGGUCGAACUGGGAGGUCUUCUCAUCUACCCAACCGUCAUGAUCCAGUAGUUGAGUCACGAGCAGUCAAGUGUGGAGUAGAUUCAGCGUCGUUGGCUCAUUUGGAAGUGAGGACAGCGGCGACCAAGAAGAUGAAAGAGUCAUCUGCCCGGGUCGAGGGCUCUUCUGCAACGUCAGCGACUAAUCCGGAAGUGGACAAAUCCGCCCUUGCAGGGGAUGCAUGCAUGCCUGAUCUGCUUAAGACGAACUUUCUGUCAAGUCCAUCCACUUGUGCUGAGCUGGUUAAUCAAAUCUGUCAGCUGGCGAUCUUGGUCUUUUCUCAAGUCUUUUCUUGGAAAAACAAAGGGAAACAACAUUUCACAUGCUUCAAAAAAAAGGUGGUGGAAGAUGUCGCGAAUCAGGCAGGUGGAGCUGCUGAGAACGUGGCUGAUCAGACGGAUGUGGAAGAGACUGCAGAUCAAGGAUCUCUUGCUAGCGUCUCGGAGUAGAUGAAGACUCAUUUAUUUCUUUUCAGCUUUUGUAGUCUGCUCUCUGUUUAGAAUAAUCGGUCUUGUUUGACCAUCUUCUUUUUGUUGAACUUGGCCGGUUGAUCACUUUGCUAUGGAAAUUUCAGUUUUUUUUUGUUGAAUAACUUCAAUUCGCAUAAUGUCUUGUGAAUUGCUUGAGUGUUUCUGAGUUGUGGCAUGUUUAGCCUACGUCUAGAGACGUGUCGAUGAGAGUGGCCUGUUUGACUUACAUCAGGAGACGUGUCGAUAAUAGUGGCAUGUUUGGCCUACGUCCGGAGACGUGUCAAUGUGUAUAACUCGUUUACGUCUAGAGACGUGUCGAUGUGUAUGACCCGUUUGGCCUACGUCCGGAGACGUGUCGAUGAUAGUGGCCCGUUUGGCCUACGUCAGGAAACGUGUCGGUGAGAGUGGCCCGUUUGGCCUACGCCCAGAGACGUGUCGAUGAGUGUGGCCUGUUUGGCCUACGUCCGGAGACGUUCGAUGAGUGUGGCCUGUUUGGCCUACGUCUCGUCAGUAGACGUGUUGAUGAGUGUGGCCCGUUUGGCUUACGUCCAGAGACGUGUCGAUAAGUGUGGCCCGUUUGGCCUACGUCAGGAGACGUGUCGAUGAGAGUAGCCCGUUUGGCCUACGUCAGGAGACGUGUUGAUGAGUGUGGCCUGUUUGGCCUACGUCAGGAGACGUAUCGAUGAGACAGUGGCCCGUUUGGCCUACGUUUGGAAACGUGUCGAUGAGUAUGACUCGUUUGGCCUACAUCCGGAGACGUGUCGUUGAGAGUGGCCCGUGUGGCCUACGUCCUGAGACGUGUCGUUGAGUGGCCCGUUUGGCCUACGUCAGGAGACGUGUCAAUGAGAGUGGCCCGUUUGGCCUACGCCCGGAGACGUGUCGAUGAGUGUGACCCGUUUGGCCUACGUCCAGAGACAUGUCGUUGAGUGUGGCCUGUUUGGCCAACGUCCGGAGACGUGUCGGUGAGGGAGGCUUGGGUGCCUGCUUAGAGCCCAGCUGAUAGGUGAAGAGUUUUAUGGAUAGUCCCCUUGGAGGUGAUGGGCAUUACAUUGCCUUGGAACUUCCUUCCCAUUGAAAGAUGAUGAAAGGUUUUUCUUCCAUAAUUUGGUAGCUAGUGACCGCUUGGAAGACGAAAGUUGCCUGCUUGAUCUUUCUCUUCUGCCCCCUGGUGGUCAGCCCGGGCUCUUGGAGUCAGCUAGGAUCGUGUUGAUCCAUAUGGCUUUUUUCGUGGAGGCUCAUUGUUAGUUGCGUCACAAUCCUUGAUUUGCUGGAUAGCCCCCCUUGAGAUGAAUUCCAUGCAAUGGCCGUCUCUGACUAGAUCUUCGAGGUGCCUUUUUCGAGCGAAGCAGUCGUUUGUGUAAUGACCGUACCCUUCAUGGAAUCUGCAAUAUCUACUAGUAUCCUUCUCGGUUAGGUUUCCCUUUAAAGGUGAUGGUUUCUUCAACCAAGGCAUGUCCUUUACUUGGGCUAGGAUCUGGUGUAUCGGGAUAGUGAACUUGGUGUAGCUCUCUGUUGCUAGAGCACAUUCCUGAGGCUGUGAUCUGUGCUUGCCGUUCUCUUUGCUUGCCUGCUUAUUUGCUUGAUCAGCCUUCUUCGCGACAAUCUGGUCGUCGUCCCAUAGUGUGUAGCGCUCUGCUGUAGCAAAGACUUCUAUCAAUGUUUGGCGGGGAGAGAUGGUCAGCUCGCGAUACAGCUCACAUUCAAUUGGCAACCCCCUCUUGAAGGCGGAGGACGCAAUUUGGCCAUCACAUCCUACAAUGUUUGCCCUCUCCGCUUUGAACCUCUUGAUGUAGUCUCGGAGGGAUUCAUCGGACUUCUUGUGCAUGUUAGAUGGUCAGGGUUCUUCUUGAUCGUCCGAUAAGAAGUGUACUCUUUGGUGAAGACAUAUGCAAGCUCCUUGAAGCUGCUGAUCGACUCGGAUAGCAGGGUGUGAAACUAGUCCUGAGCUGCUCCUCGCAAAGUCAUUGCAAAAACCUUGCUCAUUAGCGCAUCUUUAGUUUUUUGUAGGAUCAUAAGGCUCUUGAAAUGCUUCAGAUGGCUUUCGGGAUCGGAAUCCCCUUCGAAGCAUGUGAAAGAGGGCGUUGAGAAUCGUUUCGGGGGAGCAGCUUGCUCGAUUUCGGUGGUGAAAGGUGAGGAGUUUGCUUGGUCUACCUCCAUGCGUAGUGCAUCUUCGAAAUUUUCUCCAAUCUUUAAGUCUUGAAGUCGGUUAUUCACAAGCUUCUCAACGUCUUCUGCACACAUGGCUGGUCGGCCACGUUGAUGACCUUUACGAUUUGGGCGAGGCUGAUUAACUUCCUCGUUGGUUUGCAAGGGUCGACUUUCUCGGUUGCGCUGCCUAGACGGCGUGUUGGUGGACUACGUUUGUGAGGAAUUUUCUGUAACUUGGCGACGAGAAGUGGUUCUUCGAGAGAAAGUAGUAAAGCGCAUUUCUUCACUGUUCUCAUUGUGAUGAUUAUCAGUUUGACCUCCUUGGGGGCCUAGGUGGGCAUGGAUGCCAAGUUGUGGGCCUAACAUAUUGUGCACGUUGGUCCUUAAAUUCAAUCUGGAUGGCAGACUUCGUCUGCUCUGAGUGUGGCUUGCGGAUGCUUGCGACAUGUUGGCGAGCUGAUUGCGUUGUUUUGCAUUUCCUUGUCUGCUUACUCUUGCUCGACCUGCUUGGUUCCCACCGAACUGCCUAUCGGUGCGUUCGUUCAUCCUUCUCUCUUCGCCCUGUUGUCCAACGCCAAGGUUUUGAGCCAAGUUUAUUUGAUUGAGGAAUUGCCUCAUUAAAUUGUUUUGGUCGUCCAUUCUCUGAGUUAGCUGGUCAACUCUCAGAUUAAGGUCUACUUGACUUCGUGGAUCGGGAGGAAAGAAAUGUGUGGAGCCUAAUUGCACACGGGCUAGGGUUUCAUUACAUGUGUACGUGGGUGCGCGUGUCGAGCGUGGAGGCAAUGGAGGGAAUGCUUGAAGUUGCUCCAAGAUUGGGCCAAAGUCGGCGGUGGUAGUGAGCCCACCUUGAUGCGAGGUUCCACCAUGCUCAACGGCGGUGCUAUGAAGGUGGCUAGAUCCGGCCACGGGGCCUUGAGAUGGUACGACGGCGGCAGAGGCCGGUGCGGUGGCCCUCGCUGCGAGUCUGGCAGGUGGCACGAUGAUUCCAGUCACACGGGGUGGCUGCUGAGGGUUCAUGGUGGCGAGAGGUGGUGGAGCCGCCAUGUCGAUUGUGCGAUCGUGGGAAGAGUAGCUUUGGGCCGUCACGGAUUGAGCCAUCGCGGCGGUCUUACUCUUCAUGCACUUGCUUCCAACCAUGGUUGUUUGGAAGGCUUCGGUGGAUUGGAAAAUAGGAGGAACGGAUUCCUUGAGCACGUGUUGAGUAUAACUCGUGCUCUCAACGAGAGCACCAAAUGUUUGUGCAAAUAAUCUCACGGGAGAAUAUUCGCUUCUAGAUCCCUCCACCUUCGACCUUCCUUCUCUCUCUUCCUCGUUUCCUGUAAAAAAGAUUGGAGUAAAUAGACCACACCCGGGGGUGUUGGCCAAAGGCCCUCCGAUGCCUAAGUUAGUUCGAGUGUUUGUAGGAAAACAAUAGCUAAGCAAAGGGUACGGAGUUGUAUGUAUAGUGUGAACCGGGCGGCCGGAGCCAUGUGUGGUGGCCGGAGCCGUGUGGAGAAAAUAUGGAGAGUGGAGAGGGAGAGAGAGCUUCAGGUAUUUUUCUCGGGUAUUAGGAGUAGGUUUAGAUGUACCUUGAAUGAUGAAUGAGGUCGUCUAUUUAUAGGAGCCUCGGGGGUAGGUUUCGUAGGGAUCGAGUCGGACUUGAUAAUAUCCAAAUUAAUGAUAUUAUCUCUUAAGAAGAUAAUAUCUGAAUUAAAUGAUGUUAUCUUCUCUUUAUUAGGAUAAUAUCUGAAUUAAUGAUAUUAUCUCUUUAAAUAAAGAUAAUAUCAUAUUAAUUAAGAUAUUUAUCCCAAUUAAUUAAUUAGCCAGAUAAACUGGUUUAAUUAAUUAAUUUAAGAGAUAAUCUUCUUUUCCACGUGGCGUGCCCUGAUUGGAGACGAAAAUAUAUGCUCCCACAAAUGUCUCAUAGACCACAUACAUAUCCACCCACGCAAACGUAGUGGUUAUAUGAAAUGAAAACUUAUCUUUGGCUAUAUGAUAUCCCACAACUUUCUUUUCCUCUCUUCUCUUAUCUUUUCACACACAUAUACAUUUAUACUAUAUAUGGUACAAUAAUUAGUAAUAUUUGGGUUAAUUCUAAAUUAGGGAAUGUAGGAAACAACUACUAUCUUGCCUUGGACAAUUGUAUAGCUUCUUGAUCAUGUGUAGACUCUUCAGCCCAGGCAAACUGGUGAUGAGACAGGAGUGAGAAUUCGCGAUUCCUUACAUCCUCAAGCUGCUCCCACUCUGCCCAUCUCUCUGCUAGAUCCACUCCCUGCAGCAAUCUAAUGACCAUAGCACCAUUUCAUGAUAAAGACAUUAUCAUACAGCUUUAGUGCUGGAACUCUCUCAAACCUCUUAGUUAGAAUUCUAAAUUUUUAAUGGGCUGGUCAGCCCAGUCCUACACCAACAGUAGGGGUGGGCGAAACCAGAUUGAACCAGACCGAACCGGCUAGUUUGAUUAGGAUUUUGACAAAAAUUAAGGUCAUACGGUUCAAAACCCAGCUCAGUUCAGCUGGUGGUUUCAAUUCCCUCAGGAACGAGAGAACAUAACCGAAUCAUUUCCCACUCUUUUUAUUAAUUCCGCCCGUAUCCCUCCUAUAAAAUCAUCUUUUUCCCCUAGCUCUAGCCACAUAAACCUAUCUCUCCAGUGAAGGAAGUAAACAAAGACAUCCUUCGCAUAACUCCUUUAGCAUGCAGACAAACACAAAACAAGGAUGUAUUUAAAAAUAAUAUAUAUUAUAUGAGUAUGAUAUAUAUAUAUAUAUAUAUUUUAGUAUGAUAUAUAUAUAUCCAAUUUUCUAUAACAGGUUAACCGUACUUGAGGAUAAUCAAGGUCGCCCGGCCAGUGCAUGUUGGUAAACUGGCCGUGCAAAAUCUGAUUAUCCACUAGUGUGGUUAACCAUAUUAUAGAAACACGGAUAUAUAUAAGUAAUCCCCAUUAACUCUCUUACAAUAAGAAUUCGUACUUAUUGCUGAUGCCAAUACAUCAAUACAAGGGAAUAUAAAAGGAAAUGAGAAUCAGAGUUUAAUGGGAUUUACUUGAAUUUUGGAAUUGUAAAGAAUUGCAUUGGAACUCUUCCGGUUAACUCAUUCGAUGAAAGAUCCCUGCCCAAAAAAAAAAGGAAUUUAUAAAUGGUAAAGAAUAUCACACAGUGUGCAAGCUCAGAUGGGCAUGCAAUUAUAUUUAGGCAAUAAGUCAAACAGCAGGAUUUCGAAAAAAAGGAAUUGCUUACAGUUCAGUCAACCCGCUAAUGUUUGAAAGUGAAUCCGGAAUAUGUCCAGAUAUGUGGUUACUGUUGAGAUUUGGAUUGUCAAGGGAGCUAGAGAGCAAAAGACUAAGAGAGGGAGAGAGAGCCUGAGCAAGAAGGAAUCAAUAUGGUUAUGACCACUACUCCUCUGCUUAUCCGUUGCAGCAGAGCAGACUAUAUUCAUACCCAAAAUGUGUUCUUACAUCAGCAAAUACAAUCUAACCGUUGUGAAGGAUAAACCAAUGUGAAUAUGACACAUGGCUUUACAAGCUUUACAACCGCUGAAAUAAGAGAGACAAUCCUAAGCCUUACACUUGGCAUAUGAGCUCAAGGUGCUCAGCUCACAGAUGACUUAAAUGGACUGAAUAUAAACUGACUAAGUACUUACUAACUAAUCAGAAAUAGCUAGGCAGUUUACAUUUUAACACUCCCUUUCUAAAGUGCUAGCUGAUUUCACUCCAAGCAUAUUCCUCAAAUAGCUGAACCUGUCUUUGGGAAGUGCCUUGGUGAAGAUGUCAGCAAUUUGCUCUUCUCCUUUGCAGUAGAGCAGCUCAAUCACUCCUUCUUGGAUUGCUUCUCUAAUAAAAUGGAACUUCCUCUUAAUAUGCUUGCUCCUUUGAUGAAAUACAGGAUUUUUAGCCAUUGCUAUUGCUGAAGUGUUGUCACGGAACACAGUUUUUGCAGCAGUCUGUUCUUCCCCAAAGUCUUCAAGAACAAACCUAAGCCAAAUGGCUUGUGAUGUAGCUUCUGCUGCACUCACAUACUCUGCUUCUGCUGUUGAAAGGGCCACACUAUGUUGUUUGACUGAUGCCCACGAAAAUGCACCACUUCUAAAUGAAAAUGCAUAUCCGGAAGUGCUUUUCAUAUCUUCCUCUGAUCCACUCCAGUCACUAUCACAAUAUCCUACUAGAAGUGCAGACUUUCCAGUCACAUACUCAAUUCCAUAAUCAAUUGUGCCUUGUAUGUACCUUAGAACUCUUUUGGCUGCCCCAUAGUGCAUCUUAGAGGGAGUGUGCAUGAAUCUUGCAAGCAGGCUAGCUGAAAACAUGAUAUCAGGUUUGGUUGCAGUUAGAUAUAGCAAGCUUCCUACAAUUUUUCUGUACAAGCUUUCAUCUGCUGCUUCACUUCCAUCUUCUCUUUGCAAUUUAUCAGUGGCAACUAAUGGAGUGCUCACUAAUUUGCAAUCCUUGAGUCCAAACUUAUCUAGGAGAGUGAGUGCAUACUUCUUUUGAUGGAUGAAAAUGCUCCCUUCAGUUUGUGUUACUCCCAUACCAAGAAAAUGAUGGAGUAAACCCAAGUCAGACAUUUCAUACUUGCACAUCAUCUCAACCUUGAAUUCUUUCACCAUUUCAUCACUGCUUCCAGUAUAUACUAUGUCAUCUACAUAGAUUGAUAUAAUUAAUGUUCCCACACCUUCCUUGGUUCUCACAUAGAGAGUUGCUUCACUUGGACUUCUGUGAAAACCACACUGAUAUAAGUAAGUGUCGAUUUCACUGUACCAGGCCCUUGGAGCCUGAUUUAGUCCAUAGAGAGCUUUUCUUAGUCUGUACACCUUAUCCUCAGCUCCUUUAAUCACAAAGCCUUCAGGUUGAUCCACAUAGACUUCCUCUUCAAGAACACCAUUUAAGAAAGCUGAUUUGACAUCCAAUUGCCAUAAUUUCCAGCUUUCUGUGCAGCUAGUGCAAUGAGAGUUCUAAUAGUGUCUAACCUUGCUACUGGAGCAAAGGUUUCAUUGAAAUCAAUCCCUGGUUUUUGUGUGUAACCCUUGGCUACAAGUCUUGCCUUGUGUUUUUGAAUGGAGCCAUCAAGGUUUAGUUUAGUUUUAUAUAUCCACUUCACUCCCACAAUUGGUUUGCUGCCUGGUCUAUCAACCAAUUUCCAAGUGGAAUUCUUCUCUAUCAUUGAUAUCUCUUCAGUCAUAGCCUUAUUCCAAGCUUCAUCUUUGGCUGCUUCAUGGAAACUCUCUGGUUCAAUAAUGCUCAGUUUACAUUGAGCAUAGACCUCACUUAAGUUCUUCCAUUUUUGUGAAGUAUGAUCAAAAGUUUCAGAGAUUGAAACUAAUGAAUCAUGUGUAGCUGAUUCUAGAGUGGUUUGCAGAUCAUUAGCCACUUGUGGUCUCUGAGGAGAUUGACUAGACUGAAGUGAUUCAUUUGAAUAUGAAUCAAUUUCUGAUAUUCUUGAACUUUCUUCUUCAUGCCAUGGAAUAGUCACUUGUACUUCUUCAUUCAACUCCUAAUUCCACAUUGCUAUCUCAUCAAAGAUAAUGCUCCUUGAGAGUUCAAUCUUUUUAGUUUCUAGAUUAAAGACUCUAUACCCUUUCUCACAAAUCCCAUAUCUGAGAAAUACUCCCUUCAUUCCAGUUUCUUCCAGCUUGUGUCUUUUCUGAGAAGGAAUAUGGAUAUAGCACAGUGAACCAAAUAUUCUCAAGUGCUUGACACCUGGUUUUCUCCCACUGAACUUCUCGAAUGGAGUUGUAUUAUCCUAAGCACUUGUUGGACUUCUAUUUUGCAGGUAUACAGCUGUAUUGAUAGCUUCUACCCAAAAUUUCAAAAGGAUUUUCUUCUCAUGCAUCAUUGUUCUUGCCAUUUCCAUCACAGUACGAUUCUUUCUCUCUGCAACUCCAUUCUGUUGCGGAGAGUAGGCUAUAGUUAGUUGCCUUUCUAAUCCCAUCUCUUCACAAAACUUUGAAAAUUCCAAAGAUGUAUAUUCUCCACCUCUAUCACUUCUUAGCUUCUUAAUUUGAUAACCACUUUGCAACUCAACCAUGUUUUUGAACCUUUUGAAUAUGUUGAAUGCUUGAGACUUAUGCUGCAAGAAAAACACCCAACACAUUCUAGUGUGAUCAUCAAUGAAGGUGAGAAAGUAUCUAUUCCUUCCAAGAGUGAUAGACUGCAUUGGACCAUAGAUAUCUGAGUGAAUCAGUUCUAGUGGUUGUGAGGCUCUCCAAGCUAUUUCCUUAUCAAAUGAACUUCUGUGACUCUUGCCUAUAGCACAACCCGAGCAAAUCUUCUCAGAUUCUUGUAACUUAGGUAGACCCUGAACCAUGUCUUUCUCUUGUAAGAGUCUCAAACUACAGUAGUUUAGAUGCCCAAAUCUUCUGUGCCACAAGCAAGAUGGUUCUCCAAAUGUUGCUCUAUUUGCCACAGGAGGAUUGACAUAUUUGAGAUCUAAGGGAAAACAUCUGUUCCCUUUCAUUUGAACUCUUGCAAUCAGCUCUUGCAAUUGCUUAUCUUCAUAAAUGUCAACCUCAUUAUCACCAAACACCAACCAAUGCCCAUGCUCUAUCAUCUGUCCUACGCUCAACAGAUUCUCAUCCAAACCAGGUACAAUCAUGACUUCUCUAAUAAAUCUAGUAACCCCUUGCACAUCUAUAGCCAAAGUACCUUUGCCUAUUGAUUGUACUAAAUCACCAGUGCCCAUCUUAACUUUACAAUUCACAUUUCUAUCUAUAUCAAUAAGUAAGGACUCAUAAGCAGUCAUAUGAUUACUACAAGCACUGUCCACAUACCAAACAUUCAUAUUUUUUUCAAUAGAAGCUGAAUGACAAGCAUAGAACAUAGUAGCAGGUUCUGUUACCUUGCUAGCCAAGUUCGCAAGUUUCUCAGUCUUAUUUGAUUGUUCAUAGUCUUUAAUGGGAUGCCCAAAACGAUUGUACCCAUAGCACUUUGGCUUUCCUUUAAACCAGCAUUCUCCAUAGUGAAGCUUAUCACAGUGCUUGCAUUUCCCUUUUGCUUGAUCUGAUUUUUCCCCUGGUUCAUGCUUUCCUCCUUGGUUGCCACUAUUUUGAGGUUUUGAAUCCCAUUUCUUACCCUUCGAUUUCCAGCUCUUCUUUGAUUUAUUAUUACCAAAACCAGAAUUGGACUGAGAUCCCUUUUGAUUUAUGCUCAUGCUGCUGAAGGCUUUCUCAGUGGUGUUCUCAGCAUGCCUAUCAAGGCGCUGAGCAAAACCCCUCAAUGCAGCAAUCACCUCUUGCACCUCAAUCAUUUCAAUAUCCUUAGUUUGUUCAAUUACAUAACAGGCAGGAUCAAACUCCUUAGUCAGGCUUAUAAGUAGUUUUUGAACUAACCUUCCUUUGGAUAGGUCUUCCCCAUAUCCCUUCAUCUGAUUCACAAGCUCAAGUAGGCGAGUGAGGUAUCCAGACAAGGUCUCAUCAUCCCUCAUCCUUGUGUACUCAAAAUCACGACGCAAACCCUGCAAUUUGAUGGAUCUGACCUGCUUAUCACCAUGAAAUUCCUGAUGUAAAAUAUCCCAUGCACCCUUUGAGGUUUCUUCAUUCGAAAUCCUAGGGAAAAUGUCUUCUGAGACAGCCUCUUGGAUAAUCCCAAGUGCCUUAGCAUCCUUCAUUAAUAGAGCUUCCUUCUCAGAAUCCGAUGACCCAGCAUCAUCCACCUUCUUCCCCUUUGAAUCUGGAAUUUGAAGCCCAUUUUCAACUAAAUCCCAGAUUCCAUGAGAUUUGAAAAUCGUUCUCAUUCGAAUCUUCCAAAAUCAUAGUUGUCCCCAUUGAAUAUUGGAGCUCUGAGAUCACUCCCACCUGACCCAGCCAUCUAAGACAGAAUCAAUGAACUGAGUCGGAAAUUUCUCCUCGGAUUUCCAAGCUCAGCCCACACACAGCUUCAACGCCCACUAUCCAGAUCCAACCUUCACUGUUGAUACCAUGUUGAGAUUUGGAUUGUCAAAGGGAGCUAGAGAGCAAAAGACUGAGAGAGGGAGAGAGAGCCUGAGCAAGAAGGAAUCAAUAUGGUUGUGACCACUACUCCUCUGCUUAUCCGUUGCAGCAGAGCAGACUAUAUUCAUACCCAAAAUGUGUUCUUACAUCAGCAAAUACAAUCUAACCGUUGUGAAGGAUAAACCAAUGUGAAUAUGACACAUGGCUUUACAAAGCUUUACAACCGUUGAAAUAAGAGAGACAAUCCUAAGCCUUACACUUGGCAUAUGAGCUCAAGGUGCUCAGCUCACAGAUGACUUAAAUGGACUGAAUAUAAACUGACUAAGUACUUACUAACUAAUCAGAAAUUAGCUAGGCAGUUUACAUUUUAACACCCCUCAAUACCCUGCAGCACAGGUGAGAUGAUUAAUUUUUCUUUUCUAGAGAACAGGAAAGUGUUCACAAGAUAGUACUUUCCAAUAUAAACAGUUGUAGAACACUCAGAUAAGACAACAGCAUAAGUAACUGCUACAUAUCAAGGCAAUUCCCCAAUAAAUACAAGAACAUUUUACAUUUAUAGACAAAAAAGAAAGUUGGAAUAUUUUAGGAAGGGAAAUGCAGCCUUACAAAUGCUUUAAAUUGGACAGUUGACCCCAGGUAUUGGGUAUAGGACCUCUGAAAUUAUUGUUUGCAAGAUUUAGAUUCUGUAGAUGUGUCAUGUUGGCAAGAUAAAUGGGUAACAGGCCUGUUAGACUAUUAUCCUGGAAGUCCCUGCAUAAAUAAAGUUAUUUUAUCAAAAUUCAUGACUGGAUGCAAAAAAAUAUAUUCUUCAGAAUUAAACAAACAAGUACAAUAAUGAAGGCGUUGGUAUUAUAUUCCACUUUUUUCUAUGACUCAGUUGACAGUAUGUAAAGUUACAAUGAUAAAGGGAAAACUUAAAUUCUCCCUCUCUCUCUCUCUCUCUCUCUCUCUCUCUCUCUCUCUCUGUAACACCCCGACUCCAAAUUAAAUGUCUAUUUUAACCUAUUUAUAUUAAAUUACGAAUUUACCCUUGGGGUAGGGGUAAAUUGGUCACUUUCUUAAUCAGAAGGAUUUUGGGACCACGGAUAGUAUUUCUGAGUAGGUAGUACUGAGACGAAUUCGUAGACACGCGGUAGGCUUGAAUCGGAAUUGUAACGAAAAAGUUACGGGAAAAACACUAUCAGUGGCAAAACUGUAAACAUUUCAAAAAGUUUGGUAAAAAUCAGAUUUUUCACCUCAGCUCUCUCUCUCUCUCUCCUCGCGCGCGCUCGACACUCUCUUUCUCCUCAGUCUCUCUCUCUCCCCGACACCGACUCUCUCUCUCCUCGGUUCUCUCAGCUCCGGCGACGGCAGGACACGAGACCGGUCCCGAUUGAUCCACCUUGACGUCCCGAUCAACACCUGCCCGUUUUCCCCGUCGAAAACCACGAACUCAAACCGCGAGCUCGACUGUUUUGAACCGGAGCUUUCCCGCCGUCGCGCCGCCUCCUCCGCCCCCCAAACCCGGUGAGUGAGGUAUGGUUUCUCAUCCAUUUUUCGAGUCCUAGCUGACUGUUGUAUAGGUUUGGACCGAUUCAUUGUCUAGGAAAUCGAUUAGAAAAUCUAGGUUUUGGCCGGAUUUCAAAAUGAAAUUUCGGCCAGUUGCCGCCCGAAUUGGACCUUCCCGUAGUUGAAUGAAGUGAUCUUGACCUUGAGUAGAAGCUAGGGUAGGAAAGGUGAGCUCGGCUGUGGAGUUUUUUCGUUCCCGGAAUUACUCUACACACCCACGCGCUACCGGCGCUUGUGGCGGCGCGUGGGCGAGGCUGGUGCGGUUGUAAAUUAAUCCAAUGAGAUCCUCAGGUUGUCACGAGCGCAUAGGAAUUCGCGGAUCUCAAUUCGGAUGUAGUUUGGCUAUCGAACGGAUUUUCGCAUAUUGUGCGUUAUCCGGGUUCGAUAGGUUCCGACCGUUAGAUCUUUCCCGAAUUAAAAUAUGUUGUUCUAGGUAUUUCUAGGACCAUAUGGGACUUUACGAAUUAUGAAUCGGAGCCCCGGAUGUUCCGAUUCAAUAAUGCAAAGUUUGCGGGUUAGCGAUAACUGUAAAAUCGCGAACGAUUCCUAAACCUGUAAUCGGACCUUAGGAUACCUUCUUCAACGUGCACGUAUGGGGAAUUUGGGAUUUAAGCAUUCAAUUUGUGAUUUCCGCUUCGACGUAAUUUUAUAUUAAGUAACGGUUCGUAUCUCGAAAUAGGUGUUUCGACUACACGUACUCAGCAGGCAGGACCCUCACGUGGUCAGGCAGCGUGGGAAUACUUGUGAGUGGACUUUGUUUUCAAUCAUAUGCAUGGUUUUAAUUGAUGAAAGAUUUUUGCAUAAUGUUUUAAUGGCUUAUUGAAUAUAUAUUAUAUUCAUGAGUUGAUUAUGUUGGUUGUAUAGCGCUUGGCAAUAUAUUGUGAGUUUGGCAUUGUGGGUUUUGAGAGUGCAUUUUAUAUGGUUGUGGGGAAGUAUAUUUAUAUAUUAUCUAUAGACGAAAUACUUGGGUUGUUGAAGGGUGUUGUGGAAGAAUUUGAUUUUUGAGAGAAGUUGUAUGAUUACACUAUGUAAGUACCUUCCCCAGUUAUCAGUAUCACUCGCGGCGUUGGAUGUUCCGGCAUGUGAGACACUUUCCAUAUGCGGCGUUGGAUAUUCCGGCGUAUGGAAAGACUUUGUGUAGUGUUUUGGGUCAUCACCAUGGCGUUGGAUGUUCCGGUGUGUGAUGAUCCAGUCUGCGCGCGUAAGACAUAGUUUGGGAGCUACACAUGGCGUUAGAUGUUCCGGUGUGGGAGCUUUGGAGUUUCGUCCCCUAGUUGGACCGCUCAUCCCUAGACGUAGGAUAGCACCUGGAAAUCCUGCGGACUAGUCAAACGAUCCCCCAGUUGGAUUGUUUCCCCGGUACCUAGGUGAUGUGAUGAGUAUAUCGUAUAGCUAUUUAUAGUUAUAUAUAUAUGUAUAUUUUUAUGUAUACGUAUAGUUGAGUGAGUGAAGAAUUAGAGUUUUUCGGUGGUUUGACAGGAGUUGUAAGAUUGAGAGAAUGGGAUUCUUUUUGAAGGAGAUAACUGGUGUUUUAGAAGAGUUUUAAUGAAUGUUGUUUUGAGUAAUUAUUUAUUGAAUUGUGAACCUGCAUGACUUGAGCAUUAUUUUUACAUGGUGGGGUUACUAUAUAUUUUUUAACUGCAAAUCUGGUUUUUGUCCACUCACAUAUUUUCUGUUUUGCGCCCCCAGCUAGUAGUCGCUCCAGGAAGCGUGCAAGUGGUGUACGAGGCUCGAACUGUGAAUCUUUCUAGUUAGGAACUGAGUAAUUUCUUCUACUCAACUGUUCUUAUAAUUUAAAUUCAGUAGAUGCUCUGUAUUGCCCAUGGUAGAUUUUACUUGUGAGGCCGGAGGCCACUCUAGUAUGACUUGUAGAAUUAAGAAAGCAUGCUGCUGGUUGGGAUUUUUAUUUUAUGUAUGUUGCAGGUUGAAUAGUUUUUGUUGGGAUUGCUUAAUUACAGGGGAGACUCUGCCAAAUUUUUAGUAGAAAGUCUCGGUUUCUUAGUAAGUGGGCCCGGCAUCGGAAAGAUGUCAGAAUAAAGACGGGGUCCACUUCGGUUUUCGGAAAAUUCCGGGGCGGGUCCUGUCACUCUCUCUCUCUCUUGGUACCAGAGCACAGACUAGUGAUCCAAAUCAGGUUUCAGCCAAUGGAUUAUGUUACAUUUUCUGACACCAUCAGCCACAGAAUACUAAUGCAUCAAGAAGUUGACUUACAGGCUAGCCAAACAUUUCAGUUUAGUAAUCGAAGGAGAAAGCGUUCCAGAAAAUCCAUUUGAUGCCAGGCUCCUGCAAAGUAGUACAUUCACAAACUAAAUGUACUGCAAUGAUAAAUGAUUUUCAAAGAUGGCGAUAUUAAUAAAAUAUAUAUUUUUCAUGAUCAUAAAAUUUAGUUUAACUUACAGGGAUAUGACAUUUCCAUUUCUACAAGUGACAUGAGACCAGCUAAAAUAGGGGCUAACGAGAUUAUUAUUCCAAUCUGUUAUUCGGCCACUGGAAUCAUUCAGUGCCCUAAGCAAAUCGAUCAAUGCUUCACCUGCACAUUAUCGUAAGUGAAGAACAAAAUUGUAUGUAGAACCAUAAAUGGCUGGUGAAAAGAACUUUUGUUUAUAUUACAAUUCUGAUAAAUGAAAAAUGAAAAAUUCUUGGACUUAGGUAAGGCAGAACACACAAACCAUGUGAGCACGGCAGUAGAUAAGGUAGAACACAUAAAGCCUGUGAGUACGACAGUAAAUAAGGCAGAAGCAAAGACAAGGGGCAAGGCCACAGCAACAACAACGACAAUGACCACAUCAAUGGAAAGCAAAGCAAGCAAAGACAACAUCAACGGCGGCAACAUCGACCACAACAGAAACACACCAGCAAAGGCAUGAGCAACAAUACUGGCACCAUAACAUGCAUGAGCAACAAUACUGGUACCGAACAACAGCAAUAUAAGGCACUGGCACCAGCAAGAGCAUUAAGGCCGGGACAUAAUAGGCAUCAUCAACAGUAAUCAACAUUGUCCCCAACAAGAGUCAUAAUAGGCAGGAGCAAUAAUAUUGUCCCCAACAAGAGACAUAACAGGGAUGAGCAACGGUACUGGCACCAGCAAAGGACAUAGUAGUUAGCAGCAAUAACAAUGACAAAUACUUCCAUUAUCGCACAAACAACUUAUCUUCACUCCCCCUCUUCCCCUGAAGAGAACGGGUCAUCAGAACCAUAAGAGAAGUGGCACUUAAGAAACAGAAGCUGACUUACGCUCAAAUGUAGAAGAAUCAGUCAUGGCAGAUAGGUAGCUAAAUUGCAGUGGAAUAGAUAAGCAGCGAUGUCACUCCCCCUCAAAUCCGACGAUGUAUGAGAGUCGAGAUUUGGAGAAAGCAACACCGAAAAAUAAAGUUGCAGCACCCAAAUAAAGUUGCAUCUAUUUCCCCAUCAAAUCUGACACUGGUAAAAGGUCGAGAUUUGGAAGAUGAUAAAUUGAAAUAAUAGUAAAGAGACUCAAACAUGCCAGUCUCGUGGCAGAAACAAAUGCAAGAGGGGAAGGUGGUAGCAUAAAGCUGUCCCAUGUAGAAAAAACUUUAGAAAAAGAGAAUAGUAAGGGAGGAAACCCAACAAAUCAUGAACAGAGACAAAGACAAAGAUAAGGUGCUCAAACAGGAAUUAGAGCAAAGGACACCGAAAAAAGGAAACCUUUCAUGUGUGGAAUAGGAAUAGAUAGAGUGCCCAUCAAAGGGAAGCAAUAUUAUAUAAGGGAGUUGUGAAAGCGAGAGAUAAUGCAGUGAGAAAACAACAAAAUGAAAGAGGUUGGUAAAAGAGAGAUGAGAAAUAGAGAGGACCUGAAAAGAGUUUGGUUGCAUAGCAGGGGAAACCACAUCGAUAGAUCAAAGAGGAAGAAACUAAAGAUAUUUAAAAAGUAAAGCAUGGGAAAUUGCAUGUGACAAUUUUUAAAAAGAAACUAGUGGAAGAAAGUGAGGUGCUAGAACCGAAAAAAGGAUAGAAUAAUGCUGUGAUUGAAGGAAAAUAAUGACAAAGGAAGGUAUCUGUGAGGAAAUAGACAAACAGAGAAAGGGAUGAAUAUUGGAAAGAGGCCAAAGGUAGAAAGAAAUAAGCAUAAGGGUAAAAGGGAAGGAGAUAGAAAAAUAAAUAAUAAACACCCAACGGGAAAGGCUAGAGUGACAAAGCUGGAGAGAUGGCGUGGGGAAAGAACACAACAAACACCAGCCAUUGGGCAUAGACAAACAAAAGAGAUAAACAUAAACAAAAGAGAGCUAAAUAGAGCAAAAAGAGAAACAAAGAAAGGGUGCUCAAAACUGAGAAGCGGAAAGGCAACUCAGGAGAACAGCCGAAGAUGACAGAGAUCGGCAGAACAAUCAAAGGAAAGGCUCGGUGAGUGGUGACAAGGCUCGCGGAGGAAAGCAACGGCUCGGUGAGCGGUGACGAGGCUCACGGAGUAAAAAGACCUGUUAUGAAGUUUCAAAGAUAAAGAAGCUGGGACAUCAAGAAAGACCAUCAGGCAUACAAAGAUUAAAAAUUAAAAAAUUUGGAACAAUAGCAAAGAAGCAUGUGAAGGCUAGGUGUGGUGAAAACACAUAUGAGAGGAUUGAUCAAAAGAAGAUGACUAUACAAGAUGAAGACCCAUGAUGGGUUAGGAAUGAGGAGUGCCAACGACUCUCAAUUUGACAGAGGUGAUCACAUGUUAGAAACUAGGCUCUGAUACUAUGUCAAACAAAGUAGGGUAAAUAUUCAAUUAUGCUCAGAUACGCUCAUAUUUUUAUUCUUCUCCAAUAUGGAGGUAUUUAUACAAGUACAAAGCUGUGUUAACCCUAAAUAAAAUAGGAAAUAUAUCUAAAUUACAAUAGGAAGUAAAUCUCUAUUACAAUAGGACUAAAUAAUAAUUGGUAAGUAACCAAAAUUCUAAUAAAAUAAGAAACCAAAAUCCUAACUAAGGAAGGAACCAAAAUCCUAACUAAAUAAGGACUUGCCAACAGCACGACCUUGAUGCACUAUGAGAAUCGAGGCGCUGGCCACAAUGUUGGACGAUGCCAAUGCAUCUCCCAAGGGUCCGAGCUCCGGGCAGUCACCCCACUCGGAUAGCCCGAACGUGAGUGGUGAGGAACCUGUUUGCCCUAUUCCCACGAUAUAAAGAUCAUAGUCAUUUCCCAUGGCGCUUAUCAAUUUGAGAGUUUCUUCUCCAUUGUUCAACACCUCGUGAAUUAAUUUUAUGGAAGGUUGGUUCCUAGCAUUGAGCACAAAGCUCUCUAUAUAUUGGUCGUCUAGUUGUUUCUCCUUCUCAUUUUCCUCUAUCAUCUCUAAAAUAUUCUUCUUUUCGUCCUCAUCAUGAUCGUGAUCAUUAUUAUUAGGAUUGUUGGGAGGGAGAUCUGAAUGAACUGCCGCAUCUUUACUGACAAUGAAACGAACCACAGUUAAGCUGAUAUUAGGUUUAGGGUUAGGAUUGCUGGCCAUCCUCCAUGCAUAUGCCAAUGCCUCGCGGUCAUCUGACCCACUAAUGAAGAGCAUGGCACAGCGGCAGCAGCCAUGGCCAUCUUCAUUUUUAAUGUUAGAUGAAUCGGUGAGUCCACGAUCCACGAAGAUGGCCACCGAACAAGAAGAGUUCUCUAGAAGGUUCUUGUUAAUGCCUCUAAAAGAGGGGUUUCCGUUGUCCAUUCCCCCGUCAAUGGUGGAUUGCUUGUGGAAAGGAAUGAUUAUGAGGUCUGCACUCUUGUCGUCCGCAAGGUUGCAAAUGUCCUCAUGCAUGGAGGCGUAAGAGGACACAACAGUUAGUGCGUCCACGAACAAGCUGCUUUCUUCACUUUCGGUCUCAAGUUUUUCAAAGGCAGCGACAAUUUGGUCAGAAGGCGAAGAAUGCUUUUGAUUUUUGGCUGUAAUUUUACUUGUCUUACGAAUAUUGCUGCAUGUGUCGUGGACUAUGAGCAUGGCAGAAGCAUGGCCACUGAGCUCCACCAGAUGGACCGCAAAGACGAACAUCGGGGAUUGUUUGGUGGGAUUGGAAAUCUCCAACAGAUUGAUGACGCUUGAAACAUUGCUUGUUCAAUGGAAGCAAGUAAGGAUUCGAAACUCUGAGUUGGCUUGUAUGCUUCUUAUGCUUCUGUGCGUGUGCUGCUUAGAUGGCACAUUCGACUUGUAAAUCAAAGCCAAAAUGGGUCCAACCGCUGCCGUCAUUAUCAAAAUUGCAAGCAUCAUUACUGAAAAAGUAUUGUGGUCCAAAACCUGCAUUUAUAUAUAUAUAUAUAUAUAUUUGCCAAUUAAAACAAUAUAAAAUCAGGAAUUUAACACAUGGUUUUAAGAUAUAUAUUUCUUAGAUGUAAUCUAUGUGUACUAUUAUUUAGGAGAACACUUGGUAUCAUUGUGUUAAAUUUCGGAGAGACGGGCCAGCGGUCCAUUACCAGCAACACCAAUAUUAUCCCCAACUUGAUUAAUUAAUCAUGGAAUAUUGUGUGUAUGUGGGUGUGGAAGAGGCAACUGCACAUGCAAUAAUGAAAUAGUUGUACAUAAUAGUAUAUACAUACAUGUAAGUCCCGCCCAGAAUUGAGGAUUAUUAUAGCCAGCAGGCCUUUGGUGUUCAUGACUAGUCCGAAAGCCAAACUGUCCCUCACCGACAUUUUGUUGAUGAUGGCAGCGACAAAAGUCGCAACAAAUUUAGCGAGGAAAGCCAGGGCAACAAUUGACAUGACAAUUAGAAGGCUUGUACUGCGAAAGACAACAACGACAUGCGUUCUCAUCCCAAGAAUCAAAAAGAAGAAGGCGACGUAGCACAAGCAACAAAGGUUUCAAGCGAAACCUUAAGUAACAAGAUAUCUGGAUUCCACCAAAAAUUAAGAGGAAUUUUAUUGGGAUAAUUGUAUUAAAAUCUGAGAUAAUGAAAAACGACAGACAAACCAGUCUAAAUACACAAUUCUCAACCCUUGAACUGCCAGGGGAGUUAUUACAUUAAAACUAAAAAAACAGAAUUAAUUCGGAGGCUUAACUACGUAACUCCGAAACUGAAAACAGAAUUUAUUCGGAUAAUUAACUACGAAAUUUGAAAGCAGUUUUGGAAGGCCAAACGACCUCAGAAUGCCAAAAUCCAUCAUACAUCACAGCUAGGCUGUGAGUUUGACUCGUGGCGUCGUUCCCUUUUCGAAAUGGUAUUUUGCGUCCUAAUCUGAGCUCGGACGACAAAUCUGCAAAUUCCCGCUACGUCCUUUUUUUAGCUCAACCGCGAUAAAAUCUGCCAUCUGUUCUACAUCAGUCCCCUCCACCGCUGAAGAACUCGACCCCGAGUUAUGAUCUGGAUAAAGGACCUCAUCUUCACAGAACUCAUAUAAAUCUGCAACAUUAAAAAUAUUGGAAAUUCCCAUGGAAUCUGGUAACUCAAUAACAUAGGCAUUAUCAUUGAUCCGUUUGAGCACUUUGUAAGGACCAUAUUUUUUUGGUUUAAGCUUGCUAUAUGUGCCAACUGGAAACCUCUCCUUCCUCAGAAAUAUCAUCACAGAAUCGCCUUCCCGAAACACUUUAACUCACCUAUGCCUAUCUGCAGCAGCUUUGUACUUUGCAUUAGUUUGCUCAAGUUUCUGCUUGACUUCAUCUCGAACGGCAACUACUUCCUCUGCCAAAUUUUUUGUUGCCACACUGGUUUGCUGGCCCCUAGGCAGUUUCACCAAAUCUACAACAUGAUUAGGUAUAGCAGUAUAAACAAUGGAAAAUGGAGACUUCCCAGUGGCACUAUGGACUGCACUGUUAUAUGCAAACUCCACCUGCGGUAGUGCAUAAUCCCAUUGUUUUGGCUUCUCUCCACAGACGCUGCGUACCAUAUUGCCCAAUGUCCGGUUUGUAACCUCAGUCUGGCCAUCGGUUUGGGGAUGGGCAGUGCUGCUACGAUUCAAAGUAGUCCCAAACAGCCUCCACAAGGUGAUCCAAAAAUGGCUCAAGAACUUGGUGUCACGAUCGGAUGUAAUGGAUGUAGGAACCCCAUGCAAGCGAACAACCUCCCUGAAAAACAGUUUGGCUAUAUUUGAUGCAUCAGCAGUCUUUUUGCAGGCUAUGAAAUGCGCCAUUUUUGAGAACCGAUCAACCACCACAAAUACAGAGUCCACUCCCCUUUGUGUUCGGGGCAAUCCGAGGACAAAAUCCAUAGCAAGAUCCUGCCAAAUAUCGUUAGGAACUGGUAAUGGCAUAUAUAAUCCAGUGUUUUGUACCUGCACCUUCGAAGUUUGACAAGUGUAGCACUUGCGCACAAUAGUUCCAACAUCUCGUUUGAGCUGUGGCCAGUAAAAUCUCUCCUCCAUCCCUGCAAUUGUUUUAUCAUGGCCUAGGUGGCCACUCAACCCUCCACCAUGCAAGUCCCGAAUGAGCUUCUCCCUUAAGGAGGAAACUGGAAUACAUAACUGGUUGCCUUUGAACAAAUAACCUUCAUUAAGGAAGUAAUCUGCCAUCGGCUCUUGAUUGGUGCACUUAGUCCAAAUUUCCCGAAAAUCAUCAUCACCUUCAUAUAAUUCCUUCAGACAUUCAAACCCCACAACUUCUUGAGUCAGCGUGACUAACAAUGAAGCUCUUCGACUCAGCGCAUCCGCCACACGAUUUGUCUUGCCGGAAUUAUGCUUGAUAACGAACGAAAAUUUCUGCAAAAAAGUCACCCAUCUAGCAUGCAUCUUAUCAAUAUUUUUCUGGCUGUUAAUAUACUUCAACGCUUGAUGAUCUGUAAACAGAACAAAUUCCUUCUGGAUAAGAUAGUGCUCCCAUUGCUUCAAAGCUCGAACAACCGCAUAGAACUCUUGGUCAUAAGUACUCCACUUUUGACAUGCAUCCCUCAACUUUUCAGAGAAGAACGCAACUGGCCGCUUGUCUUGUGAAAGCACAGCUCCGACUCCCACACCGCUGGCAUCACAUUCAACUUCGAAAACUUUCUCAAAGUUUGGAAGGGCUAGAACCGGCGCGGUGCAAAGCUUUUCUUUUAUAUUUGCAAAGCUUUUCUCUUGCUCCUCUCCCCAGCUGAACCGGCCCUUCUUCAAACACUAUGUGAUAGGUGCAGCGAUGGAGCUGAAAUGUCUCACAAAUCUUCUGUAAAAGGUGGCCAAACCAUGGAAACUUUGAACUUCAGAAACUGUUUUUGGAGCUGGCCAGUCAAGGAUUGCCUUGAUCUUCUCGUCAUCUACCUGGAUACCAUUCUCACCAACAACAAAACCCAAGAACAGUAGCUUAUUUGUGCAGAAAGUACAUUUUUUUAGGUUCACAUACAGUUUAUUUUCUCUCAAAACAUCUAAAACUUGUCUCAAAUGCACAAGAUGUUCCUCUUUUGUGGUACUGUAAAUUAAGAUGUCAUCGAAAUAAACUACGACAAAAGAGCCAAUAAAUGGUCGAAGAACCUGAUUCAUGAGUCUCAUGAAAGUGCUAGGCGCAUUUGACAAUCCGAAUGGCAUCACCAACCAUUCAAAUAAUCCGUCUUUGCUCUUGAACGUUGUUUUCCAUUCGUCGCCAGGUCUGAUGCGAAUCUGGUGGUAACCGCUUUGCAAAUCUAUCUUGGAAAACACCCUUGAGCCGCUAAGAACAUCCAGCAUAUCCUCCAACCGUGGAAUGGGAAACCUGUACUUGACUGUUAUCUUGUUGAUUGCUCGGCUAUCAACACACAUUCGCCAAGUCUUGUCUUUCUUCGGAACCAGCAAAACAGGAACUGCGCAGGGACUCAAACUCUCCCUGAUAAAUCCCUUCUGCAGUAAUUCUUCAAUCUGCUCUCUUAAGAUGUCAUUCUCCUUGGGGCUCAUCCGAUAAUGGGGCAGAUUCAGAAGGCUAGCUCCAGGCACCAAGUCAAUUCGGUGUUGUAUGUCCCGCAUAGGUGGCAGCUCGUUUGGCAAUUUUUCAGAAAGUAAUUCCUGAAACUGUGACAAAAUCUGCUGCACUGAUGUAGAACAGAUGGCAGAUUUUAUCGCGGUUGAGCUAGAAAAAGGACGUAGCGGGAUCUGGAUAAAGGAACUUGAUUUGCUUGUGCUGCGUCACUAUUGCUCGUUUUCUUUCUCUCCAUUAGUCAACGUCUACUGGCCUGGUAAUUAUUGACUAAAUAGUGCAUUAAUUCCUUGUAAUUAUAAAAUAGUGGCUUUAAGUUCUUUCGUUUUUUUCUUUGGAUUUAACAGUGGCUAAACUCAAAACCACCGUUACACUAGAAUCAAUAGGAUCAGAAUCUUUCCAAAUCACCGUUACACUAGAAUCAAUAGGAUCGAAUAUAUAUAUAUAUAUUCUUUAAAGAAUUAAUAGGAUCAAAUUGUUGAGAUUCAAUUACAAGAUCCCCUGAAAAGGUGGAAGAAGAAACAAAAAGUCCUCCCUUAGGUUACUUGAAUUAAAACUGGCUUCUUAAUUAUUCAAAAGUAUCUGUGGAUGAAUCAAUGCAGACUACUUAGACUUCACAUUUCAUGCCUUAAGACUUCGUGCAUAGUGAUCACAUAUUUUCUAUUCGCAAACUAUCUUUUAGAGUAAAGUCUACUAGGUUGGAAUAUUAUUAUUUUAAUUGGGUUACAAAGUUAUAAUAUUAACGAUGAUGACCUACAAAUAGUUUUAUUUUAUAUGUAUAUGGAUCACAAUAUUUAUCAAUAUGUAUAGUUCAGGUUAGGAAACGACAAAAUGUUGAUAUGACUAGGAGCUUAAAGAAUUAAUGAAGCGUGGAUGCAUUGACAAGGGUGGACCAUAUAUAGAUGUGGACAUCAAAAAUAAAAACAAAAACAAAUAUAUGAAAUGUGACGGACGUGGUGUUUCAUUUUCAGUUUUUCUAAUAGCAUCUUACGGAAAUCAUAGUCUAAAUUAUUUUAAGUUAUUUUAACAUACGAAAAGGUUAAUGGGUCUAGUCUAGUGGAAAAGAGUAUUAACUUACAGAUCAGUGGUCUCAGAGUCAAAUCCUCAUAACACCUUGAUGGUGUGUGUGAAAAACUCCCUCUCUUUUGUAGUUUAUAUUAUCGCUUAUAUUGCAAAAUUAUAUAUAUACAAAAGAGAGUAUUAAUUAGUUAUUAUUGCUUGUUAAUUCAUGAAAAUGAAAUGGUGAUGAUGAAUAGGUAGGACCAAGGGUGAAGAAGGACAGGGAGAGAUUUCCACCAAACAACGUACUUCUGGUGUUAGCAGGAGCCGGGUUGCUGUGGAUGGGAUGGGCAGGUUUCAACGGGGGAGACCCGUACGUGGCAAACACGGACUCAUCCAUGGCCGUCCUCAACACCAACAUCUGCGCCGCCACGAGCUUCUUGGUUUGGACUUGGCUCGAUGUCAUCUUCUUUGAGAAGCCUUCCGUCAUUGGAGCUGUCCAAGGAAUGAUCACUGGCCUCGUCUGCAUUACUCCUGCUGCAGGUACGUAUUACGUAAGUUCUCAAGUUGACUUUUUUCCAGAGUUGAGUAAAGUUGAAUUAUAUGCCUAUGGGUUUAAUCUAGUGAAAAAGGAACUUGAUUUGCAAAACAAUAAGAGUAUAUGUGAGAAAACUCCCCUCCUUUUCAAACCUUGACCCAAAAAAAAACAAAGCAAAGUUGACUUAUAUUUAUCAUCCCAAUUAAUAAAAACAAAAUUAAUAUACUUACUUACUCGUCACAAAACGCAUUGCCUUCCAUUAAUUAAUCCAGAAAAAAUAAGUUUAUUUGACUUUUGACUAUUCAUAUUUACGUUCCCUCACAGACCACGUUCUAGUUCUAUUUGGUAUCCUACUUGGAUUCAAUUUUAUAAACUCAAAAACAAAUUUUGAAGUUUAAAACCACAAAAACUCGUUUGAUAUGCCCCUUUUUAAAAACUCAAACUCAAGAAAAAUUCAAAAGCACCCCUUUAUUAAAAAAAAAAAGAAGAAGAGGUUUUAUAGUUUUUUUCUCUCUCCUCCCUCUCCCUGUCUCUUUCUCUCUCCUUCCACUUCUCUCUCUCUCUCUCUCUCUCUCUCUCUCUCCUUUUAUUUUGGAGGUUUCAAUUUGAGAAUUUAGGGUUUCUGAUUUUAAUUUCAAUUUUUUUAGAUCUUAAAAAUAGUUUGGAGUUCAAUACCAAAAAAGUUUUUGAAUCUUAAAAUCACCAUUUGAAAACUCAUAUUUUAAAAAAGAAUCAUAGUUUUUGAAUUUUUUUUUUUUUUUUUUUUUUGAGUAGGAUACCAAACAAGGCCAAUUUCCUUUAAAAAAAUUCUCAUAUGGUUCUCUAACGUUUUCUCUAAAUAUAUUUGCAUCUCUUUAUAUAUAUUAUUUAGCCAGUUUUUAACAGGAGAGGUGACUCAUGGCAUGUUGUGUUGACCAUGCACAGUCAUUUAAUUAACCAUAUUAACUAGCUAGCUUUUAUUUUACUUUUGUUUGUUCAUAGACUGAUACAAUAUUAUUGUUUAAAUAUGUAAAUUAUUUAGGUCUGGUUCAAGGAUGGGCCGCUAUAGUGAUGGGAGUUAUGUCAGGCAGUGUGCCAUGGUUCACCAUGAUGAUAGUGGACAAGAGGUGGAAACUGCUAUCUGCAGUUGACGACACCCUUGGUGUAGUUCACACCCACGCCGUGGCCGGGUUUCUUGGCGGCGUUUUAACGGGGCUUUUCGCUGAGCCUGAACUAUGUGCACUCUUUUUGCCCGUCACAAACUCGCGCGGAGGCGUGUACGGAGGCUCAGGAUUAAUGCAAAUCCUCAAACAAAUUGUGGGAGCCCUAUUUAUCAUUGGAUGGAAUAUUGUGGUCACCUCCAUUAUUUGCCUAGUCUUACGGUGUAUAGUUCCGUUGCGCAUGCCGGAGGAACAGUUACUGAUUGGGGAUGACGCAGUGCAUGGAGAAGAGGCAUAUGCAUUGUGGGGUGAUGGGGAGAAGUAUGAUGUUACUAGGCAUGAGCUUUACUCCGACGAUACGUCACACGCUCAAAAAUAUCCAUCCAGUGGUGCCACUCAGGUGGUCUAACUCAAAGUUAUAUAUUAUUUAUGUUAAUAAUCUGUUCCAAAAAGAAAAAAGAAAAAAAAGGCCAAAAAUGAAAAGAGGAAAAAACGAAGUACGAAAAAUAGGUGUUAUUGUCAAUUAUUAUCUUAUUUUCUGGUGAUCUUUUCAAUGUUUUAUGUAAACUGCCUAUUGCCUCCGGUACUUAUUCAGGGAAAUUUGGAACACCAAACCAUUUUUAACAUGUUUAAGAUUAUUAGCCCCUUUUUUUAAUUUACAAAAUAUAAUCACUAGAGCCCUCUCGAAUAGUGUUACCUUUACUUGAACCCUAGCAUUAGUACUUGGAUCUUUAUUAGUAACUACAAAGGCUCCAUUUGGUGGAGAGAGACUUUCAUGCAACAGAAAUAACACUUUUUGUUAUCUUCGAUCAAUAGAGCAAUAACAUGCGGGAUAAUUCUUCCACGUGUCAUUGCAUUAUUGACCGAGAAUAGCUAAACAAUGAUAUCCUCGUUACAAGAAAUUUGUUUUUUGCAUUUGGUGGAUGGAUAAAAACACUGGAUUGGAUCCAUAAUCAUACUCCUGUGUUUAGUGGCCCAAGUCCACUUGGAUUGGAUUAGUUCUAAAUUCUAUUCCUGUCAAACUCAAUUUUAGUAGGAUUAGGAAUCCCCCCAAAACUAGGGAUGGACAUUCAAACUGGAAAACCGAAAAAUUGCGCCGACAAAAAACCGCAAUUUUGUACAGUUUUAGUUAUGAUUCUUGUAGUGAAAAAGCUUGACUGGGUCAAACCAGACCAACCAUGUAUUUUUUAAAAUUUUAAUAAAUAUUUAACCCCAUUACUAAAUUUGUAAGCCUAUAACUAAUCUUUCUCUAAAUCACCUAUAUUUUUUAGGCCCAAUCACCUCCCUUUGCAUUAAAUUAGGUCACUUGUGAAUUUUUAAAAUUCAAAAUUCAAAAAAAAAAUAUUUAAAAAACAAGGGUAUACUAGUGAUUUGCCCCUGAACUUGUACCUAAUUUUCGAUUAACCCCCUAUCCUUUUUUUUUCGAAAAUUAAGGAUAUGAACUUUUUUUUUCCGCCAAUUUCCCCCCUAUCGUCUAAAUUCUCAACAUUUCAUCCAAUUUUCAGUUAAAUCAUUUUUAAAAAAUUACUUUUUUUGAAAAAAUUGAAGAAAAAGAGUAAACCUAAUGCCAACCCCUUCCAUCUCCUCCCUUUCUCCUCCCAUUCUCCCAUGACCACCAUCCUUUACUCCCAGACCAAUCCCCCACCCCCACACCCUUCAAUCCACAGACCCCUCCCUCCUCCUCUCCCUUUUUGUUCUUUCAACCACAGACUCAUCACCAUCAUCCCCAACAGACCUUCCUCCCUUUCCGCCGUCGCCGCCUCCUCUCUCUCUCUCUUUCUCUCUCUCUCUCUCUCUCUCUCUCUCUCUCUCUCUCUCUCUCUCUCUCUCUCUCUCUCUCUCUCCCCACACACACACUCCCUCAAUUUCCCACCCCAUCUGUCAAUUUCAAUACCUCCACACUCGAAAAGAUUUCUGUCGAUCCAUCCUUUUCAAUACCCUCCCACCUCAAGCUUUUUUCAGAUACGCACAUGGCCCAUCAAUCACUAUAUCAAAAAAUUCAAUCUUAACCACUUGGAUUUGGAAAAUGAAGAUCAAAAUCAGAUAAAAUCUAAUAGAGUGUAAGUCCAUGCCACCGGAUAGCAUUUGGGGUGGGAGGUUGUGAGGAAGAAGAAAAAACAGAAGGGAGGGUUGGGGUGGGGUGGAAGGGCCAUUCGAAGUCAUAUGGAGAGAGGGAGAGUAGAGGGGCCAGAAAAAAUAGAUGGAGAGGGUGGGGGUGAGGGAGAGAGUGAUUGGUUGGAUGUGCCUCUCUCUUAUUAAAAUAUGUUUUCUUUCAUUUUAGAUUUCAUAUUAAUGUAUUUGUGUAUUUAAUUAUUUUAACAUAUAAAAUGACCAUUUUGCCCUCAUAUUUAAGGCAAAUUGGAUGAAAUAUUGCAGAUUUAGAUGGCAGGGGGGAAAUUGGCGAAAAAAAGAAGUUCAUAUUCUUAAUUUUCUAUAUAAAAAAAACAGGAUAGGGGGUCAAUUGAAACCAAAGUACAAGUUCUGGGGGCAAAUCACUAGUAUACCCAAAAAACAAAAAUUUCAGUCCAAAACCAACUUAUGGGCAAAUCAGACCGCACUGGAAUGAAUAAUUUUUUUAUUUUUUUUAAUCAAAAUCAAACCAAACCAAACCAAAUAAAUAGUGCUAGUUCCGGUUUGGGGUGAGUACCAGAUCGUGCUCACCCCUAACAAAAACAAAGGGAUAAACUCGGAUAUGCUACAAUCGAGUGCAACCCAACCCUGACAGAUUAGGUUGCAGUCGUCUCCUCCAAUCUUCAUCCCCAAUGUUGAGCCUCCAUCACCUCGACGAUAACUCAACCAUCUCCGACAAACUUGAGCAAUUUCCAGCAAAACCCACCCAUCUCUUGCCCAAACCAUUUCAUCACUGAUCAUAUUUCUCCUAUGAACUUCUUCAUCAUAAGUGAUCAUUUCAUCAUUGAGAUUCUCAACAUCUUGUGUUUUUGUUAGAUUGUAUGUGAGUUUUGAUUAUUUGACAAUAUUUGAGUAGUUUAUAGGUUAGGAUAAAGCUUGAAUUCAGCGGAAAAUUUUCAUUUUUUCUAUAAAUAUUUGACAUACAAUAUUGGAUUUUUUUUCAUUUUCUCUUUUACAUUUCCUGGGUUUUUGUAAUGUUUGAAAUCUGUGUGUGUCUGGGACUGCAAUUGGGUAUAUUCUUUGAAGGCCCAAUUUUGUCUUUUACAAAUUUACAACUGCUAUUAAAUUUCUAAUAUCAAUUUAAGCAAUUAACGGAGUGGAGAUGAUUAAAUUUGUUUAAAUUUAUAUUGAUUAUGAUUAUUUAUAAAUUUAUAUACAUUAUGGUUAUUUAUAGUUUAUUUUUUGGAUUUAUAAUUGGGAUAUUUGUAGAAAUGUCACAUGAACUUAUACCUUAGUUUCAAUUUGUCACCUGAAAAAAAAAUUUAAGAGAAAUGUCACCUGAAUUUUUCAAAAUCUAUCAUUUGUCACUUGACUUUAACAUCAUCCAAUUUUCCAUCUAUUUUGAAGGGUAAUUUAGUCUUUUUAUUUUCAAUGGUAUUUUAAAAAUAGAAAAUUCAUUAUAAAAAAAUUAUAUAUCUUGUAAAUAAUUAAAAAUAAAAAUAAAAAAUUAUGAAAAAAAAACUUCUCUCUUCCCCCUGGGUGCGGUCGUAAGGCAUUCAGUAUUUCUACACUACUACUACUACUACUGUUCGUCCGCCCUGCAAAAUUAACAGUGAGAUUAAAUAGCUUUUUGUCCCACAAUUGUGCUUUCUCAACCUCGCUCUUAUCUGUCGCAUCCCCCCCAAGUUGUAUUUCCAGACUUCCCUCAAGGUUCAAGUUUCUCAGAUCCCCAAUUUGGAAUGCUUCAUCUUUGUCGCCAUUACACGAACACACAUCUAGUGUUUGCAAACUUGUUAAUCUCCCUAUCACUUUGGGGAACGACUCCAGAAGACCACAAUACUCAACAUAAAGAUGCUUUAAGUUAAUCAAGUUUCCCAUGUUUUCAGGCAGUUUUGUAAGGUUAGAGCAGAGCACAAGGCGCAAGGUUGACAAAUUGUACAAACCACAAAUAGUGUCUGGUAAUUUCUUCAGUAUAUGAUUGGAAGACAAAUCAAUAUGCCUCAAAUGUAUCAAUUCACCAAUCUGCUUCGGGAGUUCUUCGAUGGAAUUACGAUUCAAAUUUAAUGUCCUAAGACAUUUCAAUUGUAAAAUUAAAUUUGGGUCUAUGGUAGUAAUUCUUGAAUCAAAAGUUGCGAGCGUGCGAAGAUUUUUGCAAUUGUAAGAUGAGAUAAAAAGUGGAAGUGGACCUUCAGGAAUAUAUCUCAAGGUUAAAUGACGAACCUUAUCACCAAAUACCUUUGAUUCACUGGUAAUUUCCUCACCAUGAUCGAUAAUCAAACACUCAUUCUUGGUGAGAAAUUGUACAAAGUCAUGCACAAUAUCAUGCAUUUUGCAACCUAUAAUGGUACCGGUGUCAGGAUCUUUCUCAAAAUCUUGGAAAAAUGACCGUGCCACUAAGUUGUCAAAAACUGCAUCACCCGUUGUUCCCUUUUCUUUAUUCCCUUUCGAAAUAACGUAGUCUUGUGCCAUCCAAAGUUUAAUCAAAUCAUCUCGUUCAAACUUGUGAUCUUUUAGAAAAGUAGCACAAUAUAAAAGGCAACAUUUAAUUGUUGGGGCCAAAUCAUUAUAACUUAGGAAUAGGGGUUGGAAAACUUCUUGCUCGACCUUCUCUAGAUCCCAUAUCUUACUAUGCAAAACUUCUUUCCAUUCUCCAAUUUUUGUCUUAUUCUGCAUGAGACUACCCAAAGUCUUUGCAGCAAGAGGCAAACCUUUACACUUCUUUACAAUUUCCUUACUAAUAUCUCCAAACUCAUGUACAUCCCUAUCCCAAAAGGCCAUGUGAUUGAAGAUUGACAAACAACAUUCAUCAUUCAACUCUCCCAGAUUGAUCUUGUUUCUUGUUGCUCUCAUCAUGUCAGCAACCUCAUGUUUUCUUGUGGUCACCAAUAUUCUGUUGCCUUUAGCACCAUUUUGGAUUAAUGGUACCUUUAAUUGUUCCCACUUUUUAGGAUCAUCGGUCCAUACAUCAUCCAGGACAAGGAGAAACCUUUUGCCCUGGAUGGAUGUAGACAUACAUUCCAAGACCUCAUCCAACUCAUUUGAAUUUGGGGCGUUUUUACCAAUAAUGGCUUUGGCAAUCUUAAUCUCAUCAAAAGGGUCUGAAACACAAACCCAUUUCCUCAACUCAAAAUGGGUUUUGACUCGGUCAUCAUUAUAGGCUAGUUGGGUUAAAGUUGUUUUUCCCAUGCCUCCCAUCCCGACAAUAGGGAUGAUAGGGAGCCCCUUCCCUUCCGCAGUACUAUCACUCAACAAGUGUUUUAUCAAAACCUCUUUUUCAUUUUCUCGACCAAAUAUCCCAGAUAUAUCGACAAAAGAUGCAGUUUGAGGUCGUUGAGGUUGUUGAGGUUGUUGAAUGCCUAAUUCUUUGCUUAGAAACUGGUACUUUUUUCUUUCCUCAUAAAUCUCAGUUAACUUAUCAUUCAGAUCUUUUAUUUUCGGAGCAAUGUCACUGACUUUGCCAACACAAAAGAAACGGGGGAAACUAGAGAAACGUACCUUCUUUGUAACAUGAGCAUUUGGAUCACCUUCUCUUUCUUGCUUCUCAACUUGUUGUUUGAGAAUGUUUGUGUUCCACUCAUCCAGCACAUCCACCAUCUGGUAGGAUACAUCUUUCAGCUCAUCCAACCAGAUUUUGACAGCUGGAUCCGUCAGUUGGCGUUGCUCUGCAUCCUCAAGCUCAGCUUGAAUAACUCGGAGAGUCCGAGUGAAUUUCUUAACAUCUUCCUUAAUGUUCAAAACAAGGUUCACCCCUCCUCCUAGAUAUGUCCAAAGAGUUCAGGAAGUCAUAUAGGAGACUAUAAAUCUUACAUGAUCAAGCAGAAGAACAUCCUCCUCUUCUUCAAGCCGAGCAAAAUCUAUAGCACGCUGACCAGUGACAAGUUCGAGAAGUGUGAUACCAUAUCCAAAAACAUCAGUCUUUUCUGACGAUUUUCCAGUGGACAAAUAUUCUGGGGCAAUAUGACCCAUGGUACCACGCACUUUAUUAAGUCUUGCUGCUAUGAAUCAGUGGUCACUAAGGCAACUCGAUGUGAAAAAUGCCUUCCUUCACGGAGAUUUAGAGGAGGAGGUGUUUAUGCGUCAACCACAAGGGUAUGAAGAUCCUGCUCAUCCAGAGUAUGUGUGUAAGCUCAAGAAAUCAUUAUAUGGUCUAAAGCAAGCUCCAAGGGCUUGGAAUGCUAAAUUCACAGGAUAUCUGCCAGCACUGGGGUUCAAAAUAUCCCGCUCUGAUACCAUGUGAACAAACAUAUUCAGAGAGGAGUGAAGACGAUAUCUAAAGAAGAAGAAGAGGAAGGAAAUAGAAACAGAGAGAAAAUUGUAAAUUCUGAUUUCUGUAUUGCUUAACCACAUUCACCAGCACUGUUACACUUUAUAUCAGUUUAUGCAAAGCUUACCCGUAUAACUAAUCUAACUGUCUAACUAAUUCUACUAACAACCCACGUGCCUUGCACACCUGAUUUACUAACUGUUUAAUAUCACAGUAGAUGUCCAAGAAUCCAUAGUGAUGUAUGGGGACCUUCCCAUUUCAAGUCUCUAGAUGGCUAUAGGUACUUUGUAUCUUUUCUGGAUGAGUGUACUGGUUACUUGUGGCUUUUUCCACUAUUCAAUAAAUCAGAGGUGUUUUCUAAGUUUCUUCAUUUCACUGCAUAUGUUCAGAAUCAGUUUAAGGCAACCAUUCAAUGUCUGCAGAGUGAUGGGGGUGGUGAAUAUAGUAGCCACUUGUUUUCUAAGUUUCUGUCAUCCAAAGGUAUUCUUCAUCAAGUGUCCUGCCCAUACACACCUCAACAAAAUGGAAUGGCCGAGAGAAAGAAUAGGCAUAUUAUCGAAACUGCUAUUACUAUGUUGACUGAAGCUUCUUUACCAGGAAAGUUUUGGUUUCAUGCGACUGCUCAUGCUGCCUAUUUAAUAAAUCGAAUGCCAAGUUCUACCUUGGAUAAUCAAGCUCCGUAUUUUCGGUUGUUUGGAAAGGAUCCUAGUAUUCACUCAUUGAGGGUUUUUGGUACGGCGGUAUAUCCUUAUCUUCGUCAUUAUAAUGUACACAAGCUACAACCUCGCACAACUAAGUGUGUAUUUCUAGGAUAUGCUACUGGAUAUAAAGGGGUUAUUGGAUAUAAUUAUGCAAAUGCAAAAUGUGUGAUUUCUAGGGAUGUCAUCCAUGAUGAGUCUGUGUAUCCUUUUGUGCCUCCCAUCACUCCACAGCAGUCCUCUACUUCAUCUUCUGGUAUGAACACAUCUCCAAUUAUAAUUUCUCUUCCAUCUCAGUUAGAGUCUGAUUCUGCAGGUCCUGAUAUAUCUGUGGGUGGGGUCUCCGUAAGCUCCAGCUUUAUACCUGCUCAUUCUAUUCCUAGAAUUGGACCUAUAUCAGCUGCAUCUCCCUCUGAACAGUUUGAGAAUGAUCAGCAUGCCUUUAGUGACCAGCAACUACAGGCUAUCCUACCUUAUGACGCCUCUUCCCCUCUUCCACUUCCUCCUAACCCAGAACCAGUAAACACUCAUGCAAUGCAGACUAGAUCCAAGUCGGGUAUUGUUAAGCUGAAACAGUUUCAAGAUUAUCAAGGCUAUUUCACCUGUUUAACUGCUGGUGUUGAGCUCGAUGAACCGUGUAGUUAUAAGGUGGCCUCGUACUCAGCUGAAUGGCGGCAGGCUAUGCAGGAGGAAAUUGAGGCUCUUCAAUCCCAAGGUACUUGGAGUUUAGAGCCUAAUCCAGGCAACAAAAAUAUAGUUGGAAGUAAAUGGCUAUAUAAAAUAAAGAAGAACUCAGAUGGAUCUGUUGCAAGGUACAAAGCUAGGCUGGUUGCUCAGGGAUUUAGUCAACAACCUGGUUUAGACUUUGGGGAAACAUUUAGCCCUGUCGUCAGACAUACCACAGUUCGGUUGGUAUUAAGUCUUGCUGCUAUGAAUCAGUGGUCACUAAGGCAACUCGAUGUGAAAAAUGCCUUCCUUCACGGAGAUUUAGAGGAGGAGGUGUUUAUGCGUCAACCACAAGGGUAUGAAGAUCCUGCUCAUCCAGAGUAUGUGUGUAAGCUCAAGAAAUCAUUAUAUGGUCUAAAGCAAGCUCCAAGGGUUUGGAAUGCUAAAUUCACAGGAUAUCUGCCAGCACUGGGGUUCAAAAUAUCCCACUCUGAUCCGAGUCUGUUUGUGAAACACGAAGGUUUAGAUGUGAUCGUGUUGCUGCUAUAUGUCGAUGAUAUUAUAUUAACUGGCUCUAAUGCAGAUUUGGUACAAAGUGUGGUUGAUAACCUGAGUUCAGUUUUUGAAAUGAAAGAUAUGGGUCGCCUUGCUUAUUUCUUAGGAUUGCAAAUUGCAUAUCCUGCCUCAGGAGGUUUGUUUGUGAGUCAAACGAAAUAUGCUAAGGACCUGUUGCAUAAAGCUGGAAUGCAGUCGUGCAGAGCCUGUUCAACUCCAUGUAAACCACAUAAUCAAAUUUUGACAGAUUGUGGUGAACCGUUAUCUGAUCCCACCAUGUUUAGAAGUGUUGUUGGGGCUUUACAGUAUUUGACAUUCACAAGACCUGACUUGGCCUAUGCAGUAAACACAGUCUGUCAAUAUAUGAAUAAUCCUACUGAUGUUCAUUGGUUGCUAGUCAAAAGAAUCUUAAGAUAUGUUCAAGGUACUCUGAGCUUUGGCAUCAAUUUUACGAGUAGCAGUACUAGAGUAAGUGAUCCAUGGCAGUUGUCAGCAUAUAGUGAUGCUGACUGGGCUGGGGACAUCAACACAAGGAGAUCUACCACAGGUUUUGUAGUGUUUUUAGGACCUAAUCCCAUCUCUUGGCAGUCCAAAAAGCAGGGAUCAGUCUCCAGGAGCUCCACAGAGGCAGAGUAUAGAGCCUUGGCAAACACUGCUGCAGAUAUUGCUUGGAUCAGACAGGUGUUGCAGGAUGUGAAAUUCUUUCUACCUAAUCCUCCUGUAAUGUAUUGUGACAAUCUAUCUGCCUUAGCACUUAGCUCCAAUCCUGUCUACCAUUCCAAGAUCAAACAUCUGGACAUUGACUAUCAUUUUGUGCGAGAGAAAGUUCAGAAGAAAGACUUACUGGUACAGUAUGUCCCUACAGAAGAACAAGUGGCAGAUGUAUUCACAAAAGGAUUACAUAGUCCUAUAUUCUCAAGACAUUGUAGUCAUCUUCGAUUAGGGGAUGUAACAGGGUAGGGAAAAUGUUAACUGUGAUAUUAAACAGUUAGUAAAUCAGGUGUGCAAGGCACGUGGGUUGUUAGUAGAAUUAGUUACACAGUUAGAUUAGUUAUACGGGUAAGCUUUGCAUAAACUGAUAUAAAGUGUAACAGUGCUGGUGAAUGUGGUUAAGCAAUACAGAAAUCAGAAUUUACAAUUUUCUCUCUGUUUCUAUUUCCUUCCUCUUCUUCUUCUUUAGAUAUCGUCUUCACUCCUCUCUGAAUAUGUUUGUUCACACACUUGAGUGGUAACGUGAGUUGAUUUUGUAUCAACCAGCUUUGCUAGCCCAAAAUCUCCAAGAACGGGCUCAAAAUUAUCAUCUAGAAGAAUGUUUGCAGCCUUUCAGUCACGGUGUAUAAUCUUAGGAUUACAAUGCUCAUGUAAAUACUCUAAGCCAUGGGCUGCACCAAAAGCGAUGCGUUUCCUUGUUGACCAGUCCAAGCCUUUCUCACCAGGUUUUAAAUCUAACACAUAUAUCAGGAAGAAAAUGUUAUGAAUUAAAAAUAUUGAACAGUAGAUAUAUGAGAAUCGUGAUAUGCCAUUCCAAAGAAUUAAGUGAUGAUUAACCUUCAAAUGAACAAGCAUAAAAUACAAAUGAUGUAAAUCCUAUCUCCCCCCUUAAGAAGUAGGGAGGGGGGUGUUCAGGAUGUCCUUACUUGAAUAUUGAGUUGGUUGAAGAAAAUAGAAAUUUGUAUUUGGGAAUUUGAAUCACAAAAUGGUGGUUAUAUAUCAAUACGUGCGAUGAAAGACCUCCUCCAUAAGUAUGGGCUCGAAGGUGAGGUUGACCGUACGAUACCUAAUAUGGGUGUAAGUAAAAUUACCAAGAAAAACAACAAAGGAAGUAAGGAUUAGGGAGCAUCUCAGAAAAAAUUUCAAGGAUGGUACCUCAUGUCAUAAUAUGUUGCAGAAUUCUAUUGCUAAAUUAAACCACGAAAACAGAAGUAAAAUUACAGGCUCUCAAAUGGAACAGAACUUGGCAACAGCAAUGAUUUUUUCUUCUUUCUUUUGGGACUGAACACUGAAUUAGGGCUUCUAAUCACUUACCAAGCACAAAAAGAAGUUCAAACCAUGGUUGUAAAACAUGCUUGUGUUCAGAGCCACUCACACUGAAAAAAUGCAGAGGGGAAAUAGAAAAGUAAACUCAAGCAAUGCUCUUUUAGGACAUACCUCUCAAGCGAUACGCAACACUAAGAUUUUUCAUGAAUGGAUAAACAAGGAUUCUCUCGGAUGAAGUUGUACAAAAUCCAAUCAACCGUAAAAGAUUCUUGUGAACUGCAACGCUAAUGAGUUGUACUUCUCUCAAGAAUGCAGCCUCUCCACCAGGACUGUUAUAAUCUGUAAGGCGUUUCACUGCAACCUUUACAUUGUCUGAGAGGACACCUUUGUAAACUCUUCCAAAGCCCCCUUGUCCAAUUAUGUUGCUUUCAUCGAAGUUAUCCGUAGCAAGCUGAAUUUCACGCCAAGAAAAUCUUCUUAACUGGCCAAAGGAAAUUUUGCACUCAUCUUCACCUAAAAUUACAUUAAAAUAAGAAAAGGGGGUGGAGUAGAUGUUAGUUUGACAAGAUUGUGUAGCUCGUGAUGCGACUUUAGACAUUUGGACUUUUGAAUACAGAUUAAACGAAUACAUAAAUCAAACUUGGUAAGUGAUUAUUUACUGUAUACUGGACAAGUAUACAGUAAGUUGCAAAUUAUAGAAUGUAGACGCAAUGCUGAAGGAAAAUAUUAUAAUAACGGAAAGGUCAUCUAGAACCAAAUUACACAACAUUGGAACCAAAGGAGUUUACGCCAUUUUUUAUUAUAAUAAGUAGGAAUUUAAGCAUUUGAAAAAUAAUAUACAUACAUCCAAAAUGAAACUAUUAUAAAUGGCAGUCCAGAAGUCAGAUCCUAUACCUCGAACUUACUGUAAUAGAAGAAGAACUAAACUCGUCUCUUAAUGACCAUAGCACCAUUUCAUGAUAAAGACAUUAUCAUACAGCUUUAGUGCUGGAACUCUCUCAAACCUCUUAGUCAGCCCAGUCCUACACCAACAGUAGGGGUGGGCGAAACCAGACUGAACCAGACCGAACCAGCUGGUUUGGUUAGGAUUUUGACAAAAAUUAAGGUCAUACGGUUCAAAACCCAGCUCAGUGCAGCUGGUGGUUUCAAUUCCCUCAGGAACGAGAGAACAUAACCGAAUCAAUUCCCACUCUUUUUAUUAAUUCCACCCGUAUCCCUCCUAUAAAAUCAUCUUUUUCCCCUAGCUCUAGCCACAUAAACCUAUCUCUCCAGUGAAGGAAUUAAACAAAGAAAUCCUUCGCAUAACUCCUUUAGCAUGCAGACAAACACAAAACAAGGAUGUAUUUAAAAAUAAUAUAUAUUAUAUGAGUAUGAUAUAAAUAUAUCCAAUUUUCUAUAACAGGGUUAACCGUACUUGCGGAUAACCAAGGUAGCCCGGCCAGUGCAUGUUGGUAAACUGGCCGUGCAAAAUCUGGUUAUCCACUAAUGUCACUAGUACGAUUUACUAUUUGCGCGACGAAAGUUUGCGCGACGAAGAAGUUUCCGUCGCGCAAACAACACUAUUGCGACGAAAAAAAAUUUCCGUCGCGCAAACAACAGAAAACUAGCGCGACAAAAAUAAUCGUCGCGCAAAAAGUGUAUGCGCGACCUAAAUUCAUUUCGUCGCGCAAAGGUAAUAGAAAAAAAAAUGGUUUUUUUUUGUUGGCACCAAAAUCUUGCGCGACGACAAAAAUCGUCGCGCAUGACAAUAUUGCGCGACAAAUAAAAGAUUCGUCGCGUAAAGAUGGACAGAAAAUUGGCUCCUUUUUUGGCGGGUAAAACAUUUGCGCGACGAGAGUUUUCGUCUCAAAAGACAACUUAGCGCGACGAAAAAAUGUACCGUCGCGUAAGAAAACGAGGGAUACUUCUUUUUGGCGCCAAAAUGAAAGGCGGAUAAAAUGUUUUUUUGCGCGACGGAUUUUCUUCGUCGCGAAAAGUUGAAUGCCGGUGAGUUCUUGCGCGACGAAAUUAACAUGUUGCGCGACGAAAUUAAAAUUUUGCGCGACGAAAAAUAUAAUUUGCGCGACGAAUUUUGUGCGACGCAUAGUGUUUUUCGUCGCGCAAAAAAGCAGAUGUCGGCACGUAUUUGCGCGACGGAAAUGUUGUUUUGUGCGACGAAAAAGUGCCCUUUUGCGACGGCUUUUUUGCGCGACGAAUUCAACUGUUCGUCGCGCAAAGUCCUUCUUCUUCAUAUUAGUAUCUGCCAUUGCAGAGGCAGAAUGCAGAAAUUGCAUUCUGCCUCUCUCUCCUCUCUCUCACUCCUCCUGCCGCUGCUCUGCUGUGAAUUCAGUACGUUAAUUGGGUAUGUAUUUUUUGUCAUUAGUUUAAAUGUAUUAAUGUAAAUUCGUACUAACACUAUUAAUUUUGUUCUCGUUAGGGAUAUCUGUGAUUAGUGGAGAACGAUUGAGAAGGUAUGUCAUGAGUAAAAGUUUGUUUGUUAAGUUUGUAAUUUUUUUGUGAAGUUAUAUGUGUAUAAUGUUGUGAAAUUGUGCGUGACGUAGCACAAUGUAUUUGUGAUGUACGAAGUUAAUUGAAAUUAACUUCGUACUUUUAUUUUUAUGUUUAGUAACACGUAGUUUCCCGUUCGAGAUUAGUUGGAUUUCGUGCAUGGAUGCGUAAGGCAUGACUGCGGUCCAAUUAAUUCUUGAAUUGUCCCAUUAUUUGGACAGUUUGGUAAUGCAUAGUGUUGUCACAUAAUCUUCGGCUACAGGAUUAGGUUUCGAUUGUGGAGAUUUCGGUGUCAUCUCGGUACGUUCUUCGGGUGGUACGUAGGUAUUUAUACCUAUGCCCACUUCAAGAACUGUGUCGAGAUGCUGCCGAAAUUAAUCCACGUCGAAAUCUAAUCUCAUGUAGCCGUAGGUUACGUGACAGGACUAUGCAUUCCCGAAUGGGAUAGGGCCCUUACCGGAGGCAUAAGGUGACAUUAUAACUUCGUAUGAAGUUGUUGUGAUUGUUGUGUCGUGAUUGUGGUUUCAGGAAUUAUGAGCAGAAGGUGGAUACAGAACCCGAAUAGAUGCGCAGACGAAUACUUGGAUGGAAUCGAGGAUUUUAUUGAGUUUGCACGUAGACACAACCCGGGUGCAACUAGAAUCCGUUGCCCUUGUAGGAGGUGUAACAACACGUUGUGGGAGACAAUUGAAAAUGUUGGAUUUCAUUUAGUAAGGAAUGGAAUGAUUGAAACAUAUAGCAUUUGGAAUCUUCACGGCGAACAAGUAGACCAUGCUUCGUCUUCAAAUGCCCCAAGAGUGGACAAUGUUGAACCUAUUGUGGAUCCUAAUGAUCAAGUCAUGGGUAUUAUACAGGAUGCUUUUCCAUUCGCAUCGACCAACAUCAAUCAGGAAGGGGAAGAUGACGUGCCUACAGCAAUAGACAGUGCGGAGUUUGAACAGUAUGAAAAACUGUUAAAAAAUGCCAACCAAGAGUUAUACCCGGGGUGUGAGAGCUUUUCCGUUCUCACUGCCAUUGUGGAGCUAAUGCACGGAAAAAUAAAGUAUCGUAUGUCGAACUUGUGUUUCGAUUACUUUUUGGGGGUUUUCAAGAGAAUGCUUCCGACGGACAAUUGUUUGCCGAAAGAUCAUAAACAUGCACAGAAGGUGUUGCAUGGUCUUGGAUUGGGUUAUGAAAAAAUCCACGCUUGCAAAAACAAUUGCAUGUUAUUCUACAAAGAGCAUGAAACGUUGGAUACAUGCCCUAUAUGUAAUGAGUCGAGGUUCAAAAUGACAUCCCAGAAUUGAACGACUAAGAUACCACAAAAAGUCAUGCGUUAUCUGCCCCUUAAACCUAGGUUGCAGCGAUUGUAUAUGUCGAUGCAUACUGCCACAGACAUGAGAUGGCAUAAGGAAAAACGGGUAGACGAUGAUGUGAUGCGGCAUCCUGCAGAUGGGGAGGCAUGGAAAGAGUUUGAUCGAACGUUCCCCGAGUUUGCUGCUGAUCCCCGAAAUGUUAGAUUGGGACUUGCCAUUGACGGAUUCAAUCCGUAUGGGGUUCUAAACCAACACCACAGCACUUGGCCGAUUUUCGCAUUCCCAUAUAAUUUGCCGCCUUGGAAAUGCAUGAAAAAAGAAUACAUGAUGAUGACUGUUUUGAUAACUGAGGAUCCUGGCAGGUCAAUUGAUGUGUACUUAAGGCCUCUGGUUGAUGAGCUGAAGGAUUUAUGGACAAACGGUGUUCGCACGUACGAUAAAUCAACUGGGAGGAUGUUCACUUUGCGAGCAGCAGUUAUGUGGACUGUGAAUGAUUUUCCAGCAUAUGCAAUGGUUUCUGGGUGGAGCACAAAGGGUUAUAUGGCAUGUCCUGUAUGCAAGGAAGAUGUAACUUCUAGUUGGCACGCGGGAAAAGUUUGUUACCUUGGUCAUCGGAGAUGGUUGCCAUGGGACUACGAGUGGCGAGAAAAAGAUAAAGAGUUCGACGGGAACACAGAGCGUCGCCUCAGACCUAGAGAAUGGUCCGGUGAUGAGAUCUUGGAACAGCUGAACCGUUUGGAUUUUGCUCCGUUCGGGAAAACAGUUAGUCGGACCAGACCUUCUACACAUUUGAACUGGACGCACAAGCCUAUGUUUUUUGAGGUCCCAUAUUGGUCGAAACUGAAAUUGAGGCACAAUCUAGAUGUGAUGCAUGUUGAGAAAAAUGUAUUCGACACAUUGGUGGGCACGAUUCUAGAUAUCGAGGGGAAGACGAUGGAUACGAUCAAAGCUCGUCUUGAUUUGGAAAGAAUGGGCAUACGAAGGGGUUUAUGGAUGAAUAGGGACAGUGAUAAAGCUAGAAGGGAUCUUGCAUUCUUCUCUAUGAAACCGAAUGACAAAAAAGAGUUUCUAAAGUUUGUAUCGUCUGUCAAAUUUCCCGAUGGGUAUGCUUCUAAUAUCGCACGUUGCGUGAAUGUCGAUGGGGGUAAAUUUACUGGACUUAAGAGCCAUGACUGCCAUGUGUUUAUGCAACGCCUACUUCCUGUGGGUAUUCGACACCUACUGCCGGAAGAUGUGGUGAAGCCAAUCAUCUUGUUAUCCAGAUUUUUUUCCCAACUGACGGCAAAAACAUUGCGAAGGACGAACAUGUUUCAGUUGCGCCAUGACAUUGUCCAAGUCCUAUGCAAGUUUGAGAUGAUAUUUCCUCCAGCUUUCUUCACAAGUAUGAUGCACGUGAUGGUUCACUUGCCAGAAGAGGCAUUGCUUGCUGGUCCUGUCAACUAUCGCUGGAUGUAUCCAAUAGAAAGGUAUAUAAUCAUUUUCGUUUGUGUAUGCAUCAUUAUCACAGGCUUGCUAAUUUGUAUCAUAUCUUUUUAUUUUGACAGGCUUCUCGGAGAGCUGAAAAAAAGUGUACGCAACAGGGCGAAGCCCGAAGGAUCAAUUAUAGAGGCUUGGGUUCAAUAUGAGUCGCUUACUUUCUGUGGAAUGUAUUUAAAAGAUGUGGAGACGGCUUUCAAUCGUCCUCAGCGUAAUAACGACGGAGGUAUGAGAAAGGAAAAACUUUCUGUUUUUGCCCAAAGCGCACGGCCCUUUGGAGAUCCUGGACGAGGGGAGUCAUUUUCUAGAAAUGACAUGGAAGUAGCGCAUUGGUUCGUACUGAACAAUUGUGAUGAGAUAAUGGCAUACUUAGAUGAGCAUGAAGAGAUGAUGAAGCGAGAACAUCCAUCACAUUUAGUUGCCUAGAAACAACGUGAAUUAUUUCCACAAUGGUUUUUGGAAUCUGUAAGUUAUAAGUGUUUUGUAUUUGACAAAUAUAAAUUGUAGUAUUUAAUUUCAUUAGACUAACAUGUGAAUGAUUUUCUAUUAUAUUAGGUGAAUAAGUUGAAAUCAUCGAAUUCCCCCACUUACAGUGAUGAGUUAUAUAACUUGGCCUUCGGCCCGAUUCGCGCUGAAUUGUUUUCGGGUUGUUAUAUUAACGGCGUUAAAUUUUUGGGGGCUGCACGAGAUGACAAGUUGUGUACGCAAAACAGCGGUGUCCAUGUCCCAGGUGGAGGCGAAAGUACGAACAUUGAUUUCUAUGGCAAACUCACAAAUGUCGUUCAAUUGCUUUACAAAGAUCGAUACCAAGUGAUCAUGUUUAAGUGUCGAUGGUUUGAUAGCAACCCAAAUAGGCCGGGAAGUGUUAAAAUCGACCAUGGCUUACUAUCUGUGAACAUUAACAGAACUUGGUAUGAUGACGACCCUUACAUUUUGGCGAACAUGGCAACACAAAUUGUGUAUCUAGAUGACCCUAAAGCCGGCAGCAGUUGGAAAGUUGUUCAGAAGAUGGAUCAUAGGAACGUGUAUGCUAUACCAGAACUAGACCUAACUGACAACGACGUCGACAAUGUGGCUGACCAACGUUUAGAAUCAUCAAUGGAAAAUGAUGCGGAAACACUUCGAGAUACACAUGUUAUACAAGAACCGUUUCAAAUCCAAGGAGUGUCUUCAAUCGAAAUACCGAUUCAGUCAAUUACAAUUGACCUCGGGGAUCUUCCAAGAUUCGAUGUUGCAGUGGGCAUGAGCAGCGAAGAUGAUGUAGUUAUAGUAGACGAGGAGGAGGAGGAUUGGGAGACCGAAAGUGAUGAUAGCGACGAUAACGAAAGUUAUUAUAGUUCAGAUGAUGAAUAAUUAAAUUUGUUGUAAUUUUAUUAUGUUACUGUACAGACUUUGUGUAAUACAAAUGUUUGAAUAUAUAUAGUACAAAUAUCCAAACCUUAUAUAUGUGGAAAACUGACACUUUAUUCAAAUAAAUUUAGUUAUAAAACAUUGGUAAAUCAAUAUAUCCAAACCCUUUUAAUAAUCAUUUUUAAUUUUUGUUUUUGACAAAACAAAUUUAUAAAAUGAAAAUGAUACAAAAUUUGUUAUAAAACAUUGAUCAAUAAACAUUUUUAUAUAGAGUUUGAAAACUAUUGACAAUAAACAUUUUGCAAAACAUAACACCCUUGCGCGACGAAGUGGACCUCGUCGUGCUAUUUUUGCGCGACGAAGAAAACCUCGUCGUGCAAAGUCUUCGCGUCCCAAAAUACACUAGUCGCGUGAAGUUAAAACAUUGCGCGACAACGUGUCUUCCGUCACGCGCAAAGGUUUGCGCGACGAUAAAACUAUGUUCGUCGCGCAAAUAUAUAUCAUUUUAUAAUAUAUAUUACAUAUACACAUAUAUAUUUGAAAUUGACGAUCGAGUUAGAGUAUUGUAUUCAUAUAGGGUCAUGGAGUGUAGGUGUAAAAAUUCAUCAAAAUCGGAGUUAAAAUAACCGUUAAAUCAUCAGUUUUCAUUUAUAACCGUUCAAAAGUUUUGUCCCGUUACUUGAUCUCUGAAUGUUUUAUUUUUUCGAUUUUUGGGGUGUAAGAUCUCGAAGUACAAAUAAACGAGUUUGACGGCUGGAUUGCUGAAACUAAUUUUGUAGAAUGCGUUUGCCAUAUCAACCAUAUAUUCACAAACAAUAAAUAGUUUACGUAUACGUUCGUUAAAUAUAACAUCACCUUAUGUCAUAUCACCCUAGUGUAAACAUCUGAAAUUGAAGAUCAAAUUCACUAAUUGUAUUCAAAUAGGGUAAAGAAAAGUAGCUGCAAAAAAUUAUACAAAUCAGAGCUAAAAUAACCGUUAAAUCAUGACUUUUCAUUUACAACCGUCGAUAAGUUUCGUCCUGUUACUCGAUCUCUUAAACUUUGUUUUUGUCGAUUUUUGGCAUAUAAGAUCUCGAAGUGUAAAAAAGCAAGUUUGCUGGUUGGAUCAUGAAAACUAGUUUCGGGUUGAGGGUUUCUGCGGUUUAGGGUUUAGGGUAAAGGGUUUGCGCGACGAAUAAACUUAUUUGGUCCCGCAAGGCCUGCCAAGGACUGAAUUGCGCGACGAAUACAAGUCAGUUCGUCGCGCCAUACCAGCCAUAACUUUCACAUUUCACUCUGUCCCUCGUUGGACACUUAGCGGAAAUUUUUUUGCGAGGUCUUGCGCGACGCAUUAGAUUCCCUUCGUCACGCCAUAUCAGCCAAUAUUUCACAUUUCACAUUUGACUGUCUUCCUCCCUGGACACUUAGCAGAAAUUUUCUUGCGAGGUAUUGCGCGACGAAACCUCUUAACGUCGUCGCGCAAUAUCAGCCAGACUUUGACAUUUUUGAGAUUUUGCGCGACGCUAGUAGUAAGUCGCGCAAUCUCAGCCAGCCCUGUCUCAUUGGACAGACAUCAUGUCAUUUUUUUUGCGAGUUUUUGCGCGACGCUCUGGUAUGCAUCGCGCAAACCCUAGUACCCAAAUUCAGGCUAUUCGCAACAUUGCGCGACGAAACAUAUUAAUGUACGUCGCGCAAGAUUUCAAUCUCGCCCGCUAAACCCUAAAUCCCAAAUUUUGGCGGCCGCCAUCUUUGCGCGACGAAACAUAUGCUUGUGCGUCGCGCAAGAAUAAAAAUUCGCCCGCUAAACCCUAAAUCCCAAAUUUUGGCGGACUGCCAACAUUGCGCGACGAACACUCACAUUUGUGCGUCGCGCAAAAACGACACUUUCACCAAAUUUUGGCGGAUGAAUGACUUUGCGCGACGAACUUAAUUGUUUUUCGUCGCGCAAUAGCCAUUUAAAAUUUCUUGCGCGACGUUACUUUGGCUUCGUCGCGCAAAAACGAAUAAAAUUUCAGAAACCACGCGAUGGCCUCCUUCUUCCCCAGAUUUCUGAAAUUUCUCCCCGCCGUCAGCUCAGCCUCCUACCCCGGUGGAUUUGGACCGCGCCCGCGACGUUGGUGGUACCCCAGAGCUCCCCCGCCGUCGCCGUCAAGCCAGCCGCUGCGAUUUCUUCGGUUUUCACCGAAUCGGCUCCGCCGUGUUCUCCCUCCUCCGGCGACCAAUUCCGACAACUCAGGUAUGGUUUCUAUCCUAUUUUUAACGCUUUAGCUGAUGGUUGGGUAGGAUUUCUGAAUUUGUUGCACUAGGGCACUUAAUUUGAAACCCUAAGUUUCGGCCGGAUUUUGAUUUUCAAUUCCAGCCACUUCCGGCCAUUUUUCGGGGUAUGUCCGAGAACAAAAGUGGCUCCAAUUGAUGUUUUGAACCUAGGAUAGGAACCUUGCCCCUUAGUUUUAAGCAUUUUCCGGCGAUUGGUAUCGCUUUGGACACCCGCGCGCUGCCGGCGCGUGGGGCGGCGCGUGGGUUCCUGUAGCAACCCGAAUUCGGUCCUAGUGCAUUCCUGUAGUUGUCAGAGCGCAUAGGUGUUUUCGGAUUAGAAUUUGGUUACCGUUUGCGCCUCGAAUGGAUUUUGCCUAUUGUGCGAUUUCCGAGGUUGUUAUGUUCGGACCGUUGGAUCAAACUCAAACUCACGUAUGGUGUACCUUGUAUUUCUGGGAUCGUCUACGAUUCGACGGAUCGUGGAUCGGAGUCCCGAAUACUCCGAACUCGCAAACCCUAGGUCAAUAAUGUGAAUGAAAUUGUAUGUGUUUUCAAAUAUUCGUAUAUUUUAUUAAUUUGUAUGUGUAUUAAUGAAAAUGUGCAGAUGUCAGACCUGAUUACACGUCGUAGGGCGGUGACGACCACGCAGAGUACGGCGCCCCCGACUCAGCCGACAUCUGCUGCCACUGCUCCAGCAUCUCCUGCCACUGCGCCGGCACUGAUGGACCACUUGGCAGUUGGACCUGCGGGGUCCCAGGGGCCUGCCUCAUCCGCGUCAUCAGUGGCGCAGCCUGUUAGUGCCAGGCGGCGUCAACGGCCCCUCCAGCACCACCGAGACCACAUCCACUGAUGCGUCGGGGUCACAGCCAGGUAUAGCUUUCCUUUUUCUCCAGUUAAUUUUAUUUUUUAUUUCUUGUUUUGUGUGUGUGUGUGUGUGUGUGUGUGUGUGUAUUUGAUUGUUAAAUUUGUUAUUUAUUUAACAUUCAUGUCAUCUUUCUUUGCAGCCAAGAGGAACACCCGAGGGCCGUGUCGGCAGUUGAAGACGGCGAAGGUCACCCGGGUGACCAACAGUCGUAUCAACAUCGAAUACGACGAGCGACAUCGGGCUGCACCGACGGCGGAGUUGCAUAGCUCCUUGGCCCACGACAUUGGUCAUGUCAUUCGGAGCUAUUGCCCGAUGCAAUGGAAGUCUUGGAAGGUGAUGCCUGACGAGACCAAGACUCAGGUUCGCGGCCAGUUGUCGGUAUGUAGGCCUUUUCAUUCUUUUUCUUUCAAACGUUAUAUUUAUAUUAUUUAAAUGUAUGUAAUUAAUUUAUUGCAGACGAACUACAACUUGGAGGACCUUGAUGAAGAGUCGUUGGCGUACGUCAACAGACUCUUCUCUGAGAGGUACAAGCAGUGGAAGAGCGACUUGCACCACCAUUUUGAGGCGUUCGAUGAUCCGCAAGUUGCUCUUCAAGAGGGUUGCCCGAAAGAGCUUGAGGGGCGGGAGGAUAGUUGGGCGUGGCUCUGCGCUCAUUUUCAGGCGCCCGCUUUUGUGGUAAUUUGUUAUAUUUAUUUUUAUUUUCUUACUAUUGUUUAUUUAAUUUUUUAUAUUUAAUUUCAAUUUCGACUAAUACAUUUUAUUUUUUGUAUAACAGAACAAAGCCAAAGUCAAUAAGGGCAAUAGGACGAAGAAGACUCUUCUCCAUCAUUCGGGUUCCAGGCCCUUCUCCUAUAGGAUGGAUGCCCGGCGUCAGGUAAUAAUAAAAUAAUUUUUAUUUAAUUUUUACUUUUUCAUUAUUCUUAAUUUAUUUUUUCGUUCUAAUAUUUUUCUUCUUGUGUUCAAUUUAGGGGGGGUCCAAAUUCCCAGAGAUCGACGUCUUUGGCGACGUUUAUGUUUGACCUGGGAAUGAAUUGGCCGAGUCCCUUCAUGUAAGUAUUAUUUAAUUUUAAUUCUUAUGUUGCGCAUUCAACUUUAAAGGUUAUUAUAUGAAUGUUUGAAUUUAUAUUUUAUGUUAUGCUAAACAGACGACGAUGGUGGAGAGGAGCCAGUUGGUUCUUCAGGAGUCUGCCUCCCAACUUCCUCCCGAUACUCCGAUCGAGUCUGUGGAUCCUCCACAGGAUGCUGGGUUUCAGAUCUUGACGGAGACAUUGGAUCAGACUCUAGGGAGGAGACCGGGGACAUAUUGUAGAGGGAUGGGGAAUGCCAGGAUGAGGGAACCCAGACCCCGUUCAUCAGCGCAGUCAAACAGUCAGGUCACUGCUUUGACAGCACAGGUGGCCACUCUUCAGAGCCAGAUGUCGGUCAUUCUGCAGUCCCUCGCACAGUCCGGCAUUCCAGUCCCGCAUUUUGAUGUGCCGACCUCCCAGCCCGUCCACCCCGAGCAUGCCCACCAGACCACUGCCCCGGUGGACGCCCAGACCUCCGAGCCGCAUACUGGCGACGACCCGGUUGAUUUUGCUUCAUUAUUUGAUUAGUGUCUUUAUUUUCAUCAUAAACAUUUAUUUUAUUUGUAAUACAUUUAUUUUAUUUUAUAACAAAAUUUUAUUCUAAUUUAUUUUUAUUGCAAUUUCAUUUAAUCAAUAAAAAAAAACCAAUUUUAUUGACAAAAAAAAAAAAAAAAAAAAAAAUUGUAAUAUUAUUUUUGCGCGACGGAAUUAUAUUUCGUCGCGCAAACCCACAUGUCAAAAAAAUAAAAAAUCAACUUUUUUAUUACUUUUAAUUCUUGCGCGACGAAUACAUACGUCUCUUUGCGCGUCGCAAUAUUUCGUCGCGCGACGACAGAUAUUUGCGUCGCGCAAAGGUAUGAGCGACGAAACCUUUCUCAUCGCGCGAAUGGUUCUGCGACGAACAUAUACGUCUCCCGAACAAGUUUUGCGCGACGAAUUAUAUUUCGUCGCGCUAUCCCUGUCGUCGCGUAAAUUACGUGCGCCGAAUACUUUGUCGUCGCGCAAAUAUUAUGCGACGAACCGUUUUGUCGUCGCUCAAAUAUACGCGCGCCGAAUACGUUGUCGUCGCGCAAAUAUUUAUGCGACGAACCGUUAUUUCGUCUCCACACCGUUGGUGCAACGAUGGUUUACUCGUCGCACAGUUUUGCGCGACGACGGGUUAUUCGUCGUCGCGCAAAGGCUUUCUUUACGAUCUUCGCGCGACGGAAUAUGCGCGACGAAUAUUUUGUCGCGCUUAAUUUAGUGCGACUAAAUAAGAUUUUGCGCGACGUUUUGUUGUUCGUCGCGCAAAGAGUAAAAUGUAGUAGUGUGUGGUUAACCAUAUUAUAGAAACACGGAUAUAUAUAAGUAAUCCCCAUUAACUCUCUUACAAUAAGAAUUCGUAAUUAUUGCUGAUGCCAAUACAUCAAUACAAGGGAAUAUAAAAGGAAAUGAGAAUCAGAGUUUAAUGGGAUUUACUUGAAUUUUGGAAUUGUAAAGAAUUGCAUUGGAACUCUUCCGGUUAACUCAUUCGAUGAAAGAUCCCUGCCCAAAAAAAAAAGGAAUUUAUAAAUGGUAAAGAAUAUCACACAGUGUGCAAGCUCAGAUGGGCAUGCAAUUAUAUUUAGGCAAUAAGUCAAACAGCAGGAUUUCGAAAAAAAGGAAUUGCUUACAGUUCAGUCAACCCGCUAAUGUUUGAAAGUGAAUCCGGAAUAUGUCCAGAUAUGUGGUUACUGUUGAGAUUUGGAUUGUCAAGGGAGCUAGAGAGCAAAAGACUGAGAGAGGGAGAGAGCCUGAGCAAGAAGGAAUCAAUAUGGUUAUGACCACUACUCCUCUGCUUAUCCGUUGCAGCAGAGCAGACUAUAUUCAUACCCAAAAUGUGUUCUUACAUCAGCAAAUACAAUCUAACCGUUGUGAAGGAUAAACCAAUGUGAAUAUGACACAUGGCUUUGCAAAGCUUUACAACCGCUGAAAUAAGAGAGACAAUCCUAAGCCUUACACUUGCCAUAUGAGCUCAAGGUGCUCAGCUCACAGAUGACUUAAAUGGACUGAAUAUAAACUGACUAAGUACCUACUAACUAAUCAGAAAUUAGCUAGGCAGUUUACAUUUUAACACUCCCUUCUAAAGUGCUAGCUGAUUUCACUCCAAGCAUAUUCCUCAAAUAGCUGAACUUGUCUUUGGGAAGUGCCUUGGUGAAGAUGUCAGCAAUUUGCUCUUCUCCUUUGCAGUAGAGCAGUUCAAUCAGUCCUUCUUGGAUUGCUUCCCUAAUAAAAUGGAACUUCCUCUUAAUGUGCUUGCUCCUCUGAUGAAAUACAGGAUUUUUAGCCAUUGCUAUUGCUGAAGUGUUGUCACAGAACACAGUUGUUGCAGCAGUCUGUUCUUCCCCAAAGUCUUCAAGAACAAACCUGAGCCAAAUGGCUUGUGAUGUAGCUUCUGCUGCACUCACAUACUCUGCUUCUGUUGUUGAAAGGGCCACACUAUGUUGUUUGACUGAUGCCCACGAAAAUGCACCACUUCCAAAUGAAAAUGCAUAUCCGGAAGUGCUUUUCAUAUCUUCCUCUGAUCCACUCCAGUCACUAUCACAAUAUCCUACUAGAAGUGCAGACUUUCCAGUCACAUACUCAAUUCCAUAAUCAAUUGUGCCUUGUAUGUACCUUAGAACUCUUUUGGCUGCUCCAUAGUGCAUCUUAGAAGGAGUGUGCAUGAAUCUUACAAGCAGGCUAGCUGAAAACAUGAUAUCAGGUCUGGUUGCAGUUAGAUAUAGCAAGCGUCCUACAAUUUUUCUGUACAAGCUUUCAUCUGCUGCUUCACUUCCAUCUUCUCUUUGCAAUUUAUUAGUGGCAACUAAUGGAGUGCUCAUUGAUUUGCAAUCCUUGAGUCCAAACUUAUCUAGGAGAGUGAGUGCAUACUUCUUUUGAUGGAUGAAAAUGCUCCCUUCAAUUUGUGUUACUCCCAUACCAAGAAAAUGAUGGAGUAAACCCAAGUCAGACAUUUCAUACUUGCACAUCAUCUCAGCCUUGAAUUCUUUCACCAUUUCAUCACUGCUUCCAGUAUAUACUAUGUCAUCUGCAUAGAUUGAUAUAAUUAAUGUUCCCACACCUUCCUUGGUUCUCACAUAGAGAGUUGCUUCACUUGGACUUCUGUGAAAACCACACUUAUAUAAGUAAGUGUCGAUUUCACUGUACCAUGCCCUUGGAGCCUGCUUUAGUCCAUAGAGAGCUUUUCUUAGUCUGUACAUCUUAUCCUCAGCUCCUUUAAUCACAAAGCCUUCCGGUUGAUCCACAUAGACUUCCUCUUCAAGAACACCAUUUAAGAAAGCUGAUUUGACAUCCAAUUGCCAUAAUUUCCAGCCUUUCUGUACAGCUAGUGCAAUGAGAGUUCUAAUAGUGUCUAACCUUGCUACUGGAGCAAAGGUUUCAUUGAAAUCAAUCCCUGGUUUUUGUGUGUAACCCUUGGCUACAAGUCUUGCCUUGUGUUUUUGAAUGGAGCCAUCAAGGUUUAGUUUAGUUUUAUAUAUCCACUUCACUCCCACAAUUGGUUUGCUGCCUGGUCUAUCAACCAAUUUCCAAGUGGAAUUCUUCUCUAUCAUUGAUAUCUCUUCAGUCAUAGCCUUAUUCCAAGCUUCAUCUUUGGCUGCUUCAUGGAAACUCUCUGGUUCAAUAAUGCUCAGUUUACAUUGAGCAUAGACCUCACUUAAGUUCUUCCAUUUUUGUGGAGUAUGAUCAAAAGUUUCAGAGAUUGAAACUAAUGAAUCAUGUGUAGCUGAUUCUAGAGUGGUUUGCAGAUCAUUAGCCACUUGUGGUCUCUGAGGAGAUUGACUAGACUGAAGUGAUUCAUUUGAAUAUGAAUCAAUUUCUGAUAUUCUUGAACUUUCUUCUUCAUGCCAUGGAAUAGUCACUUGUACUUCUUCAUUCAACUCCCAAUUCCACAUUGCUUUCUCAUCAAAGAUAAUGCUCAGUGAACCAAAUAUUCUCAAGUGCUUGACACCUGGUUUUCUCCCGCUGAACUUCUCGAAUGGAGUUGUAUUAUCCAGAGCACUUGUUGGACUUCUAUUUUGCAGGUAUACAGCUGUAUUGACAGCUUCUGCCCAAAAUUUCAAAGGGAUUUUCUUCUCAUGCAUCAUUGUUCUUGCCAUUUCCAUCACAGUACAAUUCUUUCUCUCUGCAACUCCAUUAUGUUGCGGAGAGUAGGCUAUAGUUAGUUGCCUUUCUAAUCCCAUCUCUUCACAAAACUUUGAAAAUUCCAAAGAUGUAUAUUCUCCACCUCUAUCACUUCUUAGCUUCUUAAUUUGAUAACCACUUUGCAGCUCAACCAUGUUUUUGAACCUUUUGAAUAUGUUGAAUGCUUGAGACUUAUGCUGCAAGAAAAACACCCAACACAUUCUAGUGUGAUCAUCAAUGAAGGUGAGAAGGUAUCUAUUCCUUCCAAGAGUGAUAGACUGCAUUGGACCACAGAUAUCUGAGUGAAUCAGUUCUAGUGAUUGUGAGGCUCUCCAAGCUAUUUCCUUAUCAAAUGAACUUCUGUGACUCUUGCCUAUAGCACAACCCGAGCAAAUCUUCUCAGAUUCUUGUAACUUAGGUAGACCCUGAACCAUGUCUUUCUCUUGUAAGAGUCUCAAACUACAGUAGUUUAGAUGCCCAAAUCUUCUGUGCCACAAGCAAGAUGGUUCUCCAAAUGUUGCUCUAUUUGCCACAGGAAGAUUGACAUAUUUGAGAUCUAAGGGAAAACAUAUGUUCUCUUUCAUUUGAACUCUUGCAAUCAGCUCUUGCAAUUGCUUAUCUUCAUAAAUGUCAACCUUAUUAUCACCAAACACCAACCAAUGCCCAUGCUCUAUCAUCUGUCCUACGCUCAACAGAUUCUCAUCCAAACCAGGUACAAUCAUGACUUCUCUAAUGAAUCUAGUAACCCCUUGCACAUCUAUAGCCAAAGUACCUUUGCCUAUUGAUUGUACUAAAUCACCAGUGCCCAUCUUAACUUUACAGUUCACAUUUCUAUCUAUAUCAAUAAGUAAGGACUCAUGAGCAGUCAUAUGAUUACUACAAGCACUGUCCACAUACCAAACAUUCAUAUUUUUUUCAAUAGAAGCUGAAUGACAAGCAUAGAACAUAGUAGCAAGUUCUGUUACCUUGCUAGCCAAGUUCACAAGUUUCUCAGUCUUAUUUGAUUGUUCACAGUCUUUAAUGAGAUGCCCAAAACGAUUGCACCCAUAGCACUUUGGCUUUCCUUUAAACCAGCAUUCUCCAUAGUGAAGCUUAUCACAGUGCUUGCAUUUCCCUUUUGCUUGAUCUGAUUUUUCCCCUGGUUCAUGCUUUCCUCCUUGGUUGCCACUAUUUUGAGGUUUUGAAUCCCAUUUCUUACCCUUCGAUUUCCAGCUCUUCUUUGAUUUAUUAUUACCAAAACCAGGAUUGGACUGAGAUCCCUUUUGAUUUAUGCUCAUGCUGCUGAAGGCUUUCUUAGUGGUGUUCUCAGCAUGCCUAUCAAGGUGCUGAGCAAAACCCCUCAAUGCAGCAAUCACCUCUUGCACCUCAAUCAUUUCAAUAUCCUUAGUUUGUUCAAUUACAUAACAGACAGGAUCAAACUCCUUAGUCAGGCUUAUAAGUAGUUUUUGAACUAACCUUCCUUUGGAUAGGUCUUCCCCAUAUCCCUUCAUCUAAUUCACAAGCUCAAGUAGGCGAGUGAGGUAUCCAGACAAGGUCUCAUCAUCCCUCAUCCUUGUGUACUCAAAAUCACGACGCAAACCCUGCAAUUUGAUGGAUCUGACCUGCUUAUCACCAUGAAAUUCCUGAUGUAAAAUAUCCCAUGCACCCUUUGAGGUUUCUUCAUUCGAAAUCCUAGGGAAAUGUCUUCUGAGACAGCCCCUUGGAUAAUCCCAAGUGUCUUAGCAUCCUUCAUUAACAGAGCUUCCUUCUCAGAAUCCGAUGACCCAGCAUCAUCCACCUUCUUCCCCUUUGAAUCUGGAAUUUGAAGCCCAUUUUCAACUAAAUCCCAGAUUCCAUGAGAUUUGAAAAUCGUUCUCAUUCGAAUCUUCCAAAACUCAUAGUUGUCCCCAUUGAAUAUUGGAGCUCUGAGAUCACUCCCACCUGACCCAGCCAUCUGAGACAAAAUCAAUGAACUGAGUCGGAAAUUUCUCGUUGGAUUUCCAAGCUCAGCCCACACACAGCUUCAACGCCCACUAUCCAGAUCCAACCUUCACUGCUGAUACCAUGUUGAGAUUUGGAUUGUCAAGGGAGCUAGAGAGCAAAAGACUGAGAGAGGGAGAGAGAGCUUGAGUAAGAAGGAAUCAAUAUGGUUAUGACCACUACUCCUCUGCUUAUCCGUUGCAGCAGAGCAGACUAUAUUCAUACCCAAAAUGUGUUCUUACAUCAGCAAAUACAAUCUAACCGUUGUGAAGGAUAAACCAAUGUGAAUAUGACACAUGGCUUUACAAAGCUUUACAACCGCUGAAAUAAGAGAGACAAUCCUAAGCCUUACACUUGGCAUAUGAGCUCAAGGUGCUCAACUCACAGAUGACUUAAAUGGACUGAAUAUAAACUGACUAAGUACUUACUAACUAAUCAGAAAUUAGCUAGGCAGUUUACAUUUUAACCCCCCUCAAUACCCUGAAGCACAAGUGAGAUGAUUAAUUUUUCUUUUCUGGAGAACAGGAAAGUGUUCACAAGAUAGUACUUUCCAAUAUAAACAGUUGUAGAACACUCAGAUAAGACAACUGCAUAAGUAACUGCUACAGAUCAAGGCAAUUCCCCAAUAAAUACAAGAACACAUUUUACAUAUAUAGACAAAUAAGAAAGUUGGAAUCUUUUAGGAAGGGAAAUGCAGCCUUACAAAUGCUUUAAAUUGGACAGUUGACCCCAGGUAUUGGGUAUAGGACCUCUGAAAUUAUUGUUUGCAAGAUUUAGAUUCUGUAGAUGUGUCAUGUUGGCAAGAUAAAUGGGUAACAGGCCCGUUAGACUAUUAUCCUGGAAGUCCCUGCAUAAAUAAAGUUAUUUUAUCAAAAUUCAUGACUGGAUGCAAAAAAAUAUAUUCUUCAGAAUUAAACAAACAAGAACUACAAUUGAAGGCAUUGGUAUUAUAUUCCACUUUUUUCUAUGACUCAGUUGACAGUAUGUAAAGUUACAAUGAUAAAGGGAAAAUUUAAAUUCUCCCUCUCUCUCUCUCUCUCUCUCGGUAGGUACCAGAGCAUAAACUAGGAUCCAAAUCAGGUUUCAGCCAAUGGAAAUAGUUAUGUUACAUUUUCUGACACCAUCAGCCCCAGAAUACUAAUGCAUCAAGAAGUUGACUUACAGGCUAGCCAAAAAUUUCAGUUUAGUAAUCGAAGGAGAAAGCGUUCCAGAAAAUCCAUUUGAUGCCAGGCUCCUGCAAAGUAGUACAUUCACAAACUAAAUGUACUGCAAUGAUAAAUGAUUUUCAAAGAUGGCGAUAUUAAUAAAAUAUAUAUUUUUCAUGAUCAUAAAAUUUAGUUUAACUUACAGGGAUAUGACAUUUUCAUUUCUACAAGUGACAUGAGACCGGCUAAAACAGGGGCUAACGAGAUUAUUAUUCCAAUCUGUUAUUCGGCCACUGGAAUCAUUCAGUGCCCUAAGCAAAUCGAUCAAUGCUUCACCUGCACAUUAUCGUAAGUGAAGAACGAAAUUGUAUGUAGAACCAUAGAUGGCUGGUGAAAAGAACUUUUGUUUAUAUUACAAUUCUGAUAAAUGAAAAAUGAAAAAUUCUUGGACUUAGGUAAGGUAGAACACAGAAACCAUGUGAGCAAGGCAGUAGAUAAGGUAGAACACAGAAAUCCUGUGAGCACGACAGUAGAUAAGGCAGAAGCAAAGACAAAGGGCAAGGCCACAGCAACAACAACGACAAUGACCACAUCAACGGAAAGCAAAGCAAGCAAAGACAACAUCAACGGCGGCAACAUCGACCACAACAGAAACACACCAGCAAAGACAUGAGCAACAAUACUGGCACCAUAACAUGCAUGAGCAACAAUACUGGUACCGAACAACAGCAAUACAAGGCACUGGCACCAGCAAGAGUAUUAAGGCAGGGACAUAACAGACAUCAUCGACGAUGUAUGAGAGUCGAGAUUUGGAGAAAGCAACACCGAAAAAUAAAGUUGCAUCUAUUUCUCCAUCAAAUCUGACACUGGUAAAGGGUCGAGAUUUGGAAGAAGAUAAAUUGAAAUAAUAGUAAAGAGACUCAAACAUGCCAGUCUCGUGGUAGAAACAAAUGCAAGAGGGGAAAGUGGUAGCAUACGGCUGUCCCAUGUAGAAAAAACUUUAUAAAAAGAGAAUAGUAAGGGAGGAAACCCAACAAAUCAUGAACAGAGACAAAGACAAAGAUAAGGUGCUCAAACAGGAAUUAGAGCAAAGGGCACCGAAAAAAGGAAACCUUUCAUGUGUGGAAUAGGAAUAGAUAGAGUGCCCAUCAAAGGGAAGCAAUAUUAUAUAAGGGAGUUGUGAAAGCGAGAGAUAAUGCAGUGAGAAAACAACAAAAUGGAAAAGGUUGGUAAAAGAAAGAUGAGAAAUAGAGAGGACCUGAAAAGAGUUUGGUUGCAUAGCAGGGGAAACCACAUCCAUAGAUCAAAGAGGAAGAAACUAAAGAUAUUUAAAAAGUAAAGCAUGGGAAAUUGCAUGUGACAAUUUUUAAAAAAAAACUAGUGGAAGAAAGUGAGGUGCUAGAACCGAAAAAAGGAUAGAAUAAUGCUGUGAUUGAAGGAAAAUAAUGACAAAGGAAGGUAUCUGUGAGGAAAUAGAUAGACAGAGAAAGGGAUGAAUAUUGGAAAGAGGCCAAAGGUAGAAAGAAAUAAGCAUAAGGGUAAAAAGGAAGGAGAUAGAAAAAUAAAUAAUAAAUACCCAACGGGAAAGGCUAGAGUGACAAAGCUGGAGAGAUGGCGUGGGGAAAGAACACAACAAACACCAGCCAUUGGGCAUAGACAAACAAAAGAGAUAAACAUAAAUAAAAGAGAGCUAAAUAGAGCAAAGAGAGAAACAAAGAAAGGGUGCUCAAAACUGAGAAGCGGAAAGGCAACUCAAGAGAACAGCCGAAGAAGACAGAGAUCGGCAGAACAGUCAAAGGAAAGGCUCGGUGAGUGGUGACAAGGCUCGCGGAGGAAAGCAACGGCACGGUAAGCGGUGACAAGGCUCACGGAGUAAAAAGACCUGUUAUGAAGUUUCAAAGAUAAAGAAGCUGGGACAUCAAGAAAGACCAUCUGGCAUACAAAGAUUAAAAAUAAAAAAAUUUGGAACAAUAGCAAAAAAGCAUGUGAAGGCUAGGUGUGGUGAAAACACAUAUGAGAGGAUUGAUCAAAAGAAGAUGACUAUACAAGAUGAAGACCCAUGAUGGGUUAGGAAUGAGGAGUGCCAACGACUCUCAAUUUGACAGAGGUUAUCACAUGUUAGAAACUAGGCUCUGAUACCAUGUCAAACAAAGUAGGGUAAAUAUUCAAUUAUGCUCAGAUAUGCUCAUAUUGUUAUUCUUCUCCAAUAUGGAGGUAUUUAUACAAGUACAAAGCUGUGUUAACCCUAAAUAAAAUAGGAAAUAUAUCUAAAUUACAAUAGGAAGUAAAUCUCUAUUACAAUAUGACUAAAUAAUAAUUGGUAAGUAACCAAAAUUCUAAUAAAAUAAGGAACCAAAAUCCUAACUAAAUAAGGACUUGCCAACAGCACGACCUUGAUGCACUAUGAGAAUCGAGGCGCUGGCCACAAUGUUGGACGAUGCCAAUGCAUCUCCCAAGGGUCCGAGCUCCAGGCAGUCACCCCACUCGGAUAGCCCGAACGUGAGUGGUGAGGAACCUGUUUGCCCUCUGCCCACGAUAUAAAGAUCAUAGUCAUUUCCCAUGGCGCUUAUCAAUUUGAGAGUUUCUUCUCCAUUGUUCAACACCUCGUGAAUUAAUUUUAUGGAAGGUUGGUCCCUAGUAUUGAGCACAAAGCUCUCUAUAUAUUGGUCGUCUAGUUGUUUCUCCUUCUCAUUUUCCUCUAUCACCUCUAAAAUAUUCUUCUUUUCGUCCUCAUCAUGAUCGUGAUCAUUAUUAUUAGGAUUGUUGGGAGGGAGAUCUGAAUGAACUGCCGCAUCUUUACUGACGAUGAAACGAACCACGGUUAAGCUGAUAUUAGGUUUAGGGUUAGGAUUGCUGGCUAUCCUCCAUGCAUAUGCCAAUGCCUCGCGGUCAUCUGACCCACUAAUGAAGAGCAUGGCACAGCGGCAGCAGCCAUGGCCAUCUUCAUUUUUAAUGUUAGAUGAAUCGGUGAGUCCACGAUCCACGAAGAUGGCCACCGAACAAGAAGCGUUCUCUAGAAGGUUCUUGUUAAUGCCUCUAAAAGAGGGGUUUCCGUUGUCCAUUCCCCCGUCAAUGGUGGAUUGCUUGUGGAAAGGAAUGAUUAUGAGGUCUGCACUCUUGUCGUCCGCAAGGUUGCAAAUGUCCUCAUGCAUGGAGGCGUGAGAGGACACAACAGUUAGUGCCUCCACGAACAAGCUGCUUUCUUCACUUUCGGUCUCAAGUUUUUCAAAGGCGGCGACAAUUUGGUCAGAAGGCGAAGAGUGCUUUUGAUUUUUGGCUGUAAUUUUACUUGUCUUACGAAUAUUGCUGCAUGUGUCGUGGACUAUGAGCAUGGCAGAAGCAUGGCCACUGAGCUCCACCAAAUGGACCGCAAAGACGAACAUCGGGGAUUGUUUGGUGGGAUUGGAAAUCUCCAACAGAUUGAUGACGCUUGAAACAUUGCUUGUUGAAUGGAAGCAAGUAAGGAUUCUGUUUAUACCGAAAUAAACGGCCUAUGACCACCGAACACGUGGACAGGAUCGAUACUGAUCACAGAACCCCUUCGGCAUUGUUGAAGGAAAAUGUGAUCCUCCUAAUAUAAUUUCACCACCACGAAUUAAAUAACGGGGUUUUAUUAUUUUACGUUCGACCCAUUCGAGACGCAAGUCUCUUAAUUACAAUCCCUUGCUUCAAGGGAACACCCUUUGAUUCCAUCAUAAAGAAACAGAACGUGUGUGUUUGAUUUUGCAACUGCUCCCAAGUCCAACCUCAGGAUGCCUACGUAUCCCUUGCGGGAAUCAAGCCACUCGUAGUUCAAAGAAUCGCAAUGAAUAAAUGACUCAUUGCGAGGGAAAUUUGAUUUGAAUUGUAUUGAGAAGUGUUUGAGUGAAUUUAGCUGAAUAAACCAGGGAUUCGAUAUGGAAUUGCAUUUGGGAUGGUUGUAUCUAGAUUGAAUCUCUAGAUUGCCUACGUACCCUUUCAAAGGGAUCAAACCAACGUAGUUCGGAAUUUGGAAAUUAACGGGUAAGUGUGGCCCACUAAUUGAGAAUUUCUGUUUGAGAGACUUGGAUUUAAUCUCAUUAGAGUUUUCAUGGGUAGAUGACCCAUGGAAAAUUGGAUGGUUUUGUACCACUUUCGUUGUUGUCAAUGUCCAAGAAAAAUAAUGAGUAAUUUUAAUUAUCCCAUUAAUUUUUCCUAAACAUUGACAAUUGCGUUUGGGAAAGUGUUUUGGCAAAAUUUGGUUAAGAUAAACCAGAUAUUUAAAUUUGAUUGCGGUUGCGUCUAUUGGGAUGUUAGACUGCCUACGUACCCUUGACGGGAUCAAACCGACGUAGUUCCAAAUUUUGGAAGUUAAUGGGUAACUGUGGCCCACUAAUUGAGAAUUUGUGUCUUUGGGACAAUUUGGAGAUUUUCAUAGGUAGAUGACCUAUGGGAAAAAUUGGAAAUUAAUGGGUAAGUGUGGCCCACUAAUUAAGAAUUUGUGUUUGAAAUAUUUGAAUUUAAUCUCAUUUGGAAUUUGCAUGGGUAGAUGACCCAUGGGGAAAAUUGGAUGGUUUUAUACCAUUUUUCUUUUUGUCAAUGUCCAAGAAAAAUAAUGAGCAAUUUUGAUGAACCCACUAAUUCUCUACAAUUGACAUUUGCAUUUGUAUCCAUGCAUGAUUUGGAGGAUUUGAGAUUAAUGGGCUUUUGUGGUUGACAAGCCUGUUAAUCCAUAUUGAUGCUCCUUUGGUAUCUUUUGGGAGUGAGCUCAAUGCUCGUAGCACGACCAAUCAUUUAUUUGGAAUGGAGUCAUCGACACAGUAUGAUUGAGUCGCUUGGCACUCCUUUCUGAAUAGCUUCUUUGCCACAGUGAUUGAUUCCCAUAUUUCUUGUUGAGAUUUUGUGGGCAUGUUUGGUAGCCAUCUUGCAUUUGAGAAUUGAGGUAGAUAGACCCGAAUGCCGUAAGCAUUUUAUUGAGCCUUCUUGACCGUCAAUUGAUUUAGUUAUCGUGAACCCUUGCUGACACUUUUGUGCACUUGCUUGCAUAGCUUGGUACUGCAAGUAGUGAACUCACAUCUUCGUCCCUUGGAAUAUAAAGGAGCACAAGUGCCUGGACACUUUGUUUUCAUUUGUUGCAGUAACCAAAAGUAAUGUGAGGGACUUUAAAAGGCCUUGGUUUCAAACCUUCACUUUGUCUUCUAUCUGCGUGAAGCUCAAUGCUUGUUUUAUAUUGUAAAGCAUAUUGCUGAGCUUAGUGGACAUUUACAAAGAAUGGGCCCUCUCAAACAAUCACGCCUCUGACUAUUUUUCUAUCGUCUUUGACUUCUUGACGUCGGUACAAGCCAGCUACUCUUGUGGCUUGAUUUUCCCUUCCGUUUGUCAUUGGCAUGGGGCCUUUUGCUUCUUCAUGAAGCAAAAGAAAAGUAUUGUAUCUCCUUGAUUUAUCUUAUUUUUUUCAUAGUUCUGCUCCUUCCUAUUUAGAAGCUUGGUAACUUGAACUGUGGGGGAUGAACUUAGAGAAAUCUGCACUUCCUUUGGAUUGGUUCGCAUGAGUCUGGACUCAAACUUUGUGUGUUCAGAUUUGAUGCAGCUGGCAGCUUUGGGUUUGUUAGCUUUUGUCAAACUUGCCAAUUCUUUCUUCUCUGGUCUCUUGCAUACGACUUAUUGGAGGAGAUAAGAAUUUGGCAAAACACAUCUUGCAUCAAACCCUUUUUUUUAUGUUUCUCCUUGUUGCAAUCAAAGAGAACCCAAUAUCAAAUUUUCUUUGGUAGCCAACCAGCCAUCUUGAAUUGGUCUUGAGAAACGUGUUGUACAGCGCCAGCCCCACAGCAACACCAUUUUUUUUUUAUCAUAAGCUUCAUGCAAUAGAAUUUGGACUCAUAAUUCAAAUUCCUUGUUUUGCUGCAUGUAGAGUUGCAGCCCAUCCCUUUUUCAUAAUCUUGGAUUCACUUUGGAUAUGCAAGUCCGUGAAGUCCAAGACUUCUUUUUUUCUUACUCUGCUGCAAGUCAAAGAGGAAGAAGUCCUCUUCCUUUUGAAUUCACAAGUGGUGGGUUCACCAACACAUUUACUCUUCAUUUCGUUUUGCUUAUGUAGUGUCAUAGCCCCAGCAAUUGACUUCAUGUGAAUUUGAUUCUGACCUGAAGAAGAGCAAAGCUUUCUUCAUUGUUCUGAAUUUUGAUUGAAGGCUUUGCUUUUGAUUCAAAGCCAAAAGUCAUCACGUGGAGGGUUCACCUCCACAAGCUUUUAUUCUUUUUUUUCUUCUGUUUACAUUCAGCAAAACAUAGUAAACCAAAGGCCUUGCUUUGCUCCAGCUGGAUCCCUCACGUAUUGGUGCCAUUAACAGGUGUCUUUCAAUUUGAUUAAGACACCCAAAGGAUAGAAAUCCUUCUCGAAGUGAAGUGUGGAUUAAACUCCUUAUUGAUUUGGAACUGGUGGAUCAUCCAGUGAAGUAAACUUCUUGUCCACAUAGGAUUGGGUUGUCUUCCUUAUAAAAAAGAAAACAUGUGUGCACCAGCAAACAGCCACAAAACGAAAGUCUUAACAUUAUUCUUCGUUUGCUUCUCCAGACCAGCACAUAGCUUUGCUCAAGCCACCUGUUGCACCAUCAAACGAAAGCGGAUUUCACGUGGUAACCCACAUGCCAUUCCUUAGUUCUUCUCUUUUAUUUUAUUUAUUGAUUGAACUAACUAGGACUUUUGUCUGCAUGGACAGCAAUAGCAGUAGCAAUAGAAGACCCUCCAAUUAAUUGGAUGCUUCUGGGCUGACUUGGAACCAAAAGAGACAAACUCUCUUAUUGUCCUUUGUGUGCUGUAACUUUCCCAAGGUCAAUAACUCAAGAAAUCCUCUUGCCUUUCACGUGGUAAUCCCCCCCCUUGAACUCCUCUUUUCCUUUGAUUUUUUUUUUGUCUGUUUCCAUGCUUCUGACCUCUUGUCUUCUCCUUUGUAUGUAGAGACUGUGCUGCCAGCUUGAAGGCUUUGGAGUUUGGUGGAGGAAACCACCUGUCAUUUUGCUUCAGAAACCCAAGAGAGAACUUGUGGUACAUGCCUUGCCAGCUCCUUUUUUUUUUGUGUUUGCUGUUGUUGUACCAUUGUCCAUGUCCUUUUCUUUUUCCCAGUCAUAAUAAACCAAAGAAAUAUUCAAGAGAGGGAGGAGGGGCUGUGCGAUACAGCCCCCCUUUUUUUUCAUUACCUUCUUUUUUUUUUUACUACGUUGCCCCUUAUUUUGUCUCUUUGCAAACAAAACACAAGAACAAAGUCAGCCACCAUUUUUUACUCCAUUAUUUCUUCUUCCUUACUCCUUUUUUUCCAAUCAAAGCAGACCAACAAAGGGAGGGAGGGUUGUGCGUCACAGCCCCCUUUUAUUGUUUUUUUCAACUCCUCUUUGUUUUGUUUCUUUGCAACAAAACACAAGAAGCAAACCCACCAUUUUUCUUUUGCUCCAUUAUCUCUUCCUCCGCUGGCUCUCUUCUCCUUCUCUUUUUUUGUCUUUUUUUUUUUCUUCGUUGACUUGCUGGCGGCAGCUGCCCAUAGGGAGGCAAUUCAAUUGCCGUGAGACCCUUUUAUUUUUAAAUGCUCCAUAUAGAGGUUUUUACACGCCCUCCUUCUUUGAUUUUGAUUCCAUAGUGACCCCAUAUCCUCCUUAACUCUCCAUGAUUUGAGACAUCCCCUGCAUUUGGAAGCAUUUAACCGGAGUUGCCUGUUGGAAAUAUGAUGAUUGAAAUCAUCAUGGAAGACAAUCUUCCCUAUUGGUGGUGGACUGAAAACAUCGAUGGAAUUAUCUUAGCGGAGCCAAGCCUUGGAGAGAUUCUUAACCUUGGUUAUGAUGAUUUCAAUCAUCAUAGCCAAGAAUUUCUGUGGAUUGAUCAAACAAACUGCUGGGUGCGGAUCGUAUCCUCGGAGUUACUUGAGCGGAGCUGUCCCUUAGAGAGAUUACUGACCCUUUUUAUGAUGAUAGAAAUCAUCAUGGCUAGGAACCCUUGAGUUGAAUGGAAACUGAAAUCUUGAGCAAAAAAUCAGAAAAUUGUGCCAUGAAACUAAUCUUUUUACCUUGAAAUGGCUCUUUCCAUUCUCAAGUCUGCUUGCUAAUUUUUCUUCUUGCUAUGACUGUUCUCCUUUCUGCUCUUUUUCUGUCCUCCUGCCGUUCUCCUCUCUUUUCUGUUUUCCCUCCCCUCGUGUCAUGCCUCUUAUAGAGGCUAUCUUAUGAUGAGUUUGAAUUCCAGCUGAUGACCACUUCUCAACCGAGAUACUUAUCUCUUGGUGUUUCAAAACCACUGAAAUACAUCUAUUUUAUUUUUAAAUGUUUUUCUUGAUAAGAUUGCAGGGACAAAACAAAUUCAAUUCUAACCCAAGUCAAACUCUUGGCUAAUUGCUUUUGUGAAAAUUUUCCGUUCAACAGGCAUGCUUCCUACCGAAGCCGUCUAUCUUGGCCAUUUUUACCAUCGGACACGUGUCAUGCUCACAAUCCAUGUUCAGAGUCCCAUAUCGGAAAUAUGAGCACAGUGCACACCUCCCAAGGCCUCCAUGUUCAGUCCUUUUGUAGGUACUUACAUUUCCGAAGUAGAACAUCUUCCGAAGACAGUCACCUACCGAAGGGAUAAUAUCACUAAGUUGACGAAAUACGUGCUGAACCACUUCUUCGCAUCAACAGUUUGGCGCCGUCUGUGGGAAACGUUCAGAAAAAUCAUCAACCCACUAUCUCCAAAACUCAUGGGGACCACUUCAGUACCCGCGUUCUUAUCAGAAGAAGGGGUACCGUUCGGAAGGCAGAGCGGAACUAGCCCAGCACUACCCCCAUGCACUCCCUUCGGAAACACCCCCGCAACCCAAACAACCGCCGAAGCCGAGCUGGCAGUCCAAAUCGCGUCCCUACGGAAGGACAUGGCGAGGCUUCAGGAGCACAACAACUUUCUUUCGUCCAAAGUGGACGAAACCCAGUAGCUGCUCCACCAGCAGCACACGCAGAACAUCCAGACAACUCGCUCUUCCGAGAGCUUGCAGACCCCCCAUAGGAAGAAGAAACGCGAGAAGGUAGCGAAGGCAACGCCCGCACCUUCCAAACAGUUGGUAGUUCCGGCACCCAGGGAUCAGCCGCACAUCCCCAAGAAAGUCUACUCCGAUUGCCGACAUCGGAUUAACGACCGUGAACAUCGGAAUAACGAUCGGGAGGCAGAGAGACAGAGGUCUCCGAUCAGGAUUAGCGCUCGACUAAGGGACUCACGGAUGAAAGUCCUAGGAGACAAGUCGCCUAUUCGGAAAGUCAGAGGGCUGGACUCCGCAGAGGAGUCGGAAUCCGAGUAUAUCCCGUCCGGGACGCAAACUUCCACCUACCGUUUAGCAACGCCUUCACGGUACUCGGGGGUUAAUCCAUUAGACCUACAAAGGCGAUCGGAAGAUUACGGUUCCGAGGAAAUCCCUAGUCGAGACCCCGUUGUCCGACUCCUUUUUCAGAAAGUCCAGAAAAUGGAAAACGACAACGCCCGCUCCCAAGGACCGGAGUGGGGAAAGCUUCGGCCCGGACCAUUUACCAGGCGCAUCUGAGACUCUCGGCAGGAUAGGGAAGGGCAGCAACUGCGUAUACCGUUCUAUACGGGAACGGAAGACCCCUUAACACACCUCCACUCAUUUCAGUCCGCCAUUGGAUGCAAGGGCCUGAGCGAUGAAGGGCAGUGCCUGCUAUUCCCGUCUUACUGGGGCAGCCCUCAACUGGUUCUACCGGUUGGAGCCGGAAACGGUAGACUCCUUCGACGAGCUGAAGCAGAUUUUCCUCAAUCACUUCAUGAUCCAAACGGACCGUCUUUACUCUGCCGAUGAUCUGUACACGAUUCGGCAAAGAGAGGACGAACCGUUGAGAGAAUACGCGGCGCGCUUCAGUCACGAGUACUCAAGGUGUCCGGAAACAGACGAUAGGGCAGCCUACGGCGCCUUCAAGAGUGGCCUUCGGUCCUCGCAUUUCCAAUACCUAGUACACAGCAGCAACUGGCGCACGUACGACGAACUGAUGAAGCAGGCAGCGAUCCACGCCAAAGCCGAAUACUUCAACUCGAAACCCGCGAUUUCGGCAUCGCGAGGAGAUGCCGAACCAAGUGCUUAUCCGGUAAAGGCGCCACCCUACGAGAGAGUCGACCCAUAUUUGGUAGGUCAUAAGAGGAAAGACGACCGUGCCGAUCGAAGAGAACACUCGAAGAAGGGAAAAGGGAGGUAUGGUCGCAACGACCACCGAGCGCCGCUGCCGAAUCGUGACCACGGCAAUGAAGUCUUCACCCUAUUGAACACUACCUACGAGGCCGUCCUGAUGAACGAACAAGAAAUAAUACCAAAGCCGAAUCUUCGAAGACCCAAUCGGCAAGACAACCGGGAUACCGGUAAAUUCUGCCGAUACCAUCAGCACAACAGCCAUAAUACGGAAGACUGUAUAAGCUUGAGAAAAAUUGUCGAACGGUUGAUCAGAGAGGGGAAGCUAGACCAGUAUUCGCCCGGCAGCCACCGGCGCCGGUGCCGAACACAACUCGGCAGAUAAACAUGAUAAGCACUAUCAGCGGUGGCCCCACCAUCGCAGGAAUGAGCAACCGUUCAAUGAAGCAAUACGUACGCGCCGCACAAUUUCCUCAGGUAUUCGGCAUAGAGGUGAAUCGGCACCAUGAAAUACCGAAAGUUCAUUGGGAACCAAUCACAUUUUGCGAAGAAGAGGAAGAGGGCAUCCUCUAUCCCCAUGACGACCUGAUGAUCAUCCGAGCAGAAAUUGCCGACUACGAUGUAGGACGGGUACUGAUCGAUACCGGGAGCUCGGUGAACGUGAUUUUUACCGAAGCUUUCCGAGAGAUGGGAAUAAAGGACAGCCAGGUGAACCGGCAGUUGACACCUUUGUUAAGUUUCUCUGGGGACCUGGUCCAACCGGUCGGUAGUGUAAAACUGCCAAUUACCUUCGGCACCGGGCCAAGGAGAACGACGGUAUACGAUCAGUUCCUCAUCGUUGACUGCCCGACAGCGUACAACAUCAUAGUUGGGCGAACGGCACUCACCAGGGUCAAGGCACAUCUUUCCCCCCACAUGCUAUUGAUGAAGUUCCCGACCCCCAACGGCAUAGGAGCUGUCAGGGGAAAUCAGCUAAGCGCGCGGACUUGCUACGCCACGGCCAUCAAGUCAACCUCUUUCAAAAUCUCUGACGAGACCAUGUCUGUACAGGGCAUACCGAACGGUACGGGACCCGUUGACAACCCAAGGGAUGAGUCCCCGACUCCUCACACACAACCUGCCGAAGAACUGGAAACGAUAACCCUGAGCGAGGAGCAGCCCGAUCGUCGGGUUAGAAUCGGCACCAGACUCACCCCUGCCCUCCGAACGCAGUUCAUAGACUUCUUACGGCACCAUUCGGAAGUGUUCGCGUGGUCCUACGAAGAUAUGCCCGGCAUAGACCCUGAGAUCAUCAGCCAUAAACUCAGCAUUUCCCCCUCUUAUAAGCCUGUAAGACAGAAGCGCCGUUCGUAUGAUGCCGAACGAUACGAAGCGAUGCGCACAGAGGUUGACAAACUUCAAACCAUCGGCUUCAUCAGUGAGGCUACGUAUCCGGUAUGGCUGGCGAAUUCGGUGAUGGUCCGGAAGGGUGCAGGCGGUUGGCGAAUGUGCCAAGACUAUACCGAUCUGAACAAGGCCGGCCCGAAGGACAGCUUUCCCUUGCCACGGAUAGACCAGCUCGUGGACGCCACCGCCGGACACGAACUACUCAGCUUCAUGGACGCCUAUUCGGGAUACAAUCAGAUAUUCAUGCACUCUUCUGACAGCGAACACACCGCCUUCAUAACGGACAGAGGGUUGUACUGUUACAUAUCAAAGGCUCGUCAACAGAAUUUUUGCCAAAUACAUCGGCAGCAUCAUGGAGGUUUACGUUGACGACAUGUUAGUAAAGAGCAGAACCGCCGAAGAACACCUGCACAAUUUGUCAAUCAUGUUCGGCAUACUGAAAGACUACCGGAUGAGGCUGAACCCGAUGAAAUGCGCCUUCGGCGUAUCUUCCGGGAAAUUCCUUGGAUUCAUGAUUAGUCACAGGGGUAUCGAAGCGAAUCCAGAAAAAAUAAAGGCAAUCAUCGAUAUGGAAAGGCCGAAGACGACAAAGGACAUUCAAAGCCUUACCGGACGCGUGGCGGCCUUGACUCGCUUCAUAUCCAAGGCUACCGACAAAUGUGUACCAUUCUUUAAAGCCUCGAAAGGGGGCAAACAGAGUAUCAUAUGGACUGCCGAGUGUGAUAAAGUGUUUCAAGACUUAAAGGACUACAUGGGCAAAGCACCCCUUUUGUCAAAACCACUACCUGGGGAGAUUCUCUCCCUAUACCUUUCGGUAUCUAGCACUGCCGUCAGUUCGGUAUUGAUUCGAAAACCAGAGAAGGCAGAGCUACCGAUUUUCUAUGUCAGUAAGGCACUCCAGAGUGCUGAACUUCGGUAUCCCCCAUUAGAGCAGCUUGCACUAGCCCUGGUGGUCUCGGCACGAAGACUUCGGCCAUACUUCCAAGCACACGGGAUCAAAGUUCUGACUAACUAACCGCUUCGGCAAGUGCUCCAAAAACCAGAGACUUCUGGCCGAUUGAUCAAGUGGGCGAUCGAACUCGGAGAGUUCGAUAUACAAUUCAUGCCAAGGCCUGCCGAAAAGGGUCAAGCCAUUGCCGAUUUCAUCUCCGAGCUCACCCCAUCAACAGCACAGCUGACACCCGAGCCGGUAACCGAAAUCGGAAUGCGGAAGGAAAUAGAUGCCGAACGCUUCGACGCCUCAACUCCCGUAUGGAUUCUACACGUCGACGGCUCGGCAAACCAACAAGGGUGCGGAGCAGGCUUGGUACUGACAACACCGGAGGGACUCAAGAUCGAGUACGUCCUCCGAUUUGACUUCCGAACCUCCAACAAUGAAGCGGAAUAUGAGGCUCUCUUGGCCGGCCUUCGGUUAGCCAAGAGCAUGAAUGCAAAACAAAUCAGAAUUCACAGCGACUCCCAGCUUAUUGUGAACCAGGUAACGGCAGACUUCGCGGCCAGAGACGCCUCCAUGCACGCCUACCUUUCGUCUACCCAUCAACUGCUCCAAAGCUUCCGAACCUACGAGAUCAAGCAGAUCCCCAGAAGCGAAAACAGCCAUGCCGAUGCAUUGGCACGGCUGGCUUCGGCAAUCAAUGAUAAAGUCGGAAGAAAGGUGCCAGUAGAGAUUCUUGCCCAACCGAGCACGGUAACCUCCGAAACAUGCACCGUAUUGUACAAAGAUACAUGGAUGUCUCCUAUCUACUCGUACCUGACCAACGGCACCCUUCUUGAAGAUAAGGCCCAGGCGCGAAAGCUUAGGUACCGAUCGACAAGGUACACCGUCAUCAACAACGUCCUUUACAAACGUGGCUACACAACUCCAUAUCUCAAAUGCCUUACGGCAGAACAGGGGGACUACGUCCUUCAAGAGAUCCAUAACGGUGUGUGCGGCGACCAUUCCGGGUCCCGGUCACUCGCCCACAAAACCUUUCAGCAGGGAUACUUUUGGCCGACCAUGCACCGGGACGCUAAUUCACUAGUGAAAAAGUGUGAUAAAUGCCAGCGCUUCGGUAACAUACAGCAUAUCCCUGCCGAACCCCUUACACCGAUCGUAAGUCCUUGGCCCUUCGCACAAUGGGGACUAGACCUGAUCGGUCCGAUGCCGCAAGGUAAAGGCCAGGUAAAAUACGCAAUGGUUGCCGUCGACUACUUCACCAAAUGGGUAGAGGCCGAACCUCUGGCAACCAUAACUGCAGCAAGAGUGGAAGACUUCGUCUGGACUCACAUUUGUUGCCGGUUCGGUAUCCCGUAUGCAAUCAUUACCGACAAUGGCAGGCAGUUCGAUUCGGAACUCUUCAGGCAAUUUUGCACCCGCCUGAAAAUCAACUUGUUUUUCGCAUCACCGGCCCAUCCCCAGUCAAACGGUCAGGUGGAAGCAAUAAACAAAAUCAUCAAGAAACUACUGAAACGGCAGCUGGACAAAGCCAAAGGAGCCUGGCCAGAAAAGCUUCCCGAAGCACUCUGGGCCAUUCGGACAUCUUACCGAACGUCCACGGGAGAGACCCCUUUCUCUUUGGCUUUCGGUUCGGAAGCCGUGGUGCCCGUGGAAAUCGGCGAACCCUCCUACUGGACGGAAACCUUCGCACUGAAGCCGAACGAAGAAGCACUUUCUCUAAACCUCGAUCUUCUUGAAGAGCACGGGCACAUGCCAACCUUCGGAAUGAAGCCUACAAGCAACGUGUCUCUCGGUACUACGACUCUAGGGUUAGACACCGCUCAUUCCGAAUCGGAGACUGGGUCAUGCGGAAGGUAUCCCUAGCAACCAAGGACGCCACGGAAGGGACUCUCGGACCUUCCUGGGAAGGACCCUAUGAGAUCAUCGGUAUCCUUCGAUCGGGAACCUACCGCCUAAGAGACUCCAACGGCAAGACCCUCGGUCAUCCUUGGAACGUGGAACAUAUCAAAUACUAUUUCAAGUAACCUAGCCUACGGCAGGACAAAGUUGUAACCUAGCCUACGGCAGGACAAAGUUGUAACCUAGCCUACGGUAGGACAAAGUUGUAACCUAGCCUACGGUAGGACAAAGUUGUAACCGAUUGGAAUGUAUUUGCCCUUCGGUAGAAAUUAAUAGAAAGCCCUCGGCACUAUUACUUCAAAACCUCUUUUUAAAAAAUUACUCUACUAGCCCACGGCUGCCAAUAGUGGCAAGUUAACGUUCUACGGCAUCUUUAUUAGCCUACGGCAAUAAAUGUUUUUCGAAAUUGUUACCCUACAGAUUCCAUCGGAACUUAUCAAUUUCGAAAUGUCCCUUUAACGUUAUAAAUCCUAUACGGAGCCUUUCGGCAAUAAGUACGAUCGGCAAUUGUUAAGGACCCGCCCCGAAUUUUCUCAAAAUCCGAGACGAACCCUUUGGAAAUCCUGACAUCACUCCGAUGUCAGACCCAAUCACUAAAGACCGAGACUUCCUGCCGAAAUUUCGGCAGAGUCUCCCCUAUAAAUUGGACAUUUCCCAAAAUUUCAACCUGCAUAAAAACGCAUUUAAUAUCCACAACUGGCAGCAUGCACAAUAUAAUUUCAUGCAAAUUCUCAUAAAUGGCCUUCGGCCUUCCAAUAAUUUCUCAAACAACUACCAAACAGUUCAAAUACAAAUUAUGACUAAUAUUUAGUCUGCGGCUGCACCUAAUAACCUUAGGCUGCCUACGUACCCUCCUUGAGGGAUCAAGCCACACGUAGUUCUUCCCUAAAACCCAAUUCCACACUUGGGCGAUACCUUAUUUCAUUUAUCUGUAUUUCACAUAUUCUCCCCAUACGCCGGUACAACCAACGCCACGUAUGGGGCCUGUCAACACGCCGGGUAACCUACGCCACGUGCGACCAUGCCAUAUUCUCAUCAUAUCUCCCCAUACGCCGGUACAACCAACGCCACGUAUGGGGCCUGUCUCAACGCCGGAUAACCUACGCCACGUGAGACCUGCACAUCAUAUCACCUAACUCCCCAUACGCCGGUACAACCAACGCCACGUAUGGGGCCUGUCCCAACGCCGGAUAACCUACGCCACGCGGGACCUCAACAUCAUAUCACAAAUCUCCCCAUACGCCGGUACAACCAACGCCACGUAUGGGGUCUGUCGACACGCCGGAUAACCUACGCCACGUGCGACCUCAACACAAUAUCACAUAGCUCCCCAUACGCCGGUACAACCAACGCCACGUAUGGGGUCUGUCCCAACGCCGGAUAACCUACGCCACGCGGGACCUCAAUUUCACUUGGUGGUGCUUGUAAUGGAUCCCAAGUCCGAGGAGGUACCUAGAGUAGUGCGUAUAGCACUCCAAACUGACAUUCUAGACUCUGUUGUACCCUUGUACAACCACAUAAUUUAUAUAAAUAAUUCUAAUAUUGUGUAACCCUCCCCAAUAGUCUAGCUCCCGAUAAUUCCCCCUGGAAGGGUGAGAUUACUCCAGGAGACUCACGGUCAACCAAGGGUCAAACUACUCUAACCCUGGUCAACCGGACCUGCAGAACCCACGACCUCCAAUUUCCGAUUCGGAAGUCCCUAUGGGUUCUACCCGGUAUAGGACACUUGUCCUGCAAGUUUGGUUCAGAUCGGACGGUCGGAUUUCUCACGAUCGCACGAUCCGACGGUUAAUAUAAAAUAUAAACUUAAAAUUAUUAUUCGGAACAUCCGGGGCUCCGAUUCACGAUCCGUGAAUUCCUACACGAUCCUAGAAUUACCUAGAUUAACAUAUAUUAAAUUUGGGACCAUCCGACGGUCCCAACCUAUCGAACCCGGAUAACGCAUACUAUGCGAUUAUCCGUUCGAUAGUCAAACGACGUCCGAAUUGAGAUCCGCGAAAUCCUACGCACUCGUGACAACCUAAGGAUCUCAUCGGAACACAUCGCUACUUUUUCUACAGUGCCCACGCGCCGCCGCACGCGCCGGCAGCGCGUGGGUGCCCAAAGCGAUAACGCUUCGCCGGAAAAUCUCAACAUCUCGGCUUCAAACUCCUACCCUAGGUAUAACACCCUAUUUGGAGCCACUUUUGUUCUUGGACCUACCCCAAAAAGUGGCCGAAAAUGGCCGAUCACGGCGGCCGAAGUUUCGGCCGAGUUUCAAUUCGAAAAUCGAGUGAUCUAGAGAUCGAAUCGAUAAAAACCCAACCAACAGGCAGCUAGAACAGCUCGAGAGGUUCAAAAUCCAUACCUGGGUCGACGAAAUUGGUGGCCGGAGGAGGGAGAUCGGUGGCUUUGAAGUUUGGACGACGUCGGCCGCUUCAUCUCCAAAUUCCGGCGAAUCCGCGGCGGCUGGCGGCGGGAGGUGGCUGGGGUAGGAAGAGGACGACGCCCCGGUCAUUUUGGUACCGGCCCCGUCCACAGCCGUGGCCGGUGGCCGGAGUUACGAGGAGAGAGAGAGGAGAGACCGACGGGAGAGAGAGAGAGGUCGCGGGAGAGGGAGAGAGAGAGAGAGAGGGAGAGAGAGAGAGAGAAAACCAGGUUUUUUAUAAAAAUCCCAUUUCAAAAUAUUUACGAUUGUGCCACUGGGCUUCUUUUGACCAUAUCUCUCUCGUUACAACUCCGAUUCGAGCCCACUACGUGUCUAUGAACUCGUCUCAGUACGACCUAUCCAAAAAUACAAGUCACGGUCCCAAACUCUCUCCGGUUAAAAAUGUGACUAAAAUACCCUUAAAUAAUUAAAUAAUUAAAUAAGGGUAAAAUUUGGGGAAAUUUGGGGUCGGGGUGUUACAGAAACAAACUCAGAUUGUCGAAACAAAUGAUAAAAACAAUAAAUAAACUUUUAAAUCAAGGAUCCCCUCGGCACUAAUACGUUCUGAAUACAAAAAAGUUUAAAUCUAAAAUUACAAGCUCAAAUCUAAGAGGCCCUCAGGCUUCGUCGCCGGCAGCAGCCUCGGCAGAAUCAGAGCCUUCGGCGGCGUCCUCCCCCUCGUACUCCUCGAUCAUUUCCUCAGUUAUCCCUUCCGGUAGAGGAGGAGGAUCAGCGAUGAAGUUCAGGUUCAGCUUUUGUCCAGGGUUGUACCGUUUGAAUUGGUACGACAGGUCCGCCAUCUCCGAGCCCACUUCCUUAUCCAGAAGGACAGUGAACUCUUCAGACGAGCGGUACCCCCGGAUCGCUGACCGAACGGCACCUUCGAUCUUCGCUGCCUUGGCCCGCUCCGACUCCUCCAAGGCCACCUGCACCGCCUCUUUGGCAGCCUCGGCAUCCCUCGCUGUCGCCAGCACCGCCUCCAGGAGACCCUUCAUCUCCUCCACCUUCUCCUCCGAAGCUAGAACCUGCCGUUCGGCAGACUCUUUCUCCUUCAGCAAGUGGGCGUGCUCCUGGAGCGCUUUGUCAGCCUCGGCAACCUUGGCCCUGCCGUCCUCGUACGCCUUCUUGGCGCGCUCGGCAGCAGCGAUGGCCAGCUUGACGCAGAGCCACAUGUCCAUGGACGCCUGCACAAAACAAACAAAGUCAGAAGCGUGCCCCACUUACAAAAAUAAAAGGACGAAGGAAGAAAGACAAUCUUACGGAGGCCUGAAGGCGGAAGGCGCGUCCAGCCUCCUCCCGAAGAAAUUUCUUCGGUAGUUCGUCGAUCUCCGGCAGCUCCAUCUGAGAGCCGAGGAUCAUAUGGUUGACGAACUAGACCGUCUUCGCCGGGCAGGCAAUGGUGACAGCCUCGGAAGGACCGUCCUCGUCCUCCACCGCAAGGACGGCCCUCGGGACCUCCGACUGGCGAGGGCGCUUGGAGACUGGUCCGACCUCCAGAUCGACCGUCUCCGGCCGUUUGCCGGCAGCCUUGGAAGCAGCGGCUUCAGUACCCAUCCGCCUCGAUGUGGAGUCCUCAUCGCCGACUCGCCUUAGCAUAGGCUCGGCACCCAGCUGCCGCAUACGAUCGGCGAGAGUCUGAUCCUCAGGAUCCACCACCGCCUGCCGAGCGGAAGCUUCCUCAGGCUGCCUCUUUUUCUUCUUGCCCUCCAGGCCCAUCAUUAGGCGCCUCCUGGAGGACUCGUUCAUCUUCUUGGCCUCGGCAGCCUUCCUGGCGUCCGUCACUGGUCAAAAAAAGCGUUUGGUCGGUCGGCAAGCAAAAGCCAUACAGGAAAACAAAAAAAAGAGGAGAAGGAACGAUAUACUCUCGGCAGGGUUAACGAGGCCGGCUCUGAUGAGGUUGUCGAUGAAGAGGAAGCGUGGGUAAACUCGCCCGGCAGCAGGUACUCUCAGCCUCACUCUGUCGAGCUGCUGGAUCUCACUCUGCUUGGGGCUCGGCUGCUUGAGUUUACCUGUCAGAAGAAGGAAAGUUAGUAAAAUAAAGCAGAGAGAAGAGAAGCCGGCCUAUCAAUUGGUAUCUCGGGAACCUACCGGCAAUCUGGAAUGUCGUGGGGACCGGGAAGCUAAGGGGUGUUCCCGAUGGCGAUUCCCAAUCGCUGGAGAGUAGCACCAGCCGAUUCCUCCACGACUUUUGAGAAGUCGGCACCGAGCUGAUAAAGUGGCCCCGCUCGGAAGCCUUCAGGCAGUUCGCCUGAACCCAGCCGCCGUGAUCGGCGCUCUUGGACUUGGUAAUGCUGUAUAAGUACAAGAACUGCUCGUAGGAAGGCUCCCCCUCCUCGGCAAUUUCGAACGCAGCAAUUACCUCCAUCAGGGCCACCCAGAAGUUGGGGUUGUACUGGCCGGGAGCGUACCCGAUCUGGGCAACGGCAACCGAACCCCUUGCAGAAGAACAUCGGUGAAGAAGGUCACCUCGCCGUUCGCUGGGUCGCUGAGGGACUCGACAGGGCUCGGUAUCCUCAUCUUCACCGAAUCCGGAAUGAGGUACUCAGCCCUAAUCCUCUCCAGCUCUCGUUCGGUGAUCUUGUUGGGCUCCAAGUAGUCGACCCCGAACAGAGGCUUCUUGGGCACACCCACCGGUAUCCUAGGCUGCUCCCGGUGGAUGAUCGUCACCCUUGGCCGAGAGGGACCGGCAAUGCCCUCACCGCGACCGGAGGUGGAGGCCUCAGGCUGAUGCUCCAACGGGCCGACGCGGGUACCGUCUUUGUACACCGCGGCCAACGGUAGCGGUUGCCCCGUCAUAAGGCCCUUGCCGAUGCCAUGGGUGGGAAUGGAGUUUACCUCCUCACCGAAUAAUUCAACAUCGGUGUCUUCUCCACCCUCGGCGUCGAGGCUUACAGCCCCGCUGGACGUAUCCCAGUCCGAUGCCAACUCCCCAUCGAACGCGUUGGGCUCACUGCCGAACGGCGACUCGCUAUCGGACAUCUACAAAACAAAGAAAGGGAAGCUAAGGCCCGUGCCACAAACUACCCUACCGAUACCUACGUCGCUACCUAUGGCCACCCGACUACCGAAGGAAAAUCCUACUUAACGUUCGGCUAGCCUAUGCCAUGGAAAGACGUAUAAUUACAUAAAAAGAGAGUAUUCGGGGGAUACCGAAUGGUAUCUUACCUUGAGUAGGGUGGGAUGAUUUGAUCGCCGAUCAGAUACUUCGGAAAUCGCCCUGUAUGCCGAGAACCGCUCUAAAAAAUCGCCUUGAUUGCCGUUCACUCUAUUCGGAAAUCGCCUUGAUUGUCGUUCACUCUAUUCGGAAAUCGCGUUGAUUGCCGUUCACUCUCUUCGGAAAUCGCACUCAUAGAGCUCUCGCUUCAACUCACAAUUGCAAAGUGAGCCUUACGACCUGAGCAAUCUCUAUUUAUAGAGAGAGAGCUGUAACGGUACGCCUCGGGAGACUAAACGGCUCUUUAAUGCGCCGUCAGACGUGCUUUUGCUGGCCACGCGUCACCCGACGAAUGGCGCGGCUGACUGCACGCCAGGCACGGAAGACGAAGCGUCUCUCUGCCCUCUCGCCUCUCAGCAUCAACGACCCCUCGAGUCCCAGGCCAAUCUCCCCAGAACGAGCCUACCGUUCGGCAGGUUAACCUCCGAACCGCCAUAGAGAACUAAAAUUCCCUUCCGAAGGACCUUCGGAAGAGAACUUGGGGGACUACUGUUUAUACCGAAAUAAACGGCCUAUGACCACCGAACACGUGGACAGGAUCGAUACUGAUCACAGAACCCCUUCGGCAUGCUUCCUACCGAAGCCGUCUAUCUUGGCCCUUUUUACCAUCGGACACGUGUCAUGCUCACAAUCCAUGUCCAGAGUCCCACAUCGAAAAUAUGAGCACAGUGCACACCUCCCAAGGCCUAUAUGAGAAACCCCUAUCCCCAAAAGGAAGGGAUCAGAACUAACGGUACGCUAUCGAUUGAUCUGUCAGUUAACUUUACUAAAACCGUACUUACUAAAGCAUCAGAGAGCCUUCGGCCGGUACCACACCGGUACCCCAAGGACUUACCGAACGUGUCCUUUUGUAGGUACUUACAUUUCCGAAGUAGAACAUCUUCCGAAGACAGUCACCUACCGAAGGGAUAAUAUCACUAAGUUGACGAAAUACGUGCUGAACCACUUUUUCGCAUCAACAGAUUUGAAACUCUGAGUUGGGUUGUAUGCUUCUUAUGCUUCUGUGCGUGUGCUGCUUAGAUGACACAUUCGACUUGUAAAUCAAAGCCAAAAUGGGUCCAACCGUUGCCGUCAUUAUCAAAAUUGCAAGCAUCAUUACUGAAAAAGUAUUGUGGUCCAAAACCUGCAUUUAUAUAUAUAUAUAUAUUUGCCAAUUAAAACAAUAUAAAAUCAGGAAUUUAACACAUGGUUUUAAGAUAUAUAUUUCUUAGAUGUAAUCUAUGUGUACUAUUAUUUAGGAGAACACUUGGUACCAUUGUGUUAAAUUUCGGAGAGACGGGCCAGCGGUCCAUUACCAGCAACACCAAUAUUAUCCCCAACUUGAUUAAUUAAUCAUGGAAUAUUGUGUGUAUGUGGUUGUGGAAGAGGCAGCUGCACAUGCAAUAAUGAAAUAGUUGUACAUAAUGUUGGCGUGACUUGUGGAUAUUGACUUACUUUCCUUACACACCAAGAAUUCCUAUUAUAAUUGUAAUUGAUUUAUUUUAAUUCCUGAUUUCCUACUGUAAAUGGAUUUAGGAAUUUAUUAUUUACUUGCCCAUUCAGGUUUCGUUGUAUUAUAAAUAUGACCUCCUACAAGGAGAAGAAUACACAGAAAAUUCCCACAAACAAAUAUUCUCUCAUAGUUUUCAUAUUUUAACAUGGUAUCAGAUCGGCGAUCUUGGAAUUGCUGACUCUAGUUUCAAACCCCCGCCGCCGCUAUGGGGGUUGAUGAUUUUUUCAACCCUCAUGGAGGUAGCACCACCGACUCCUUCUCUCAUUCUCAACCAACCAUCGUUGAGUUGAGUGCCCAGAUGGCUCAGCUCCUACAGAUGCAGACUUUGACCCCGAACCCGAUCCAGAAUCAGGAUCCUCUUUUGACGACCCCGACUAUGAUGAUGACGACCCCGACUAUGAUGAUGACGACCCCGACCCCCACUCCGAUGACAACCCCGACCUCGAAUUUGUCUCUGCUUCAGACCCCGAUACCGAUUUCGACUCCGACUCCGGCCCCGACUCAGGCUCAGAUUCCGAUCCAAAUUCCUACUCAACCUGUAUCCUAUGCAUCUUCCGUUGCACAGAUUAUGACUUCUCGACUAACGACCCCGACACAUGGACCAGAUUGCGCAUAUUGUGGUGAUCCGAGACACACUUGUGAGACUUGUUUUAAAUUGCAUGGCUACCCCGAUUGGUGGGCUACUUUUACAGAUCGAGGACAAUGCAAUAUGACCAGUAAUGGUACUGGUUAUGGAUUCCAUACUUCCGAUAAGAUUGAUUCCAGGAGCUGGAUAAUUGAUUCUGGUGCAACUGAUCAUAUGACGUUUGAUCCUGAUGAUUUUCUGAAUACUACACAACCUCGACGAACCUGUAUUGCGAAUGCCAAUGGUGUUACUUAUCCUGUGACAGGGGCUGGCACUGUUGCACUUUCAUCCUCUCUCACACUGUCUAAUACUUUACUUGUUCCAUCUUUAUCCACUAAAUUGUUGUCAGUUAGUCAGCUUACUGAACAAUUGAAUUGUUGUGUACUCAUUACCCGAGUUUUUUGUUUGCUUCAGGAUAUUCACACUAAGGAGAUUCUUGGUCGUGGUACUAAGAGAGGGGGGCUAUAUUAUGUCGAUGACUUCAGUCCCGGCGUGGCUAACAGUGUGACACAUCCCUUUGAUAGCAAACAAAAGCAAAUCUGGUUGUGGCACCGUUUAUUGGGACAUCCGUCUUUUCGUUAUAUGAAGCAUCUUAUACCAGAUUUAUUCUCAGGUUUCAAGGACUCCGACUUCACAUGUGAUACUUGUAUUUUGGCCAAGAGUCACUGUGUGCCCUACCCGUUGAGUACGAACAAGUGUACUACUCCAUUUACCUUAAUUCACUCUGAUGUCUGGGGACCUUCGCCUAUCACUGCUCCUUCUGGUGUUCGAUGGUUUGUCACAUUCAUCGAUGAUUGUACACGGAUGACAUGGCUUUAUUUGUUGAAGAAUAAAAACGAAGUGUUUUUCCGUUUUCAGUCCUUCCAUAAACAGAUGAAAACUCAGUUUAAUGCUCAAAUCCAGAUUCUUCGCUCAGACAAUGGUGGAGAAUUUGUCAAUCAUGAUUUUCAGACUUACUUCCAACAACAUGGAAUUAUCCAUGAGACGACUUGUCCUCAAACACCGCAGCAAAAUGGCAUUGCUGAACAAAAGAAUCGACAUCUUCUUAAAACCGCCCGAGCACUUCUGAUUGGCGCUCAUGUUCCUGGCCAUCACUGGGAUGAUGCUAUUGUCACCGCAGUUCACCUGAUCAACCGCAUGCCUUCUGGUGUAUUGAUCUUUAAAACUCCCUUACAGGUGCUUGCAGAACACAGACCUCUGCCCUCUGUUUUGGUACUCACACCCCGAAUCUUUGGAUGUGUGGCUUUCGUUCAUCUCCACAAAAAUCAACGUAGCAAACUUGAUCCCUGUGCGCUUCGUUGUGUUUUUGUGGGUUAUGCCACUCAUCAAAAAGGUUACCGCUGUUAUCACCCUCCUACCCAACGAACCUAUGUCACUUUGGAUGUGACCUUUCUGGAAUCUGAGCUGUUCUUCCAUGACCCAUCAUCCAAUUCUACACUUCAAGGGGAGAUACAAAGUGAAGAGCAGAAUUGAAGCAACUUGGAAAACAAAGAAAUUAUUCUCUGUACAGAAAUGAUUGAUCAUCCCGAGUCUGGAGCACGAGAUUACUCUCUGUCGAAAAGCGACCAAUCACCCAUUCAUAGCGAUCAAUUGCCUAACCCACCUGAUCCAUGCGAAGAUAUUUCUGAUCCGAGUUUCACACCUAUAGGCAAUACAGAACAACAAGAUGAAGACCCCCUCUCUAACUCAAUAGUACCAACAGACCAAUCUCCUGAGAAUAUCCUUGAGGUAACUACUCCUACUAGACUUGUACAUUUAGAUGAUAAAACUAUUGGAUAUCAAUUACCUUUCAGGCAAAAUCGUGGGAAGCCACCAAACCGUUAUUCACCUGAUAUUGGCAAGACAUCCAAGUAUCCAAUUGCAAAUCAUGUAUCCACUGAGAAGCUGUCUGAACCACUCAAGGCUUUUGUGCAUCAGUUGUCUGCUAUCUAUAUUCCAACCAAGGUCUCUGAAGCAUUGAAAGAUCCUAAGUGGGUCCAAGCUAUAAAAGAGGAGAUGAAAGCUCUUGAGAAAAAUCAAACUUGGACAUUGGAGACUAUACCACGAGGAAAAAAAACUAUCGGAUGUAGAUGGGUGUUUACUAUAAAACACAAUGCAGAUGGAUCUAUCGAGCGAUACAAGGCAAGACUUGUGGCAAAAGGGUACACACAGACCUAUGGUAUAGACUAUGAAGAAACCUUUGCUCCAGUUGCAAAGUUAAACACCGUCAGAGUCUUAUUGUCCCUUGCAGCUAAUUUGGAUUGGCCACUACACCAGUUUGAUGUAAAGAAUGCUUUUCUACAUGGCGAACUCACGGAGGAGGUGUACAUGGACAUUCCUCCUGGAUAUAAUACUUCUCAGACUGGAACAGUUUGCAGGUUACGAAAAGCAUUGUAUGGAUUGAAACAAUCACCACGUGCAUGGUUUGGACGGUUCACCAUGGCAAUGAAGAACAAUGGUUUCAACAGUGUAACUCAGAUCAUACUCUGUUCUUGAAACAUCGAAAAGGGAAGGUAACAUCAUUAAUAAUCUAUGUUGAUGAUAUGAUUAUUACUGGGAAUGAUAAACAGGAAAUAUCACAGCUACAAGACUAUCUGGCUACGGAGUUUGAGAUGAAAUAUCUAGGUGGACUCAAGUAUUUCUUGGGAAUUAAGGUGGCUCGAUCACAGCAAGGCAUAUUUCUCUCUCAAAGGAAAUAUGUCUUGGACUUGUUGACAGACACAGGAAUGCUAGAUUGCAAACCUGCGGACACUCCUAUUGUUCAGAAUCAUCAUCUUGGAGAAUAUCCGUAUCAAGUUCCAACUAACAAAGAAAGAUACCAAAGGUUAGUGGGAAGAUUGAUCUAUUUGUCACAUACUCGACCAGACACUACUACAAAAAAGCAAAAAGACGAUGGUAAAUCACCGUCGUGUAUUCGGUUUUUCAAUGGUCGUGGAAUCCACCGUCAUCUUUUCCCUCAUAAACCACGACGCUAAAUCACCGUCGUUGUUAAAAUAUACAACGUCAUCAACAAAUACAAAACGACGUCUUUGUACUGCAAAAAGAUCUAAAAAAGCAGUCGAGGAUGAGAAUAGACGACCAACUCUCUAAACAAACCGUCGUUAAAAAGGAAAAAUAUGACACAUAUUAACAGAACAAGGCCGCAAGAUAGACAUACAACGACGAAAAUUAAAAUAAGACGACGUUAAAUAUCAUUUUCACGACAAUAAAAAAUAUGACGUCUUUAAAUACAUUAGAAGACGACGUUAUUGAUACCUACUACGUCGCCUAUAUAAAAACAGCCGUCGUAAAAUAAAUUUUCCACUUCGAUUUUUUUAUAAAAGAUGACGUGGAAAUAGUUGUCAGUGUCAUUAUUUACGACGUAUGUAUUUAUAGAGUAGACGUUGAACAACGAAACAACGUCGGUUACAAAUAUAUGAGAGUCGUAUUACAAAAUUUAUACGUCCUAUUUUCAGAAACAAACAACGACGAUAAAUAUUAGACGUUGUUAAAUAAAACAACGUCGAAAACAAAUAAAAACAGACAUGUUAAGUCUGCUAAAGUUCUAAAAAAUAGUCGAGGAUGAGAAUAGACGACCAACUCAAACAAAUCACCGUCGUUAAAAGGGAAAAAUAUGACACGACAACUAAAACACUACGCCGUUAAAUAUAAUUUUUACGACAAGAAAAAAUAUGACGCCUUUAAAUACAUGAGAAGACGACGUUAUUGAAAUCUACUACGUCUCUUAUUUACAAACAACCGUCGUGAAAUAAAUUUUCCACUUCGAUUUUUCUAAAAAAGAUGACGUGGAAAUAGUUGUCAGUGUCAUUAUUUACGACGUAUGUAUUUAUAUAGUUGACGUUGAAAUGCGAAACGACGUCGGUGGCAUUUAUAUAGUCGACGUUGUAUUUAUAUGUAUUCAUUACUCACGACGCACUUAAUAAUAUAGACGACGUUGAACUUCUAAACAACGUCGGUUCCAAAUAAAUGAGAGCCGUAUUACAGAACAUAUAGACGGCGUUGAUUAUGAUGAGAGCCGUAUUACAAAUAACGUCGUUUAAUUGUUAUUAGACGGCGGUUAUAAUGAAUUACCGUCGGAAUUCAUUUCGUUCCUCUUCGUUUAUAAAAGAACUUGCGACGUGGAAAAUUUAUGAUGACGUCGUAUUUUUUAACGUUCAGAUUAUAUAUCUCGUUUUUUAGACGUCGGUAUUAUGGGAUUGGAGUCGUGUUAUUUUGGAUUACAUGGCGGUUCUUAAUCCUUCCCCGACGUGAUAUCCUGAAUAAUGCUUCACAAUAGCGUCGUGGUUCUUCAUUGUUACGUUGCUUUAAGACGUCGGNNNNNNNNNNNNNNNNNNNNNNNNNNNNNNNNNNNNNNNNNNNNNNNNNNNNNNNNNNNNNNNNNNNNNNNNNNNNNNNNNNNNNNNNNNNNNNNNNNNNGGAGUCGUGUUAUUUUGAUUACAUGGCGGUUCUUAAUCCUUCCCCGACGUGAUAUCCUGAAUAAUUGCUUCACAAUAGCGUCGUGGUUCUUCAUUGUUACGUUGCUUUAAGACGUCGGUAAAUAUGCUGAAUAACUGGUUCACAAUAACGUCGUGUUUUAUUUGAACGUAGAAAGUGAAGAAAUCACAUUACAAUAUAUUACAAAAUUAAUGUCAUACACUGCCAAUUACAUAAGCAUCAUUCAAUCCAUAUAUCUUCACACCCAUCUCGAAUAUUUUGACCACCUAACUCACCCACCAGUUCAUCAAAUGUGUCAACAUUUGGCAUCCCUCUAGUAAAUGGCUCACACUCAAUUAUCACAUCACCUAAGACUUCAUCACCAAUAACAUCAUUAUAUUCUCUAUUAGGCAUUGAUAACACUACCGACCAACCACGAUGCAUCGGGUCGUCAACAAAAAAUAUUUGUUUGACUUGAGAAGCCAAAACAAAUUGGUCAUUCCUAUGUCCAAUUUUACUCAAAUCUACAAGGGUAAAUCCAAGUUCGUCGACUACAAGACCAGAACUAUCUAUCCAAUCACACCUAAAGACUGGGAUUGUAAACUUUUGGUAGUCAAGGUCCCAAAUUUCUUGAAUGACACCAUAGAAACCCAUAUUUGAGAGAAUUGGGUUUUUAUCCUUGGCACUAGCAACUUGCAUGGUAUGUGCAAGUAAAUAAACUCCACUAUUUUGAGUUGUCCGCACAUCAUCUUGUGCCUUGAUAUUGAAUUUAAUACCUUUAAUAAGAUAGCUCCUAUAUAAUGGCACUGACAUGUUUGGACCAGCUGCUAGCCACCUUAAAUUUUCUGAUACGCCAUGAUUGUCUUCCUCAAGUUCACUUUGAACCUGCAAAUUAAUCAUGUCUUAAUUCAAUCUAACAUAUAAAUAAGAAGAAAAUUAAAAGAGAAAUAUGUUAUUCAACAACAUAUACCUUGAAGCGUAGCCAUUAAAUGAAAGUGCUAUUGUGCUUAUCCUGCAGCCACUUUGUUCUCUUUCUAAAUUUUGGAUAAGCAGUCUUGAUGUGGAUCAUAUGUUGCCUACAUGACACGAAAAAUUCAAGCAUUAUGGUCCCAAAUAUAGAAGAUAAACAUAAGAAAUAAUUUAAAAUGGAAACUUAAAGAAUAAAACUCAUACGUACUCGAUAUAAGGUAGGACUUCCUCUGUAUUCUCCAAGACAUAUAGAUGUGCUUGAUUCAACAGGUCCUGAUCAACUACGCUCACUGUGCAACCUGAUAAUGGCUUUGAAAGUCCCAUCUUUUGGCUUGAAGGCACUCCAACUGUACUAACAUCAGAUAAAUGCUGAGUACAAAACUCUACCGCUUCUUCAGCUAUAUACCGCUCAGCAAUGCAACCUUCGGGAGGAGUACGAUUCUGAACAUACCCCUUCAGCACUUUCAUAUAUCUUUCAAACGGAUACAUCCACCUAAAAUAUACUGGCCCACAUAGACGAACUUCUCUGACAAGAUGUACUACUAGAUGAACCAUGAUAUCAAAGAAUGAAGGGGGAAAGUACUUCUCAAGCAAACACAGAGUAACUACUACAUCUUCUUCCAACUUAUCUAGCUUGGAAACAUCAACAGUCCUUGCACAUAUAGCAUUGAAGAAGAAACACAAACGAGUUAUUGCAUACCUUGCAGGCUUCUCCAAAACAGAACGAAUUGCCACAGGGAGCAAUUGUUGCAUUAAGGUAUGACAAUCAUGUGAUUUAAGGCCAAGAAGUCUUGAAUCUUGUAAAGAUACAAGUUUUUAAUAUUUGAAGAAUAACCUUCAGGGACCUUCAUACCAUAGAAAGAAUUGCAAACCUCUCUCUUCUCUGCUCUUGACAAAUUCCAAGGCCCAGGAGGCAAACGAGUACGUCUUUCUCCAUACUCGGGUUGCAAAUCAGUUUUGACCCCCAUGUUCAAUAAAUCUAAUCGAGCAGCAAUCCCAUCUUUAUUUUUUCCAGGGAUCUCCAGCAAUGUACCAAUGAUACUAUCGCAAACAUUCUUCUCAAUGUGCAUAACAUCUAGGGCAUGCCUCACAGGAAGGUAUUUCCAAUACUCGAGAUCAAAGAAUAUUGAUUUCUUCUUCCAACAAACUCUGUCACCAUUUUCAACCAUAUGCAGCACUUCUUCUCCGGUUAAUGGCUCGGGAGGUAUGCCAUAUUCAGGUUUCCCAUUAAAAGCUGCACGUUGCCUCCUAUAUGGAUGAUUGAUUGGUAACCAUUUUCUAUGCCCAAUGUAACAAAUUUUGUGGCCAUUUUUCAACCUGUGACUAGGUGUAUCAUCGCCGCAUAUUGGACAAGCUUUAUAUCCUUUAACAACACAACCAUAUAAGUUUCCAUAGGCGGGGAAAUCAUUAAUUGUCCACAUUAAUGCAGCUCUGAGUGUAAAGUAUUCUCUAUUAUGUGCAUCAUACACUCCUCUAAUCCCAUCCCACAAAGAUUUUAAAUCAUCAAUCAAAGGCUCCAAGUAGACGUCUAUAUCAUUUCCGGGUUGUUUAGGACCGGAAAUCAAUAAGGUUAACAUCAUGAACUUUCGUUUCAUGCACAGCCAUGGAGGGAGAUUAUAUGUAACUAAGAUAACCGGCCAACAACUAUAUCUGCUACUUAGAGAACUGUGGGGAUUGAAUCCAUCAGAUGAAAGAGCCAAUCUCAAGUUUCUCGGCUCAUUACCAAACUCAGGCCAUUUAUCAUCAAGAAGUUUCCAAGACGGGGAAUCCGCCGGAUGAGACAUCUGACCGUCAAUUGAUUUUCUAGCAGCAUGCCAAGUCAAACUCUUAGCUGUCUCAUGUGAUUGAAACAUCCUUUUAAACCUUGGAAUUGGAGGAAAAUACCACACCACCUUCGCUGGCACACCCUCUUUCAAGAUUGAAUCUUUGCCUUCCUUCCACCUUGAGAUACCACAAGUAGGACAAUUAGUUGAAUCCUCAUACUCCUUCCUAUACAAGAUGCAAUCAUUGGGGCAUGCGUGCAUUUUCUCAUAACUCGGCCCCAAUGCACACAAAGUCUUUUUAGCCUCAUACAUAGAGGUUGGUAUUGUAUUUCCUUCUGGAAGCAAAUCGCCUUGAAGUAUCAAUAAUUCUGUAAAACAGACAUCACUCAUCCCAUGUUUUGCCUUCAAAUUAUACAACUUCACUAAUGCCGAUAACUUCGUGUACUUUCUACAACCAGGGUAUACUGGUUGAUCUCCAUCCCCAAUCACAUUGACAAACUCAUACGGAUCGGAACCAAAAUCACCAAAAUCAUUAUCAUCCAUAUCAAUUUCUUCAGACACAAAACUGUACCUACUAUGGCCAUCAUCUUCUUCAACAUUUCUACUAGCAUUAGUAGUUGCUUCCCAAGGUUCUCCGUGAAAUGUCCAAUUCUUAUAGCUUUGGUCAAUUCCAUUAAAGUAUAAGUGAUCCCUUAUAAUUCCAACCCCAAACAACUUCAAAUUAACACAUUUAACACAUGGACAACGGAUAUGUGUUGUAGUUAGAAGAUUUUCUACAGCAAAGUUCAAAAAUGCUUCCACCCCAAACUCAUAUGCCUUCGAUCUUCUAUCCGAGUGCAUCCAUGACUUAUCCAUCUCCGACACUAUAACCUAUUAUCUAUAAUAAAGUGAAAAUACAGGCAAUGACCAUCACUAUAGCAGAUUAUACAAAGAUCUAAUAGCAAGUAAUACACAACAGAGACGACGGGUUUUAAACAAAAACAGACGUAUUUGGCAUAUAUAGACGACGGAUUUUCAACAGACGUCGUCUAAUAUAAGUAAUACAAACGACGGGUUUAUGAAAAAACCGUCGUGUAUAAGUAAUACAACGACGGUUUUUUCAUAAACCGUCGUGUAAUCGUCGUCGUAUGCCUAAAAAGGCGUCGUGUCUCAGUUUAUUUUCAAGAACCCAAAACCCAUUAAGAACACAACAUAUAUAUGAAACCAAGCAAGAAACCAACAUAUACAUGAAACCAAGCAUGAAAACAAUAAAUCCAUUCCCAAUUCAACAUAACAUAGGGUGAUUAAAAGAUCCGACAAAAUUAAAUCCAUUCCCAAUUCAACAUAACAGAUAAUGUAAUCCAUGAACCCAUUAAACAGAAAAUCCAUGAACCCAUUAAACAGAAAAUCCAUGAACCCAUUAAACAGAAAAUCCAUGAACCCAUACCUAUAAGCACAUUAUUAACAGAUCGCAAAGCAUAUACCUAAAACCCUUUAACAAAACAACCUAAUAUCAUUCAAUGAAUUUACAAGGGGAAGAUAGGGUUUGUACUUACAGGUUGGAUGAGCUCACAGAUUUGACGGAGCCUGGAGAGUGCAACUUUUAAUUAGAGCAGAAGUGAGAGAGCGAAAUGUUAUGUUGCGCGAAAUUUGAAAAUUUUAGGGUUCAGGGUUAGAAGUAUAAGAAUAAGAGCCAAAUAUAAAAAAAAUUUAGGGCGCGCGAAAAUUUUUAGAGCGCGCGCUCUUUAAAACGUCGAAAGAAAAACCCAAAACGACGGAAACACUGAACGUAACGCCGUUUAUUUUGACGCUUCAUUUUUCGGAUUAAUUUUAAAUUUAUUUUGAAUAUUUUGAUAUAAAGACGACUGAAAAACCACGUCGGGGUUAAAAAAUUGAAAACGUUGUAAAUUAUAAUAGACGACUUACAUAUUAAAAUGACGUCGUUUAAAGUAGAAACCAUGUCGGAUAUUUUACUGCACGACGUAACAUAUGUAUUCCAUGACUCAACCACCGUCGUUAACAAUUAAUACCCUAAACCCUUAAAACUAAAUUAUAUAAUUUUUAAAAUUAAGUUUAUAAAAGGGUUUAUGGUUUUACAGCCUAAUAUAUACCCUAGACUACCCAAAAAUUAUACUUUAAAAAUAAACCCCAAUAAAUAACAACCCUAAUCUCUAAACCCUAGACUCUAAACCCUAAACCAUAAAACUAGAAGUGAUUUUAUGACUCAUCAAAACAAUUUUGUUUUGGAUGGUCAUUUUAAAUUUUUGUUAUUCAAAAUGAAUUUUUUCAAGGUUUAGGGGGAAGAAAAUAUAUCAAUGACUUCAUAGGAGUUGACUUUGCAUUUUUCUGAUUUAUUUUAAAUUUAUUUUGAAUAUUUUGAUAUAAAAAUAAUAAAAUAUUCUUAACACAACAACAAACCACGUCGGUGUUAAUAAACUGUAGACGUUGAAAAUUGUAAUAGACGACUAAGUUGUUAAAAUGACGUCGUUUAAAUGAGAAACCAUGGCGGAUAUUUAACUAUCCGACGUAAAAUAUAUAUUCCACGACUUAACCGCUGUCGUUACAAAGUACUACCCUGAACCCUUAAGAAAUUGAAGACGUUGUAAACCAUAAACGACUCAAUUGUUCAAAGAACGUCUACUAAAUAUCCUUUUACGUCGGAUUUGUUUAAAACGAAACAACAAAAAACGACGGCUUUUGACUUUAUUACGUCGUUGGAAAAGUAUUACACGUCGGUUACGCAAUUUGUAUGUUUGUUUUUUUUUUAAUUUAAGAAAACCUCAACAAAUUUUUACAUUAUAUAUUAUAGACAAAAUUUGUACAUUAUACAUAAAUAUCAAGUGUUCAAUAAUUCCCCUAUUCCAGGUGAAGGCAAACAAACUCUGCCCAUUCAUUCCGGACUUCAUCAAUUGCUUCUUGGGGGUAUGGCUCUUCCUGUUUUCCCUUGGCAUACUGCAUAAACAAUGACUAUUAGGGUUUAUAAAUAAAAGGAAAUUCAAUCACAGACGACCAUAACCGACGUAGUAUAUCUAUUCAACGACGGUAAUUUUACAUGACCGUCGUUGAUAAUACAAAAAACGACGUAAAAUGUAUGAAGGUAAUUUCUUCUUACCUUCUUCUCAAACCCCAAGGAAGGAUCCAUGAUGAUGUCCCUCAUGAAGCGCAUCACAUAAUACCCGCAUUCGACACUGCUGGGUUGCUUUGGUGUGCCUGACAGAGUUUUCCAAAUUACUGCCUUACGGCCUGAUCUGGCUAUGUGAGAAUUAUAAAUUUUUAUAGCACUGUUCACGAUGUUUUUGGCCUCUUCAUCGACCACACGAUUUCCUGGCAGAGGAUCCAGAAAAUAGACGGUUUCCCUCUUUGCUCUUACAAUCAGCAAGAUCCAAUGACGGCUGCACAAAAUUAAUAUAAAAACGACGGUUAUUUACAAAAACGAUGUAUUAUAAUAUUUCACACGACGAAAUAAAGUAGCAAUCGACGACAUUAUAUAUUUAUCACGACGAUAAAUAACUACCGACGUGGUUAGUAGUUUCAAACGACUCAAUAAAAUAAAACACCGACGUGGUUAGUUUAUACGCUGUCAUUUAUUGAAAAUCAUAAAAACAAAAUCCUGUUAAGGAGACAAACCCUGGAUUGUAAGGCAUCAUGAAAAUCUGUUCACCGUCAGUCCUCUGAAGUCGUGCUGCUACCAGGCGUGAUCUGUCAGCUAUUGUGCCAGAGCUGGCACUAACUGUAGCAGGGUCGAUAAAGCCAACCAUGCUGCACAUAUUUGCUUGUUUCAAAACAUCGUGUAAGUACCUAAAUAUAUAAAAUAAUAUAAACAAGUCAGCACAAAAAAACACACGACGGUUAUGUAUAACAAAACGACGUAUUAUAAAAUUUCACACGACGUACUGAAAUAGACAACGACGUUAUAAUAUAUUUAUCACGACGGUACAUACUAACGACGUGGUUAGUUAGUUAAGACGACGCAAUAAAUAAACCAACGACGUAUUAUUUUAGAAUGACAAACCUCAUAUAUACAGCAAUGACAGUAGCUCCUAUUUCCUCCAUGCCUGCAAAUUGUGUAAUAAAAUUUCACACGACGUACUGAAAUAGACAACGACGUUAUACCUCCUUAUCAAUUGUAAAGUGCAUACUAACGACGUGGUUAGUUAGUUAAGACGACGCAAUAAAUAAACCAACGACGUAUUAUUUUAGAAUGACAAACCUCAUAUAUACAGCAAUGACUGACGAUGCAAUAAAUAAACCAACGACGUAUUAUUUUAGAAUGACAAACCUCAUAUAUACAGCAAUGACUGUAGCUCCUAUUUCCUUCAUGCCUGCAAAUUGUGUAAUAUCUUCAGGCAGGAGGAAGGUAUCGCGCUCUAGACCAAACACCUCCUUAUCAAUUGUAAAGUGCAGGGUCUUAUCCUGAGGCACGAGUGUCGUUUCCACAUAACGACAAAGGGAUUUUAAAGAAGAUGGCGCCUCCAUAUUUGAAUAAUCAACAACUUUAAUAACCUGUUUAAAGAAAUAAAAAAAAUGACGUGGUAAUUCAAUAAAAACGACGGUUUAAGGAAUAAAACGUCGUCUGAAAAGAAUUUAAACGACGGUGAAAAACCGUCGUGGUGAAUAAUUUAUUACGUCUUAGAAAAAAAUUCCGCCGUCUAAGUUGUAAACAAACGACGGUUUAAAGAAAAAUAUCGACGUCUGGAAUUUUGAAAAACAAAUAAAAAAGGCAAAGUUAUGUGAACAUACCUGGUCGUCAUCUUCUUUCUCCUUUUCAUCUUGUUUUUCUUCUUUAUUCUCUUCAUAUAUGACGUCGGGAAUGAUUAACUCCGUCAUCUAAAAACCACAAAGUUUUAAAAAUAACGACGUUUAAUGGCAUGUAAAACAAGUAAACUAAAUACGACGUGGUAUUGAAAUACAAACGACGGUUUAUUUUUAAAAUCGUCGUGGUAUGUAUUUCAAACGACGGUUUUAUUAAUAAUAACGACGUCUAAUGGUUUUUAAAAAAACAGAGAAUUCAAAGUUCAGAUAUGUUACCUUUUCUUCCUGAUGUUUCCCAUUUUUGGCAGUAUCAUCCUCAAAAUGCUGGGAUCUCACAUCACCUCCAGAGCAGCUUGCUUUGUCAGACAUUGGAUUUUUGGGACUUUGGCUAAUUCUGGGUUUAAGCAUGCUUGGAUCAAAAUUGGGAAUUAAUUGGGAAAGCUGACUCAGGAAAUGCUCCCUCUCAGCCUCUACCAAUUGUUUCGUUCUAGCCUCCAUCCUUAAAGCCUCUUCCCUUGCCUUAGCUUCCAUCUUUUUAGUCUCUUCUUGAAUGAGAACUCUUAAACUGUCCUUCAAACGGUCGUCAAAGCUCACUCUCUGUGGUUUGGGUAAAUUGAAAUAUUGCCUUGGUGAGAUCCCAGCACCUACUCCUCUCACUCUGCCUGGAUGCUCGGGGCCCAAAGCCAUGGUCAGCACAUCAUUGCUGCCAGAAACAGUGACUUUGCCUUCCGAGACUUGUUUUUGCAAUUCAUCCUAAAACAAAGAUAUAUAAAAAAGUAAGAACAAAAACACACGAUGGUUAUUUAUAUACAAACGACGUAUUAUAUAAUUUCACACGACGCAAUAACAUAUAAAUCGACGUUAUUAUAAUUUAUCACGACGGUAGUUAUACCGACGUGGUUAGUUUUUAAAACGACGAAAUGAAUAAACCACCGACGUCUUAUGCUUUAUUUACAGAUAACAGAGGGAUGAUUCAAUAUUCACACCUUUAACGACCUUGUUUAAAACAUUUCGACGUAGUAAUUUAAUACAAACGACGCGAAAAUGAACCACGGACAUCUUAUGCUAUAAUUACAUAAAACAGAGUAGUGAUUCCUGAUUUAGACCUUUAACGACGUUUUUUAAAAAAUUUCGACGUGGUAAUAUCAUUCACACGACGCAAAAUAUAACAUAAGACGUAAUAAGAAUUAUUCACAGUUUAAUAAAAAUUUAAAACAGAGUGAGUAGGCUUACAAUUAAUUUUGCUUUCUCUGCCACCUUUGGAUCCGGGAUGUUACCAUGUUUGUCCUGUCUAGCUCUCUUCCAUAAGGUAGAUCGAUCAAUUUCUACCCCAGGCAUGGUUUCCUCCAAUUGAUCCUCCAAACCAGCAUAUCCUUUUCGAGACAAUCGAUGAUUGUACUCAAGUUUCUCCCUAAUCUGUGCAUGUUGAGAAUGCACAGACUCAAAAUCUUUGGAUAACCUUGAAGCUACAAAGGCAUCCCAUUGUGCUUUCUCUAUGAAUUUAUAUGUUUCAGGGGGUUGGCUUAAUCUCUCCCUGUCAUUGGUGUAUGGAAGGAUAUAAUGCCUCGUUAGUGUAGACUUGAAAUCCUUCCAUUUCUUGGCAGCAGAAGCUAACACAGAGUUCUUGCCCCCUUGACCUACCACAAAAGCAAUGACAACUGCUUCCCAAAUCUGCUCCUUUAUAUCCUUGGGGAUUUGAGCCCAUUUCAUGUCCACAAGUGGAACUCUGGAGCGUGCCAACACACCAAUGUAGGACUGCAUCUCACUAUGUGCUUGGCCAAUUCCUUUCCCCCUUUUAUUGUACUCAACAAUUGGCCUCAGUUUCUGAAGUUUUCUCUUCACAACACGAGGCAUUGUGCUCAUACCUCGACCAGACUUUGAAUCAUCAGAGAUUGUUGUCGUGCUGGUUUAUUCUGUCUCAGCAGAUGAUGAAGCAUACUUCAUCUUCUUCGAAGACUUCUCUUGAGGAGGUACCAUUCCAAGCUCCUUACCUCCAUUUUUCUUGGAGCCAGAAUCCUUACUUUGGUCUUGGUGAGAAACCAUUUUUACAGACAAAACUGCAAGUGAAAAUAUUUCAGGAAAAGAUUAAGAACACAAACGACGGUUAUUAAUAAAAUACGACGUAUGAUAUGAUUUUAAACGACGCAAUGAAAUAAUCUCAGACGUAAUAAAUGUUUAAAACCAAGGUAAUUAAACAACGACGAAAUAAUUAACUAUAAACGACGUGAUAAUUAACUAUAAACGACGAAAUAUUUAUAUAACGUCGUGGUAUUGAUGUUCACACGACGUCAGUAGUAAUAUACCGUCGUCUAUAUAAGGAUCCAAAACCCUUCUUUCUUUCUCUGUGAAUGUUUGAUUGCAGAUUUGAUUUUUCUGAACCAUGGUUUUUGUUUUCUAAUUUGAUAAAAUACAAGGCCAAGAAAGAAAGUUUUGGAAUCUUAUAUAGACGACGGUAUUUUAAUAUGACGUCGUGGUAUUAACAUUCACUCGACGUAAAACAAUAAGAUACUGUCGUCUAUAUUAGAUACCAACCCUACUUUCUUUUUCUUUAUAUUUUAUCAAAUUAGGGAAAAACAAAAACCAUUGUUCAGAGAAAUCAAACCUGCAAUUAAACAAGCAAAUAAAAAAAAGACUAUAAUUUUAAAAACAACUUUGUCAAUUUUCAGACGACGCUAGAACGACUGACGAACCGUCGUGGUCUACAUAUUUAACCACGUAAAUAAGAAGCUACCGUCAUCUUAUUUAGUUGAGGUAGUUGUCUUCAAAGUUGGAAACUUUUCCUCUUUGUCUGUAUAUUUUAUCGAACUUGGAAAGAAGUAAAAUGAUUUUGGCCAGAAAAAAGGUAAAAAGAUUUUUCAAACAAAAAACGUAUGAGCAUGCAAAACAGCAACCAAAAUAGUGAAAAUGAAAGCUUACCUUUUGCGUGCAAUAAAAGCAAGAGGAAGACUAUCGAUGUUUAAGUUCAGAGACGACGAAGAAGACGAGAGGAAGACGAUGAGAUACUCUGACAUUGCUCUGACAAGGAAAAAAGUCUAAAAGUUUUCUCUGGGAGAUUGAAAUUUUUAAUCGGGUUUGGAAACAGUGCAUGUGUAAGUCAGGUAGAUGAAAAGUUGCUUACAUAUAAAACCAUUUCAAAAAAAAAAUACGGCGGUUACAUAUAACGACGACGUAUAAAUUAGAAACUACGACGGUACAUUUAACUUCGGACGUGGUAAAUAAAGACGACAGUAGUGUUGUAGGUACCGUCGUAGUAAACUCAAAAAUUAAAGUACAUAAGUAAUAACUCGCGUCAUGGUAGAUUAUUUAACACGUCGUUUUUAUUAAUGUACCAACGUGGAUUUCUGUAAUAUACGUCGGUCAUACCGACGUUGAUUUUACAAUUUAAACGGCGGUUUUUUUGUAAGGACCGCCGUUGGUUUUAAAAAUUUAUUCUAUAAAUUUGUCGCUUUCAUUCAUUUUCGGUUUACCUUUAGGGUUCCAAGUUCUUCCUCUCUCAGAGACACUGUCUCUCACAUCUCAAAGACAAUAAUUUGGAUGUCUUUCUCAAAGAGAAAUUGAGCUUACUCGCAUCAAAUCUAUGUCCACAAGAAGAAGUUUGUCAACUAGCCUUCUCACUUCCUUGAUCAAGCCUGAUAGGACACUUAGUGCUUCUGAAUACUCCUUGCUUUCCAUCAAAAGAGAUGCAAGCCUGGCCUCCACUCGCUGUCGAAGGAAAGUUCGCUUCUCAGGGAAAUCUGAAGAUCAGAUGUGCCUGAUCCUCUGCUUGAUUUUCUUGGCUAAGAAGAUCCGUCAGAUUUGUGAUAGCCUCUUCCUUUAUCCGUAGAGCUUCAGAAGAAGAAGAUGGGUUUCAAGAAUGCGAUAAAGAAUAGAAAUGGCUUCAGAAUGCGAUAAAGCAUGAGCAAUCGAAUCAGUGCUUUGAACUAUACUUUGAACUAUACAAGUCAAUGCUUUGAACUAUACAAGUCCUGCAGAAAGAUAAAGGACCAAACUGUUAAAGAAACUGAAACUGUUAAAGAAACCCUAAACUAACACGACGCAAUAUUUGUUUUGCGACGUGGAAUCUUUUCAUUUAACGUCAUUAGGUUUAAUAUAACCGACGUGGAUUUGAAUUUUUAAAUUAUGAAUAGAAAUUUUUUUCCCGUGACCUUUCAGUUUAUUUUUCAAUUACAGUGCGUUAUAAAUAGAAUUUUUUUUCCGGAGGAAAUUUAAAAUGAAGGAAAUUAAUGUUCUGGAAUAUGUAAAGUUUCUUUUUUGGAUGACAGAUUUCAAUUCUUGUCAUUAAGUAGAUCUACCGACGUAGGAUAAGAAAAUAAAGGAAAAAAUUGUUAACAAAAAUUCUUAAUAAGACGACGGUUUAAAUUAAAGGUACGACGUAUAAAAUGAAUAAAUACGACGUUAAAUUUUAUAGUACGAUUUAAAGAUAACGUCGUAGAACUAUACUAGAAUGACGUCAAUAUAUUUAUAUUUUCCGUCGUUGUAAAUUAAUUUAAUACGGCGAUAUUUUGUAUUUUAAAGCCGUGGAUUUGUUUGUAAUUAUACGGCGUCUUAUACGAAAACCUCGUCGUGUUAUUUUAUGAGUAAAAACGGCGGCUUUUAUUGAAAUCGUCGUCUUUACUUUCUACGUCGGUCGAUUCAUAACUUCUGCCGUUCUUUGUUGGCUUUGAUUUUACACUGUGGAAAUCUGUUUCAAAUAGACGUCGGUUGUUUAAUUAGGUACGUCGUUGUUUUUGAACAGCCAUUUGAAUCUCCAUUUUUAGUUGUCUAAGGUGGUAUUACACGACGGUGUUUUUAGAACCGUCGUCUUUUUAAAAACCACGACGGUUUUCACUUAGACCGUCGUUGUUUUCUGGUCGUCUUUUUCACUUUUUGUAGUAGUGAGACAUUGCUUAUGCGGUGAACGUUGUUAGUCAAUUUAUGCACUCUCCAAGUGAAGAUCACAUGAAUGCAGUUCGGAUACUUAGAUAUUUGAAGUCUGCACCUGGAAAAGGACUUAUGUUCUCAAAGCAUGGUCAUCUAAAUAUUGAUGGUUAUUCAGAUGCAAAUUGGGCAGGUAAUGUAACAGAUAGAAAAUCCACAUCGGGUUACUUCACAUUCGUGGGAGGUAAUUUGGUGACAUGGAGGAGCAAGAAACAGAAUGUAGUAGCUUUAUCCAGUGCAGAAGCCGAGUUCAGAGGCAUGACUAAAGGCAUUUGUGAACUUCUUUGGUUAAGAAAGUUGCUUACUGAACUUGGGUAUAAACCUACAUCCACAAUGAAUCUCUUUUGUGACAACAAGGCUGCUAUAGCCAUUGCACAGAAUCCGGUUCAGCAUGAACGUACUAAACAUGUUGAGGUGGAUCGACACUUCAUCAAACAGAAACUUGAGGCUAAAGUGUUUCAGUUUCCUUUUGUGAAAUCCGAGGAUCAAUUGGCGGAUAUUUUGACAAAGGCAAUUUUCAGUAAAGCAUUCCACAAUUCACUAGAUCAAUUGGGCAUUGGCGACAUCUAUUUCCACGUCAUCUUUUAUAGAAAAAUCGAAGUGGAAAAUUUAUUUUACGACGGCUGUUUUUAUAUAGGCGACGUAGUAGGUAUCAAUAACGUCGUCUUCUAAUGUAUUUAAAGACGUCAUAUUUUUUAUUGUCGUGAAAAUGAUAUUUAACGGCGUCUUAUUUUAAUUUUCGUCGUUGUAUGUCUAUCUUGCGGCCUUGUUCUGUUAAUAUGUGUCAUAUUUUUCCUUUUUAACGACGGUUUUUUUAGAGAGUUGGUCGUCUAUUCUCAUCAUCGACUGCUUUUUUAGAUCUUUUUGCAGUACAAAGACGUCGUUUUGUAUUUGUUGAUGACGUUGUAUAUUUUAACAACGACGGUGAUUUAGCGUCGUGGUUUAUGAGAGAAAAGAUGACGGUGGAUUCCACGACCAUUGAAAAACCGAAUACACGACGGUGAUUUACCGUCGUCUUUUUGCUUUUUUGUAGUAGUGACCCCAAGUUGGCCAUUGUCUCUAUGGUUAAUGUGCUUUUGACUGGAAAUAGGUAUUUGCGAGAGAACUGGGUUUUCUGGAUAUAAGAUGGACCCAAAAUUAUGCCACCCUGCAAUGUGCGUGCCAAUGUAUUAUUAUUUGUCUUUGUCAUUAAAAUAUCAAUAUUAUAUGUAUAGAUGUGAUAUUCUCAAUGAAAAUUCGUGUUUCACCAGGUAAUUGUUUGUCUCUCGCUAUAAAAUUCUGAUAAUAAAGCAUAGAGCAUAGAGCAUAGAGAUAUAGAAGAGAAUUACAGCUUACUUACAAUAAUGCAAGCAACGAUGCGAGGUUGGUGCAAAGGUGCAAGGAGAAGCUUGAGAAGGUGGCAUAUAAACAUAAUGAGACCUAGUUGGGUGAAGAAGAGAGGAAGAGUUGAAAGCAAGGCAUUCUCAGCCUUCCACACCCCAGUCACGUGUGUUAUCGUUUUCUUAUAACAUACCCUCGUAACAUCUGCUUCUACUAUCCCGUCAUUGUCCCGUAGUGCAUCAUUCAUUACGUACGAUACUUAUAUUUGCAAUUCUUUUUUAUAAAAGCGUUGUUAAAGAAUUGGAGGAUUCAAACAAAAGACCUCAAAUGCAAAAGAAACUGCUCUUACCUACUUGAGCUACAAACUCUAUUUACAAAUUAGAUAAUAGGAAUUCAAGGUUUCUGUCAGCCCUUCCUAGCUACAUCAGGACGUCUUUCUUUUGCCUUGGAUGACGUCCAAAUCGCUAGAAACACCACUUUCAUCAAAGACAAAGACAAAGACUAUGACAAUGAAACUAGAAAAGAAAAGUGAUUGUUAUCAGACAACAAAAAUUAAAGAGGAAUGAAUAGAAAUCAAAGUUUCAAUACUGAGGGAUUAAUUAGUUAAUUAGUUGCGCCUAAACUAGCUGUAAACUCUUCUUAAUUUGUUGGCUGUUCGUUCAGUUUGGUUGGCAUCCACGCAUUAUUAGACUUUUAUUUUUAUUUUUGGUGGCAUCCAUAUAUGCAUUAGAAUCUUCUUAUUGAAUUGAAUAUUGGAUUGGUUGGCUGUUCGUUCUCUUCCAAUAAAGUUCUAAUGAAUCUCUACAUGUUUUGUUCUAUCAUAUUGAAUUGGAUUUUCAGCAAUCUUAAUUGCUAACUGAUUAUCACAAUACAACUGCAUAGUAUCCUCAGUACGAAAAUGCAGCUCCCCCAUAAGCCUUUUCAACCAUAGCAGUUCACGAACACCUUUCACCAUAGCCUGAUACUCGGAAAAUAGUAAGUAAACGCAAGAUAAGUAAGAAAUUGGAAUCAUUCUAAUACCCAUGUAUAAGUAAACGCUGGAAAAGAAGGAAUUGGAACGAUUCCGAUGCCUCUUUCUCUCUGUUGAAGUAAGUUUUCUUAAUGUUUUAUUAUUACUAAAAAUAAUUGACCGAAUAAAAUUUUGAAUAAGAGAUGUGGAUGUCCGACUCAAGCUACCAUAUAAAUUAGUUUACAAAUUAAUGUAUAUAGAAUUGUGGUAUGAGUUAAAGAAAGAGAUAUAAAAUUAUGGUAUAUGAGUUGUAUUAUUAUUGGUGCUUGAUAUGAUAUAAGAACAUGGUAGGCAAGCUUAGUUUGCGCUAGGCGCGCCCUCAAUGAGUGAGAAUGAAGGUAUUGAAGAAAGAUUCUGCUACUUUUGAGGAAAGAUUUACGGGACAGAUACUGCAUACAGUUGUUGUUGAUUUUGAUCUAUAAAAGUCAAACUGCGCAGCAUUAAGACAAAUGCCGCCCUAACUAGAAUCUUAAAUUUUAUAUGCCAAGUUGCCUGACCUUUCCUCCAAUCAUCAAAUUGGUCUUCACCCACAUCUCCACUUCUCCACCUACCAUUUUUAUGUUUUUAAAACCCUUAUUUUGGAUCUUGGCUUUCCCUACACAUCGCAUUCGUAGAAUCGAACCCUUCAUUUAUAGUUAAUAAAAGGCUUCUUCAAGUCUCUGCAGCUCAGAAAGUAGUUAGUUAGGCCAUGGCUGCUAGUCCUCCUCCAUAUAACCCCGUGCCGGUUGCGUACCAGGGAGGUGCCGGCGCGGUGCCAGUAUGGUUGAACAAAGGGGACAACGCAUGGCAAAUGGUUGCAGCCACACUCGUCGGCCUCCAAAGCGUGCCGGGUCUUGUCAUCCUGUACGGAAGCAUAGUAAAAAAGAAAUGGGCAGUGAACUCAGCUUUCAUGGCUCUCUACGCUUUUGCGGCGGUCGUAAUCUGCUGGGUGUCGUGGGCUUACAAGAUGUCGUUUGGGGACAAGCUCCUACCCUUCUGGGGCAAAACUGGCCCUGCCUUGGGCCAGAAGUUCCUCAUCAACCAGGCAGCUCUGCCUGCGAGCACGCACUACUUCAGCGACCACAAGACUGUGGAGACUGCUGAGAUCACACCCUGGUACCCGAUGGCGACCAUGGUGUGGUUUCAGUGCGUGUUUGCAGCCAUUACGCUGAUACUGCUGGCGGGGUCGGUGCUUGGGAGGAUGAACUUCAAGGCGUGGAUGAUGUUCGUGCCGCUUUGGCUUACAUUUUCGUACACUGUCGGAGCUUUCAGCUUGUGGGGUGGAGGGUUCUUGUUCCAUUGGGGUGUCAUGGACUAUUCCGGUGGUUAUGUCAUUCAUCUUUCUUCUGGGAUUGCUGGCUUCACCACUGCUUACUGGGUAAAUUAAUUAAAUAAUUAACUACGCUAUUGCUAGUUUUCUUUCUCUCCAUUAGUCAACGUCUACAGGCCUGGUAAUUAUUGAUUAAAUAGUGCAUUAAUUCCUUGUAAUUAUAAAACAGUGGCUUUAAUUUUUUUCGUUUUCUUCUUUGAAUUUAAUAGUGACUAAACUCACACGUACUAUACGGAUGCUAAGACUCGAACUCAAAACCUUUCCAAACCACCGUUACACUAGAAUCAAUAGGAUCGAAUAUAUAUAUAUUCCUUAAAGAAUUAAUAGGAUCAAAUUGUUGAGAUUCAAUUACAAGAUUCCCUGAAAAGGUGGAAGAAGAAACAAAAAGUCCUCCAUUAGGUUACUUAAAUUAAAACUGGCUUCUUAAUUAUUCAAAAGUAUCUGUGGAUGAAUCAUGCAUCAUCAGAAUCCUUAGACUUCGCAUCUCAUGCCUUAGACUUCCUCUUAAUUUCUGGUGGAAUCUAGAUAUCUUGUUACUUAAAGUUUCGCUUGAAACCUUUGUUGCUUGUGCUGCGUCACUAUUGCUCGUUUUCUUUCUCUCCAUUAGUCAACGUCUACUGGCCUGGUAAUUAUUGAUUAAAUAGUGCAUUAAUUCCUUGUAAUUAUAAAAUAGUGGCUUUAAGUUCUUUCGUUAUCUUCUUUGGAUUUAACAGUGGCUAAACUCAAAACCACCGUUACACUAGAAUCAAUAGGAUCAGAAUCUUUCCAAAUCACCGUUACACUAGAAUCAAUAGGAUCGAAUAUAUAUAUAUAUAUAUAUUCUUUAAAGAAUUAAUAGGAUCAAAUUGUUGAGAUUCAAUUACAAGAUCCCCUGAAAAGGUGGAAGAAGAAACAAAAAGUCCUCCCUUAGGUUACUUGAAUUAAAACUGGCUUCUUAAUUAUUCAAAAGUAUCUGUGGAUGAAUCAAUGCAGACUACUUAGACUUCACAUUUCAUGCCUUAAGACUUCGUGCAUAGUGAUCACAUAUUUUCUAUUCGCAAACUAUCUUUUAGAGUAAAGUCUACUAGGUUGGAAUAUUAUUAUUUUAAUUGGGUUACAAAGUUAUAAUAUUAACGAUGAUGACCUACAAAUAGUUUUAUUUUAUAUGUUGCCCCAUUUUUAAAUACUAUUUGGGUAAAUUGCGAAAAUGGUCCUCAAACUUGUAUGCGAUUUACAUUUUGGUCCCUAAAUUAAAUUAUUAGUCCAAAUGGCACAUAAACUCUAUGUUAAUCGCCCAUUUGAUCCAACCGUUACAUUCUGUCAAUAUUGCUGUUAAAUAUGAGGGCAAAUUGGUCAUUUCUUACGUUAAAAUAAAAAAAUAAUAUAAAAUAAAAUAAAAACUCAGUAAUUGGAAUAGGGGAGAAGAAAUCGAAGGGAGGGGGUUUGGGUCUCAUAAUUUUUUCCUCUCUUUUUCUUCAAUUAUUUUCUAAUUUUAUAUUUAUUUUAACCCUAUUUUAUUUGUUAAUUAUGAAAAGUCGUAUUUAAAGGAAUUUAUGAUUCUCAUUAAUUAAUUGAGAAAAGAUUACAAAAGAAUAUAUAACACCUGUCUACUCUAUACAACAGAUAAAGCCACCUGUACAGGCUGUUACAACAGCUCUAACUAAUUACUUACAAGAGUAACUAAUAACAAACUAAUCUAAUCAGCUAACUACUCUCUUUAGCCCCCCGCAAGCUGAAGUGGGGAUUGCACACUGUAAGCUUGGAACGAAGAUAAGCAUGUCGGGCAGAAGGAAGAGACUUUGUAAAGAUAUCUGCGAGCUGAUUAGUAGUGUCAACAAACCGUAAAUGAAGAAUACCAAGCUGAACCAACUCCCGGAUGAAAUGAUAAUCAACCUCAACAUGUUUUGUGCGAGCACUAAAAACAGGAUUAGAAGCCAAAUGAAGGGCAGAUUGAUUAUCACACCAAAGUAACGGAGCAGAAGGAAGCUGAAAACCAACAUCCUUAAACAGCUUAGCAAUGUAAACAAGUUCAGCAGCAGUCAUGGCAAUACCUCUGUACUCAGAUUCAGUAGAACUGCGAGAAACUGUAGGUUGCUUCUUGGCAGACCAAGAAAUUAAAUUUGAACCGAGAAAAACACACCAACCACUAGUAGACCGACGAUCCAAGGGGCAUCCUGCCCAAUCUGCAUCAGAAUAGGCCUGCAUAACAAGGGGGCCUUUGCGAAAACAGAUUCCCAUAUCAAGAGAACCUUUAAGAUAUCCAAGGAUUCUCUUUACAGCACCCAAAUGAUUAGUGCGAGGUUGGUGAAGAUGCUGACAUACCAAAUUUACAGCAAAGGACAAAUCAGGCCGUGUCCAUGUCAAGUAUUGAAGAGCACCAACGGUAGAUCUAUAGAAAGUAGGAUCAGAAAGCAACAUUCCAGAAUUGUCUAAUUUGUAGGACCCCAAGGGAGUGGCACAUGGUUUGGCACCAAGAAAAUCAGUUCGCUGGAGAAGAUCACAAGCAUAUUUAGUCUGAGACAAGAAUAAACCAGAAGCAGUGCGUUUAACCUCUAACCCAAGGAAAAAAUGCAAAGGGCCCAAGUCUUUGACAGGAAAUUUUGCACUGAGUUGCUGAAUAAGAGCUUGACAGGCUGCAUUAUUGUUCCCAGUCACAAUAAUGUCAUCGACAUAAACCAAAACUAAGAUUAAAGAAGAGCCACCCUUAAUAAACAAUGAGGAAUCAGCUUGUGAUGAUCUGAAACCCAGAGAAAUAAGUGCUUUAAAGAGCUCCUCAUACCAAGCCCGGGGCGCCUGCUUAAGACCAUACAAACUCCUAUUCAACUUGCAAACAAAAUCAGGCUUGGAGGGAUCAUGAAAACCUGGAGGUUGGCUCAUAUACACAGUUUCCUUCAAGAACCCAUGCAGAAAAGCAUUACUGACAUCAAGUUGAUUGAGGAACCAAUCAUAUUGCACAGCUAAGGAUAACAAAAGACGAAUAGUAACAGGUUUUGCCACGGGGCUAAAAGUUUCAUGAAAAUCAAUACCUUCCUGUUGAUUGUACCCUUUAGCAACUAAACGAGCUUUGAACUUAUCAACAGACCCAUCAGAUUUAAACUUGGUCCGAAAAACCCACUUACAACCCACUAAAUUAUAAGAGGGAUUGGGAGGUACCAGGGUCCAUGUCUGAGUCUUUUGAAGAGCAGCAAUUUCAGAGGCCAUGGCAGCAAUCCAAACUUUGUGGGUUGCUGCUUGCUUAUAAGUCUGAGGAGUAGGAGGAAUUAAAGCAGUAGACUUGCAGAGAGAGCCUUGGGCUUAAAAAUUCCAUUUUUUGAUCGAGUAACCAUAGGAUGACGAUUAGGAGAAGAAGGAACUACAGAUUCCUGAGAAGGGAGAGAAGGAAGGAGUUGUUCUUGAGAAGGUAAAGAAAGAACAGAUUCAGAAGAAGGAGAAAUGGAACUAGGGGAUUGUGAAGAGGAAGGAGAAGUAGGAGAAAUCGGGAAAGAAAAAGUAAGAGAAAUAGGAACUGAAGAAGCAGAGAUAGGAGAAGAUGAAAUAGGGGGAGCUUGGGUUGCAAAAGGAAAAGAUGUUUCAUUAAAAAGAACAUGCCUGGAAAUAAAAAGCUUGCCAGUAGAAAUAUCCAGACAUCUAUAACCGGAAUGAUUUAAGCUAUAUCCAAGAAAGACACAAGGCCUGCUUUUAGGAUCCAACUUUGAGGAACUAUAUGGUUGUAACCAAGGAAAACAGAGACAACCAAACACUUUCAAAGUAGUAUAAUUUGGAGUGUGUUUAAACAACAAUUCCCAAGGAGACUGUGCAGAAGAAGUAAAGGGUAACCGAUUGAUGAGAUACAAGGCAGUUUGAAAAGCAUCUACCCAAAAGCGAUGUGGAAGGAAAGAAGAAGCAAACAGUGUCCUAGCAAGCUCAACAAUAUGCCUGUGCUUGCGUUCGGCACUGCCAUUCUGUUCAGGGGUGUGUGGACAACUCAACUGAUGCAUAAUACCCUCUGUGUUUAAAAAAUCUUGGAAAGCAGUACUUAAGUAUUCACCACCCGAAUCACUCCUCAAGAUCUUGAUCCUAGAGUUCAACAAGUUUUCUAACUUGGCCUUAAACACUUUAAAAGUUGCAAGCACAUCUGAUUUAUAUUUCAAAGGAUACAACCAGCCGUAUUUAGUGUAAUCAUCCAGAAACAAAACAUAGUACUUAUAACCAAGAGCUGAAACAGUGGGACUGGGACCCCAGACAUCCGAAUGCACAAGCUCUAAAGGCUUGGUGGACUUAUGUGCAGAACCAACAAAAGGAAGCUUAUGAGCUUUCCCAACCAUACAAUCAGAACAUAUUAAGGACUCAGACAAGUCACCACUAACAGGUAGAUGAUUGCCACUAACAAGCUUGCGAAAUAAAGAAAAGUGAGGAUGACCCAACCUCUUGUGCCAAGUGAGGAUAUCACAUUUAUUAGCCAGAAAAGCAAUGGAAGGACUUGAUGAAAAAGGAGCUGCAGGACCAGCAGGAAGUCGAUAGACACCAUCCUCACUGAGACCUUGGAAGAGCAUCUUCUUCGUAGCUAAGUCCUUAAUUGUGAAGGAAUCAGGAUAGAGCGUUAGGGAACAAGAGUUGUCACGAAGAAACUUAUUUGCCGAUAACAAAUUGUGUUUAAUAGAAGGAACAUGUAACACAUCCUUUAAAGUAAAAACAGCAGAAGGAGUGUGUAUGCGGGUAAAACCAGUGUGAGAAAUUGGUAAGCAAUUACCAUUACCAACUUGCAAAGAGUCAGAGCCAGUGAAUGGAGAAGAAUUCUGCAGGUGCUGAUUGGUAGCAGUCACAUGAGCAGUAGCGCCAGAGUCAACAAUCCAAGAAGGAGAGGAAGCAGCAGACUGUGGAUUAGCAUAAUAGCCAGUAAAUGGUCCAGAAGAUGAAGAACUGCCAGAAGCAUUGAGCAGACGGCCCAAUUUGCGACAAGUGUUAGCGGCAUGACCUUUCUUGUUGCAGAACUGACACACAAGAACAGGGCCAGAAGAAAAACCAGUAGAAUUGAAUGAAGAAGAACCUCCUGAAUUGGAAUUACCACCCCCAGGGCUUGAAUUUCGAGAAAAAUUGGGGCUGGGAAACCCUUGCGCACCAAAUUGUGGAGGAGAAGAAAAAUUUGGGGCAAAAUUGGAGGGCGGUGACGGAAGCAGACCACGAGUGGGAGGAAAACCUCGAUGCUGAGAGUUAGAGUUGUUGGAACCACCACUACUACAAAAAAGCAAAAAGACGACGGUAAAUCACCGUCGUGUAUUUGGUUUUUCAAUGGUCGUGGAAUCCACCGUCAUCUUUUCCCUCAUAAACCACGACGCUAAAUAACCGUCGUUGUUAAACAAUACAACGUCAUCAAAAAAUACAAAACGACGUCUUUGUACUGCAAAAGAUCUAAAAAAAGCAAUCGAUGAUGAUAAUAGACGACCAAUUCUCUAAAAAGACCGUCGUUAAAAAGGGAAAAUAUGACACAUAUAAGAGAACAAGGCCGCAAGAUAGACAUACAACGACGACAUAAAAUACGCCGACGUUAAAUAUAAUUUUCACGACAUAAAAAUAUGACGUCUUUAAAUACAUUAGAAGANNNNNNNNNNNNNNNNNNNNNNNNNNNNNNNNNNNNNNNNNNNNNNNNNNNNNNNNNNNNNNNNNNNNNNNNNNNNNNNNNNNNNNNNNNNNNNNNNNNNNNNNNNNNNNNNNNNNNNNNNNNNNNNNNNNNNNNNNNNNNNNNNNNNNNNNNNNNNNNNNNNNNNNNNNNNNNNNNNNNNNNNNNNNNNNNNNNNNNNNNNNNNNNNNNNNNNNNNNNNNNNNNNNNNNNNNNNNNNNNNNNNNNNNNNNNNNNNNNNNNNNNNNNNNNNNNNNNNNNNNNNNNNNNNNNNNNNNNNNNNNNNNNNNNNNNNNNNNNNNNNNNNNNNNNNNNNNNNNNNNNNNNNNNNNNNNNNNNNNNNNNNNNNNNNNNNNNNNNNNNNNNNNNNNNNNNNNNNNNNNNNNNNNNNNNNNNNNNNNNNNNNNNNNNNNNNNNNNNNNNNNNNNNNNNNNNNNNNNNNNNNNNNNNNNNNNNNNNNNNNNNNNNNNNNNNNNNNNNNNNNNNNNNNNNNNNNNNNNNNNNNNNNNNNNNNNNNNNNNNNNNNNNNNNNNNNNNNNNNNNNNNNNNNNNNNNNNNNNNNNNNNNNNNNNNNNNNNNNNNNNNNNNNNNNNNNNNNNNNNNNNNNNNNNNNNNNNNNNNNNNNNNNNNNNNNNNNNNNNNNNNNNNNNNNNNNNNNNNNNNNNNNNNNNNNNNNNNNNNNNNNNNNNNNNNNNNNNNNNNNNNNNNNNNNNNNNNNNNNNNNNNNNNNNNNNNNNNNNNNNNNNNNNNNNNNNNNNNNNNNNNNNNNNNNNNNNNNNNNNNNNNNNNNNNNNNNNNNNNNNNNNNNNNNNNNNNNNNNNNNNNNNNNNNNNNNNNNNNNNNNNNNNNNNNNNNNNNNNNNNNNNNNNNNNNNNNNNNNNNNNNNNNNNNNNNNNNNNNNNNNNNNNNNNNNNNNNNNNNNNNNNNNNNNNNNNNNNNNNNNNNNNNNNNNNNNNNNNNNNNNNNNNNNNNNNNNNNCCACUACUACAAAAAAGCAAAAAAGACGACGGUAAAUCACCGUCGUGUAUUUGGUUUUUCAAUGGUCGUGGAAUCCACCGUCAUCUUUUCCCUCAUAAACCACGACGCUAAAUAACCGUCGUUGUUAAACAAUACAACGUCAUCAAAAAAUACAAAACGACGUCUUUGUACUGCAAAAGAUCUAAAAAAAGCAAUCGAUGAUGAUAAUAGACGACCAAUUCUCUAAAAAGACCGUCGUUAAAAAGGGAAAAUAUGACACAUAUUAAGAGAACAAGGCCGCAAGAUAGACAUACAACGACGACAAUAAAAAUACGCCGACGUUAAAUAUAAUUUUCACGACAAUAAAAAAUAUGACGUCUUUAAAUACAUUAGAAGACGACGUUAUUGAUACCUACUACGUCGCACAUAUAAACACAACCGUCGUACAAUUAAUUUUCCACUUCGAUUUUUUGAUAAAAGAUGACGUGGAAAUAGUUGUCAGUGUCAUUAUUUACGACGUAUGUGUUUCUAUAGUAGACGUUGAAAAACUAAACAACGUCAGUUACAAAUAUAUGAGAGUCGUAUUAAAAAAUUUAUACGUCCUAUUUUCAGAAACAAACAACGACCAUAAAUAUUAGACGUUGUUAAAUACAACAACGUCGGAAAACAAUAAAAACAGACGUGUUUAGUCUGCUAAAGUUCUACAACGUCUCUUAUUUACAAAAAACCGUCGUGAAAUAAAUUUUCCACUUCGAUUUUAUCUAAAAAAGAUGACGUGGAAAUAGUUGUCAGUGUCAUUAUUUACGACGUAUACAUUUAUAUAGUCGACGUUGUAUUUAUAUGUAUUCAUUACUCACGACGCACUUAAUAAUAUAGACGACGUUGAACGUCUAAACAACGUCGGUUCCAAAUAAAUGAGAGCCGUAUUACAGAACAUAUAGACGGCGUAGAUUAUGAUGGGAGCCGUAUUACAAAUAACGUCGUUUAAUUGUUAUUAGACGGCGGUUAUAAUGAAUUUCCGUCGGAAUUAAUUUCGUUCCUCUUCGUUUAUAAAAGAACUUGCGACGUGGAAAAUGUAUGAUGACGUCGUAUUUUUUAACGUUCAGAUUACAUAUCUCGUUUUUUAGACGUCGGUAUUAUGGGAUUGGAGUCGUGUUAUUUUGAAUUACAUGGCGGUUCUUUAUCCUUCACCGACGUGAUAUCCUGAAUAAUUGCUUCACAAUAGCGUCGUGGUUCUUCAUUGUUACGUUGCUUUAAGACGUCGGUAAAUAUGCUGAAUAACUGAUUCACAAUAACGUCGUGUUUUAUUUGAACGUAGAAAGUGAAGAAAUCACAUUACAAUAUAUUACAAAAUUAAUGUCAUACACUGCCAAUUACAUAAGCAUCAUUCAAUCCAUAUAUCUUCACACCCAUCUCGAAUAUUUUGACCGCCUAACUCACCUACCAGUUCAUCAAAUGUGUCAACAUUUGGCAUCCCUCUAGUAAAUGGCUCACACUCAAUUAUCACAUCACCUAAUACUUCAUCACCAAUAACAUCAUUAUAUUCUCUACUAGGCAUUGAUAACACUACCGACCAACCACGAUGCAUCGGGUCGUCAACAAAAAAUAUUUGUUUGACUUGAGAAGCCAAAACAAAUUGGUCAUUCCUAUGUCCAAUUUUACUCAAAUCUACAAGGGUAAAUCCAAGUUUGUCGACUACAAGACCAGAACUAUCUAUCCAAUCACACCUAAAGACUGGGAUUGUAAACUUUUGGUAGUCAAGGUCCCAAAUUUCUUGAAUGACACCAUAGAAACCCAUAUUUGAGAGAAUUGGGUUUUUAUCCUUGGCACUAGCAACUUGCAUGGUAUGUGCAAGUAAAUAAACUCCACUAUUUUGAGUUGUCCGCACAUCAUCUUGUGCCUUGAUAUUGAAUUUAAUACCUUUAAUAAGAUAGCUCCUAUAUAAUGGCACUGACAUGUUUGGACCAGCUGCUAGCCACCUUAAAUUUUCUGAUACGCCAUGAUUGUCUUCCUCAACUUCACUUUGAACCUGCAAAUUAAUCAUAUCUUAAUUCAUCCUAACAUAUAAAUAAGAAGAAAAUUAAAAGAGAAAUACGUUAUUCAACAACAUAUACCUUGAAGCGUAGCCAUUGAAUGAAAGUGCUAUUGUGCUUAUCCUGCAGCCACUUUGUUCUCUUUCUAAAUUUUGGAUAAGCAGUCUUGAUGUGGAUCAUAUGUUGCCUACAUGACACGAAAAAUUCAAGCAUUACGGUCCCAAAUAUAUAAGAUAAACAUAAGAAAUAAUUUUAAAUGGAAACUUAAAGAAUAAAACUCAUACGUACUCGAUAUAAGGUAGGACUUCCUCCGUAUUCUCCAAGACAUAUAGAUGUGCUUGAUUCAACAGGUCCUGAUCAACUACGCUCACUGUGCAACCUGAUAAUGGCUUUGAAACUCCCAUCUUUUGGCUUGAAGGCACUCCAACUGUACUAACAUCAGAUAAAUGCUGAGUACAAAACUCUACCGCUUCUUCAGCUAUAUACCGCUCAGCAAUGCAACCUUCGGGACGAGUACGAUUCUGAACAUACCCCUUCAGCACUUUCAUAUAUCUUUCAAACGGAUACAUCCACCUAAAAUAUACUGGCCCACAUAGACGAACUUCUCUGACAAGAUGUACUACUAGAUGAACCAUGAUAUCAAAGAAUGAAGGGGGAAAGUACUUCUCAAGCAAACACAGAGUAACUACUACAUCUUCUUCCAACUUAUCUAGCUUGGAAACAUCAACAGUCUUUGCACAUAUAGCAUUGAAGAAGAAGCACAAACGAGUUAUUGCAUACCUUGCAGGCUUCUCCAAAACAGAACGAAUUGCCACAGGGAGCAAUUGUUGCAUUAAGGUAUGACAAUCAUGUGAUUUAAGGCCAAGAAGUCUUGAAUCUUGUACAGAUACAAGAUUUUUAAUAUUUGAAGAAUAACCUUCAGGGACCUUCAUACCAUAGAAAGAAUUGCAAACCUCUCUCUUCUCUGCUCUUGACAAAUUCCAAGGCCCAGGAGGCAAACGAGUACGUCUUUCUCCAUACUCGGGUUGCAAAUCAGUUUUGACCCCCAUGUUCAAUAAAUCUAAUCGAGCAGCAAUCCCAUCUUUAUUUUUUCCAGGGAUCUCCAGCAAUGUACCAAUGAUACUAUCGCAAACAUUCUUCUCAAUGUGCAUAACAUCUAGGGCAUGCCUCACAGGAAGGUAUUUCCAAUACUCGAGAUCAAAGAAUAUUGAUUUCUUCUUCCAACAAACUCUGUCACCAUUUUCAACCAUAUGCAGCACUUCUUCUCCGGUUAAUGGCUCUGGAGGUAUGCCAUAUUCAGGUUUCCCAUUAAAAGCUGCACGUUGCCUCCUAUAUGGAUGAUUGAUUGGUAACCAUUUUCUAUGCCCAAUGUAACAAAUUUUGUGGCCAUUUUUCAACCUGUGACUAGGUGUAUCAUCGCCGCAUAUUGGACAAGCUUUAUAUCCUUUAACAACACAACCAGAUAAGUUUCCAUAGGCGGGGAAAUCAUUAAUUGUCCACAUUAAUGCAGCUCUGAGUGUAAAGUAUUCUCCAUUAUGUGCAUCAUACACUCCUCUAAUCCCAACCCACAAGGAUUUUAAAUCAUCAAUCAAAGGCUCCAAGUAGACGUCUAUAUCAUUUCCGGGUUGUUUAGGACCGGAAAUCAAUAAGGUUAACAUCAUGAACUUUCGUUUCAUGCACAGCCAUGGAGGGAGAUUAUAUGUAACUAAGAUAACCGGCCAACAACUAUAUCUGCUACUUAGAGAACUGUGGGGAUUGAAUCCAUCAGAUGAAAGAGCCAAUCUCAAGUUUCUCGGCUCAUUACCAAACUCAGGCCAUUUAUCAUCAAGAAGUUUCCAAGACGGGGAAUCCGCCGGAUGAGACAUCUGACCGUCAAUUGAUUUUCUAGCAACAUGCCACCAAGUCAAACUCUUAGCUGUCUCAUGUGAUUGAAACAUCCUUUUAAACCUUGGAAUUGGGGGAAAAUACCACACCACCUUCGCUGGCACACCCUCUUUCAAGAUUGCAUCUUUGCCUUCCUUCCACCUUGAGAUACCACAAGUAGGACAAUUAGUUGAAUCCUCAUACUCCUUCCUAUACAAGAUGCAAUCAUUGGGGCAUGCGUGCAUUUUCUCAUAACUCAGCCCCAAUGCACACAAAGUCUUUUUAGCCUCAUACAUGGAGGUUGGUAUUGUAUUUCCUUCUGGAAGCAAAUCGCCUUGAAGUAUCAAUAAUUCUGUAAAACAGACAUCACUCAUCCCAUGUUUUGCCUUCAAAUUAUACAACUUCACUAAUGCCGAUAACUUCGUGUACUUUCUACAACCAGGGUACACUGGUUGAUCUCCAUCCCCAAUCACAUUGGCAAACUCAUACGGAUCCGAACCAAAAUCACCAAAAUCAUUAUCAUCCAUAUCAAUUUCUUCAGACACAAAACUGUACCUACUAUGGCCAUCAUCUUCUUCAACAUUUCUGCUAGCAUUAGUAGUUGCUUCCCAAGGUUCUCCGUGAAAUGUCCAAUUCUUAUAGCUUUGGUCAAUUCCAUUAAAGUAUAAGUGAUCCCUUAUAAUUCCAACCCCAAACAACUUCAAAUUAACACAUUUAACACAUGGACAACGGAUAUGUGUUGUAGUUAGAAGAUUUUCUACAGCAAAGUUCAAAAAUGCUUCCACCCCAAACUCAUAUGCCUUCGAUCUUCUAUCCGAGUGCAUCCAUGACUUAUCCAUCUCCGACACUAUAACCUAUUAUCUAUAAUAAAGUGAAAAUACAGGCAAUGACCAUCACUAUAGCAGAUUAUACAAUGAUCUAAUCGCAAGUAAUAAACAACAGAGACGACGGGUUUUAAUCAAAAACAGACGUAUUUGGCAUAUAUAGACGACGGAUUUUCAACAGACGUCGUCUAUUAUACGUAAUACAAACGACGGUUUAUGAAAAAACCGUCGUGUAUAAGUAAUACAACGACGGUAGUUUAAAAACACCGUCGUGUAAUCGUCGUCGUACGCCUUAAAAUUCGUCGUGUCUCAGUUUAUUUUCAAGAACACAAAACCCAUUAAGAACACAACAUAUAUAUGAAACCAAGCAAGAAACCAACAUAUACAUGAAACCAAGCAUGAAAACAAUAAAUCCAUUCCCAAUUCAACAUAACAUAGGGUGAUUAAAAGAUACGACAAAAUUAAAUCCAUUCCCAAUUCAACAUAACAGAUAAUGUAAUCCAUGAACCCAUUAAACAGAAAAUCCAUGAACCCAUACCUAUAAGCAUUGGUGCACUUUGCACCUUCUCCAGAGCGGAAAAUGACAAGAUCAAAUAAAGGUGUUCUUUUGCUGGAAAUCAUUUGGAAGUUGGUGAUGUGUCUUUUUGUGUUGAUUUCCAGCAAAAGUACACCUUUAUUUGAUCUUGUCAUGAACCCAUUAAACAGAAAAUCCAUGAACCCAUACCUAUAAGCACAUUAUUAACAGAUCGCAAAGCAUAUACCUAAAACCCUUUAACAAAACAACCUAAUAUCAUUCAAUGAAUUUACAAGGGGAAGAUAGGGUUUGUACUUACAGGUUGGACGAGCUCACAGAUUCGACGAGCCUGGAGAGUGCAACUUUUAAUUAGAGCAGAAGUGAGAGAGCGAAAUGUUAUGUCGCGUGAAAUCUGAAAUUUUAGGUUUCAGGGAUCAAAGUAUAAGACUAAGAGCCAAAUCUAAAAAAAUUUAGGUCGCGCGAAAAUUUUUAGAGCGCGCGCGUUAUAAAACGUCGAAAGAAAAACCAAGGCGAAAUUCUACAAGUACCGACGUAAAUUUAAUAUUCCACGACGGAAACUUCAUUUUUCGGAUUAAGAACGUAAGGCCGUUCAUUUUUCGGAUUAAUUUUAAAUUUAUUUUGAAUUUUUUAUAUAACGACGACUGAAAAACCACGUCGGUGUUAAGAAAUUAAAGACGUUGUAAAUUAUAUAAACCGACUUACAUAUUAAAAUAACGUCGUUUAAAGCGUAAACCAUGUCGUAUGUUUUACUGUACGACGUAAAAUAUGUAUUCCACGACCCAACCACCGUCGUUAAAAAUUAAUACACUAAACCCAUAAAAUUAAAUUAUACAAUUUAAAAAAUUAAGUUUAUAAAAGGUUUUAUGGUUUUAAAGCCUAACAUAUAACAUAGACUACCCAAAAAUUAUACUUUAAAAAUAAACCCCAAUAAAUAACAACACUAAUCUCUAAACCCUAGACUCUAAACCCUAAACCAUUAAACUAGAAGUGAUUUUAUGACUCAUCAAAACAAUUUUGUUUUGGAUGGUCAUUUUAAAUUUUUGUUAUUCAAAAUGAAUUUUUUCAAGAUUUAUGUGGAAGAAAAUAUAUCAAUGACUUCAUAGGAGUUGACUUUUCAAUUUUCUGAUUUAUUUUAUAUUUAUUUUGAAUAUUUUGAUAUAAAAAUAAUAAAAUAUUCUUACCAUACAACAAACCACGUCGGUGUUAAAUAAAUUGUAGACGUUGUAAAUUGUAAUAGACUACUAAGUCGUUAAAAUGACGUCGUUAAAAUGAGAAACCACGUCGGUGUUAAGAAAUUAAAAACGUUGUAAAUUAUAUAAACCGACUUACAUAUUAAAAUGACGUCGUUUAAAGCGUAAACCAUGUCGUAUGUUUUACUGUACGACGUAAAAUAUGUAUUCCACGACCCAACCACCGUCGUUAAAAAUUAAUACCCUAAACCCAUAAAAUUAAAUUAUACAAUUUAAAAAAUUAAGUUUAUAAAAGGUUUUAUGGUUUUAAAGCCUAACAUAUACCCUAGACUACCCAAAAAUUAUACUUUAAAAAUAAACCCCAAUAAAUAACAACCCUAAUCUCUAAACCCUAGACUCUAAACCCUAAACCAUAAAACUAGAAGUGAUUUUAUGACUCAUCAAAACAAUUUUGUUUUGGAUGGUCAUUUUAAAUUUUUGUUAUUCAAAAUGAAUUUUUUCAAGGUUUAUGUGGAAGAAAAUAUAUCAAUGACUUCAUAGGAGUUGACUUUUCAAUUUUCUGAUUUAUUUUAUAUUUAUUUUGAAUAUUUUGAUAUAAAAAUAAUAAAAUAUUCUUACCAUACAACAAACCACGUCGGUGUUAAAUAAAUUGUAGACGUUGUAAAUUGUAAUAGACUACUAAGUCGUUAAAAUGACGUCGUUAAAAUGAGAAACCAUGGCGGCUAUUUAACUAUACGACGUAAAAUAUAUAUUUUACGACUUAACCGCAGUCGUUACAUAAACGUCGUCGAUUAUACCCUGAACCCUUAAGAAAUUGAAGAUAUUGUAAACCAUUAACGACUCAAUUGUUCAAAGAACGUCGUCUAACUAUUUUUUUACGUCGUAUUUGUUUAAAACACGCAACAACAAAAUACGACGGUUAUUGACUUUAUUAGGUCGUUGGAAAAGUAUUACACGUCGGUUAAGCAAUUUGUAUGUUUGUUUUUUUUUUAAUUUAAGAAAACCUCAACAAAUUUUUACAUUACAUAUUAUAGAGAAAAUUGGUACAUUAUACAUAAAUAUCAAGUGUUCAAUAAUUGCCCUGUUUAAUAAUUUGGAAAACAAACUCUGCCCAUUCAUUCCGGACUUCAUCAAUGGCUUCUUGGGGGUAUGAAGCUUCCUGGUUUCCCUUGGCAUACUGCAUAAACAAUGACUAUUAGGGUUUAUAAAUAAAAAGAAAUUCAAUCACAGAAGACGAUAUUUUUCAUAACCGACGUAGUAUAUCCAUUCAACGACGUUAAUUUUACACGACCGUCGUUGAUAAUACAAAAAACGACGUGAAAUGUAUGAAGGUAAUUUCUUCUUACCUUAUUCUCAAACCCCAAGGAAGGAUCCAUGAUGAUGUCCCUCAUGAAGCGCAUUACAUAAUACCCGCAUUCGACAUUGCUGGGUUGCUUUGGUGUGCCUGAGAGAGUUUUCCAAAUUACAUUUUUACGUCCUGCUCGGGCUAUGUGGGUAUUAUAUAUUUUUAAAGCACUGUUCACGAUGUUUUUGGCCUCUUCAUCGACCACACGAUUUCCUGGCAGAGGAUCCAGAAAAUAGACGGUUUCUCUCUUUGCUCUUACAAUCAGCAAAAUCCAAUGACGGCUGCACAAAAUUAAUAUAAAAACGACGGUUAUUUACAAAAACGACGUAUUAUAGUAUUUCAUACGACGAAAUAAAGUAGAUAACGACGACAUUAUAUAUUUAUCACGACGAUAAAUAAAUACCGACGUGGUUAGUAGUUUCAAACGACUAAAUAAAAUAAAACACCGACGUGGUUAGUUUAUAAGCUGUCAUUUAUUGAAAAUCAUAAAAACAAAAUCCUAAGGAGACUAACCCUGGAUUGUAAGGCAUCAUGAAAAUCUGUUCACCGUCUGUCUUCUGAAGUCGAGCUGCUACCAGUCGUGAUCUUUCAGUUAUUGUGCCAGAGUUGGCACUAACUGUAGCAGGGUCAAUAAAGCCAACCAUGCUGCACAUAUUGGCUUGUUUCAAAACAUCGUGUAAGUACCUAAAUACAUAAAAUAAUAUAAACAAGUCAGCAAAAACAAACAUGACGGUUAUGUAUAAAAAAACGACGUAUUAUAAUAUUUCACACGACGUACUGAAAUAGAUAAGGACGUUAUAAUAUAUUUAUCACGACGGUAGUUAGUUAAGACGACACAAUAUAUAAACCAACGAGUUAUUAUCUUAGAAGUACAAACCUCAUAUAUACAGCCAAUACAGUAGCUCCAAUUUCUUCCAUGCCUGCAAAUUGUGUAAUAUCUUCAGGCAGGAGGAAGGUAUCGCGCUCACCACCAAACACCUCCUUAUCAAUUGUAAAUUGGAGUGUCUUAUCCUCAGGCAGGAGUGUCGUUUCCACAAAACGACAAAGGGUUUUUAAAGAAGAUGGCGCCUCCAUAUUUGAAUAAGCACCAACUUCAAUAACCUGUUUAAAGAAAUAAAAAAAAUGACGUGGUAAUUCAAUAAAGACGACGGUUUAAGUAAUAAAACGUCGUCUUAAAAGUAUUUAAACGACGGUGAAAAAACUGUCGUGGUAAUUCAAUAAAGACGACGGUUUUAUGAAUAAAGCGUCGUCUGAAACCAUUUAAACGACGGUGCAAAAACCGUCGUUUAAAUAUUUUAUUACGUCUUAAAAAAAUUCCGCCGUCUAAGUUUUAAACAAACGACGGAUUAAAUAAAAAUAUCGACGUCUGAAAUUUUGAAAAACAAAUAAAAAAGGCAAAGUUAUGUGAACAUACCUUGUCGUCAUGCUUUUCUUCAUCUUCUUUCUCCUUUUCUUCUUCCUUCUCUUCAUCUCUUUUUUCUUCUUCCUUCUCUUCAUCUGGCUGAUGUUUCCCCAUUUUGGCUGUAUCAUCCUCCAAAUGUAGGGAUCUCACAUCACCUCCAGAGCAGCUAGCUUUGUCAGACAUUGGAUUUUUGGGGCUUUGGCUAAUUCUUGGUUUAAGCAUGCUUGGAUCAAAAUUGGGAAUUAAUUGGGAAAGCUGACUCAGGAAAUGCUCCCUCUCAGCCUCUACCAAUUGUUUUGUCCUAGCCUCCAUCCUUAAGGCCUCUUCCCUUGCCUUAGCCUCCAUCUUUUUAGUCUCUUCUUGAAGGAGAACUCUUAAACUCUCCUUCAAACGGUCGUCAAAGCUCACCCUCUGUGGUUUGGGCAAAUUGAAAUAUUGCCUUGGGGAAACACCAGCACCAACUCCCCUCACCCUGCCUGGAUGCUCGGGGCCCAAAGCCAUGGUCAGCACAUCAUUGCUGCCAUCUACUCUGACUUUGCCUUCCGAGACUUGUUUCUGCAAUUCAUCCUAAAACAAAGAUAAACAAAAAAACACACGACGGUUAUUUAUGUACAAACGACGUAUUAUAUAAUUUCACACGACGCAAUAACGUAUAAACCGACGUUAUUAUAACUUAUCACGACGGUAGUUAUACCGACGUGGUUAUUUAUUUAAAACGACGAAAUGAAUAAACAACCGACGUCUUAUGCUAUAAUUAAAGAUAACAGAGUAGUGAUUCCUAUUUAGACCGUUAACGACGUUUUUAAAAAAUUUUCGACGUGGUAAUAUCAUUCACACGACGCGAAAAUGAACCACCGACGUCUUAUGCUGUAAUUACAGAAAACAUAGUAGUGAUUCCUAUUUAGACCUUUAACGACGUUUUUAAAAACUUUUCGACGUGGUAAUAUCAUUCACACGACGAAAAAUAUAACAUACGACGUAAUAAGAAUAAUUCACAGUUUAAUAAAAAUUUAAAACAGAGUGAUAGUAGGCUUACAAUUAAUUUUGCUUUCUCUGCCACCUUUGGAUCAGGGAUGUUACCAUGUUUGUCCUGUCUAGCUCUCUUCCAUAAGGUAGAUCGAUCAAUUUCUACCCCAGGCAUGGUUUCCUCCAAUUGAUCCUCCAAUCCAGCAUAUCCUUUUCGAGACAAUCGAUGAUUGUACUCGAGUUUCUCCCUAAUCUGUGCAUGUUGAGAAUGCACAGACUCAAAAUCUUUGGAUAGCCUUGAAGCUACAAAGGCAUCCCAUUGUGCUUUCUCUAUGAAUUUAUAUGUUUCAGGGGGUUGGCUUAAUUUCUCCCUGUCAUUGGUGUAUGGAAGGAUAUAAUGCCUCGUUAGUGUAGACUUGAAAUCCUUCCAUUUCUUGGAAGCAGAAGCUAAAACAGAGGUCUUGCCCCCUUGGCCUACGACAAAAGCCAUGUCAACUGCUUCCCAAAUCUGCUCCUUUAUAUCCUUGGGGAUUUGGGACCAUUUCUUGUCCACAAGUGGGAUCCUGGAGCGUGCCAACACACCAAUAUACGACUGCAUCUCAAUAUGUGCUUGGCCAACACCUUUCCCCCUUUUAUUGUACUCAACAAUUGGCCUCAGUUUCUGAAGCUUUCUCUUCACAACACGAGGCAUUGUGCUCAUACCUCGACCAGUCUUUGAAUCAUCUGAGAUUGUUGUCUGGCUGGUUUGUUCUGUCUCAGCAGAUGAUGAAGCAAACUUCAUCUUCUUCGAAGACUUCAUCUCCUUCGAAGACUUAUCUUGAGGAGCUACCAUUCCAAGCUUCUUGGAGCCAGAAUCCUUAGUUUGUUGUUGAGAAACCAUUUUAACAGACAAAACUGCAAGUGAAAAUAUUUCAGGAAAACAUUAAGAACACAAACGACGGUAUUAAAAAAAUACGACGUAUGAUAUGAUUUUAGACGACGCAAUGAAAUAAUCUCAGACGUAAUAAGUAUGAUAUGAUUUUAGACGACGCAAUGAAAUAAUCUCAGACGUAAUAAAUGUUUAAAACCAUUAUUUAUAUAACGUCGUGGUAUAUAUGUUCACACGACGUCAAUAGUAAUACACCGUCGUGGUAAACUAUUAUUUAUAUUUUAUCGUCUAUAUUAGAUACCAACCCUAGUUUCUUUUUCUUUAUAUUUUAUCAAAUAAGGGAAAAACAAAAACCAUUGUUCAGCGAAAUCAAACCUGCAAUUAAACAAGCAUAUAAAAAAAGACUAUUAUUUUAAAAACAACUUUGUCAAUUUUCAGACGACGCUAGAACAACUUACGAACCGUCGUGGUCUACCGUCGUCUUAUUUAGUUGAGGUAGUUGUCUUCAAAGUUGGAAACUUUCCCUCUUUGUCUGUAUAUUUUAUCAAACUUGGAAAGAAGUAAAAUGAUUUUGGCCAGAAAAAAGGUAAAAAGAUUUUUCAAACAAAAAACGUAUGAGCAUGCAAAACAGUAACCAAAAUAGUGAAAAUGAAAGCUUACCUUUUGCGUGCAAUGAAAGCAAGAGGAAGAUGAUCGAUGUUUAAGUUCAGAGACGACGAAGAAGACGAGAGGAAGACGAUGAGAAACUCUGACAAUGCUCUGACAAGGAAAAAAGACGAAAAGGUUUCUCUGGGAGAUUGAAAUUUUUAAUCGGGUUUGGAAACAGUGCAUGUGUAAGUCGAAAAGUUGCUUACAUAUAAAACCAUUUCAAAAAAAUAAUACGGCGGUUACAUUUAACUACGUCGUUUUUAACUAAAACGACGCAAUAUUUUUCAUUCGACGUGGAAUCAUUUCAUUUAACGUCGUUAGGUUUAAUAUAACCGACGUGGAUUUUAAUUUUUAAAUUAUGAAUAGAAUUUUUUUUCCCGUGACCUUUCAGUUUAUUUUUCAAUUACAGUGCGUUAUAAAUAGAGUUUUUUUUCCGGAGGAAAUUUAAAACGAAGGAAAUUAAUAUUCUGCAAUAUGUAAAGUUUCUUUUUUGGAUGACAGAUUUAAAUAAAAUAAGAAUAUAAAAACAACAAAUGUGUAAGUCAAGUAGACGAAAAGUUGCUUACAUAUAAAACCAUUUCAAAAAAAUAAUAUGGCGGUUACAUAUAACUACGACGUAUAAAUUACAAAAUACGACGGUACAUUUAACUUCGGACGUGGUAAAUAAAUACGACAGUAGUUUGUAGGUACCGUCGUAGUAAACUCAAAAAUUAAAGUACAUAAGUAAUAACUCGCGUCAUGGUAUAUUAUUUAACACGUCGUUUUUAUUAAUUUACCGACGUGGAUUUCUGUAAUAUACGUCGAUCAUACCGACGUUGAUUUUACAAUUUAAACGGCGGUUUUUUUGUAAGGACCGCCGUUGGUUUUAAAAAUUUAUUCUAUAAAUUUGUCGCUUUCAUUCAUUUUCGGUUUACAUUUAAGGUUCCAAGUUCUUCCUCUCUCAGUCUCUCAUGUCUCAAAGAUAAUAAUUUGGAUGUUUUCUCAAAGAGAAAUUGAGCUUACUCGCAUCAAAUAUAUGUCCACAAGAAGAAGCUUGUCAACUAGCCUUCUCACUUCCUUGAUCAAGCCUGAUAGGACACUUAGUGCUUCUGAAUACUCCUUGCUUUCCAUCAAAAGAGAUGCAAGCCUGGCCUCCACUCGCUGUCGAAGGAAAGUUCGCUUCUCAGGGAAAUCUGAAGAUCAGAUGUGCCUGAUCCUCUGCUUGAUUUUCUUGCCUAAGAAGAUCCGUCGGAUUUAUUGUGAUAGCCUCUUCCUUUAUCCGUAGAGCUUCAGAAGAAGAAGAUGGGUUUCAAGAAUGCGAUAAAGAAUAGAAAUGGCUUCAGAUGGCCUCUAAAGCAUGAGCAAUUGAAUCAGUAGUUUCUGGGAGAUAUGAUGAAGACAUUGUCAAUGCUUUGAACUACACAAGUCCUGCAGAAAGAUAUGUUAAAGAAACUGAAACAACGGCGGUUUUCUGUUCUACCGUCGUCUUUUCUCGUCGUCUAUAUUAAGUUACGAUGGCGGUAGAUUUAUAAUUACCGACGUAGAUUAUUUUGUUAAACGUCGUUAAGUGUACUACAACCGACGUGGAUUUUAAUUUUAAAUUAUAAAUGGAGUUUUUUUUCCCGUAUUCUUUCAGUUUUAGUUUUCAAUUCCAAAGCGUGAUAAAUAGAUUUUUCUUUCCCGAGGAAAUUUAAAAUGAGGGAAAUUAAUGUUCUAGAAUUUGUAAACUAACACGACGCAAUAUUUGCAAAUCUGUGUCAUCUGUUAAGAUUAUGAUGUGGAACAGAGUUCCAUCUGGUAAGAUUUCGUAACCCUUGGGAUCUCAGACAAAACUGAUUAUGUCGGCGGUGUUCUAUAUAAACCGUCGUGGUUAUUUCAAUUCUUGUCAUUAAGUAGAUCUACCGACGUAGGAUAAGAAAAUCAAAGAAAAAAAUUGUUAACAAAAAUUCUUAUUAAGACGACCGUUAAAAUUAAAGGUACGACGUAUAAAAUGAAUAAAUACGACGAUAAAUUUUAUUGUACGAUUUAAAGAUAACGUAGUAGAACUAUACGAGAAUGACGUCGAUAUAUUUAUAUUUUCCGUCGUUGUAAAUUAAUUUAAUACGGCGAUAUUUUGUAUUUUAAAGCCGUGGAUUUGUUUGUAAUUAUACGGCGUCUUAUACGAAAACCUCGUCGUGUUAUUUUAUGAGUAAAAACGGCAGUUUUUAUUGAAAUCGUCGUCUUUACUUUCUACGUCGGUCGAUUCAUAACUUCUGCCGUUCUUUGUUGGCAUUGAUUUUACACUGAGGAAAUCUGUUUCAAAUAGACGUCGGUUGUUUAAUUAUGUACGUCGUUGUUUUUGAACAGCCAUUUGAAACUCCAUUUUUUAGUUGUCUAAGGUUGUAUUACACGACGGUGUUUUUAGAACCGUCGUCUUUUUAUAAACCACGACGGUUUUCACUUAGACCGUCGUUGUUUUCUGGUCGUCUUUUUCACUUUUUGUAGUAGUGCACGUGAGCGAGAAAAGUGCUGUGAAGAACGAGGAGUGGCGGCAUAAGCAUGAAACGGUUCCGUAGGUCCAGAGGAAUUGGAUCGGAGUUUGCGCUUCAGAAGAGCAGCUUCACGACCGAGAAGGUAACCGUGAAGUUCAUCAGAGGAAACUUUUUCCCGACGAGUUUCAAUAGAAGUGACGAAGGAAUCGUACUCUUCAGAGAGACCGGCAAGAAUGUAAGCCACCAAAUCAUCAUCAGUUAGAGGAUGACCAGCAUCACCCAAGCCAUCAGCAAUUUCCUUCAUCUGUUGCAGAUAGGAAACCAUAGACAGAUCCCCUUUGACAAGAUUCUGAAGACGCUGACGAAGAUGAUGAACAUUUGCACGAGAGACUCCAGCAAAACGUUUUUCCAACAUCUCCCAGAGAUCACGAGAAUACUCAAUGCCAACCGUAUGAGAUAGCAAAUCCGUCGAGAGAGUAGAGAUGAUCCAGAUCAUGAGUGAUUGAUCCUUAUCAUACCACAGAUCGAAGGCGGGAUUAUCAACAAUGCAACCAGCAUCGUUAACAAUUGUCUUCGACGGCCGCAGAUCAGCACCGGUAAGAAGGCCAAGGAGCUUGUAUUUGCGAAGAACAGGAAGAAAAAGAUUCUUCCACAACAAAUAAUUGCCAGCUUGAAGCUUGAUCGGAACCAUGCCUGCGAUGUUUUGAACAGUAACAGUCGCAAAAGCAGGGAUUGAAGACGAUGUGAGAGAGACAGAAGCCGCAGAAGAAGAAGAAUUGGUCUCAGAAGCCAUGGAAAUCAGAGAAUUAGAGCGGAAGAAACUGUUUGGUUGAUGAGAAAAGCACUGUUUGGUAGGUGAGAAAAUCACAGGUUGGAAGAAAAGGGAGAGAGGAUCGAAUAGGCGUAUGAUACCAUAAAGGAAUUUAUGAUUCUCAUUAAUUAAUUGAGAAAAGAUUACAAAAGAAUAUAUAACACCUGUCUACUCUAUACAACAGAUAAAGCCACCUGUACAGGCUGUUACAACAGCUCUAACUAAUUACUUACAAGAGUAACUAAUAACAAACUAAUCUAAUCAGCUAACUACUCUCUUUAGUAUUUACCCCUAAAAUUUGGUUACAUUUAACAGAAAAUGUAACGGUUGGAUCAAAUGAGCGAUUAAAAUAGAGUUUAUGUGCCAUUUGGACUAAUAAUUUAAUUUAGGGACCAAAAUAUAAAUCGCAUACAAGUUUGAAGACCAUUUUCGCAAUUUACCCAUACUAUUUUGUCCUACGUAUAUGGAUCACAAUAUUUAUCAAUAUGCAUAGUUCAGGUUAGGAAACGACAAAAAGUUGAUAUGACUAGGAGCUUAAAAAAUUAAUGAAGAGUGGAUGCAUUAACAAGGGUGGACCAUGUAGAUGUGGACAUCAAAAAUAAAAACAAAAACAAAAUUGAAUAUAUGAAAUGUGACGGACGUGGUGUUCAUUUUUAGUUUUUCUAAUAAUAUCUUACGGAAAUCAUAGUCUAAAAUACUUUAAGUUAUUCUAACAUACGAAAAGAUUAAUGGGUCUAGUCUAGUGAAAAAGAGUAUUAACUUACAGAUCAGUGGUUUCAUAUUCAAACCCUUAUAACACCUUGAUAGUGUGUGUGUGAAAAACUCCAUCUCUUUUGUAGUUUACAUUAUCGCUUAUAUUGCAAAAUUAUAUAUAUACAAAAGAGAGUAUUAAUUAGUUAUUAUUGUUUGUUAAUUCAUGAAAAUGAAUGGUGACGAUGAAUAGGUAGGACCAAGGGUGAAGAAGGACAGGGAGAGAUUUCCACCAAAUAACGUACUUCUGGUGUUAGCAGGAGCCGGGUUGCUGUGGAUGGGAUGGGCAGGUUUCAACGGGGGAGAUCCGUACGCGGCAAACACGGACUCAUCCAUGGCCGUCCUCAACACCAACAUCUGCGCCGCCACGAGCUUCUUGGUUUGGACUUGGCUCGAUGUCAUCUUCUUUGAGAAGCCUUCCGUCAUUGGAGCUGUCCAAGGAAUGAUCAUUGGCCUCGUCUGCAUUACUCCUGCUGCAGGUACGUAUUACGUAAGUUCUCAAGUUGACUUUUUUCCAGAGUUAAGCAAAGUUGAAUUAUAUGCCUAUGGGUUUAAUCUAGUGAAAAAGGAACUUGAUUUGUAAAACAAUGAGAGUAUAUGUGAGAAAACUCCCCUCCUUUUCAAAAUUUGACCCAAAAAAAUACAAAGCAAAGUUGACUUAUAUUUAUCAUCCCAAUUAAUAAAAACAAAAUUAAUAUACUUACUUACUCGUCACAAAACACAUUGCCUUUCAUUAAUUAAUCCAGAAAAAUUAAGUUUAUUUGACUUUUGACUACUUAUAUUUACGUUCUCUCACAGACCACGUUCUAGUUCUAUUUAGUAUCCUACUUGGAUCCAAUUUUAUAAACUCAAAAACAAAUUUUGAAGUUUAAAACCCCAAAAACCCGUUUGAUAUGCCCCUUUUUAAAAACUCAAACUCAAGAAAAAUUCAAAAACACUCCUUUAUUAAAAACAAAAAAAGUGAGGUUUUAUAGUUUUUUUCUCUCUCCUCCCUCUCUCUCCUUCCUCUCCCGUCACUCCUUCUCUCUCCUCCCUCUCCCUGUCUCUUUCUCUCUCCUUCCACUCGUCUCUCUCUCUCUCUCUCUCUCUCUCUCUCUCUCUCUCUCUCUCUCCCUCCUUUUCUUUUGGAGAUUUCAAUUUGGGAAUUUAGGGUUUCUAAUUUUAAUUUUAAUUUUUUUAGAUCUUAAAAAUAGUUUGGAGUUCAAUACCAAAAAAGUUUUUAAAUCUUAAAAUCACCAUUUGAAAACUCAUAUUUUUAAAAAGAAUCAUAAUUUUUGAAUUUAUUUUUUUGAGUAGGAUACCAAACAAGGCCAAUUUCCUAAAAAAAUUCUCAUAUGGUUCUCUAACGUUUUCUCUAAAUAUAUUUGCAUCUCUUUAUAUAUAUUAUUUAGCCAGUUUUUAACAGGAGAGGUGACUCAUGGCAUGUUGUGUUGACCGUGCACAAUCAUUUAAUUAACCAUAUUAACUAGCUAGCUUUUAUUUUAGUUUUGUUUGUUCAUAGACUGAUACAAUAUUAUUGUUUAAAUAUGUAAAUUAUUUAGGUCUUGUUCAAGGAUGGGCCGCUAUAGUGAUGGGAGUUAUGUCAGGCAGUGUGCCAUGGUUCACCAUGAUGAUAGUGGACAAGAGGUGGAAACUGCUAUCCGCAGUUGACGACACCCUUGGUGUACUUCACACCCACGCCGUGGCCGGGUUUCUUGGCGGCGUUUUAACGGGGCUUUUCGCUGAGCCUGAACUAUGUGCACCUAUUUAUCAUUGGAUGGAAUAUUGUGGUCACCUACAUUAUUUGCCUAGUCUUACGGUGUAUAGUUCCGUUGCGCAUGCCGGAGGAACAGUUACUGAUUGGGGAUGACGCAGUGCAUGGAGAAGAGGCAUAUGCAUUGUGGGGUGAUGGGGAGAAGUAUGAUGUUACUAGGCAUGAGCUUUACUCCGACGAUACGUCACACGCUCAAAAAUAUCCAUCCAGUGGUGCCACUCAGGUGGUCUAACUCAAAGUUAUAUAUUAUUUAUGUUAAUAAUCUGUUCCAAAAAGAAAAAAGAAAAAAAAAAGGCCAAAAAUGAAAAGAAGAAAAAACGCAGUACGAAAAAUAGGUGUUAUUGUCAAUUAUUAUCUUAUUUUCUGGUGAUCUUUUCAAUGUUCACUAGUAAAAAAAACCCCUUGCGCGACCAAAUUUUGCGCGACGAAAAAUUAUUCGUCGCUCAAAGUUACUUUGCGCGACGAAACUUGAAAUUUCGUCGCUCAAAGUCUUGCGCGACCAAAUUUUGCGCGACGAAAAAUAAUUCGUCGCGCAAAAUCACUUCGCGCGACAAACUUUUGCGCGACGACAAUACAUCGUCGCUCAAAGUCUUGCGCGACCAAUUUUGCGCGACGAAAAAUAAUUCGUCGCUCAAAGUGACUUUGCGCGACGAAAAGUAAACUUCGUCGUGCAAAGUCCUUACAAAAAUAAAUAGAAUAAAAAAAUUAUUUUUUAAAAUCUUUGCAUGACGUAAUCCAAACAUUUUGUCACCUAAACCAAUUUAUUUUUGUUUUUUAUUUUGUAUGCAUAACACUUAAGAAAUUAAACGGUAUAUAUAUUUAUUAAGUAGCUUUAAACUUAUUAUUUUAGAUCGGAUCGGAUUUUUAUUAGAAAAAUAUAUUAUUGUUGUUCGGAUUGGGUUUUUGUUAGAAAAUAUAUAUUUUAAAUUGACGAUCGAAUUAGUUCAUUGUAUUCAUAUCGGGUCAAGGAGUGUAGCAGUAAAAAAUCAUCAAAAUCGGAGUUAAAAUAACCAUUAAAUCGUGAUUUUUCAUUACAACCAUCGAAAAGUUUUGUCCCCUUACUUGAUCUCUGAAUGUUUAUUUUUUCCGAUUUUUUUCGUAUAUGAUCUCGAAGUAUAAACAAACAAGUUUGACGGUUGGAUCGUUGAAACUAGUUUUUUUUUGUUCACUAACAAUUAGGAGUUUAUUUAUACUUUCGUAAGUAUAACAUAAGAUUUUGUGGUAUCCACUAGUGUAAAUAUUUUAAAUUGAAGAUCAAAUUCAGUCAUUGUAUUCAUAUAGGGUCAAGGAGUGUAGCUAUAAAAAAUCAUCAAAAUCGGAGUUAAAAUAACCAUUAAAUCAUGAUUUUUCAUUUAUAACCGUCAAAAAUUUUUGUCCCAUUACUUGAUCAAUGAAUGUUUAUUUUUUCCGAUUUUUGGCAUAUAUGAUCUCGAAGUAUAAACAAACAAGUUUGACGGUUGGAUCGUUGAAACUAGUUUCGUAGAAUGUGUAUGCCAUCAAAACAAUAUAUUCACUAACAAUUAAGAGUUUAUUUAUAUUUUCGUUAAAUAUAACAUAAGAUUUUGUGGUAUCCACUAGUGCAAAUGUUUUAAAUUGAAGAUCAAAUUCAGUCAUUGUAUUCAUAUAGGGUCAAGGAGUGUAGCUGUAAAAAAAUCAUCAAAAUCGGAGUUAAAAUAACCGUUAAAUCGUGAUUUUUCAUUUAUAACUAUCGAAAAGUUUUGUCCCGUUACUAGAUCUCUGAAUGUUUGUUUUUUGUGAUUUUUGGGGUAUACGAUCUUGAAGUAUAUACAAACAAGUCUUAUGGUUGGAUCGUUGAAUGGUGUGUGUAUAUAUAUAUAUUUAUAUACAUAUAUUUAUUAAGUAGUUUUAAAUUUAUUUAUUUUGUACGUAUAACACUUAAGAAAUUGAAUAGUAUAUACAUUUAUUAAGUAGCUUUCACCUUAAUUAUAUUUUAAAUCAUAAAAUAAAUUUUUUUAUUUUUUAUUAUUCAUAACAAUUAUUUUUAUAAAUAUUGUGCUACGAACCAAUUUUUCGUAUCUCAAAAGUUUGUGCGACCAACAGUUCAUCGUGCAAAACUCAAAAAAUUUGGGCGAGUACCAAAAAUGGGACGCGGGUUUUUAAAAUUAAAAAAAAAACUUUAGACUUUGCGCGACCAAUAUUUUUUGUCGCUCAAAACUUUGCGCGACCAAUAUAUAUUUUUCGUCGCGCAAAAAUUUUGGGCGGGUAUCAAAAAUGGGACGCGGGAAUUUUUUUAUAUAAUUGUUUUAGACUUUGCGCGACCAAUAUGUAUUUUUCGUCGCGCAAAAAUUUAAAAAUUUUGGCGGGUACCAAAAAUGGGAUGCGGGAAUUUUUUUUAAAAAAAAUAAUUUUUUUAGACUUUGCGCGACCAAUAAUCCUAUAUUCGUCGCGCAAAAGUUUGCGAGACCAAUAUGUUUCGUCGCGCAAAACUUUGAGCGACCAAUAUAUAUUUUUCGUCGCGCAAAAAUUUGGGAGGGUACCAAAAAUGGGACGCGGGAAUUUUUUAUAUAUAAUUGUUUUAGACUUUGCGCGACCAAUAAGUAUUUUUCGUCACGCAAAAAUUUAAAAAUUUUGGCGGGUACCAAAAAUGGGAUGCGGGAAUUUUUUUUUAAAAAAAAUAAGUUUUUUAGACUUUGCGCGACCAAUAUUCCUCUAUUCGUCGCGCAAAACUUUGCGAGACCAAUAUGUUUCGUCGCGCAAAACUUUGCGCGACCAACCAUAUUUUCGUCGCGCAAAGUGAUACGAUUUUUAAAACUGAAAUAACUCCUCCACCAUUUUCUCAAUUUCUUUCUCUACUCUUACCUCUCCUCUCUCUUUCCCUUUCCCCAAAUCCCACCCUUUCUCUCACACUAACUCCUCUCACUUAAUCUCUCAUCUCUAUCUUCACUAUCUCUCACUCUCACUCACUCUCUCAUCUAUCUUUUCACUAUCUCUCACUCUCUCAUCUCUCUAUCACUAUCUUUUCUAAUUCUCUCACACUCACUUCUCCCUCUCAUUCUCACUCACUCUCAAUCUUGCCAAAAGGUAUAUUCUCUCCAAAUUUUAAAUUUUUUUCAUUAAUAUGUGUUUUUGGAGUUAGUUUUGAGUUUGUGGGGGGUUUGGGGUUGAGUAAAGGGGAGAGAUUGGAGUUUGGGUUGGAUUUGUGGUAUAACAAUUUUAGGGGAGAUUGUGCAUUCUUUUUGUUGUUGUUGUUGUUAUUUGACUAUAUUUGUUUUUUUGUAGGGAAUCAUCGAGACUUUGACGGCUAAAGUUGAGGAUUAGGAAGCUAUCAAAACAUAUCCUCCGCCACUACCACCACAAUACGCUUGUAUUAGGAUUUUAUUAUUGUACUUUGUUAAUUUAUAUGUACAUUUUGAAUAUAUAUUUAUAUUUAUUGGAUAAUUUGAUCACUAUUUUUCAUAUGUAAUUUUAUUUUGAAUAUGUCAAUUUAAAUUAAAGUAAUUAAGAAAAAUCUUACAAUUAAAUUAAAUUUAAAAAGUAAAAAUUUGAAAAAAUUAAUAUCAAUUUAAAUUAAAGUAAUUUUAAAAAGAAAUCACACAAUUAAAUUAAAUUUAAAAAGUAAAAAUUUGAAAAAAUUCAUAUAAAUAAAUUCAUACUAAAGAAAAAAUAUUUCGUAGCGCAAACUAUUAAAUUAGUUUAUUUCAAAUUAAAAAAAUUUAAAACAAAAAAUAUUUCGUCGCGCAAAUAUUUGCGCGACGUUACUAUUUGUCGCGUAAAACUCUAAAAAUUUGGGCGGGUACUAAAAAUUUGACGCGGGAAUUUUUUUAAGACUUUGCGCGACCAAUGUAUUUCGUCGCGCAAACAGUUGCGCGACCAAUGUAUUUCGUCGCGCAAAACUUUGCGCUACCAAUAUUUUUCGUCGCGCAAAGUCACUUUGCGUUCGUCGCGCAAAGUUACUUUGCGCGACCAAUAUUUGUUCGUCGCGCAAAGUAACUUUGCGCGACCAAUGAAAAAACUUCGUCGCGCAAAGUCUUUCUUCACGAUCUUUACUCGACGGAUUCUGCGCGACGAAGUUUUUGUGGCGCUGAAAUUUGUGCGACCACAAUUUAUUUUGCGCGACGAAAUUAACUUCGUCGCACAAAGUGUAAAAUGUAGUAGUGGUUUUAUGUAAACUGCCUAUUGCCUCCGGUAAUUAUUAUGCACUUUAUUCAGCAAAAUUUGGAACACCAAACCAUUUUUAAUAUGUUUAAGAUUAUUAGCCCCUUUUUUUAAUUUACAAAAUAUAAUCACUAGAGCCCUCUCGAAUAGUGUUACCCUUACUUGAACCCUAGCAUUAGUACUUGGAUCUUUAUUAGUAACUACAAAGGCUCCAUUUGGUGGAGAUAGACUUUCAUGCAACAGGAAUAACACUUUUUGUUAUCUUCGAUCAAUAGAGCAAUAACAUGCGGGAUAAUUCUUCCACGUGUCAUUGCAUUAUUGACCGAGAAUAGCUAAACAAUGAAUCCUCGUUACAAGAAAUUUGUUUUUUGCAUUUGGUGGAUGGAUAAAAACACUGGAUUGGAUCCAUAAUCAUACUCCUGUGUUUAGUGGCCCAAGUCCACUUGGAUUGGAUUACUUCUAAAUUCUAUUCCUGUCAAACUCAAUUUUAGCAGGAUUAGGAAUCCCCCCAAAACUAGGGGUGGACAUUCAAACUGGAAAACCGAAAAACUGAGCUGACAAAAAACUGCAAUUUUGUACAGUUCUAGUUCUGAUUCUUGUUGUGAAAAAGCUUGACUGGGUCAAACCAGACUGACCACGUAUUUUUAAAAUUUUUAAUAUAUAUUUAACCCCAUUACUAAAUUUGUAAGCCUAUAACUAAUCUUUCUCUAAAUCACCUAUAUUUUUUAGGCCCAAUCACGUCCCUUUGCAUUAAAUUAGGUCACUUGUGAAUUUUUAAAAUUCAAAAAAAUAAUAAUUUAAACAAAGGUAUACUAGUGAUUUGCCCCUGAACUUGUACCUAAUUUUCGAUUAACCCUCUAUCCUUUUUUUUCGAAAAUUAAGGAUAUGAACUUUUUUUUCAGCCAAUUUCCCCCCUAUCGUCUAAAUUCUCAACAUUUCAUCCAAUUUUCAGUUAAAUUAUUUAAAAAAAUUACUUUUUUUGAAAAAUUUGAAGUAAAAGAGUAAACCUAAUGCCAACCCCUUCCAUCUCCUCCCUUCCUUCUCCCAUUCUCCCAUGACCACCAUCCUUUACUCCCAGACCAAUCCCCCACCCCCACACCCUUCAAUCCACAGACCCCUCCCUCCUCCUCUCCCUGUUCACCCGUUUUGGUUUCUACUCCUGUGAUGGAAGGGCAAAGUUCCCCAUUGCCUUGAAAACCAUUGACUGGUCAGCAAGCCAACUUUCUUUGGUAUGCGAGCGUGCCACUGCUAGCAAUGAAAAAUCCUAGCAGACUUCUUUGAAACAGAUAACUUGCGCCCCAAGUUACUAAUUUGUAAACAAACGAUUAUGAAUUUGGGAGAAGAAUAUCUCCCAAGUAAGUUCUUUUCCUACCUCAGGCUGGUGAGGACUUCAUAAUUUAUCACAGUAUAAAAUUGGUAGUUCUGGCCAGAAUAGAUGAUAAUAAAGUGGACUGUUUUAGGCAGAACUGCCUUUUACAAAUUUAAGAAGGAAAAACCAACUCUAAAAAGACAAAAAGAUGGUUGGAAUCCCAUUUCUGCCUGGGUAGAAACUUCUAAUCCAGGCCGGACUGAGCUGUUAACAACUUCUACUGCUUAGCUUUAGCUGUAAAUCGAUACCAAGGUUCAAUUUUGGCAGAGCUUUAAUAUACUUCAAGCCUUGGGAGGCUUUUGAACGGGCAGAACUGCGGUCUCUUUAGUCUGAAGGGGUAGAAAUGGCUAGUCUUGAGGAUUUAAUGAGCUGGAACUACACUGUAAAAUUUGUUGAGGUUUUCAUAUUUGUGAAAACUUAAACUCUGCUUGUCUUGGCUUUUGCUGAACCAAAUUUGUAACGAGAGGAGUCUCGUAUUGGAUGACUUAUUUCUCUGAGUUUGAACUUGGAAGUUCUGAUCUACGGCUGGCUUCUUUUGUGGUUCAAAUGAGCUUUUGGUUGCCCCAAUUUGUUUUGAAGGUUCUCAGUGAUCAAGUGAUCAUUUUGAGUUUUUUUUUUUGCCUUUGGUUGAUGUUUUUUUAUUUAUUUUUAUUUUGAUCGUCUUUUGAUUGUCUAACUUCUCCUAUAUUUAUAAGAAAUGCUUUGAAGUAGGGUUUCUUUCUUUUAAUAAUGGGUGGCAAAAAUUCUCAAAAAGAUCUUUCAUUUUUCUAUACAAAGAAGAAGAAGUUUUUAUCAAUUGCUGGCAGAUAGGCUUUCGAUAGUCAGUUCUUUUUAAGACCAAUCACUUCUCUGUUUUUUUGAAAGAGAACCUAACCCCUCUUUAAUUCCAACUGCCCCUUUGUGAGAGCUCAAACUGUUAAUGUAUGCAUUUUGAGUUAUUUCUUUUGGCUUCCCUUGACAAUUUUGUAAUAGGAUUUUUAUUGUUUUUAUCAAGCUCAAGCUUAGAUUAAGAAUAGCUUCUCUAGGUGUUCUUAACUAACAACUAUCCUAUGGAGAUUCAAGCAAUUUGACAAAGGUAAGUAUGCAUUGCAUAUCAUGGCAUUAAAACUGUUUUCAUAAAAUGAUGACUAGUCAUCUAUUUCUCGUAUGACUAGUCAUCCUUGCUCUGUAGGAUUUCUAGCUGGAUAACAAAUCUUUUUGUCCUAUUCUCCUUUCUCUCUCUGCUGCCAUGUGGGUAUUCUGACCUAAGGGAAUUUUUGUCUUUAAAAGGCUAUCAAUUCCCUCAUUUGCAGCCGUCACUCUUGGGGGAUAGGUUUUGGAAAGUUUCAUAGCAAACUUUCGCUUCUUCUUCCUCAAGAGUAACCUUCAUAUUUUAUGACAUCUAUGAGUUUUUCCGAAAUGAAUUCUACCUCCUGAAAAACUGCAUGUGUCUUUGAAUCUCAUCUAGCUGCAUAAAUCACUCUCAUUUAUAUCUAGGUUUGAUUCAAGACUAAUUUCUUCAAGAGAAUGGUUUCUUGAGGAAAUUGGUCAUUCUUCUUUGAAUCCAAAUUCUGGUUUCGUUUUUGAGUUGGAGCUUGAAAGCUAGUGCCAUGGGAUGAACGAGCUGAGAAGGAGCUGCCAUUGCCAUGAUGAACUCAGCUUCAAGCUUUGCUAAGUUGGAGAAGAAGAUUGCACAAAGGAGGUAUUGCUCAUCUUCCUAAAUAGAUCUAGGUUUUGCUUGAGCUUGUUUGUGUUCCUUUGUAAGAAUCUUUUUCUACUUAGUGGAUUGCCUGGUCGGUUGAUGACCCCCAGUUUUUCCCAAUGGUGGGUUUCUGGGUGAACAGUUUCUGGUUUCCAUCUCUGUAAAUUUUCUGGGUUUGUGUUCUUGGUAGUUGACUAGUCAUCUGUAUCUUCAGUUUGCUGUUUACUUGUUCUUGGUAGUUGACUUGUCAUCUGUAUCUGCUGUUUGCUGCUUACUUGAUUAAGAUGAUUUCACACACUUUCACCAUAGUUGUUGCUAGCACAAGGGACGCCUAGAUUGACGGGUCCUUCUGAGUGCUUAGGUUGUAACUAGUAAUCUUCUAGUGUUGCAGGUACCUUGUGGCAUGAUUUGUAUGCAAUCUUGAUUGUGAUUGUUUCUGACUAUCAGUUGACUAGUCAUAAGUGUGCUUGGUCAAGUUCUAAAGUGUGUGAAGGUUAUUGUGUUUUGGUUGUGUCGUUAAAUUUACCCCUCGUCACCUAAGUACCAUUUUCAAUUGGUAUCAGAGCACCAGCUCUUAACAUAAAUAGAGAGAUCCUUUGGGUGCUAGUUGGUAUUAGGUGUGCAAACAUAAAAAUGGAUCAAAUUGCUCCUUGCAUUCAUGAUGAGCUUGCCUUGUUUGUUAAGAAUUAUAGAAGGGUUGUCAAAGAUAAAACCAAAGUCACUAGGAAUUGUCAGAUUCUUCCUAGUUCGUCUACAUGUGUGUCUCAAGACAAUGUUUUUAAGGAGAUGAAUGUUUUGGACUCUUAUGGCUUUAGGGAGGACAAAAGUUUGAAAGGUCUUGUAAAGUGCUAUCUAUGUGGUGGUGCUGGUCACAUUGAUGUGGAAUGUGCAAAUAACCACAAGACAAAGUUUAAUGGGAGAGAAGAGUCAAUUAGUGCACAAUGGAGUGAUAAUGGUAGUGAUGAUUCCAAUAACUAUAUCACUUCAUCUUAUGAAGAGGCAAAUAAUUUUGCCCUUGUUGGUUCUGUUCAUAACUCUAGCCUUGCUAGAGUUCAUGUAGUUAAGGAAGAAUCUGUGUCUAGAGAUGAUAUGCACGAUGACCAGUCAUAUAGAGAACAAGAUGACCAGUCAUACAAGGAACAAGAUGACCAGUCAUACAGAGAACUAUGUGAAAAGUAUGAUAUGCUUUUCAAUGAAACCUGUAAUUUCAAAGAACAUAAUCUCAUGAUGGAAGAAAAGGUUAAGAAACUUGAUGAACUGAAUGAAACUCUCAAAAUGACCAAAAAGAAGUUGAGUGAUAGCUUGUAUGAGAAUGAAGUUGACAUGUAUGAAUUGUAUCAUAAAGUUAGCACUCUUGAAAAAGAAAAUUCUGAUUUGACUAAGAAGUUGAAUGUCCUUGAAAAUGACAAAUCCCUGUUUCUUCAUAGACUGAUUUUAUUUGAGUUUGAAAAGUCAUUUGUUGAGCAUGAAAACGUAGUCGUGCAUGAUAAGUUUGUGGUUGAAAAUUCUGAUUUGCAAUGCAUGUUAUUUGAGAAAGACAUUGAGGUUCAAUACUUGUUUGAGAUGAUAAAAUCACUUGAAAACAACAUGGUUAAAAAAUCUGAAUCUUUUGAUGCUUUACAAUUUGAAAAUAUAAGAUUGGAACAUGAACUUAAGUUGGAAAAAGAAAAGAUUCAAGGUUUAACCAUUGGUGCUGGAAAGAUUGAUAAAAUGCUCAAUUUUGGAAAAUUGUUCGGUGAUAAAAGAGGUUUAGGAUAUAUAAAUGAGUCUUCUACACCUUCAUCAUUUGAGACAAUCUUUGUCAAAGAUGUGUCAACUCAAGAAGCUCUAAAAUUUGUUCAUGAUCUCAACUUGGGUUUUGAUUCCAUGAAUAUUGUUUCUAAGGGAAAGCUGCCUCUUUCACAAUCCAAAUUUGUGCCUACCUGCCACCAUUGUGGUGUGAAAGGACACAUUCGACCUAGGUGUCAUAUCCUUAGGAUUGAGUCUCAAGUUUCCAAAGAAAGUGAGUUUAAGACUCAUGUGUCAUCUUUUAAGGGGUAUGCGACUGUAAAGUCUGUGGUUUGUACAAGAAAUAAACAUUCUUCACUUGCAAAAUUUAGUUUCCUACAACCAAAAAGGUUCAUUCCUAUAUGCCAUCAUUGUGGCACAUUAGGACACAUUAGACCAAAGUGUUUUGAUUUUAGGAAUUUUGAGCAAAAGCCUUUUGUUCAUUUCAAGAAAGUAAAUGAUGACUCACUUCAAACUCAAGUGAAUGAUCUUCUUUAUAAAGUUGUCAAAAUUCCUAAGGUGAUCUCUUUGCCUCAUAAAGUCUCAAAAGUGAAGCAAGUUUGGAUCAAGAAGGAAGACCAUGUUCUUCCUCAUGUUGGUGACUAGUUUCUUUAUUUUAUGUAUCUAGACCAUUCUCUUAUUUGUGUGUGCUUCAUGGAGUCUAGAUACAUUGUCAUGCAUUUGCACCUUGUUCUUUUGUUUUAUUAUUUUUAAAUGUGGUCAUUGCAUGCAUAUCUUUCAAUCAUCUCUCUCACAGUGCUUUAAAUCUUGGGUGAUCAACAAAAUUUCAAGUUCUUUUGAACUUAUUCACAUUUAUCUUGUUGGUCUUGUCCAAACUUUUUCCCUUGGUGGCAAGGAGUACAUUCUAGCCAUUGUAGAUGACUUCUUUGGAUGUAUUUGGGUCUCAUUCUUGCUUGAAAAAUCAGAAAUCUUUCAAAGGUUUAAAUCUGUCUACCAUCUUUUACAAAAAGUGCAGAUGACUAGUCAUUUGCCUCUUGUUAGAUUUAAAACAGAUCAAGGUUCUGAGUUUGAGAAUUCUCAGCUUCUGAAAUUUUGUGAGGUGAUGAGAAUUAAGCAUGAGUUCUUUGCACCUAUUCCUCAGCAAAAUGGUGUUGAAAAAAAAAAAAAAUAUAUAUAUAUAGAGUUCUUGUUGAGAUGGCUAGGGUGAUGCUCAAUAGCAAAAAUUCUGCUAAACAUUUUUUUGGGUUUACAUCUCAAACAAGGUGUUUUUGAGGUAUGGUGCCAAACAAAUUCCCUAUGUGCUUUGGAAAGGUAAGAAACCUAAUGUGUCUUAUUUUAGAGUCUGUGGUAGCACAUGUUUUAUCUUAAGAGAUUGGGAACACCUUGCUAUGUUUGACUCUAAAAGUGGCAAAGGAAUUUUUCUUGGGUAUUCCACUUCAAGCCGAGCCUAUAGAGUAUAUAAUUAUAGGACCGGAACCAUCAUGUCAAUAUUGAUGACUUUGCUGCCUUUACUGAGAUAGCAUUAGAUGAGGAUGAUCUUUUAUCUUCUAUUCUUGAGGGAGAAUCUCCAGGUCUGGAUCUACUGGUUGACCUGUCAACCUUUAGCAAAUUGGUUGACCAGUCAACUCUUGACAAUUCUGUUCUAGUUGACCUGUCAACUUGUCAUAAUCAACCUCAGAAUCUCAGCUCAUCUGUCCCUGUUGAAAACUCUCUAUAGAAGCAAGAUAGGAAACCUUCUCUACUUGACUGCAAGUAGACCUGACAUUUCCUAUAAUGUAGGAGUUUUGUGCUAGGUUCCAAAGUGAUCCCAAAGAGUCUCAUUUGUUUGUUGUCAAAAGAAUCAUAAACUAUGUGAGUAGAACUUUUGAGUUUGGGUUGUUGUAUACUUAUGACACUUGUGUCAAUCUUAUUGGGUAUAGUGAUGCUGAUUGGGCAGGUUGCAGUGACAGUAGGAAAAGCACUUCCAGGAUGGUCUUUUAUGUAAGCAACAACCUAGUUGCUUGGCAUAGUAAAAAACAGAAAUCUAUCUCUUUAUCCAUUGCUGAAGCAGAGUAUGUUGCAGCUGGGAGUUGCUGCACUCAACUCCUUUGGAUGAGACAAAUGUUGGAAGACUAUGGUUUUGCUCAAUCAUGCUUUCUAAUCUAUUGUGACAACAUGAGUGGUAUAGAUAUUUCUAAAAAUCCUGUUCAACACUCUAGGACUAAGCAUAUAUACAUUAGGCACCAUUUUAUUAGAGAUCUUGUGGAAGACAAAAUUCUAUCUUUGGAAUUUGUUCCCUCUAAGAAACAGCUAGCAGAUAUACUCACCAAGGCCUUGGACUUUCAGAAACAUGUCACACUUAGAUAGUCCAUUGGCCUUUGCUCAAUUGAUUGAUUAGCUUGUCUGUUCCUUAUCUUCAGCACAUUGCAAAACUGUUGACUAGUCAUCUUCGUUUUAGUUGACUAGUUAAAUAUAAAUUUUUGUUUACUUGGUGUGCAAAUGUCAAAAACAUCUGUUUCUUCUGAUCUCUGAUAGUGUGAAGUUUGAAUCAUUUUAUGCUUUGCCUGAUUUGUGCAUAAUUCCCCCCUUCUAGUUUGGAGCCAUUAGAUGAAAUUUUUUUGGUGUUUUUAUGUCUUCUUGGUGAGACAAGUGUUGUGAUCCAUUGUGGACAGUCAUUGUUAUAAUAUCCUAUCUUAUCUCACUCUCUUAGGCAAUUUGUUUAUAAAUUUUUAAAAAAAAAAAAAGAAAAAAAAAAAAGGGAAGUGUGACCAAUGUAGUCACGACUCUAGGAAGGUAUAAGGUGAUAUGAUUGAAGAAUCUAGAGCAAGAGCCGCAAAAUUGGGCCACUCAUGCACUUAAGUCUGGGAUGUGCAAAUAUCAAACAUAAAAAAUGGCCAGAUUGAGUGAUGAAAAUCAAAUAGGUUGAGUCUAUGCUUUGAGUUUGUCUUGAAAGUUCAUUAUAUACUUGUCUCUCCAAGAGCGAUAUUUCUUCAUCUCUUGUGUUUUUCUUUUGGCUCUGAACCUCCUCUGUCCAUCUUGACUUAUCUCUGAGCAUGAAAUCUAAUUCAUAUUCUAUCUAUCAGAGUUAGUUGAAUUAUUUUGUUUGCACAUGUGGUUAUCUUCUCUCUCUCUUACUUACUGUGCUUGAAGACUUGGACUAGGCUAUAGUAGCUAAUACAUCGUUGAUCACUUGAUAUAUUUGCUAGUUCAUGUUUGUGUUUUUAAAACCAAAAUCAUGUCUUCUUCAGGGUCAAUACUAAAUUUGCUGCUUGCUAUGAUAUUGCUUGAGUUCACUAGUCAACAUAUGCUCAUGCUGAUUGUGGUUGACUAGUCGUCUGCUUAAUAUGGAUCUUAUGCCUUUUGGUGAAAUUAAUUUUCACUCUCUAAGAACCAAAACCAUUGGUUAUGACACAAAGCACAAGGGCUCACUUGUCUUCUCCUUAUCUCAUUUACACCUUCUGUUCGAACAUUGGUAUUGUGUUUAUGUAUGAUCAUGUUUAGAUGACGCCACUUUGGUCUAUGCCCAGUCAUCUUAAUAAGGUGUGUUCCCACAUUCAAUGAUUUAGCCUAACAUAAUUCUUGAAAUCCUUAAGAGUCUACCUUGCUAUAUGAGUUUUUGGAUUGUUGGCUAAUUUAUUUUGUUGGGGGAGUUUCUUUGAGAUGCAUGUGUUUUGGCAACAUUCUUGCUGGUUGUUUUUAUCAUUUUCAUACAUCAAUGUUUCCUUCCUAAGCCUUAUCUCUAUUGAUUUGCUCUCUUUUGUUCUUGGCUGUGUCUAUGAGGUUGUUGGUCUUUUGAUGCCACCUCAAAUUUAGACAUGCGUGACUAGUGCAUUUCAUAGUCCACUCUCUUCUCCUUGUGCUUUUUUUGGAAGCUAUGUUGUGUUUUUCUAGACAACCUAGAGACUUAUUUCUUGUAUUCUUCCUCACAUGUCCUCAAUUUUGUGCAAAAAUUUAGGGUUCAUCUUGCAUGGUGCUUUCUUCAAAUUUGACAUUGAUUGAUGCCUUAAAUUUUGAUAUUUUGGUGCUUUGUCUUGAUUUUGCACUAUGGUGUGUAAAGAAAAAUUCAUUGGUUGUCCCUUGUUUUGAUAAAUAUGUUGCUUAAACUCUGUCUUUUUAGGGGAGUUUCUUUAUGUGUAAUGUGUACACAUUGAGCCACUUGAUUUUAAUUGCUUUAGGUAUGAUUCCUUGCAACUUGUGCUCCAUUUCUUAUUCUUUUUAGCCUGAUGCAUUUUUGUGUUUGUUGGCUAUUUAUGGAAAGUUUGCUGAAUCAGUACGUCAAAGGUUGUUGGCUAUUUAUGGAAAGUUUGCUGAAUCAGUACGUCAAAGGUUAAUUCUUUUAUGCUAUAUGAUACUCAGGGGGAGUAACAAAUGUUGUUUGUGCUUUGUAAUCAAACUGUGUCAUGUGCAUAUUGUUCAAAUCUGAUUAUGUGACUUGUGUUUAAUUCACUUGAUUACUGUUUCUCUAUAUUUGCCUUUUUGCUCUUUCCUUAUCAACAAGGGGGAGAACACUCUCAACCCCAUAUUGCACAUAUUCUCUUUCCUUAUCAACAAGGGGGAGAACACUCUCAACCCCAUAUUGCACAUAUUCACAUAUUGCAUAUUGCUUCAAAUUUCUGUGAUAUAAUAUGCUCGUCUUGUGCCUGGGAGUUUGGUCGUUGUUUUGCAGGUACUUCAUUUAAUCAUCUCCCUAGGUUCGAUUUUGGGUUGAGUGUAUUUAGAGAGUGUGUUGUCAAGGAAAGCCAAAAAGGGGGAGAUUGUUAAUGUAUGCAUUUUGAGUUAUUUCUUUUGGCUUCCCUUGACAAUUUUGUAAUAGGAUUUUUAUUGUUUUUAUCAAGCUCAAGCUUAGAUUAAGAAUAGCUUCUCUAGGUGUUCUUAACUAACAACUAUCCUAUGGAGAUUCAAGCAAUUUGACAAAGGUAAGUAUGCAUUGCAUAUCAUGGCAUUAAAACUGUUUUCAUAAAAUGAUGACUAGUCAUCUAUUUCUCGUAUGACUAGUCAUCCUUGCUCUGUAGGAUUUCCAGCUGGAUAACAAACCUUUUUGUCCUAUUCUCCUUUCUCUCUCUGCUGCCAUGUGGGUAUUCUGACCUAAGGGAAUUUUUGUCUUUAAAAGGCUAUCAAUUCCCUCAUUUGCAGCCGUCACUCUUGGGGGAUAGGUUUUGGAAAGUUUCAUAGCAAACUUUCGCUUCUUCUUCCUCAAGAGUAACCUUCAUAUUUUAUGACAUCUAUGAGUUUUUCCGAAAUGAAUUCUACCUCCUGAAAAACUGCAUGUGUCUUUGAAUCUCAUCUAGCUGCAUAAAUCACUCUCAUUUAUAUCUAGGUUUGAUUCAAGACUAAUUUCUUCAAGAGAAUGGUUUCUUGAGGAAAUUGGUCAUUCUUCUUUGAAUCCAAAUUCUGGUUUCGUUUUUGAGUUGGAGCUUGAAAGCUAGUGCCAUGGGAUGAACGAGCUGAGAAGGAGCUGCCAUUGCCAUGAUGAACUCAGCUUCAAGCUUUGCUAAGUUGGAGAAGAAGAUUGCACAAAGGAGGUAUUGCUCAUCUUCCUAAAUAGAUCUAGGUUUUGCUUGAGCUUGUUUGUGUUCCUUUGUAAGAAUCUUUUUCUACUUAGUGGAUUGCCUGGUCGGUUGAUGACCCCCAGUUUUUCCCAAUGGUGGGUUUCUGGGUGAACAGUUUCUGGUUUCCAUCUCUGUAAAUUUUCUGGGUUUGUGUUCUUGGUAGUUGACUAGUCAUCUGUAUCUUCAGUUUGCUGUUUACUUGUUCUUGGUAGUUGACUUGUCAUCUGUAUCUGCUGUUUGCUGCUUACUUGAUUAAGAUGAUUUCACACACUUUCACCAUAGUUGUUGCUAGCACAAGGGACGCCUAGAUUGACGGGUCCUUCUGAGUGCUUAGGUUGUCACUAGUAAUCUUCUAGUGUUGCAGGUACCUUGUGGCAUGAUUUGUAUGCAAUCUUGAUUGUGAUUGUUUCUGACUAUCAGUUGACUAGUCAUAAGUGUGCUUGGUCAAGUUCUAAAGUGUGUGAAGGUUAUUGUGUUUUGGUUGUGUCGUUAAAUUUACCCCUCGUCACCUAAGUACCAUUUUCACAAACCGUGAUGUUCAGUUUGCUUUUCCAGUUUGAACAACUCCCUGUUUUCCUGCUUAUCUUUUUUUGGGAAAUUUAGCCUGUGUAUCCCUUGAAAGAUGGUGCUUUCUUUGGAUUAGAAACAAUAUCUAUGAAUAUAUAAAAGGGUUUUGAUCUUUGUGGUGGCAGAGAUUUCAGAGACAUCCUUUCUUUCUGCCUCCCUCUGUCAACUCUCUUAUCAACCUAGUUGAUUUUGUUUGACUUUUCUAAGUCAGAGAAAAACAAUCACGUGGGUCUGUUUUCUUUUGAGUUUCUACUUUUUACUUUGAUCAUGCCAAGCCCAAUUUAGUUUCUUCGAAACCUAAGCUUGAGAUAGGUUCUAGGCCGGGCUUUUGUUGGAUUUUGGACCUUUGGUUCAUGUUUAUUCUCAAAGUCCAGACUUCUCGGGCCCAGCGUUGUUGUCUUUGUUAUUUUGGGCUUUGUAGCGUUUGGGCUGGGUGACAAGAUUUUGGCCCAAACACUCCCUUUUUGUUCUUUCAACCACAGACUCAUCACCACCAUCCUCAACAGACCUUCCGCCGUCGCCACCUCCUCUCUCUCUCUCUCUCUCUCUCUCUCUCUCUCUCUCUCUCUCUCUCUCUCUCUCUCUCUCUCUCUCUCUCUCUCCACACACACACUCCCUCAAUUUCCCACCCCAUCUGUUAAUUUCAAUAUCUCCACACUCGAAAAGCUCACAGUCGAUCCAAGCCUUUCAAUGCCUCCCAUCUCAAGCUUUUUCCAAAUUCACACAAAACCCAUCAACCAAAACAUCAAAAAAUUCAAUCUUAAACACUUGGAUUUGGAAAAAAGAUCAAAAUCAAAUAAAAUCUAAUAGAAUUUAAAUCCAUGCCACUUGGAUAGCAUUUGGGGUGGGAGGUUGUGGGGAAGGAGAAAAAAGAGAAGGGAGGGUUGGGGUGGGGUGGAAGGGCCAUUGGAAGUUAUAUGGAGAGAGGGAGCGUAGAGGGGCCAGAAAAAAUAGAUGGAGAGGGUAGGGGUGAGGGAGAGAGUGAUUGGUUGGAUGGGCCUCUCUCUUAUUAAAAUAUUUUUUCUUUCAUUUUAUAUUUCAUAUUAUUGUAUUUGUGUAUUUAAUUAUUUUAACAUAUAAAAUGACCAUUUUGCCCUCAUAUUUAAUGGCAAAUUGGAUGAAAUGUUGCAGAUUUAGACGACAGUGGGGAAAUUGGCCAAAAAAAGAAGUUCAUAUCCUUAAUUUUCUAUAUUAAAAAAAAAAACAAGACGGGGGGUCAAUUGAAACCAAAGUACAAGUUCUGGGGGCAAAUCACUAGUAUACCCAAAAAACAAAAAUUUUAGUCCCAAUUAUGGGCAAAUUAGACCGCAUUGGAAUGAAUUUAUUUUUAUUUUUAUCAAAACCAAACCAAAUCAGACCAAAUAAAUAGUGCUAGUUCCGGUUUGGGGUGAGAACCAGAUCGUGCUUACCCCUAACAAAAACUAAGGGAUAACCUCGGAUAUGCUACGAUCGAGUGCAACCCAACUCCGACAGAUUAGGUUGCAGUCGUCUCCUCCAAUCUUCAUCCCCAACAUUGAGCCUCCAUCACCUCGACGAUAACUCAGCCAUCUCCGACAAACUUGAGCAAUUUCUAGCAAAACCCACCCAUCUCUUGCCCAAACCAUUUCAUCACUGAUCAUAUUUCUCCUAUGAACUUCUUCAUCAUAAGUGAUCAUUUCAUCACUGAUUUCUCAACAUCUUGUGUUUUUGUUAGAUUGUAUGUGAGUUUUGAUUAUUAAAUUCUUUGACAAUAUUUGAGUAGUUUAUAGGUUAGGAUAAAGCUUGAAUUCACCGGAAAAUUUUCAUUUUUUCUAUAAAUAUUUGACAUACAAUAUUGGAUUUUUUUUUCAUUUUCUCUUUUACAUUUCCUGGGUUUUUGUAAUGUUUGAAAUCUGUGUGUGUCUGGGACUGCAAUUGGGUAUAUUCUUUGAAGGCCCAAUUUUGUCUUUUACAAAUUUACAACUGCUAUUAAAUUUCUAAUAUCCAUUUAAGCAAUUAACGGAGCGGAGAUGAUAAAAUUUGUUUAAAUUUAUAUUGAUUAUAAAUUUAUAUAGAUUAUGGUUAUUUAUAGUUUAUUAUUUGGAUUUAUAAUUGGGAUAUUUGUAGAAAUGUCACCUGAAAUUCUACCUUAGUUUCAAUUUGUUAACUGAAAAAAAAAUUUAAGAGAAAUGUCACUUGAAUUUUUCAAAAUCUAUCAUUUGUCACUUGACUUUAACAUCAUCCAAUUUUCCAUCUAUUUUGAAGGGUAAUUUAGUCUUUUUAUUUUCAAUGGUAUUUUAAAAAUAGAAAAUUCAUUAUAAAAAAAAUUAUAUAUCUUUUAAAUAAUUAAAAAGAAAAAGAAAAAAUUGUGAAAAAAAACUUCUCUCUUCUCCCUCUUUAUCUUCCACACCCACCGUCACUACUCUAUUUAAAUACAAUUUAAAAUAAAUAAAUAAAUAAUUUUUUUUAAAACAUAAAAAUCAAAAAUCAAAAAAAUGAAAGACACCACCUCCAAUCCUCCAAUCCCAACCGCCAGCCACCAUUGUUCUCUCUUCUCUUUCUCCCCAACAACAACCCACCACCCCAACUCUGAUCCAUCUCACCCCUUAUUAUAUAUCUCUCUCUUCCUCUCACAAGAACAAACCCUGCCCCACCAUCCCUAGUUGCUCACGCUAGAUUUUCCAACCCAUCUCCACCCCAAUCUCUGCCCAUUCGAGGGUCACCCCACUUCUCUGUCUCCAUCUCUCCCAUUUGGCCAUGCCCAUCCUUCCCACCUCUCCGUUGCUGGGUCCUUCCUUCCCCCAACAACCCCCUUCCUUUUUUCAAGUUUUUUUCCUUUCACUAAUUAUUUAUUUAUUUAUUUAUUUUUUGUCUGAUCAGUUUUUAAAAUUUGCCAAUAUGUUAAAAAUGGAAAACUUAGGUUUUUACAUUUAACCCCCUAUCCAUUUUUACAUUUAAGCUUUUUUUUUUAAAUAACAAUUUUUUUCAUUUUUAAAAUACCCUUGAAAAUGAAAAGACUAAAAUACACUUCAAAAUAGAUGGAAAAUUGGAUGAUGUUAGAGUCAGAUGACAAAUUUUAGAUUUUGAAAAAUUCAGGUGACAUUUCUCUUAAAUUUAUUUCUCAUGUGACAAAUUGAAACUAAGGUUUAAGUUCAGGUGACAUUUCUACAAAUAUCUCUUUAUAAUUUUUAUGAUUUUUAUUUUAUGAGAAUUUGACUUUUUAUCUCCAGGUAUUGGAAAAUUACUGUUUUUAUUUAUUUUAUUACAAAAUUGUUAUUUUUUAUGUAGAAAAGUUCAAAAUUAAAAUGGCAUGUUUAACUUAAUCCAGUUUGACACCAAACAUAGGAUUUGAUUGGUGUUAUCCACUCCAAUCCAAUGCAAUUCAAUCCUACUUCACAAUCCAAUUCAAUUCCGGUCCCCAAACAGACUAAAAGAUUCAAAAGAACUACACAAUUAAACCUUAUUAAUUCCCUUCAAGUAGUGCUUGAACCUUACUUGAAUCUCUUAAUUAGUACCAAUGUUUACAAAGAGGGAUUCAAUUAAUCUGUAAAUAGACAUCAGUUGAAUCCAAAGUCAAAUUCAAAAGAUAUUUAACCCCAAUUUAUAGACCUUAACUAUGUACAAAUGGUUCAGCCCUAAGGAAAGAGAGAAAAUCCUAAGGAACCCCUUGGGGUCAGUGGCCUCCCUCCCUCCCCUCUCCACUAGUUCUUCCCUACUCUCCUAUCCUCCCCUCCUCUCCCCUCUCCUCUCAUCUCCUUACCUCCCUAUUCCCCUCGAUACUUCUUUGUUUUUUUUUUUUUUUUUUUUUUGUGGUGUGAAAUCAACUGUUGUGAAACGAUGUAGUCGUUAUGAUAGUUGUCAUCUUUCAACCCACGUACAUGAGAAUUUGGCUCCAUUUGUCAUCCUUCAACAUGGUUUGGAGCCACAAGAUGGGAAAAAUGUCGGGCUGCAUCGCGUUUGGGUUUAACCGGUGAAGCUGUGGCUCUCUAUCAGCUGUCGAGGAUGUGGAGCGAUGGCCUUGCUUCUUAAUUUGUUUUUGUCUAAUAAUUUCCAUGUUUCCAUGAACUGUAUAGCAAUUUGGUGUGUGUGUGUGUUUAUUUAUUUAUGUUUAGGAGGUUUUAUUUCUUUUUAGCUUUUACGGAUCUCUCAUUUUUGCUGAUGCGCAGCGAAUUUGUAUUAGAGGUUCGAGUAGGUGUGCUUUUGGUUGCUGAGUCAGGGAUUAUAGUAAUUUUUUGGAGAAGAUUCGUGUUGUUGUUGCAUUUAGUCACUGGAGAAGAUUUACCAAUAUUCAGAACCAUAAUUGCUUUGUACUUUUUUCAUAAAAAAAUUAUUAUCGAAUAUUCAGAAGGCAUUUAAUUCCCUUUUUCUUGAACCGUUCGUCAUCUAUGUUGCACGGGUAUGUUGAUAUGAUACGAUAAGAUUCACCGAUAAGGCAAAAUUCCAAAAAACUAGGAUAGGGGUACAGCAUCGAUACGGCGAUUAAAAUAAUAUAUAUUUAAAAAUAAUAUAAAUAGAAAAAAUUAAUAUUACAUCCAUCAUGUCAUAAUCAUCCAUCAUAAGUGCAAAACAUAAAACUAAACACAAAAUACAAGUCUCCAUAAACAAAACACAAAAUACAAGUCUUCAUAGGAUUGUUCAAAUCAUAAAAAAUAUAUAUAUAAAAAGCAAUACAAAAACAAAAUUUCUAACUUCAUUCAUCAUUGUCAUCACAGGUAAAUAUGAUUGCUUCUAAUUCCUUCUUCCUAUUUCUUCUUCUUUUAUAGUUAUUCUCUCCCAAAUAAAAUGAAGACCUAGCUUCUAUCAAGAAGAAGAGGCUGAGUGUUUACAAAUUGAGUUUUUAAAAUUAACAUUAUCAGAAGACAAUAGGAGUAUAUAUCGACAUAUCGGAUACGAGUAUCAGAGUAUCAGAUACGAGCACACCCCUCUAGCUAAGAAUAUCGGUGCAACAUAGUUGGUCAUUAAGGUCUACAAGAAUCGAUUAAAUGUCUUUCCAACGAUCAAGUUUUUUCUUGUUUUUGGAAAUACUUAAUAGUGUUGUUUUUACAGCCAAGUUAUUUUAGUUAUGUGAGACAAAUUGUAUGGAAAAGUGAGAAGUAGAGAAAGACAAUAGAAAUUGUUCUUAAAAGUAUCUUUUGUGCUUCAUAAAGCACCUGUACUGCUAAUUACCAUAAUAAGUGUAUAGGUUACAAAACAUAGAAAUUGUGGAGAUUAUAAACUUCUGUAAAAGAAAACGACACGAUUUUAAUUAGCGUGUUUAUGUGUUUUUUUUUCUUUAAAGAAACUAUUUUCUAACCUUAAAAAGAUCCAAAUAUACCACUAGAAGUAGGUUUUUUGGGGGAUAGAUGCUUUAUUAAAAAUAGAGUAAUGCUACACUUACCACAUUUUUAUCCCACAUUUCUAUACCACGUGAUGUGGCAUACCCAUAUUAUAUGCCACAUGAAUUAAAUCAAUAAAAUGUAUUUUAAUUAAGACAAUUAGAAAAACAAAUACUAGAAUAAAUUAUAAAAGAACAGAAAAUAUUAAAUAAUUUCAAUUGAUGCGGCUGUGUACCUUAGUUGUCACAUAAGAUGGUAUAAAGAUGUGAUAUACAAAUGUGGUAAGAGUAGCAAUAUUCUUAAAGAUAAUAAGCACCAUAAAAGUUUACAAAAGAUAGCACUGAAAAGUUUAUAAAAUAAGAGAAAGCCAAAUUCACGAGUUCCUCAAGAGUACAUUUUACGAAUUAAAGACAAAGGAAGUUUUGCAAAUGAUCAAUACACCAGUAGAUUAGUUAAAUAUAAGGUGCUUACAAAACAAAAAAAUCAGGGCAAUCAUCAAGCUCAGUAGACCUUCCAAAUUCACCAUGUCUCUGUCAAGGCAGUGAUGAAAAUAAUCAAAAUUUCAGUUAUUGGAACUUCCGUAGGCUGACACUUGAUGAUUUACAUCACUCUAAUUGCUUCAAUAGGGUCCCUGAAAUACAUAGUUGAUCAAUUAAUUUGCUUCUUGCAAUCAUUUCUCAAUUCGGGAAUUAAAUUUUUUGAGAAACUAAAGCAUGCAAAUUAAACAAAACAACAAACCACGUGUAAAUUAAUUUAGGGAGAUUCACUAAAUUAGGCAGAUCAAAGCACCUUUCAUACUCAUUUGAAAAAUCCUCUUCAUAGAAAAAUCAUGAUAUCAUAAAUGCGAACAAUUACUUACAGAUUUAGCGAGUGACCAUUGUUGGAAGAUUUUCAAGGAAACAAAUAUGAUCAUUGUUGGAAUUCAUAAAUAAGUAGGUAAAUAGGAAAUGCGGAUGUUUGGGAUCUUAGCAGAAAUCUUGGCCCACUCUCCAUUGCCUUCUGCGGAUGUUUGGGAGCAAGAGAAAAGCUUUGCAGAUACAAAAGAAAAGCUUUGCACUGCGCCGGUUCUAGCCCUUCCAAACUUUGAGAAAGUUUUCGAAGUUGAAUGUGAUGCCAGCGGUGUGGGAGUCGGAGCUGUGCUUUCAUAAGACAAGCGGCCAGUUGCGUUCUUCUCUGAAAAAUUGAGCGAUGCACGUCAAAAGUGGAGUACUUAUGACCAAGAGUUCUAUGCGGUUGUUCGAGCUUUGAAGCAAUGGGAGCACUAUCUUAUCCAGAAGGAAUUUGUUCUGUUUACAGAUCAUCAAGCGUUGAAGUAUAUUACCAGCCAGAAAAAUAUUGAUAAGAUGCAUGCUAGAUGGGUGACUUUUUUGUAGAAAUUUUCGUUCGUUAUCAAGCAUAAUUCCGGCAAGACAAAUCGUGUGGCGGAUGCGCUGAGUCGAAGAGCUUCAUUGUUAGUCACGCUGACUCAAGAAGUUGUGGGGUUUGAAUGUCUGAAGGAAUUAUAUGAAGGUGAUGAUGAUUUCCGGGAAAUUUGGACUAAGUGCACCAAUCAAGAGCCGAUGGCAGAUUACUUCCUUAAUGAAGGUUAUUUGUUCAAAGGCAACCAGUUAUGUAUUCCAGUUUCCUCUUUAAGGGAGAAGCUCAUUCGGGACUUGCAUGGUGGAGGGUUGAGUGGCCACCUAGGCUGUGAUAAAACAAUUGCAGGGAUGGAGGAGACAUUUUACUGGCCACAGCUCAAACGAGAUGUUGGAACUAUUGUGCGCAAGUGCUACACUUGUCAAACUUCGAAGGGGCAGGUACAAAACACUGGAUUAUAUGUGCCAUUACCAGUUCCUAACGAUAUUUGGCAGGAUCUUGCUAUGGAUUUUGUCCUCGGAUUGCCCCGAACACAAAGGGGAGUGGACUCUGUAUUUGUGGUGGUUGAUCGGUUCUCAAAAAUGGCGCAUUUCAUAGCCUGCAAAAAGACUGAUGAUGCAUCAAAUAUAGCCAAACUGUUUUUCAGGGAGGUUGUUCGCUUGCAUGGGAUUCCUACAUCCAUUACAUCCGAUCGUGACACCAAGUUCUUGAGCCAUUUUUGGAUCACCUUGUGGAGGCUGUUUGGGACUAUUUUGAAUCGUAGCAGCACUGCCCAUCCCCAGACCGAUGGCCAGACUGAGGUUACAAACCGGACAUUGGGCAAUAUGGUACGCAGCGUCUGUGGAGAGAAGCCAAAAUAAUGGGAUUAUGCACUACCGCAGGUGGAGUUUGCAUAUAACAGUGCAGUCCAUAGUGCCACUGGGAAGUCUCCAUUUUCCAUUGUUUAUACUGCUAUACCUAAUCAUGUUGUAGAUUUGGUGAAACUGCCUAGAGGCCAGCAAACCAGUGUGGCAGCGAAAAAUUUGGCAGAGGAAGUAGUUGCCGUUCGAGAUGAAGUCAAGCAGAAACUUGAGCAAACUAAUGCUAAGUACAAAGCUUCUGCAGAUAGGCAUAGGCGAGUUAAAGUGUUUCGGGAAGGCGAUUCUGUGAUGAUAUUUCUGAGGAAGGAGAGGUUUCCAGUUGACACAUAUAGCAAGCUUAAACCAAAAAAAUAUGGUCCUUACAAAGUGCUCAAACGGAUCAAUGAUAAUGCCUAUGUUAUUGAGUUACCAGAUUCCAUGGGAAUUCCCAAUAUUUUUAAUGUUGCAGAUUUAUAUGAGUUCCGUGAAGAUGAGGUCCUUUAUCCAGAUCAUAACUCGGGGUCGAGUUCUUCAGCGGUGGAGGGGACUGAUGUAGAACAGAUGGCAGAUUUUAUCGCGGUUGAGCUAGAAAAAGGACGUAGCGGGAAUUUGCAGAUUUAUCUUCCGAGCUCCGAUUAGGACGCAAAAUACCAUUUCGGAAAGGGAACGACGCCACGAGUCAAACUCACAGCUUUGCUGUGAUGUAUGAUGGAUUUUGGCAUUCUGAGGUCGUUUGGCCUUCCAAAACUGCUUUCAAAGUUCGUAGUUAAUUAUCCGAAUAAAUUCUGUUUUCAGUUUCGGAGUUACGUAGUUAAGCCUCCGAAUUAAUUCUGUUUUUUCAGUUUUAAUGUAAUAACUCCCCUGGCAGUUCAAGGGUUGAGAAUUGUGUAUUUAGACAGGUUUGUCUGUCAUUUUUCAUUAUCUCAUAUUUUAAUACAAUUAUCCCAAGAGAAUUCCUCUUAAUUUCUGGUGGAAUCUAGAUAUCUUGUUACUUAAAGUUUCGCUUGAAACCUUUGUUGCUUGUGCUGCGUCACUAUUGCUCGUUUUCUUUCUCUCCAUUAGUCAACGUCUACUGGCCUGGUAAUUAUUGAUUAAAUAGUGCAUUAAUUCCUUGUAAUUAUAAAAUAGUGGCUUUAAGUUCUUUCGUUAUCUUCUUUGGAUUUAACAGUGGCUAAACUCAAAACCACCGUUACACUAGAAUCAAUAGGAUCAGAAUCUUUCCAAAUCACCGUUACACUAGAAUCAAUAGGAUCGAAUAUAUAUAUAUAUAUAUAUUCUUUAAAGAAUUAAUAGGAUCAAAUUGUUGAGAUUCAAUUACAAGAUCCCCUGAAAAGGUGGAAGAAGAAACAAAAAGUCCUCCCUUAGGUUACUUGAAUUAAAACUGGCUUCUUAAUUAUUCAAAAGUAUCUGUGGAUGAAUCAAUGCAGACUACUUAGACUUCACAUUUCAUGCCUUAAGACUUCGUGCAUAGUGAUCACAUAUUUUCUAUUCGCAAACUAUCUUUUAGAGUAAAGUCUACUAGGUUGGAAUAUUAUUAUUUUAAUUGGGUUGCAAAGUUAUAAUAUUAACGAUGAUGACCUACAAAUAGAUUUAUUUUAUAUGUUGUCCCAUUUUUAAAUACUAUUUUGUCCUAUGUAUAUGGAUCACAAUCUUUAUCAAUAUGUAUAGUUCGGGUUAGGAAACGACAAAAAGUUGAUAUGACUAGGAGCUUAAAGAAUUAAUGAAGCGUGGAUGCAUUAACAAGGGUGGACGGACGUUGUGUUUCAUUUUUAGUUUUUCUAAUAACAUCUUACGGAAAUCAUAGUCUAAAUUACUUUAAGUUAUUCUAACAUAGGAAAAGGUUAAUGGGUCUAGCCUAGUGGAAAAAAGUAUUAACUUACAGAUAAGUGGUCUCAGAUUCAAACCCGCAUAACACCUUGAUAGUGUGUGUGUGAAAAACUCCCUCUCUUUUGUAGUUUACAUUAGCGCUUAUAUUGCAAAAUUAUAUAUAUAUAUAUAUACACACAAAAGAGAGUAUUAAUUAGUUAUUAUUGUUUGUUAAUUCAUGAAAAUGAAAUGGUGAUGAUGAAUAGGUAGGACCAAGGGUGAAGAAGGACAGGGAGAGAUUUCCACCAAACAACGUACUUCUGGUUUUAGCAGGAGCUGGGUUGCUGUGGAUGGGGUGGGCAGGUUUCAACGGGGGAUCCGUACGCGGCAAACACGGACUCAUCCAUGGCCGUCCUCAACACCAACAUCUGCGCCGCCACGAGCUUCUUGGUUUGGACUUGGCUCGAUGUCAUCUUCUUUGAGAAGCCUUCCGUCAUUGGAGCUGUCCAAGGAAUGAUCACUGGCCUCGUCUGCAUUACUCCUGCUGCAGGUACGUAUUACGUAAGUUCUCAAGUUGACUUUUUUCCAGAGUUAAGCAAAGUUGAAUUAUAUGCCUGUGGGUUUAAUCUAGUGAAAAAAGAACUUGAUUUGCAAAACAAUGAGAGUAUAUGUGAGAAAACUCCCCGCUUUUCAAACUUUGACCCAAAAAAAAACAAAGCAAAGUUGACUUAUAUUUAUCAUCCCAAUUAAUAAAAACAAAAUUAAUAUACUUACUUACUCAUCACAAAACGCAGUGCCUUCCUUUAAUUAAUCCAGAAAAAUUAAGUUUAUUUGACUUUUGACUACUUAUAUUUACGUUCUCUCACAGAACACGUUCUAGUUCUAUUUGGUAUCCUACUUGGAUCCAAUUUUAUAAACUCAAAAACAAAUUUGAAGUUUAAAACCACAAAAACCCGUUUGAAAUGCCCCUUUUUAAAAACUCAAACUCAAGAAAAAUUCAAAAGCACCCCUUUAGUAAAAACAAAAAAAAUGAGGUUUUAUAGUUUUUUUCUCUCUCCUCCCUCUCUCUCCUUCCUCUCCCGUCACUCCUUCUCUCUCCUCCCUCUCCUUGUCUCUUUCUCUCUCCUUCCACUCCUCUCUCUCUCUCUCUCUCUCUCUCUCUCUCUCCCCCCUUUUAUUUUGGAGGUUUCAAUUUGGGAAUUUAGGGUUUCUGAUUUUAAUUUCAAUUUUUUUAGAUCUAAAAAAUAGUUUGGAGUUCAAUACCAAAAAAGUUUUUAAAUCUUAAAAUCACCAUUUGAAAACUCAUAUUUUAAAAAAGAAUCAUAGUUUUUGAAUUUUUUUAUUUUUUUUGAGUAGAAUACCAAAUAAAGCCAAUUUCCGAAAAAAAUUCUCAUAUGGUUCUCUAACGUUUUCUCUAAAUAUAUUUGCAUCUCUUUUUCUUUUUUUCUAUAUAUUAUUUAGCCAGUUUUUAACAGGAGUGGUGACUCAUCAUGGCAUGUUGUGUUGACCAUGCACAAUCAUUUAAUUAACCAUAUUAACUAGCUAGCUUUUAUUUUAGUUUUGUUUGUUCAUAGACUGAUACAAUAUUAUUGUUUAAAUAUGUAAAUUAUUUUGGUUCAAGGAUGGGCCGCUAUAGUGAUGGGAGUUAUGUCAGGCAGUGUGCCCUGGUUCACCAUGAUGAUAAUGGACAAGAGGUGGAAACUGCUAUCCGCAGUUGACGACACCCUUGGUGUAGUUCACACCCACGCCGUGGCCGGGUUUCUUGGUGGCGUUUUAACGGGGCUUUUCGCUGAGCCUGAACUAUGUGCACUCUUUUUGCCCGUCACAAACUCACGCGGAGGCGUGUACGGAGGCUCAGGAGGAAUGCAAAUCCUCAAACAAAUUGUGGGAGCCCUAUUUAUCAUUAUUUGCCUAGUCUUACGGUGUAUAGUUCCGUUGCGCAUGCCGGAGGAACAGUUGCUGAUUGGGGAUGACGCAGUGCAUGGAGAAGAGGCAUAUGCAUUGUGGGGUGAUGGGGAGAAGUAUGAUGUUACUAGGCAUGAGCUUUGCUCCGAUGAUACGUCACACGCUCAAAAAUAUCCAUCCAGUGGUGCCACUCAGGUGGUCUAACUCAAAGUUAUAUAUUAUUUAUGUUAAUAAUCUGUUCCAAAAAAAAAAAAGAAAAAAAAAAAGGCCAAAAAUGAAAAGAAGAAAAAACGAAGUACGAAAAAUAGGUGUUAUUGUCAAUUAUUAUCUUAUUUUCUGGUGAUCUUUUCAAUGUUUUAUGUAAACUGCCUAUUGCUUCCGGUAAUUAUUAUGCACUUUAUUCAGCAAAAUUUGGAACACCAAACCAUUUUUAACAUGUUUAAGAUUAUUAGCCCCUUUUUUUAAUUUACAAAAUAUAAUCACUAGAGCCCUCUCGAAUAGUGUUACCCUUAGUUGAACCCUAGCAUUAGAACUUGGAUCUUUAUUAGUAACUACAAAGGCUCCAUUUGGUGGAGAGAGACUUUCAUGCAACAUGAAUAACACUUUUUGUUAUCUUCGAUCAAUAGAGCAAUAACAUGCAGGAUAAUUCUUCCACGUGUCAUUGCAUUAUUGACCGAGAAUAGCUAAACAAUGAUAUCCUUGUUACAAGAAAUUUGUUUGUUGUAUUUGGUGGAUGGAUAAAAACACUGGAUUGGAUCCAUAAUCAUACUCCUAUGUUUAGUGGCCCAAGUCCACUUGGAUUGGAUUACUUCUAAAUUCUAUUCCUGUCAAACUCAAUUUUAGUAGGAUUAGGAAUCCCCCCAAAACUAGGGGUGGACAUUCAAAUUGGAAAACCGAAAAAUUGAGCCGACAAAAAACCGCAAUUUUGUACAGUUUUAGUUCUGAUUAUUGUAGUGAAAAAGCUUAACUGGGUCAAACCAGACCGACCACGUAUUUUUAAAAAAUUUAAUAAAUAUUUAACCCCAUUACUAAAUUUGUAAGGCUAUAACUAAUCUUUCUCUAAAUCACCUAUAUUUUUUAGGCCCAAUCACCUUCCUUUGCAUUAAAUUAGGUCACUUGUGAAUUUUUAAAAUUUAAAAAAAAAAAUUAAAAAACAAGGGUAUACUAGUGAUUUGCCCCUGAACUUGUACCUAAUUUUCGAUUAACCCUCUAUCUUUUUUUUUUCGAAAAUUAAGGAUAUGAACUUUUUUUUUUCCGCCAAUUUCCCCCCUAUCGUCUAAAUUCUCAACAUUUCAUCCAAUUUUCAGUUAAAUCAUUUAAAAAAAAUUACUUUUUUAGAAAAAAUUGAAGAAAAAGAGUAAACCUAAUGCCAACCCCUUCCAUCUCCUCCCUUCCUCCUCCCAUUCUCCCAUGACCACCAUCCUUUACUCCCAGACCAAUCCCCCACCCCCCCACACCCUUCAAUCCACAGACCCCUCCCUCCUCCUCUCCCUUUUUGUUCUUUCAACCACAGACUCAUCACCACCAUCCCCAACAGACCUUCCUCCCUUUCCGCCGUCGCCGCCUCCUUUCUCUCUCUCUCUCUCCCCACACACACACUCCCUCAAUUUCCCACCCCAUCUGUCAAUUUCAAUACCUCCACACUCGAAAAGCUCACAGUCGAUCCAAGCCUUUCAAUGCCUCCCAUCUCAAGCUUUUUCCAAAUUCACACAAAACCCAUCAACCAAAACAUCAAAAAAUUCAAUCUUAAACACUUGGAUUUGGAAAAAAGAUCAAAAUCAAAUAAAAUCUAAUAUAAUUUAAAUCCAUGCCAUCGGAUAGCAUUUGGGGUGGGAGGUUGUGGGGAAGAAGAAAAAACAUAAGGGAGGGUUGGGGUGGGGUGGAAGGGCCAUUGGAAGUCAUAUGGAGAGAGGGAGAGUAGAGGGGCAAGAAAAAAUAGAUGGAGAGGGUGGGGGUGAGGGAGAGAGUGAUUGGUUGGAUGUGCCUCUCUCUUAUUAAAAUAUGUUUUCUUUCAUUUUAGAUUUCAUAUUAUUGUAUUUGUGUAUUUAAUUAUUUUAACAUAUAAAAUGACCAUUUUGCCCUCAUAUUUAAUGGCAAAUUGGAUGAAAUGUUGCAGAUCUAGACGGCAGGGGGGGAAAUUGGCGAAAAAAAGAAGUUCAUAUCCUUAAUUUUCUAUAUAAAAAAAACAGGACAGGGGGUCAAUUGAAACCAAAGUACAAGUUCUGGGGGCAAAUCACUAGUAUACCCAAAAAACAAAAAUUUCAGUCCAAAACCAACUUAUGGGCAAAUCAGACCGCACUGGAAUGAAUAAUUUUUUUUUUUUUUUUAUCAAAAUCAAACCAAACCAGACCAAAUAAAUAGUGCUAGUUUCGGUUUGGGGUGAGAACCAAAUCGUGUUCACCCCUAACAAAAACUAAUAGAUAAACUCGGAUAUGCUACGAUCGAGUGCAACCCAACCCCGACAAAUUAGGUUGCAGUCGUCUCCUCCAAUCUUCAUCCCCAACAUUGAGCCUCCAUCACCUCGACGAUAACUCAGCCGUCUCCGACAAACUUGAGCAAUUUCCAGCAAAACCCACCCAUUUCUUGCCCAAACCAUUUCAUCAUUGAUCAUAUUUCUCCUAUGAACUUCUUCAUCAUAAGUGAUCAUUUCAUCACUGAGAUUCUCAACAUCUUGUGUUUUUGUUAGAUUGUAUGUGAGUUUUGAUUAUUAAAUUCUUUGACAAUAUUUGAGUAGUUUAUAGGUUAGGAUAAAGCUUGAAUUCACUGAAAAAAUUUCAUUUUUUCUAUAAAUAUUUGACAUACAAUAUUGGAUUUUUUUUCAUUUUCUGUUUUACAUUUCUUGGGUUUUUGUAAUGUUAGAAAUCUAUGUGUGUCUGGGACUGCAAUUGGGUAUAUUCUUUGAAGGCCCAAUUUUGUCUUUUAUAAAUUUACAACUGCUAUUAAAUUUCUAAUAUCCAUUUAAGCAAUUAACGGAGCAGAGAUGAUUAAAUUUGUUUAAAUUUAUAUUGAUUAUGAUUAUUUAUAAAUUUAUAUACAUUAUGGUUAUUUAUAGUUUAUUUUUUGGAUUUAUGAUUUUUAUUUUAUGAGAAUUUUACUUUUUAUCUCCAGGUAUUGGAAAAUUACUGUUUUUUUUAAUUUUAUUACAAAAUUGUUAUUUUUCAUGUAGACAAGUUCAAACUUAAAAUGGCAUGUUUAACUUAAUCUAGUUUGACACCAAACAUAGGAUUUGAUUGGUGUUAUCCACUCCAAUCCAAUGCAAUUCAAUCCUACUUCAUAAUCCAAUUCAAUUCCGAUCCCCAAACAGACCCCAAAAGUUCAAAAAAACUACACAGUUAAACCUUAUUAAUUCCCUUCAAGUAGUGCUUGAACCUUACUUGAAUCUCUUAAUUAGUACCAAUGUUUACAACGAGGGAUUCAAUUAAUGUGUAAAUAGACAUCAGUUGAAUUCUGUAGGGGCUUUUUUCUUCCGGCAGCUUAAACGGGCUGGGCUGCCGUAAAUGGCAGAUUGAUGAAAUUGUCCCCUUUGUCUGAGUUCGAAAAUCAAGCCCCAAAAGCGCUUCGAAAGGGCAGUAGAGCCUUAGGAAGCGUUCUGGUUACCUUCACCAACUAAAACAACAGCAACUUACAGAUGAUUUCUUGAUGCUUACAGAUAAAUUUUCUAGCUUCGCAUGAGAGGCUUGUGGCAUGGAAGCAAAAUCAGCAUGAGUUUAGCACCAAAGAGGAAAAUAUGGCUUUCUAGGGAGAAAGGGGAGUGUUAAGGUGAGGAAGAAGAGGUUUGCAAGCAGAUUUGGCUGAGAAGAGAGAAAGAAAGAACCACAUUCUUCCGGCAGCUUGACAGAAAUUCUGUCAGAUGUGAAAAUGGUCUGCCAGAAGAAGAAAAUGGAGAAGAGGGGUGAAUAGUGCACGAGAUUGCUGGGUUUUUGCAGGCAAGAGAGGAAGCUUGCUCUCUAGGUAUGUGUUCUUUAGCUAAUGAUGAAGUAGUGGGGUGCUAGGUAGUUUCCGGCAGCUCGACGAAAACUCUGUCAAGCUUUGGAAAAGUUUACCAAAAGGGAAAAUGGGAAGAGAUGGAAGGAUGAGCUCGAAAUUGCAGAUGUUUCAGAGGUGAGAGAUAAAGCUUGCUCUCCAGAUCUGAGUUGGAUUUUUAUUAGGUAGAAAAGGCCCCUUUUAUAGCUGCUGGAAGCCAUCUUUUCCAAGAAACCCUAAUGGUUUCUAUCUAAUUUGGCCAAGCUUUUUCCUUCCUUUCUCCUCCCCUUCUUUGACUUAUCUUAUUCUAGCAAAAUCUUCUCUGUUUAUUUGCACAAAAUCAGGAAUUUUGGGAGCUCAAGGCCCCCUUUUGCCGCAGCUGUUCCAGUGGGAGACUUCCAUUCCAAGCCAUCUCCUUCCUUUCUUUCUUUCUUUUUCCAUGGUCAGGUCUGACGGGGGAAGGAAUUGGGGUAUGUAUGAUGGUUCGAAAGGUGCUUCUAGCAGCUCGCAGGCUAAUAUUCAUUGGUUCCUUGAAUGUUUCUUGCUUGGAACUUGCUCCCCCCAUGUGCUGGAGCUUCCCAGCAGCUUUUCAGACUUUCCUUCGUGACUUUAUUCUUCAGCCAAGUGCUGGAGCUUUGCAACUCUUCUAUUGUAAUUGUAUGGGCCAAGUUGAUUUAUUGAGUAAGUGGGCUUUCUUUAUCAAAUAUUUGGGCUUUUUGGUUGAGUCAAUAGGCUAUUUUGGUUGGGUUAUUUUUCUUUGGAGUGAUGGGCUAUUCUUUUCUUUCUUGUGCUUACCCACAUGUUUGGGCCUAUGAAAUGGGCUUGAGUCCCGACACUACUACAUUUUACACUUUGUGCGACGAAGAGAAUUUCAUCGCGCAAAAUACAUUAUAGUCGCACAAAUUUCAGCGCGAUAGAAACUUCGUCGCGCAGAAUCCAUCGCGCAAAGGUUUGCGCGACGAAAAAUAUUUGUCGCGCAAAGUUUUGCACGACGAAACACAUUGGUCGAGCAAAGUUUUGCGCGACAAAAAACAUUGGUCGCGCAAAGUCUUAAAAAAAUUUAUAAAAAAUAAAAAAUUCCUGCGUCCUAUUUUUGGUACCCACCCAAAUUUUUAGAGUUUUGAGGGACGAAUACUAACGUCGCGCAAAUAUUUGCGCGACGAAAUAUUUUUUGUGUUUAAAAUUUUUUUAAUUAAAAUAAACUAAUUUAAUAGUUUGCGCUACGAAAUAUUUUGUCGCGCAAAGUUUUUGACUUUUUGUUUUAUUAUUUCUUUAAUAUUAAUUUAUUUGAAUUUUUACUUUUUAAAUUUAAUUUAAUUGUAUGAUUUUUUUAAAAUCACUUUAAUUUAAAUUGAUAUUAAUUUAAUUACAUUAAUUUUUUCAAAUUUUUACUUUUUAAAUUUAAUUUAAUUGUAGGAUUUUUUUUAAUUACUUUAAUUUAAAUUGACAUAUUCAAAAUAAAAUUACAUAUGAAAAAUAGUGAUCAAAUUAUCCAAUAAAUAUAUAUAUAAUAUUCAAAAUGUACACAUAAAUUAACAAAGUACAAUAAUAAAAUCCUAAUACAAGCGUAUUGUGGUGGUAGUGGCGGAUGAUAUGUUUUGAUAGCUUCCUAAUCCUCAACUUUAGCCAUCAAAGUCUUGAUGAUUACCUACAAAAAAACAAAUAACAACAACAACAACAAAAAAAAGAAGGCAUAAUCUCCCCUAAAAUUGUUAUACCACAAAUCCAACCCAAACUCCAAUAUCUCCCCUUUACUCAACACCAAACCCCACACAAACUCAAAACUAACUCCAAAAACACAUAUUAAUGAAAAAAAUUUAAAAUUUGGAGAGAAUAUACCUUUUGGAAAGAUUGAGAGUGAGUGAGAAUGAGAGGGAGAAGUGAGUGUGAGAGAAUUAGAUAAGAUAGUGAUAGAGAGAUGAGAGAGUGAGAGAUAGUGAAAAGAUAGAUGAGAGAGUGAGUGAGAGUGAGAGAUAGUGAAGAGAGAGAUGAGAGAUUAAGUGAGAGGAGUGAGUGUGAGAGAAAGGGUGGGAUUUGGGGAGAGGGAAAGAGAGAGGAGAGGUAAGAGUAGAGAAAGACAUUGAGAAAAUGGUGGAGGAGUUAUUUCGGUUUUAAAAAUCGUAUCACUUUGCGCGACAAAAAAUAUUGGAAUAUUGGUCGCCCAAACUUUUGCGCGACGAAACAUAUUGGUCGCGCAAAGUCUAAAAAAAAUUUUUUUUUUUUUUUAAAAAAUUUCCCGCAUCCCAUUUUUGGUACCAGCCAAAAUUUUUAAAUUUUUGCACGACGAAAAAUACAUAUUGGUCGCGCAAAGUCUAAACAAAUUCCCGCGUCCCAUUUUUGGUACCCGCCCAAAUUUUUGCGCGACGAAAAAUAUAUAUUGGUCGGGCAAAGUCUAAAGUUUUUUUUUUAUUUUAAAAACCCGCAUCCCAUUUUUGGUACUCGCCCAAAUUUUUUGAGUUUUGCACGACGAACUGUUGGUCGCGCAAACUUUUGAGAGAUGAAAAAUUGGUUCGUAGCACAAUAUUUAUAAAAAUAAUUGUUAUGAAUAAUAAAAAAUAAAAAAAUUUUAUUUUAUGAUUUAAAAUAUAAUUAAGGUGAAAGCUACUUAAUAAAUAUAUAUACUAUUCAAUUUCUUAAGUGUUAUACGUACAAAAUAAAUAAAUUUAAAGCUACUUAAUAAAUAUAUAUAUACACACACCAUUCAACGAUCCAACCAUAAGACUUUUUUGUAUAUACUUCAAGAUCGUAUACCCCAAAAAUCGCAAAAAAUAAACAUUCAGAGAUCUAGUAACGGGACAAAACUUUUAUAUGGUUAUAAAUGAAAAAUCACGAUUUAACGGUUAUUUUAACUCCGAUUUUGAUGAUUUUUUUACAGCUACACUUGUUGACCCUAUAUGAAUACAAUGACUGAAUUUGAUCUUCAAUUUAAAAUAUUUACACUAGUGGAUACCACAAAAUCUUAUGUUAUAUUUAAAGAAAGUAUAAAUAAACUCUUAAUUGUUAGUGAAUAUAUUAUUUUGAUGGCAUAUGCAUUCUACGAAACUAGUUUCAACGAUCCAACCGUCAAACUUGUUUGUUUAUACUUCGAGAUCAUAUACGCCAAAAAUCAGAAAAAAGAAACAUUCAGAGAUCAAGUAACGGGACAAAACUUUUCGACGGUUAUAAAUGAAAAAUCAUGAUUUAACGGUUAUUUUAACUCCGAUUUUGAUGAUUUUUUACAGCUACACUCCUUGACCCUAUAUGAAUACAAUGACUGAAUGUGAUCUUCAAUUUAAAAUAUUUACACUAGUGGAUACCACAAAAUCUUAUGUUAUAUUUAACGAAAGUAUAAAUAAACUCUUAAUUGUUAGUGAAUAUAUUGUUUUGAUGGCAUACGCAUUCUACGAAACUAGUUUCAACGAUCCAACCGUCAAACUUGUUUGUUUAUACUUCGAGAUCAUAUACGCCAAAAAUCGGAAAAAAUAAACAUUCAGAGAUCAAGUAACGGGACAAAACUUUUCGACGAUUAUAAAUGAAAAAUCAUGAUUUAACGGUUAUUUUAACUCCGAUUUUGAUGAUUUUUUACAGCUACACUCCUUGACCCUAUAUGAAUACAAUGACUGAAUUUGAUCUUCAAUUUAAAAUAUUUACACUAGUGGAUACCACAAAAUCUUAUGUUAUAUUUAACGAAAGUAUAAAUAAACUCUUAAUUGUUAGUGAAUAUAUUGUUUUGAUGGCAUAUGCAUUCUACGAAACUAGUUUCAACGAUCCAACCGUCAAACUUGUUUGUUUAUACUUCGAGAUCAUAUACGCCAAAAAUCGAAAAAAAUAAACAUUCAGAGAUCAAGUAACGGGACAAAACUUUUCGACGGUUAUAAAGCAAAAAUCAUGAUUUAAUGUUUAUUUUAACUCCGAUUUUGAUGAUUUUUUACAGCUACACUCCUUGACCCUAUAUGAAUACAAUGACUGAAUUUAAUCUUCAAUUUAAAAUAUUUACACUAGUGGAUACCACAAAAUCUUAUGUUAUAUUUAACGAAAGUAUAAAUAAACUCUUAAUUGUUAGUGAAUAUAUUGUUUUGAUGACAUAUGCAUUCAACAAAACUAGUUUCAACGAUCCAAUUGUCAAACUUGUUUGUUUAUACUUCGAGAUCAUAUACGCCAAAAAUCGGAAAAAAUAAACAUUCAGAGAUCAAGUAAUGGGACAAAACUUUUCGACGGUAAUAAUGAAAAAUCAUGAUUUAACGGUUAUUUUAACUCCGAUUUUGAUAAUUUUUUACAGCUACACUCCUUGACCCUAUAUGAAUACAAUGAACUAAUUCGAUCGUCAAUUUAAAAUAUAUAUUUUCUAACAAAAACCCAAUCUGAACAACAAUAAUAUAUUUUUCUAACAAAAAUCCGAUCCGAUCUAAAAUAAUAAAUUUAAAGCUACUUAAUAAAUAUAUAUACUGUUUUAUUUCUUAAGUGUUAUGCAUACAAAAUAAAAAACAAAAAUAAAUUAGUUUAGGCGACGAAAUGUUUGGAUUACGUCAUACAAAGAUUUUAAAAAUAAUUUUUUAUUUUUAUUUAUUUUUAUAAGGACUUUGCGCAACGAAGUUUACUGUUUCGUCGCGCAAAGUCACUUUGAGUGACGAAUUAUUUUUCGUCGCGCAAGACUUUGAGCGACAAUGUAUUGUCGUCGCGCAAAAGUUUGUCGCGCGAAGUGACUUUGCGCGACGAAUUAUUUUUCGUUGCGCAAAAUUUGGUCGUACAAGACUUUGAGCGACGAAGUUUCGAGUUUCGUCGCGCAAAGUGACUUUGAGCGACGAAUUGUUUUUCGUCGCGCAAAAUUUGGUCGCGCAAGAGGUUUUUUUUAACUAGUGCGAGGCUCCCAAGCAACCCGGGACUUCCAUUUCUUGGCCCAUCAAUGGGCCUCAUGAUAAUUUAUUACCAUCCAUACCACAACCCACUCAAGCAAGCCCCGGGCAUCUUGCGUGGCUUGAGCCCACUUAAGCUUGUAGCGUGGCAUAUUGCUUAUUUGCUUGGCGUGGCAUGUGUGCAAAGUGUACAUGACGAACUUUCGAGUGCCCAAAUUGGGUUUCUUCUUGAUAAGGUAUCGCAUUGGGCCGAUAAUUUAUUUGGACCUAAGCGUGGAUUUUUUGGGCCUCAACAAAUCCAAAGUCAAAUUCAAAAGAUAUUUAACCCCAAUUUAUAGACCUUGACUAUGUAUGUAAUAACCCAAAACAAAAAUUCUUAUUUAAUUAGUAAUUUAUUUGGAGAAAAGACAAUUUUGCCCUCGGAAUAUUUUAUUAAGAAAAAGGUGACUUUUUAAUCGAGAAGGAAUUUGGCAAUUCCGCUUACGCAGUUGCGUAGAGCACGACGAAACGAGUCCGUAGACACAGAGUGGACUCGAAUCGAAGUUGUAACGAAGAAAAUACGGUCAAAAUACCGCGAAGGGUAAAACGGUAAUUUGAAAAAAGUCAGUUUUUAUCUCUUCUCUCUCUCUCUUCUCCUCAGCUUUUUCUCUCCUCUCUCUCUCUCUCCUCCCGCGCGACCAGCCGCGCGCCUCCUUCCCUUCCAGCUCGUCCCGCCGCCACCACAGGCCGGCUCGAUCUCCGGCGUGGGUACCAACGGAACCACCUCAGCCCCGCCGUCCUUCCCCGACCCGUCGCCUCCCUUGGGCCGCCCAGAACUGGCCGGAAAAUCGUGAUUUCUGACCGGUUUUCACCCGAACUUCUCUCCUUUCGUUCUCCUUCGUUUCUCAACCAAAUCGUUCGAGUAAGGUAUGGAUUCUCACCUAUUUUUCGUGCUCUAACUGAUGGUUGGCUGGGUUUGAUCGAUUUUGGCUGUAGAACACUCGAUUUUCGAAUUGAAAAUUGGCCGAACUUCGGCCGCCGUGAUCGGCCAUUUCCGGCCACUUUUUGGGGUAUGUCCAAGAACAAAAGUGACUCCAAAUGGGGUGUUUUACCUAGGAUAGGAGUUUGGAGUCUUCGUUUUGAGUUUUUCCGGCGAGCCGCUAUCGCUUUGGACACCCAAGCUGCCGGCGCGUGUGGCAGCGCAUGGGUGAGGGUAGUGAAGUGACUCUGUCUAGUUUUGCGAUUCUCGUGUUGUCACGAGUGCGUAGGAUUUCGCGGAUCUCAAUUUGGAGUCCGUUUGAGCCCCGAACGAAUUUUCCAUAUUGCCCGAUUCCUGGGUGUAGUGUCGUCGAACCGUUGGAUCGCGCUCAAUUUUGGAUAUGUUGUUCCAGAUAAUUUCAUAAUCGUGUAGGAUUAAAACGGAUUGUGAAUCGGAGUCCCGGAUACUCCGAAAUCGUGAACCCUGGGGCUAGGGUUUGGAAAUUUUAUGAUUUCACGAUCGUGGUCAAUCCGAUCGUUAGUUUCAGACCAAACUUGCAGGACAUGGUUCCUGAAAUGUGAGGAACUUAAAGGAACUCUCAGAUUAGUCAUUGGAGGUCGUGGACCCCACGGGGUUUCGUAUUGACCAAUAUGAAAGUUUAUCGCUUAGUGAAGUCUUGAGUCCUUUCAGACGAUUUUUAAACAUCUGAAAUGCCUAAGUGGGCAGAAACAUGACUUUAAAGUUAGUGCACGUACUUCUAAAAGUCGGGGGUCAGAGUUUUACUUAUAAAACUUUUACCGAGCAGUUUUAUUAAUUAAUUAUUCAUAAUGGUUUACCCAGGCACCCGGGACCAGUCAGGCCCGCAAGAGAGACCUUCAGGAGGUCUAGCUAGCUCGGACCAGGAGUGAGUGGACUUUUCUUUUCUAAAUGAUAUUUAUAAUUAAAUUUUAUAUUUGAUCUUGAAUAAGUGUUAUUACAUAUUUUCUGAGCAUGAACUGCAUCGUGAAAUAUCUUUAUUUUUAUAAUACUUAGUUGAGCAGCAGACUUGAGAUCUUUGAUACAUAAAUAGUAACUUAGCUCAGAUUUAUCAGAUUUCGAAGAAUUAUCAGAUUUUUCUAAAUUAGAACCACCAUGUACCCGCUUGUUUUUAGUGAUUACCCUCAGACAGACCGAUGUCUACGGACAUCCAGUCUGUUUACAGUUCUGUCAGUGCACUUGACAUUGCCUCAUGAGUUUCGAGGACGCUCGUACCGUGAGUGCCAGGAUUUGCGGCUCGGCUGACUCUGUGUCCCCGAGACCUGCCAGGAUUUGCGGCUCGGAUUGACUUGGUGUCCCGAGACCUGCCAGGAUUUGCGGCUCGAGUUGACUUGGUGUCCCGAGACCUGCCAGGAUUUGCGGCUCGAGUUGACUUUGUGUCAUCGAAACCUGCCAGGAUUGCGGAUCAGGCUGAUUAUGGUCCCCUGAAUCCUGCCAGCGGAUCAGGCUGACUAUAGUCCCCUGAAUCCUGCCAGUUUGCGGCUCGGAUAGACUUUGUGUCGCCGAGACCUGCCAGGGGAAUUGACGGAAUUACAGGGGUACAUCCGAGUGGUAGUUUUAUAUAAUUGCAGUGCCUUUAUGCAAGGUUUGAGUACACUACUUUUGUGCAAGUUUGAUUUCAGUGUUUUUAUGCAGGCUUUGAUUUCAGUGCUUUUAUGCGAAUGUUGAUUAUAGUGAUUUUAUGCGAGUUUUCUCGUUAUUGAGCAUGUUUUACAUCUGCGUAUAUAUAUAUAUAUAUAUUUAUGUGAAUACGUUGUAUUUGAAUAUAGUCGAACAUUCAGAUUUUAUAUCUAUUUUUCUAUAGUGGGGGUUAUUAUGUUCACAUAUUGUUUUCUGGAACCCUAUUUUUGUCCACUCACAUUUUCAAAUGUUUUGCGCUCCCAGGAUGUAGCGUGCACAGGAAAUCCAUCACCGGGCCAUCUUGCCUUCCGCACUUCUUGUUACAAAAGUGUGGGUUUGUAAAAAGAUUAACUUAUCUGUAAGCUAUUAGACUUGCUCUGAUAUAUUGCCCUAGAGUGAGAAUAGACCUCAUGGCUCGUAUAUUGAAGUUCUGGCAGUUGGUGUGAAGUUUGUUGGCUUGUUUAACAGGUGGAAGUUUUUGGGUUUGGACAAAUUAUAGGGGAGACUCUGCCGAAUUUUCGGCAGGGGUAGAAGGAAAGUUUUAAACGUCUUUGUAACAGGAAGGGUAAAAAGGUCAUUUGUGCCCGACAUUCGCCAGGUGUCGGACACGCACAGGGUCCGGCCCGAAUUCCAAAGUGGAAUUAGGAUCGGGUCCUGUCAAUGUACAAAUGGUUCAGCCCUAAGGAAAGAGAGAAAAUCCUAAGGAACCCCUUGGGGUCAGUGGCCUCCCUCCCUCCCCUCUCCACUAGUUCUUCCCCUCUACUCUCCUAUCCUCCCCUCCCCUCCCCUCUCCUCUUAUCUCCUUACCUCCCUAUUCCCUUCGAUACUUCUUUGUUAUUAUUUUUUUUGUGGUGUGAAAUCAACCGUUGUGAAACGAUGUAGUCGUCAUAAUAGUUGUCAUCUUUCAACCUACGUACAUGAGAAUUUGGCUCCAUUUUUCAUCCUUCGACAUGGUUUGGAGCCACAAUAUGGGAAAAAUGUCGAGCUGCAUCGCGUUUGGGUUUAACCGGUGACGCUAUGGCUCUCUUCUGGCUGUCGAGGAUGUGGAGCGGUGGCCUUGCUUCUUAAUUUGUUUUUGUCUAAUAAUUUCCAUGUUUCCAUGAACUGUAUAGCAGUUUGAUGUGUGUGUGUGUUUAUUUAUUUAUGUUUAGGAGGUUUUAUUUCUUUUUAGCUUUUACAGAUCUGGCAUUUUUGCUGAUGCGCAACGAAUUUGUAUUACAGGUUCGAGUAGGUGUGCUUUUGGUUGCUGAGUCGAGGAUUAUAGUAAUUUUGUGGAGAAGAUUCGUGUUGUUGCGUUUAGUCACUAGAGAAGAUUUACCAAUAUUCAGAACCAUAAUUGCUUUGUACUUUUUUCAUAAAAAAAUUAUUAUCGAAUAUUCAGAAGGCAUUUAAUUCCCUUUUUCUUGAACCGUUGGUCAUCUAUGUUGCACGGGUAUGCUGAUAUGAUACGAUACGAUUAACUGAUAAGGCAAAAUUCCAAAAAACUAGGAUACGAGUACAGCAUUGAUACGGCGAUUAAAAUAAUAUAUAUUUAAAAAUAAUAUAAAUAGAAAAAAUUAAUAUUACAUCCAUCAUGUCAUAAUCAUCCAUCAUAAGUGCAAAACAUAAAACUAAACACAAAACACAAGUUUCCAUAAACAAAACACAAAAUACAAGUUUUCAUAGGAUUGUUCAAAUCAUAAAAAUAUAAAUAUAAAAAGCAACACAAAAACAAAUUAAAACAUUGAGAAGCCACUUCUCAAAUUUCUAACUUCAUUCAUCAUUGUCAUCACAGGUAAAUAUGAUUGCUUCUAAUUCCUUCUUCCUAUUUCUUCUUUUUUUAUAGUUACUCUCCCAAAUAAAAUGAAGACCUAGCUUCUUAAUAAUGUUGUUUUUGUAGGCAAGUUAUUUUAGUUAUGUGAGACAAAUUGUAUAGAAAAGUGAGAAGUAGAGAAAGACAAUAGAAAUUGUUCUUAAAAGUAUCUUUUGUGCUUCAUAAAGCACCUGUACUGCUAAUUACCAUAAUAAGUGUAUAGGUUACAAAACAUAGAAAUUGUGGAGAUUAUGAACUUCUGUAAAAGAAAACGACACGAUUUUAAUUAGCGUGUUUAUGUGUUUUUUUUUUCUUUAAAGAAACUAUUUUCUAACCUUAAAAAGAUCCAAAUAUACCACUAAAAGUAGGUUUUUUUUGGGGGGGAAUAGAUGCUUUAUUAAAAAUAGAGUAAUGCUACACUUAUCACAUUUUUAUCCCACAUUUCUAUACCACAUGAUGUGGCAUACCCAUAUUAUAUGCCACAUCAAUUAAAUCAAUGAAGUGUAUUUUAAUUAAGACAAUUAGAAAAACAAAUACUAGAAUAAAUUAUAAAAGAAAAGAAAAUAUUAAAUAAUUUUAAUGGAUGUGGCUGUGUACCUCAACUGUCACAUAAGAUGGUAUAAAGAUGUGAUAUACAGAUGUGGUAAGAGUAGCAAUAUUCUUAAAGAUAAUAAGCACCAUAAGAGUUUAUAAAAGAUAACACUGAAAAUAACCAAUACUAUCCAAAACCCGAACAUGAAAGACAUAAACAAAUGCAUAAAAAAUUAAUACUAGCUUACUAAUAUUACUAUUAUUACUAUAGCCCCUUCACUCACGCCAGAGGAUGAGGAGAUGGAUAGGAACUCAAAGGAGCCAAUAAUUUAUUGGGCAAUUUCCAAGACCAUGGCCAAGCACAAAAAAUGAGACCAAUGCUGCAGGAAAGAAACAAAUGGAUAUUGGACCAAAGGCUUUUUGCACUAAUAAGUUCCAUAUCCAAGAGACCAAUGGGCCUCGUGAAGUAUAUUUAGAGCAAAGUUACAUUAAGGGAAGACAUUGCAUUUGCUCUGCAUCCGCUUGAAUAGCUUUGCGAUUGCCAACGAAUUGUUCAACUUCUUUCUUCACGUUCAAAACAAGUUACCUCUUCUUCUAUGAAUUAGUUAUUGAAGGCAAGGUUAACGAUAUUAACGACUUUUCUAGCUUAAGAACACACACCAAAUCAAAGUUACUCAAGGCAAACAAAACACAUCUUCUAGAGGAACAGAAAAACUGGGAACUGAUACACAAUAAAAUAAGAGAAAGCCAAAUUCACCAGUUCCUCAAGAGUACAUUUUACGAAUUAAUGACACAAAGGAAGUUUUGCAAAUGAUCAAUACACCAGUAGCUUAGUUAAAUAUAAGGUGCUUACAAAACAAAAAAAUCAGGGCAAUCAUCAAGCUCAGUAGACCUUCCAAAUUCACCAUGUCUCUGUCAAGGCAGUGAUGAAAAUAAUCAAAAUUUCAGUUAUUGGAACUUCUGCAGGCUGACACUUGAUGAUUUACAUCACUCUAAUUGCUUCAAUAGGGUCCCUGAAAUGAUGACACAUACAUAGUUGAUCAAUUAAUUUGCUUCUUGCAAUCAUUUCUCAAUUCGGGAAUUAAAUUUUUUGAGAAACAACUAAAGCAUGCAGAUUAAACAAAACAACAAACCACGUGUAAAUUAAUUUAGGGAGAUUCACUAAAUUAGGCAGAUCAAAGCACCUUUCAUACUCAUUUGAAAAAUCCUCUUCAUAGAAAAAUCAUGAUAUCAUAAAUGCGAACAAUUACUUACAG